AAAACAACUACCUGCUGUAGGGGCACCUCUAGCUCGGCUCGUCGGGUAGGGCUCUAACUCGCGACGCCCUUGCCUCGAUCCUGAUCAGCAACAGCAGCAGCCGAAGACGAAGGCCCUGCAAAAACGGGGUAACAACAGGGCGUGAGAACUACUGUAAAACAAGUAGUCCUCAGUGGGUGCCGUCUUCAACAACAUCGGUCCACCCAUUAAGUCUACAGAAGGGAGCAAGGAUAGUAGUAAAUGCAGGAAUAAAAUCUACCGCUAUGAAUCACUACACUAUCAUACUCUACACUAACCAACUGUAGGAAAUGUCAAAUCUGACCCAAUCUAAUCGGGACUGUAAGCAUACCCGUCCUUGGGACUGUGAACACACCCGUCCCUGCCCAGUUGCGACUAUCCAGCUACCUCCACACUAUCUAGUCCGUGGAGAGCAAGUCCAACCGGCAUGAGCGACACAAACGCGAAAGCACAACGCGCGUCUCCGGAGUGGCACUCGUGGGAGCUACCCAACCGAGUAUGCAGCGUAUCUCUGUCGAGCUCAAUCAGGCUCUACCUCAAGCCAAAAUCCAAGUAACCGACUCUAACUGGUCUAACCACCAACAGGUCACGUGCCUUCGGCACAAUCCGUCGCAAAAAAGGCGAUACGGGUCUACCGUCAACCUCGACGGCACCCAACAGUCCGGAACAACCUGAACGCUACUAUAAAAAUAUAUUCGGCAUCCCAGCACGAACGUAACUGAAAGCUAAACUACCUAGAAUACUCACUAUGAGGAUACUGCUACAGUAUAAAAUAAUACAACGGCCCCUAGGGCUAAAUCAGGUAGUGUAACUGAUGACAGGUCCAACUCGCCGGUUUUCUCCUAAUUUAAUUUCCAAGUCCAACAUGUAUAAAUUACUUAAUUUGUUAUCACAUGCUCCAAAUUCAGAUUUGCAAUUCACAUAAUAACCCAUGAAUUCGAGCUAAAGUAAACUACACAAAAUCUGAAAUUUACACAUGUUGACUACUAAGCACUUAGGAGUAUAAGCCGAUGAUUAACCCACCUUAGUCGCUAAUCCCCGGCAGAGAGGAAGUCCCGACACAAGGGAAUACCCUGCUGGAUCAACCGAACACCUCCAAAGGCCAGAAGUCAAGCUCCCGCCAAACUCUACACGUAGAAUCCGACAAUAAGCAUCAAUUCUGCCUAAAAAAUAGCAGCAGAGAAGACUAUAAUUCCGAUCCAGAAAACCUUCACCAAAUCAAGCAAAUAAAGGUUUCGUGGAUUCCUCUCGAAGUCCUAAAUCCAACGAACCAAGUCUUGCUGCAAUCCGACCCUCCUACGUCGCGUACGAGUCGAAACGCCAACGGUCGAAGCAGAAAAUCUGCGAAACAGCAUCAUUGAGCUCGGAAGUGAUAAAGACUUGCCAUGGUUGGAGAAAUUGAUGAACAUCUCACCUCAACAGCGAUUCUAGCACCGGCGCGACGUCAAGAACGGCGAAAACGCACUCUCGCCCGGCCUCCUCGCGAUGCAACGACAACAAACGCGCGCUCGAACGGCUCCGCGGCGCGACGUCGGCGACGGAACGACUCCACCCGAGCUCCUCCACCACGCUCGGUCAUGCACAAGGAGAGGAGAGAGAGAGUGCUGAAGUCCUCUCCUCUCUGCUCUCUUUCUAUCCUAUAUAGGAUGGAGAAGGAGUGGGUGAAAACAACGAGAGAAGGAAAGACCAAAAAGCCUCUUAUCUAACCUGGCGUACCGGUACACCGGCCCACGUACCGGUACUAGAAGCCAACCCGAGAGCAGUCUGCGCACAGCCUGUGCAGUGUACCGGUACACCAUACUUGCUGUACUGGUACAGCAAGCAGAAAAACAGCUAUUUGCAGAUUUUUCUUGCUAAAUGCUGCUCUCGCGUCGCAAAGAGUCCGUUUUGCGUCUAUUUCGUGCCAAUGCGACUCAGACUUGUCCCGACACUCUCCAGAGCUGUCGACAAGCCUUCACUGCUGAACACCAGGGAUCUCACAGAAAAUUUAGCAUUUAAAAUUUAAAUUUAAUAUGUAAAAUUUUAUAAUUUGAAAAUUGAAAUUUCAAUAAUCUAAAUCUAAAUUUAAUAUUUUGAAAUUUAGAAUCUAAAAUUUUAAAAUUAAAAAUUUGAAAUUCGAAUCUUGAUAUUGAAAUUAGAAUUUUGCAAAUAUAAAUUUUAAAUUUUGAAAACUGAAUUUGAAUUUUGAAUUCAAACCAAUAAUCGAUUUUUAUAUUUCUAGAAGUUGGACCGGAUUGUUAUUUUACUCCAUUUUUGGUCGUAUAGUUUGACUAUUCUUUAGUUUUUAGGGUUUUUUUUUUGUUUUUAAACCCAAACAUUCCAUAAUAAAUUUUUUCUAUAGGAUAAAUUACGCUCUCUUAUUAUUUACUUGACACAUGGAAAAACAGUAAUAUAUGGCCAUUUUUUUAAUAAUAAAAUUAUAACGCUCCAAUAGUCCUAUAUCGGAUGGGAUACUGAUUUCGAUCAAUUUAUAUGAGACCUACACGCUAAUAAUAAUAACUGGGUUUACGCAUUUUGGGCCAGUUGUUUGGGCCCAAUGAGUAAUUAUUGCUAACGGGUCGGAUCGUUGCAUUUGGUAUCAGAGACAAAUACCAGCCGGAAGUGUGAGAGCUAUAAUGUCGCAAUAGUCCCACAUCGGAUGGGAUACUGAUUCUGAUCAGUUUAUAGCAGGUCGGAUCGUUUCAUAAUUAUUUGGUCACGAUCGGAGGAGGAUCGAAAACUAAGUAAAGCUCAAAUGAGCUAAUUUUGACUUAUUUUCAUCAAAUUUGAAAGUAAGUAGUGUUUAGGGACUUAGUUGCAAAAGGGUAAAAAGAGAAAGGAAUCUGAAGCCAACCUCUCUUGGGGAUAUUAUUAUAUGAAAAGAAUCAUUUCAUAAAAUAAUUUACUUUAAUUUAUUUUAAUUUAAGAAGAGAAUGAGUUUGGCACUGAGAAUAUAUAUCUUUUGAGCAUGAACACUAAUAAAAUUCUUUUUGAGAAAAGAUGUUAGCACUAAGAGUAGAAUCCAUUUGUAGGCUUUUUGGGCUCCAAUGGGAAAAGAAUUAUCUCAUGAGAUAAUUUAAUUUAAUUUAAUUUAAUUUAAUUUAAUUUAAUUGAAGAAGAGAUUGAAAUUAAUAGCACUAAGAUUAGAAUUGAUUCGUAGAUUUUUUUUUUUUUUUUCCUUAUGAAUAUCACAUACCAAGAAGAGUCGGUUAUAGGGUUAGGUCUGACCCUGUUGUCGUGUUCUCGGCGAAAUUGAUGAGUUUCUUGAGGUGACUACUGGCGUGCGAUCAAAAAAUUAGGAGACUAGGUAAGUUGUUUUCUUUUUCUUCUUCUUCUCAAUCCUCUCGUCCAAAUUUUAAAAUUAAAAAUUAUAAUAUAAGUUUAAAUUUUAUAAAUUUAAAUUUUAAAAUUUAAAUAAAAUUAAAAAUUAAAAAAAUUUAAAAUUUAAAAUUUAAUAAAAUAUUAAAAUUUAUAAUUUAUAAUUUAAAAUAAUAAUAAAUUAAAAUUUGAAUUUGGAUUUAGAAUUUGAAUCCAAUAAUGAAGUUUUUAGCUUUCCUGAGGUUGAAAUGAAUUGUUUUAUUUUUCUCUAUUUUUUUAGAGUAUAGUUUAACUAUACUAAAGUUCUUAGGCUAGUAAAGUAUUUUAUAUAAGGAAUAAUUUUUUCAAUAACUUUCUGAAAGACCGAAAUUUCAUAAAUAACCCUCUAAGCUAAAAAAUAUCAUUAAUAUCCCUCUUAAAAUAAAAAAUAUUCAUAGACAUCUUUUAGAUUAACUUUUCAUAAAAAAGUCAUCCAAUAUUUUGUAAAUAUCAAUUUUACCCCUAGCACGAAUUUAACCAUAAUAAUUUUAAUUUCAAAAAUCGAUAUUCGAUAUUCAAAAUUUAAAAUUUUAAAACUCAAUUUAAAAUUUAAAAUUUAAAAAUCUAAAUUUAAAAUUGAAGUUUUUAAAUUUAAAUUUUAAAUUUUAAAUUUAAAUUUAGAUUUUAAAAUUUUAAAAUUUUAAACCUAGGCUUAAAUUUUGAAAUUUAAAAUUUAAUACUUAGGUUAAAUUUUGAAAUUUAUAAUUUAAUUUUAAUUUUAAUUUUAAUUUUUUAAUUUAAAAAUUUAUGUUGAAAUUUAAAAUUUAAAAUUUUGAAAUUUAAAGUUUAAAAUUUGAGUUCAUCUUGCAGGUGAGGGAUCCCAAGAAUGGUAAAUUUUUUUUCCUUUGGUUGGAGUUAAUUGUUAUUGUACUUUAUUUUUUUUGCGUAGUAUAAUCAAACUAUACUCUGAAAAAUUGGUGCUCUUUUGUAUCUGCUAAAUGCUUCAUAAUAUAAUAUUUUUAAUGAAUAGUAUAAUUUUACUAUGCUAUGUUAUUAGAGGUAUCCAAAUGGCCUUAUACUUUUAUAGCGAAAAUGAAAUUUAUAUUCUGCCCCACUAUAAAUUAAACUAUAUCUCUAAUAACGUAGUAUAGUUAAAUUAUACUGUAACAAUAGAAAUAUUAUACUGUGAAGCAUUUGAUAGACAAAAGAGCACCAGUUUUUCAAAGUAUAGUUUAACUAACAAUGAAUUCCAACCAAAGAAAAAAAAAUUUUCACCAGGGAUACCUCACUCACUUGCAAGACGAACUCAAAUUUGCCUAAGUAUUAAAUUUAAAAUUUCAAAACUUAAAUCUAGAUUUUAAAUUUUAAAAAUCUAAAUUUCUGUGAUCCUAAUAGCACACAAAUCCUUCUAUUUUCAUUCAUAAUAAUAUGGUUAAACAACAGUCCGUAUUUAUCUACUUGACACAUGUACCUUUUAUGUAAUAUACAAACAUAAUAAAAUUAUUAUUAUUUGGGCCUGUUACGGAGGAGAGUUGUUUCCGAAACUGCCCGUAAAAGGUGCCGUAAAAAGAGAGCCCGUCAGGGGCAAUUGGGGAAAGGGAAUAAUAUCUCGUGAGAUAAUCAAAUUUAAUUUAAUUUAAUUUUAAUUUAAUUUAAAGAAGAAAUAUUAAAAUUAGCAGAAAAACGAGAAUGGAUUUGCAGAGUUGGUCCUUAUAAAUAAACCACGCUGACAAGGAUCGGUGGUGGUGGUGGUGGUGCUGGAUCCCGUCAUCUUCUCAUGACAAGCGUCGUCGAUCAAGCUGGGAACUUUCUCGGACUACUAAGUGGUCGGGAGAAAAGGUAAGGUGAGUUUUUAUUUUUUUAUUUAUUUAUUUUUAAUAUUUUUUGUUUAUUCUUCUUCAUUCUCUUCUCCAAAUUUAAAAUUUUCAAAAAUAAAAUCAUUUUUUUUUAAAAUUUAAAUUUAAAAUCUAAAUUUUAAUUUUAAAUUUUAAAUUUUAAAAUUUCAAAUAAAAAUUUUAGGAUUUGAAUCCAAUAAUAAAGCUUUCUAAAGAUAUAUAUCUAGAGGAUGGAGUGAAUUAUUGUUUUACUUUAUUUUUGGAGCUAUCUAUACAAUAAUAAUAUUUAUUAUUAAUUAUUAAUUAUUUAUUGGUCACGAUGGUGGGAUUGGAGCGAACUAAAUGUAUGAUGGAAAUAAUUAAGCCUGAGUUGGACUCUCAAAUGAAAACGAAGGAGAGAAAUCUGAAGAACUUUUUGGAGACUCAAUAGGAAAAGCAUUAUUUCAUGAAAAAUUUUAAUUCAAUUUAAUUUAAUUUAAGAAGAGAUUGAGAUCAGCACUAAAAUUACAAUUGAUUUGUAUGCUUUUUGGGAUCCAAUAGGACAAGAAUUAUUUCAUAAAAUAAUUUAUUUUAAUUUAAGAAGAGACUGAGUUUAGCACUAAGAUUCUUUUUUUUUUUUCCGUUUCCUGAGAGAACCCUAAGAUUUUCUUCUUUUUUAUUUUAAUAAAAGAGAUUUGCACUAAGAUUAGAAUUGAUUAGUAGGCUUUUUGGGGAUCCUAUAGAAAAGGGUUAUCUCAUGAGAUAAUCUAAUUUAGUUUAAUUUAAGAAGAGAUUUAAAUCAGCACCAAGAUUGAAAUUGAUUUGUACAUUUGGUUCCAAUAAAUAUCCCACAUAGAAAAGGUAAGUUAUGUGGUUGGGUCCAGCUAUCUUGUCUGUGUCCUAUCUAAAGUUGGCAACUAUCAAUAUGGAAUCGAAAGAUUAGGAGAGAAGGUACAAGUUUCGCAUUGAACAUUGGUGGUUAGACUCCCCGUCGUUUGCAUCCACAGUCUAACCUCUUUCAUACCGUACCACCGUCGUACUUCCUCCGAUGCAAUCAUCAAGGUAGUGGAUUGUGAAUCCACCACACGCGGAUGCAAUCAUCUAGGUGAUUUUCUUUCUUUUCAUCUUCUUCUUUCUUCUCUGUCCUUUCUUCUUUUUUUUCUGUUUUUUUUUUAAGUCUUCUUGUCUAGUGCCGCGCGCUGCACCUGCAACUAGGUGCACAAACCGCGGUGGUCAUGUACAUGGUCGAUCAUGUAUAGGGUUUAGAGCUUCAAUAUUUUUUUUAAUGAUUGAUGGGAGAAAGAAGAUGAGUGUUUGGAGCAGACUCGGUUUCAUAACUUAUUUAAACUUGGUUGAGAGGAGAUUGCAUUAAGUUCAUAAAUGCUUCGGCCCGCUCAACUGUAUUUUACUUAUUAGCGUUAAAUGGAUCUCAGUAUUAAAUGGGCCCUUAUUCCUUAUCCAAAACUUCUGCGUAUGACUUUGGGCACUUUGGGCUUGGCUAAAUUAGUGAAGCCAAACUUGAAUAGAAAAAGCUUUGGGCCUUGGUUGUAAUUUGAGCAUGAACCAUUGAGCUGGCUUUCUGUUGGAACUUAGUUUUGAGGUAGUUCAAUGACAUGGUGGGUGGAUGUAGCUUGCUAGAAACUAGAUUUUUAUUUCAGAAUGGUUUAGAGAUCGAAUCUUAAUAUAGCUGUAACUUUUGAAAAAUUCUAUCGGUACACCCUAUACGGGAUGAUAAUCAUCUUAGUCCAUAACCUAGGAUGAACAUAUACCUAGUUUUUGAAUGUACAAAUAGUACUGCUCGCUAUUUUUUCGUUAUUCUGAGAAUAGCGGUAAUCUAAGUGUCUCUUGAUUCAUUUUGCAAGUUUAAAUCAGAUGUAAACUCCAUUGGCCUAAAGUCUACUCCGAUUGAGUGCAGAAUUUUGAUAACUAAUUUAAUUAAAAAUUAAACAGAAAUUAAUUAUAAAUUUUUAGAAGAUCAAGAGAACUUUAUACAUAAGCCAUAAGGAAACUUCUAGAUGCAUUAAAAAUAAGCAAACUAGUUAUUUGUAUGCAAUGAAAUGAUUGUUUGUUAGUUGAUUUUUUUUUUUUAUUUUGCACGUGGUAUUUCCAUGGACGUUGGAAUCUGACAAGUGGAUGAUAGAGUCUGAUACGGGGCGUUGAAGUUUUAUUGUAGUGGCUUAGGAGCCAAGUAUUUAGUUACGUUGGAGUUGAGUAUUUGUUUCGGUUGGAUCCAAAUAAAUUUGCCGAUAAAUAGUUAGAUGAUAUCUAUAACAUUUUGAAAAACACCCAACUCUUAUUUAUCUGUUGAGUCCAACUACUAUACUCUUAUAAGUAUAGGUCUUUUGUAUUCAUAAGUUUUCGGCUUUUAGAUCUGCCCUUUUAAUUAUUUUCAUCCGUUAGAUCAUACUAUUCAACCAACCAUCCACUAAAUCCUAAAGAACCACUAUCAUCCUAACCAGAAACUAUUAUUAUCGUAACCGCACAUCCUUUUAUUCAAUGGUCGAAAAUUUAUGAGUACAAAAGGCUCUAUACUCAUAAGAGUAUAGUAGCCUUAGCCUUAUCUAUUUGUUUAUUCUUUUGAGUGCUUAGUUCUUCAAUGAUGCGGCCUGUUAUUAUCUUUUGAGUCCUGACGAUUUGAACUGGGGCAUGACAAAGGCUUAAAAUUAGUAUUUGUCUUGGGUGUGGGAGAUAUCUAUAUUUCAAUUGGCCUGUUAUUUUAUUUUGGGCUUGAACAAUUAGGUCAGGGGCAUGACAAGGCUCUCAUCUCAAAGCAUCAUUUGCAAAAGUGGGAUUAUGAAAAUUUCAAUUCAAUUUAUUUAACACAAAAUUUAAAACUUAAAAUCAAGAAUUUGGAAAGCAAAUGCAAAUUUUGAAUCUCAUUUUACUUUUUAAAUUUAAAUUUUAAAAUCAAAUUGAGAUUUGAAUUCUCAUUUGAAAUUUGAAAUUCAAAUUCAAUUGAAUUCAACUAAAAUUUUCAAAUUUUUAAAUGAAAAUUUAGGUCUAAACUCAACUUUGGAAUUCAAAAUGAUUUUGAAUUCAAUUGACAUUCUGAAUUCAAAUUCAAACAAACUCAAAAUUUAAUUUUAAAUUUUAAAUUUUAAAUUUCAAUAUCAAAUUUCAAUUCAAAUGCUGCUAUAGACCUCUUGAGAUGGGAGACCCUGCCAUGUACCAAGCAGAUUGGUUAGUCUCAAAUGAAAUAGUUUCAAAUUGAAUCUCAUACGAUUUCUAUUUGGGUUCGACGCCCCACUAAGUUUAAUUAGACCAACAACAUUAUCAAUAUAUAUAUAUAUAUAUAUACAUAGUGUACUUAUACGUACGGUAGCGGGUAUAGUAUUAGUAGUACGGUAUAUAUAUAUAUAUAUAUAUUAGUAUAGAUAUAUAUAGAUAGAGAGAGAUGAGAGAGAGAGAGAGAGGGAGAGAGUUGAGCUAGAAUACUAUCGGUAGUAAACGAGCCGUUUUACUACCAAUUUGGUUUCGAUGAUAGAGCUUCCAAAUUGACGAUCGGGCUCCGUUUAAAUAUGAUCUAAACACAUUUAAACUACCAGAAAUCAAUUUCACGCACUUUCGAUAUUGUUCUUUUAUCCAUCAAGUGAACAGAAAAAUGAAUGGCUUGAAAAUGAAUACUCUAAAAAAUGAUGAUAGGAGUUUUGUAAUACAAGAUCAAGAGUUAUAGAUCUUGUUUUAAAUAGUUUAAAGAAUUUUCUAAAACAAAAAUUUCAAUUGAUAUUGGAUAUCUUUACGCUGUUAAACGAGAAAACGCCUCUUAUCGACUAUUUAAAAUUACAAAUUUUGAAAACUUUGAUCUUAGGCAAUGAUGUUGAAAAGAUUGAAUUUGAUUUCUAAACACUUCAAGUGGUAUAGAUCAUAUUCAACGGAGCCGAUCGUCAUAUUUGGAAGUUCUAUCAUCGAAAACAAAUCGGUAGUAAAACGGCUCGUUUACUACCGAUAGUAUUCUAGCUCAAUCUUUUUUUAUAUUUUAUAUAUAUAUAUUAUAUAUAUAUAAUAUAUAUAUAAUAUAGUUAUAUAUAUAGAGUGAGGCUACUAUGCUAUCGUGAAGCAGCACGGAUGUCUUCCGUGCUUUCCAGCUCGUUUUCGAUGUUGCGACUUCGAAUUGUUGAUCGGCUCCGUUAAACUUUGAUCUAGAGUAUUUGACAGUACCUAGAAAAUAAAUUUAUGAUUUUACGAUAUCAUUUGCCUAGUGAACGAAGGGGCUCAAAAUCAACGGCUGAAAAUAAAAAUCUUACAAAUGUAAUAAUAUGACAUUAAAAUUUUAAAUCAAAUAUAUUGAUCUUAUUUUAUAUAGUAUAAAGAAUUUUCUAUCAAAAUUCACGUGAUUUGGAUAUUUCUACACCGGUUAAACUGCAAACGGCUCACUACGGCCAUUGAAAUUUGUUGAUUUUGAGCCUAUUCGAUCACUAGGCAAAUUAUAUCGAAAAAUAAUAAAAUUUAUUUUCUAGGUACUCCAAAUACUCUAGAUCAAGUUUAACGGAGCCGAUCGACGAUUCGAAAGUCGCAACAUCGAGAACGAGCUGGAGAGCACGGAAGCUCCGUGCUUGCCAUAGGCAUAGUAGCCUCACUGUAUAGUAUCAUAGUAUAUAAGUAUAUAUAUAUAUAUAUAUAUAUAUAAACAUAAUUUUACUAUAAUAAUACUAAACAAAAAUAAUGGUGCUUAAUUUGUAGAAAUAUUAAUUAAAUAUAAAAAUUAAAUAAACAAAAUAAUUUUAAAUUCAAUAAUGAAAUAAACAAAAUAAUUUAAAAGUCAAUAUGAAAAUUUCAAAACUACUUCUUUCUUAAAUGUUUGAAAACUAAAAUUUAAAAUUUUCCUGAAUAAGAGAGAAAAUAAGUGUUGAGUUUAUUACAGGUAAGAAAGAAAAAUGCAAAGGAUGAUUUAAUUUUUUCUAAUUUAUUAAGUUAUAGAAUUUGUUAAAAUUAACGGGUAAAUUAGUUAUUAGUAAGGAAUUAACCUAGUUUUAUUUUGUAUAAAGUAAUUUAAACUAUUGAGUUUGAUAGAAUUAUUAGUAAAGUUUGACAAAAUUUCUAAUUUAUUUGCUAAAGUUACUCAAUUCCAAAUUUUCAAAAUUUGAGGCGUCUCAAAUAAAAAAAUAUAGCUUCGGGAGCUACAUUGCAGUGGCCAUACAUUUUUACCAAAGAAAUAUAAGAUUGAUUCUUCUUCUUUCUAUAUAUAGCUGCUUCAGAUUUAAACACAAGAUCUCUCUCAUAUUUGUGUGCACCAAAUUGCCCUUUUACCUCACUAUUUUUUAAUUUACAUUUUACUCUUUUUUUCGCCUUUUUAAUGGCUUUGGAUUGAAACUUUAAAUUUUUCUCUUUUUUUUUUUUUUGGGUUCUUCCUAGGAACAUAAAAUUUUAGCCAUAAAAGAGAGAAGAUUAUUGUUGUCACCGGCCAUAUCCCCUUAUUAUUAUUCUAAGAUUUCAUAGUGUAAUCAAUCUAUGCUUUUGACUGUGGCUCUUUGUCAUCAUUUUACAUUUUGUUUCUUACAAAGAUGAAUUCUUGUUUAUCUUAGUUUAAUGAAUGAAAUCUUUAUAUCUCAAGAUAAAUAAAUCAAUUAAAAUGUUUGAUUUUAUAGCAAAUUUAAGUUGCACUCAUUCUUUUUGGUCUUGUGAGUCACUAUUUGAUUGUAAUCAUAAGAUCAUCCUCUUUUACAAUUUUUGCAUUAUUUGGAUUAUUUAGUUAACAAAUCCAUCUGACCAGUCUCAAAUUUUCCAUUUUUUUCCCUACUUUUGCAGAUUAUGGAUCCACAUCAUACUAUAGAGGGUGUUGAUGAUCUUUCUUGCUUGAAAUCUCUUAGUAUCUCUUUGCAGUUCGAUUCACUGACUAUGAGGGAUUACGCCAGGAGCUUAUCAAUGGAAGGAAGAGCUCAAAACACUGGAGAUAAUACAGCAGUACGAGAAAAUUCACUAAUUAGAACAAACAACUCAAACUCUAGUUCUCUGAGGAAGGAUUCAAUAAGUUUUCCUCGUGAUACGGGCGAUCGAUUACUGAAUUUAAUUAGUCUUUCGCAUGAGAUAGCAGAUGAGAUACUUGGCAAUGUUGAUAGCUCGAUUGUAGCUCGAGUAGGAGAUAGCGGGGAUCGAUUGGUGGUGAAAGAUGAUGAGGUUGAGGACAAUGGAAGCCCAAAUUUCAUUGUGGGUGGUGAGAAUAAAAGUUUUGAAAUGGGAGUUGGACCGGUUACUGAUGAUUCUUUGGUUCUAAAUCAUGUGGCAAAGUCUAAUGAUAUGAAUUAUGCAUCGCCCAUCUCGCCAUUGACGGUGGAGAUUGUUUCCUCCCUCCCAAAUGGUUCCACUUUAGCAUCAGUAGACAAGAAUCAAGCAGUUCUUAUCAAAACAUCGUCGAUUAAGGUACGUGUCAUGAGUUAUUCCUUUCUACGACCAAAAGUCUAAUGUGAUUAUGUGAAGGGUUUGGUAAGGCCAUGUAAAUCUUUGUAGUUAUUUGAGGAAGCAGUUGCAGCUUCUUAUAACAGCAAAAGCAGCUUCGAAGUGGAGUUGUUUCUUUAGGCACAAAAUUUCAUGUCAUCGUUUUGAUGUAGCAAAAGUUUUCAAAUUUUUUUAUUUGUCAAAUACUUGGCUUCUACUUCUGUAAGGAAGCUACUUGAAAACUUUGGCUAAGAACACACAAAGAGUAGUAUUAUUUCAAAGUCUACUUAUAUUUUUGCAGUCAAAUAACAUCAUGUCCUUAUAUAUAAUACUAAUACUUAAUAUUUGUGGGUGACUAUGUUGCUCAUAUAUGUAGCUUAGUUAAAAUUAAAACUGCUUUCAAAUAAUGAGACAGUUUAUUAAGUUGUUAUUAUAAUGUUUAAUGUAUUUAUUUUACAGGGUAAGCAAUACAGGAUUUUCCAAAGAUUGGAUUGUUGCAAUUACAUGAUUCACUUAGCUCUAUUUGGAUUUUUUGGGGUAUAGUUCAUAACUUCUCCAUAAUAGUUAUUAUGUGGUAUUAGUUGCUGAGUUGACUAUGUGGUUUUUCAAAAAAAAAUCUUAGUUUCUUAAAUUGGCAUAGUGUGUUUGAGCCAAAUUUAUUGGAUGAAUCAUCUUUCUUAUCAUGGUGCUUGCAUUGUGUGUUGAUAAUACUAAAGCUAAUAUAUCAUAUGUUUAUUAAUUUCAUUAAAUUUUACUAGCUCUUUGUGCAUUUCUGUUUAAGCGAUUCUCAAUUUUAAUGACUAAUGCAUUAACAUUUAUAUAAAACAAUCUAUGCCUAUUAGUUGUUUCACCUAGUUUGCAACGGAAACAUCAAAUGAUGAUGUUACUGUAGCUUUUAUUUUAUAUUUUAUUAGGACUCAUUUGAUAUGUUUCGUAGUUAAGAAUAUCUUUAAAAAAUUCCUAAAGAUUACCUAUAUACAUUUAGUAUCUAUAAACUUUCAAACAUAAUCUUAUAUUUCUAGUCACUCUUUAAGAUAUCAUCAUGAUUUUUACCACAAAAAUAAAGGGAAAAAAUGAAUACUAAUUCAGCUUAAGAAAUCAUUGAAUAUUCAAUCAUCAUCUUAACUCUCCUUUGGUGAUAUCUCACAUAUUCAAGUGAACUUCUACAAAUAUGUGCACACUCUAGAUCAAAUUGUAGUGAGAAAAUUGAAAGAUUUAGAAAUCGUAUUUAUAUAUUCCUUCAUGAACCAAGAGGGAUUGAUUCUACUUUGUUGUUUCAAAUUCAUAUUCUAAUUAAUGCAGUCAUUUCGCAAUAGAUAUUAGAGAGAACGAAGUAUGAAGUCUUUUUGUUUCUUUUACUCAAACUUUUAGUGAAAAUAAAUUAUACAAUUAUUCAAGGAAAUCUAAGUGUUUUUUUUACUUUAUAUUUUCGAUAGUCAUACAUGGGACUUGCCUUUUGAUUCUCACUCAUUUCUAAGAUCUAUUUAGUAGCCAAAUUUUCAAUCGUUCAUACAUGUUUGUUAUAUCUGCAAUAUCCAACAUAAGAAAAAAAAUAAUAUAAAAAAUCUCCCUGAAUUUAUUAGUUAAUAUGGUCAAUCAAACACAAAUUGAAAAAUGCAAAAGCCCUAACACCUGAACGGAAUAUACAUACUAACAUUCUAAAGUAGAUCUCGUAUUUUAGCAAACUUAUUUUCUUGUCUUUUUUUGGAUGAGAAUAAGGAUUAGAAAUGACACUAAAAAGUGCUUUUGUACUAAUUGUUUUUCCUACUAUCUAGCAUUAAUUUGAAGUUAUUUUCUUUCUCAUGAAGUUUGUACACAGGAUAGACAUAAUCUUGAUAUGUACAUCAUAUAUAGAAAGAUUCAAGCAUGGAUAUAAUUUUCAUUAUAUGUUAUGCCUAUAUGCACAUGCAUGCAACAAAUUCAUAAUUGUAAGCUUAUUACCAGGUACUUACACGGUACUCACUAGGAAAGCUCUUUGGGCCAAGUGAUCUCGCACUAACCUCCGAUGAUUCCCUACUAUACCUUGAUCUACCAGCAAAUAUAGUAUGUCUUUACCCAUAUCACCUAAUAUAAAAUAUACACAUUUAUUUUUCACUAUAUAGUUAUAAAAAAUUAUUUGUUUGCUUUGUACCAGCUAGGUUGCUUCCUUAUCGGCUGGUUUGGGAUUGUUUUCAAGACUGAUAUACGCCAAAUAUCUGAUCAUUUAGUAGUUGGCUUGACUACUGGAUACUUGGGAAGUCUAACUACCUUUAGUGGGUGGAAUCAGAAAAUGCUUGAUUUGUCUGCCAAUGGCCAUUGGUUAUUUGCUUUUGCUGGCGUCAUACUAGGUAAGUUGUCACUAUUUUUUAGAGUAAUUUAUUUUGAUAAAUUGCAUCAUUCUGUGAAAUUGAGUUCUUGACCUUCGUAUUUGGUGGCAGAUAAAAGUAUUAGAUACAAGGGACAAUUUCACUGAUGCCCUCCUAAAGUUCUGAAUUUUCAUAUAUGCUCUUUCAAUUUUUGAAAUUUCAUCAAUAACUCUUCAAAUGUUAAAUAUAUUUCAUGAAUGCCCCUUCUCAUUAACAUCUAUGAACAUCCGUCAAUUUAAAAUAGAAUGUUACUAUUUUACCCCUACUUUUGAGUAUUUUUUGUUAGAAUUAAUUAGUUAAAGAUAGAAGAAUUACUUUCACUUAUAACCUUCUAAAAUUAAAAAAAUGCUAUAAAUAUCUUUAUAAAUAUGGUAUCUCAAUGUUAGUCCUUGAAAUAUAUAAUUUCUUACAAACAUAUUGCCACUAAAAAUAUAUGAAGACCCCUCAGUUAUGAAUUCUUGUAAUUUAAUCCCCAUAAUUUUAAAUUUUACUUAUUAAAUUAUAUAAAGAUAUUAACAAUUACUUAUAUAUUAUAUGAAUAUUUUAUCUUAAAUUUUUUAAUUAAUAAGUUUUUUUGUAAAAUGUGUUAAAUGAGUUAGUUCAAACAUUAUUUUAGUUUAGAUAGCUCAGUUUAUAACAUAAAAUUUUAUUUGGAUUAGUUUCAAGUUAUAAGUUGCUUAACCAUUAUGUUUGACUUCUUCAUAUUUUAUAAAUUUUUUAGUUUGAUUUUUUUUUAUAUUAAUUUAGAUUUGGAAGUUUGUUUGAGCUCAAUUUAUAAAAAAAAAUUUUUAAUUCGCAAAGCAUUCUUGAAUUUCAAUGGGCAUUUAUGAAACUAUUUUUGAUAUGUGAUUAUUGGAUUGUUUUUAAAAAGCAAUGCUGACAAUGGCGAAAUAGGAAUUUCAUUAUAACUUUUGAUAGAAAAUAGCAAGUAGUGCUAUUUUUGAAGGUUUCUAACAAAUUGAAGGUCAUUUAUAAUAUUUCAAUUUUUUAAGGGGCAUUUAUGUAAUUAUAUGCUUUUGGAAGAGCAUAUAAUGAAUUUUUUCUAGAUACAACAAGAUACAUGCAAAUAUUGAAUGAACUUGGUCCAUCAUUUGAAUUUGGUUGUUAAAUUGAAUGACUGCAAAUCUACGUUACAGUCACGUAAAACGUUGUUAAUGCCCUCGGCAUUUAACUACAAAUGCAUUUUUUGUUCAUUCAAAUUCAACACAAAAGUGAAUAGCAGCCCCUUUACAAGUUGGGGACUCAACCUUGUAAAUCGAAAGGCUAAGCACCAAAGUGAAAACUUCACUAAAAGAUUGAGAAGUACAUGUGUAGUACAUCAUUCAUUAGUAAGUACAGUUUGUUGUUGUUCACAGCUUUGUUGAGAAGUUUGUCUUUUUUUUUACUAUCUCUUAAUUUUCAACAUUCAGGGAUGUUUAUUGUCAAUGAAUCUAUCACAAUCGGGGUUGAGUCAGCUGAAGCUCUUCGAAAGUGGCUUCUACAACAAUUCAACAAGAGUUUAACAAAUUUCAAAUCCAAACUAGAACAAUGGAGAGUGGAAAUGCGCAUUCAGAAUAUAGCAGUGAUAAUACUUCUAUUCUUGGCAAUGCUUGCAAUAUGGUUUCUAUUCGGAGCAUUAGCUAUACUUAAGCUGCAUAGCCUUGCUGAUGAAACAGUUCUUUGGUGGGGUUGCACAGUGGGACCCCCCGGCGUUUGGGUUCGGUGGUAUCUAGCACGACUUAAUGGACAAGGGCUUGGGGAAAAGAGAUAUUUCAAAUGGCUCCCUAUUGGGACACUUUGUGCCAAUGUUCUUGCUGCGUCCCUCAUGGCAGUAUUAGCAAUACUAAACAAACUGGUAUGAAAAAAAAUUUCUUUGACACUUAGAUAGCUAUCAAUUUUACUUAAUUUUCUAAUAUUUUGGUAAGAUUGAUAUUCAUGAAAAUAAUUUUGUUUCUAUUUUUUAUCACUAUGUUGUCAGUUGGCAUUCUACCAAAUGAGCUUGUAUAGUAGUUAUAAAGUUCCUUUUUGUUGUUCUAAAAAAUGGAUCGUCCUUAAUAUUCAUACUUAUUUCAAUCAGGUCACUUUGCGCCAUUCAAAUCUAUUUUGUACUCACCAAUCAAUAUCAAUAAUCGUAAAAAGUUAGUUGUGAUACUUAUUCAUACUGAUUGUCCUAACAUUUACUACAACAUUUAAGUCAACUCCUUCUUGUUGUAAAAUUCAUAAAUCUUUUUGAAUGUUCCACUAAGACUUUGAGGUUGUUUGGCCCUGCUAGAGCUUGUAAAAAGUGCUAUUCAAGUAGAUAUUUUCAAAAGAGCAAUAGUAGUCUUUUACUAAAAUCUCAUCUAUCACUUCUCACUAUAGCAGAAGUAGAAGAUUCAAGUUAAAACUUCUACUUGUUAGGCCCAAAAGCUCAUUUGGCUUCCUGAUACUCUAGAUUGUGUUGGCCAAUAACUUGAUUUUUGAGACUUCUACCUUUUCAAGUAGAGAAGCUUGAACACUUAUAAAUCUUGCUUUCAUGACAUGACUUGUUUGAAAAUUUUGUUUGAAAUUCAGGUAAACAAAAGAAGAUAUUCGAUCCUCAUAAGUGGAGUUCAGCUCGGCUUCCUCGGUUGCCUGAGUACAGUUUCCACUUUUGUAGCCGAAGUUUAUACCAUGAGACAAAGUGGCAACAAAGCACGAGCCUUCUUCUACACCGCUCUCACCUUUCUACUCUCCUUUGCUUUAGGGACUUUGAUCUACUCGGUACCUGUUUGGGCUAAACACUACAAUUAGUUUAUGGUCUUUUCAUGUAAAUUUUCGUAAGAUAACAAAAUAAUGUUAUUGUACAAAUUGUUGGAUUUUGUUUGGGAGUUCUAAGUGUAGAUUGAGCAAUAAAAAAAAAUAAUGUUAUUGUAUAAAUUGUUGGAUUUUGUUUUGGAGUUCCAAUUGUAGAUUGAGCACACUCUAGGACUUUAAAAAGUUGUAGUGGUAACUGUGAUCUCUUCUUUUGAUGUAUUCUUUUGAAGGAUGUAGAGAUGCGUUUGAUAAAGCUGGGAAUAAAAAUAAUAUGUAGAUUUUUUUCUAUUUGGUUUUCUACUUAAGUACUCUAAUAUGAGCUACUAAUAAUACAGAGUUUAGACAAUGCAAUCUAUACUAAUUGAAUUCCUAGUAUUUGAGUUGUGUGAUUUCAGUUUGAAAGUAUAAUUAUCACUUCUAUAUAAUAGGAAUCUACUGGAUGUCUUUAAACUGAUUCUUUAGUUUCAUAUUUGAAUAUUUAAGAAAGCUUUGAGUUGUGACAACCAUAAUAUCCUUCAUGUCUAAGAGGUGCCUCUAGGUGUGAAAAAUGGAGGUUCAAAUUUUGGAAAUAUUAUUUUUAACAACUCUGAACAGCUAUUUGAUAGAUUUUAUAUGAAAAUAUGGUUAAAAUUUUGGAAAAUUGUAUUGCACAAAUAGCAAUUCUAUGGAGGCUCUAUCUGAGUGAGAUGGUGCUUCUUGUUAAGAAUGUUGAUAUCAAUAGAAUAGGAUUUUGACUAAAUGUUACUUGAAAGGAAACUAUCUCAUAAUUCAUAUUACCAAGUUAUAUACAGCACAAAGUCUUCCUAUUUUCUAAAGCAUGAUUGUUUAGUGUAGUUUGUUUGUUUUUCUAUAUUUGACUCAAUACAGUAGUAAAUAACUUAGAUAACAAAACAACAAGAAAAUUUUUGUUCUUUACAAAUCUUUUGUGAAUUAUCCUUUUCUAAUUGAAGUUAACUUUGAUGUAUUUCUUUUAUAUGAAAUCAGUUAUUUUAGUGUUUUGUCCGGACUACAGCAUUUUCUGCCUGUGAGUGCCAUUAGGCCAAGCCCGGCCCCUAAGGGGCAGACUACAUGCCCUCCAUUCUGGCUUCUAGCCACUUCACUAUAGUAAAAUAUUACGUUGAUAUUUCAAAAUCAAGAGAGAAUCUACUUUAGUCACUGAGUUUAGCAUUAAGUCAACAAAACAAUCUUUUUAAUCAUUGAAAAUUGUAAUUCAUAAUUUGAAAUUUAGGACACCAACUUAGUCCGGAAUAUGAUGUUUUUAGGUAGAUUUACUGUUGAAUAGAACCCUACAUGCUAAUCCCUUGCACUUUCAUUAAUCCUUCAAUAUGAACAUUGUCGUCUAAUCCUAGCAAUUCAUGAUCGAUCAAUCUCUCUAUUAAUUCCUUAUCUUCUUAUUUCUUGCAUCAUCCUCUUUUUGAAUUUCACAUAGUUUGCAGCUCUUCUAAGAUUUUGGUUUUGCUGAUUUGGUUUAAUUUUUUUGUAUUCCUGGCAAAUAUUUUCAAACAUUUCUGUUGACUAUUGAAAAAUUACCAUUUGAACUCCGACCUAAAGACAAAUAGAUCAAUAGCAACAAGGCUAAAAAGAUCACCAUUGAAAAGUCAAAAGAGUCCUUUCUCAAAGUAAAAAUGUAUGGGUAAUCCCUCUAAUAUCCCAAUGUUUCGACUUGGUCCCUAUACUUUUGACUUAGUCCCUGACGCUUUCACUUAUGUUACACUUGAGCUCCUACGUGUUAAAAACAAUUUAUGGUUUGAAGUAGACUAAAAAAAGUGAGAUAUUUUAAAGGUGGAAUUAAAUGAUUAUUUUAUGCGAAAAAGUUAUUUCUUUAUAUUUAUGGAAUAAAAUACAAUUUUGGUGAGAUGCCAGGAGAAAAAAAGUAAUUAAGUUAAAACUAUAGGAAACAAAUCACAAAAUUAAGAUGGUACGUGAACUAUCCACAUACUUGACCAUCACUUGAGCCUCGUCAUACGUAGAAUUUCAAAAGCAGUUGGUAGUAUAUUCUAAACAAAAGAAAGAAAAAAAAAAUUGGUAGUCUCAAAAAAUUAAAAAGUAAUGUUUAAAAUCACCCAAAACUUCAUGUACCAACACAUAACAAGAAUUAGGAAAACUUCACAUACUGGUUACAACAAGAAUUAGGGUUAAGGAAUGCUUGGGAAGAAAGGGUUGGAAAUGAAACAUUAUUACCCGAGUAUUUGGAGUUACUUCUUCAGUAGCUAGGAACAUAUUUGAGUUACUUCUUCAGUAGAUAGGAACAUAAUCCAACUAAUAAAGGACUUGUUGUUGAAUGUAUGAGGGGCGAAUAGGUCAGACUUGGUCAGACGAAGAUGGACAGCUAACCAAAGCUUCAUAGUUAAAUCACUAUAUAACAUCUGUUGGAUCGUUGGCGCUAACCGUUAAUCCCAAAAGCUCGAGCUAUUAGAAAUACGCAACCAAUUCACUUAAAGCAUAUAGAUACAGCACCCACGGGUCUCAAUUGUGACUCGGCCCAACUAGUCUCACGCCACUUCGAACAUGACUCGGCCCACCCAGCCUCACGUCACCACAAGGCAGGAUGCUGACCCAUUUAAGCCAACAAUCCCCCCUCCAACACUUGGACAUAUUUGCAGCAUACGGGAAUCGAACCCGUGGCCUCUGUCUCUGAUACCACUUGUUGGAUCGUUGGCACUAACCAUUAAUCCCAAAAGCUCCAGCUAUUAGAAAUACGCAACCAAUUCACUUAAAACGUAUAGAUACAGUGUCCAUGGGUCUCGAUUGUGACUUGGCCCAACCAACCUCAUGCCACUUCGUACAUGACUCGGCCCACCCAGUUUCGAACAUGACUCAGCACAACAUAGCCUCCAGCCACAGGGUAGGAUGCUGGUCCAUUUAAGCCAACAACAUCCUCGUGGAGAGGGGACUAAGAGACAUCAAAAGCCCACAUAGUUGGAGAAUGAAAAUGCCCGAGAAGAUUAAAAUCUUUAUAUGGAUGAUGCUAAGAAAAAUGAUCCUAACUAUUGACAAUUUACUAAAAUGGGGAUGGUCAAAAAAAACUUUACGUUCUCCAUGCAAGCAACCUCGAAAUUUGUGAUCAUCUAUUCUCAAGAUGUUUGUUCUUUCGAGAUCUGCAUAUUAUUCAAAUGAUGAAUCAUUCAUAGCAUAAACCAUAGAAGAGCAAAAAAUGUACAAAAGCUAUCGAAGAAAUUGAUUAGGCAAAAAGAUGACUGUUGGAGGAAAAUAGGUCUUACAUUACUUUUGACCACAUGGUAGCACUAUGUUUAAAAAUAAGUAUGUAUAAUGAAACAAAAAUAAAAAGACUUAAAUGACAAAAUAAGCACCCCACACUUUACAUUGCGUUUCAAAUAUAACCUUGCAUAAAAAAUUUAAACAAUAUCAAUCAUGCUUUAAUCUUGUGUCAAAUAGUUCUAAUAAUUUGGAGAUUCUGUUAAGUUUUGACGGAAGUAUUAAUGAUAAUGAAGUGACAAGGUCAUUUAACAUUUUAUAUGCUUAAAUUCUCCACAAAAUGCUUUUUUAUUGUUUCUUUUGGGUUUUAAUACUUGAAGGUGUGCUUGAAAGAGCUUAAAUGGGUUUCACAGCGUCCUAAAUCAACAUACCAUCAUUAAACUUAACGAAAAAUUCUAACAGAAUAGCAUGUUUGAGACAGAACUAAUGUGCAUGAUUGACAUUGUUUUCUUUUUUUUAUGUAAGGGUAGACACCGGAUAAAGUGCAAGGUGGGUUUUUAUAAUUAAGCCAAAAUAAAACCACAUAAUAGUUAAGUGCAAUUUUUUAAACCAUAAGAUGAUAAAAUAAAAAUACGCUACAUCACACGAUACUUAAUGAUCCCGAUCUAUAUAGUGAAUAGUUCCAUAAAAAAUUCAACCAAUUUCAAUUCUCUACGGCGUUAACUACGAAACGUCUCAUACUAGCUGAUAAAAAUGACAAUUUUGAGGCCCUUGUAUAUGAUGUUUAAAAAUUAUAAAAUUUAAUUUAUAAAAUAUUUAAAUAUUUUAAAUUAUGUUUGACGGUAUGAAUUGUCGUUAGAACUAUCUAUUUUUAAAAAAACAUAUGGUGGCGCUAUGUUUACAGAACCACAUGGUGGCACUCUGAAUUGUCCAUAGAACUAUUUAAAAAAAAAAAAUCACAUGGUGGCACUAUGUUUAAAAAUAAGUCUGUGUAGUGAAACAAAAGGUAAAAAAGCUUAAAUUAUAAAAUAAACUACAUUUAGAGAACCACAUGGUCGCACUCUGAAUUAUCCAUGGAACUAUUUUUUUAAAAAAUCAUAUGGUGGCACUGUGUUUAAAAAUAAGUCUGUGUAGUGAAACAAAAAGUAAAAAAGCUUUAUUUUUAACACACACACACCCCCCACACCCCUCGCCCCUCCCCUCCCCAUUGUGUUUAAAAAUAAGUCUGUUUAGUGAAACAAAAAGUAAAAAAACUUUAUUUUUAACUUAACGGUGUUUGAAAUUCUAUUAUUGAGAACGACUUAUGAGUACAAAAAUAACUGCACUAAUAAUUAGCGCAAUAGCUGGACUCUCUCUCUCUCUNCUCUAACCUUGCAUAAAAAAAUUUAAUAAUUUGGAAUUAUUAGAGAUUCUGUUAACUAUGAAAUGUAUCAGCCGGUUAAAAUGACAAUUUUGAGGCCCUUGUAUAUAAUAUUUAAAAAUUAUAAAAUUUGAUUCCUAAAAUGUUUAAAUAUUCUAAAUUAUGCUUAACGGUGUUUGAAAUUCUAUUAUUGAGAACGACUUAUGAGUACAAAAAUAACUGCACUAAUAAUUAGCGCAAUAGCUGGACUCUCUCUCUCUCUAUAUAUAUAUAGACAUAUAAUAUUGAAAGGGAGUGGGUAUUAAGAGAGAUGAAGUACUUGAAAUAUAUUCCAAGGUGAAAAAAUUCACAAUUUUAGUUUCCAAGCAAAUUCAGUUAGUCUCUCAUGUUCAGCAUGACAGUGCUGUAUAAACUUUUACACUUCUGAAGCAAUUCUUGAACUUCAUAAAAAAAAGAUAGAUAUUACAGCUUCGAAACAAGACAUAUAUAUACGCUCAAAUCUACUCGAGAAAAAUCGGUUGCUACGUAGGAUUUCCGGCCAGCUUCAUUAUCACGAACCUCCUCUUCAAAAUGGAAUCUGCACUCUCACUCAACUUAGCAAGUUGAAUCAUUCUCCUCGUCGACGAUUUCGCAACAACGGCUUCGUCGCUUGGCCUCUCGAUAUCACUGCAAGGGGGUGCAUCCUCUUCAGCUGUUUCCACUUCCCCAUCCAACUCCUCAAAUGUCAUGGCUCUUUUUAGACCCUCCACCACCUCUCUCAUCUUUGGCCGGUCCCUCGCCUUCUUCGAGAGGCAACAAUUGGCCAGCAUUGCUAUUUCGCGUGCCGCCCUCAAAGAGUACUUCUUUUCGAGCCUCACAUCAAUGAUCCUGUUGAAGCGCUUACUAUCGGUUGGAUAUUGAUUCACCCAUUCUAAGAGUUUCUGCUCGUUUGGUGGGCGGUUUCUCUCAAAAGAGCGCCUGCCAGUAAGGAUCUCAUAUAAUACGACUCCAAAGCUCCAGACGUCGCUUUUGACAGUGAGAUGGCCGGUUUCAACAUAAUCCGGGUCGGCGUAGCCGUAGGUCCCUAGUACCUGGUAGACAACCACAACAAUGACAAAAAAAAAACUAACAAUGACAAUAGAUAGAUCACCAAACACAUAAAAGAGUAGUGAUGAAAACAAAAAUGAGGGCAAGGGCAAACACAAUUCUAGGGGUUUACUGGAAUCGUAGUUCCCAACUUAUUAUAACAUAGUGAUUUUUCUCGAACUUAUGUUUACUGUUCGCCUUCAUACAAUUAUAAUUCCUUUUUUUACAAAGUUAUGUACCAUUGUAUGCAUACUGAAACAGAAGAUCUGAUGCAUAUUUUCAAUCAAUAUUUUGUUUAGAUUUCGCAACUCCUGGUUUACAGAUGACUGCGAACAAGCUGAAGGUAGUAAGGAUUUUCAUACAUCAGGCUUCGUGAUUUCAACAAGUAUAGAUCCAAGAUAAGAACAUAAACAUCAAAUAAUAAAUUGAACCAAUUAAAUCAACUUAACUCAGCACAAAUUCCACUCAAGCCCUUCACAGAGUUUUGGAUAAAGAAUUUGGGUCCAACUUACAACAUAUUGUCACCUAAAUUGGAAGCUUAUAUAGUAUCUAAAUAGUUCAAAGCACCGGAACUAAUGAUGUUGCUUACGAAGUUGUGUAUCAAACUAUCAACAUAAAGCAGAAAAGCAAAAUUGAACAUAGAGCUACGACGUAUAGCAAAACUCAGUAGAUUAGAAAAUAAAACAGGACAUACCGCAGUGGAUACAUGAGUAUUGCCUGCUGACGGUCCCUCCCUCGCUAACCCGAAAUCCGAUAGUUUUGGCUUGAACUUCUCAUCUAAUAGCACAUUAGAUGCUUUAAAAUCACGAUAUAUAACCUAACAAAAUUCAUGGAAUUCAUAAUUAGAAGCCACGCAAGGAAUGCCUACAUUUGAAGAAGCGAAACAGAGCUGAAUAACCAAUUUCAGAUAAGCACAUUAACCAAAACACCGUGCCCUUUAGUACUAAUUGUUCUUGUUUGAGCAUUACAGAAAGUAAUCGUAGUACUUAUAUUCAUCAUGAAAUGAAAUAAUUUACAAAGGUACAGAAGAAUAAUUAGUAAUGCAAUCUGACGGGCCAAGUAAGAGGAGAUGGCACAAAAAUACAAUAAUACGAUAUACUGCAGCAUCUGAUAUUUUCAUCACUUCCUAAAUAAAGUUUUGGGAUUUGGUAAGUUUGAAACUGAUCCAAAGUCAAAGAGUCAGAUUGGAGUCCUCAGUUAUUGGGAUUACUUGGGCGUAUAACUUCAGAAAUUAAUGGUGAAAAUUGAUAAUUGAAAACAGUGAUCUAAGUUCGCUCCAAAAAGAAAACUAUAUCUAAUUGCCUACUUAGCCCACUCUUCAAAUAGCUUCAUUGCUCUCGAAGAAGAACGUGAAUGUUUGAGCAUCUAGAGCUCUUCUCUGGAGUGAGGAGGUAAAUUGUAACUUCUACACCGCAAAAGCAAAAGCUAAUUUCCAUGGAGUCACAUGAGUUUCGUUAACUAUGACUGUAUGGGAAUAAUGUUGUCAAUAGUGCCCAUAGGAAUCAGAAAAGGAAAAAGAACAGAAUAAGUUAAAGCGUAAAGUUAAAAAACCGAAACCUGGAUAUCUAGUCCUUCGUGCAGAUACAGCAACCCCUCUGCAGCACCCAAUGCUAUCUGUAGUCUUAUGUUCCAUGGAAGUGAAGGGUAGGCUUUGUUGAAUAAAUGAUCUCCUAGGGUCUUAUUAGACAUAAACUCGUACACCAACAGCCUUUGGACCACUCUUUCGCUAUCCACGGCACAGUAUCCAAUAAGCUUUACGAGAUUCGGAUGUUCAACAACACCAAGGAACUGAAGUUCUGCAAACCAUUCUUUAUGACCCUAUAAUAGAGGAGCAAAAACAAAAAAAAAAAAAAAAAAAAAAAAAGAGAAGCUAAUUUACAAUUGGAACCAAGUAUGAAUAGAAAUUGAUUUGUUUUAGUUCAUAGACCUUAUUUAAUUCUUGUUCUCACAAGUACAUUGUUUGGAAUCAUUAUCCCAUCAGAUUUCACAUUAUUUGGAAUGAUCUAAUGGAGCCUCUCAUAAUACAACCAAAUCCUAUGAAUUGAGCGCUAUUUGGUGAGAAGACAUUCACUAUUAGCAAUAAUAUAAUGUCAUGUUGAAUACAAAAAUAGUAGAGUACCAUUAUCUAGUAGCUUAAGUUGUUGAAGAACAAUGGUUGUUUCACAAUCUUUAACAUGGCAUCAAAGCAGGAGUUUCUCAGUUUGAUCCCACCAAGCUUCUAGCCCGAUUUAAUUUCGUCACAUUUAAUUUAAAUCCAAGCCGGGUGCCCACAUAAAAUUCUCAAUCCUAAACAUGAUGAGAGGGAGUGCUGAAUAUAAAAUACUAGAACAUUAUUUCCUCGUGCCUUAAGCUAUUGGAGAACAAACAAUGGUUGUUUCGCAUUCUUUACUCGAUAGCCCAUAGAAAAACCAAGCUUGCUUCCUAUUGAACAAAGGAAAAAAUUGAAAUCAAAGUAAUUUCUUCUCUUGUCCGAAUAAAUCGACACUUUUUUUUUGGGAAUCAAAUCCAAAAGGAACUCAAUUGAUUACAGUUCAGAAAUUGUUUACUCAUAAAACAAAAGUUCCUUGACUUGAGGUGAGAUUUGUUGGGAAUACUUUUCCUGUUAUUGAUAUUAUGUAUCAAUAGCCCAAAAAUAUUAUCUAACAUAGGGUAGUUAAGAAAAAUAAGAAGUAAACACUGGAAAUGAUUUCACAUCUGUUCCCAAACAACUGUGUGGAAUGGAAAUCAAAUCAAGUCAAAUUUGUCCCAAACUCUCAACAGAGACAAGCACAAAUCCUGUGAGUGACAGAGACCAACAUUAAGAACUUUUUCAUGCAUCAUGUUAACCUUGAAUCAAAACAAUGAUCAAGAGAGGAUGAGACAACCAUACCUGCAAGCCAUUCGGGUUGAGUUUCUUCACUGCCACAACAAUGCUAUCACCUUUCCCAUUAGCAGGCUUGAUGAAACCUUUAUACACACUCCCAAACCCUCCUUCCCCAAUCUUGAGCAUCCUGCUGAAGCCAUCAGUAGCAUCCCUGAGCUCCUUGAAUUCGAAUGCUCGCAAAUUGCGCAAUCUCUUCUCACAAAGGCCAUUAGAUUUCCUCUUGUUCUUGUAUUUCUCCUUUGAGCAAUAGAAACAGCCCAUUUAGUUUUUCUUUUUCUUUUUUCUUUUUUUUUUAAAUUUUUUGGAAAGCCAAUUUUCACCACUCUUUGCAGGUUUCAAGAGCUGCUGCAGAUGUUCUGCUCACUUGAGUUGGGGUCAGAGUGUGAAUCAAGAAGUGAACAAAUUCAGAUGCACAGAAGGUAAAGGGACAAAGAAUUGAGGAGCCUAAGGCAGCAGCAGGUAAGGGGCUAUGGAGAGAGAUUUGAUGGAAUGAUAUCAAGCUUCUUGGGGAGUUGGGGGAAGGCUCAAAAAGUAUGCAGUUAAUGAGAGAGAGAGAGAGAGAGAGAGAGAGAGAGAGAGAUGAAAGGAAACAGGGGAGGAUGGGUAGCUGAAAGGGGGCAAGUUUCAAAGGAAAUCGAUAAAAAAGAAUAAAAGUGUUUUUUUGCAUUUUGCCCUCUCAAAAAAAAUUAUUUUUACAAAUAAUCUCAAAAAAUUUAUAAUUAUAAUUUUAGCCCUAUUCCUAUCACGCAGGCGCCACGUAAGCGCCACGCAAACAAAGGUGGAGGUGCUGGAAUAAGUUGAAUUCACCGUAUUUAGAAAAAAUAUAUGUAAGAAUAUAAGUAUGGAACGCGGUAUAUCAUUCACCGUGUUUAAAAUACGGUGAAUGGUUCACCGUGUUCAACUUAAAACUCCUCCCCAACCAACUUGUGUGGCACUGAUGUAGCGUCUGUGUAGUAGGAAUAGAGCCAAAAUUUUAAUUAUAAAUUUAAUAGGGCUAUUUGUGAGAAAAAAAAAUUUUGAAGGGGCCAAAUGCAAAAAAAAAAGCCGGGAAUAACAAGAUUUUAAUGAAACAAAUAAUAAUGUUAUAUUAGAUCUUUUUCAUACAAGUAAUGCUGCCUGUACUGCACUUAUUAGGCCCAUUUGAUGGGAAAUAAAGCCGAAAUGAUGAAAAGUUAUUUCUGUUAUUUCAUCUGAGAUUUGUUUUUGGUUGAAAUGUUUUAUUCCGAUCAAAUUUUACUAUUUUCAGCAAUUUCGAAACAAUUUGGAAUAAACUAAUUCAUUCUUUUUGAUUUGAAAUUUUAUUAAAAUUAUAAAUUAAAUAAAAUUAUGUAGACAUGAUAUAUUAUAUAUUAUGAUAAAUUAUUUUUAUUAUAAAAUUAAAUUAAAUUAUUCUUAGUAAAUAUUAUUUACUGUUUUUCACUAUUUUUUACUAUUUUAUAAAAUUAGCCAAACAUAAUUUUAGUUUUUUUUAGGGAAUAGCAGCACAACAAAUAAAACAUAAUUUUUUUUCUAUUCCUGACUGCCCUAAAAUAAUAAGCUAUUCGAGAAAUAAAAAAAUUUAUCUCGAUUUUUAUUCCCAAACCAAAUAGGGUCUUACGUGUAUAAAUAUAAAUCUUACAUUCUAACAUCUCAAAGGUUUAUAUUGAUUCACAAUAUUUAUCAAUCUUNAUAUAAAAUAAUUAGAUAACAAAUUUUGAAUUUUUUAUUAACUUAGCAUCAGAAACCGACCAUACAUAACGUAGUUGAUUAAUAACUUAAUUGUUGAUAUUCAAAAUUCAAAAUUUGUUAUCUAAUUAUUUUAUAUUUCUAAUUGAGUUUAUUUCUAAAAAAUAAAUAAAACAAAUAGCUUGUUAACUUUCUUUCAAAAAAAAAAAAAAUCAAAGAAAACAUACCAACAGAGCUAAUUUUAAGCUUUUCUGUCCUAUAAGGACGUGGGUUAGUUUUAAUCCUCAUUUCUAAAAUUCAUUAAUGGUUUAGGCUAAAUUACAGAAAAUUCUCCUGUCAAAAUUCGAUUUUUCACUUUCCCCCAUAUUAUUUAAAAAUCUAUAUUUUGCUCUCUUAUAAAAUGAAAAAUAUGCACUUCACUCCUUACCGUUACCGUUAGGAUUCCGUUAUAAAAUAUUUUUUUAUACCAAAAAUACCCCUCCGUCCUUUUCCUGUUGCUUCGCCUCCCUCCGGCUCGCCGCCUCGCCGCCGCCGCGCCACCUGGCCGCCUCGCCCUCCUCCACUGCCUCGCCCUCGCCCACAUCGCCUUCGCCCUCCUCCGCCGCCUCGCCUUCGCCUUUGUUGCCCUUACCUACCUCUCCAUCAACGUCCGCCUCGAUUUCUUCCUUACUGUCGCCGAAAUCGAGGGGCGGUGAGGGUGCAGGAGGAGAAGGGGAGCAGGUGGAGAAGAAAAUUGAGAGAAAUCGCGGCCAAUUAAGGUGUGAAUCGCGGCCGAUCGAAGCGGCGGUUAAGAAAGAUGAUGGAGACGAAAAUGGUGAGGAACAAAAUGGCCAUUUUACACACCAUAUCUCCAUGUGAAUUUUCUAUUUUACAAGAGGGCAAAGUGUAGGUUUUUAAAUGACAGAGGAGAAAGUGAAAAAUCGAAUUUUGACAGAAGGUUUUAUGUAAUUUAACCAAUGAUUUAUUUAAUAUGUUAAAUUUUUAUCAUUAUUUUAUACGUUAAAUUCAUGUAUUUUUCAAAUUCAUCAUGCACCUUACUAAAUACGUUAAAUAUGUUUCCGAGCCAUUUCUUAAUCUAUUCAAAGACUACCCAACAGACACAGUGUCGCAAUUUGAAAAAAAAACCAAACGGGCAACAUUAAUUUAUUUAAUUUAAAUAGAUUAAAGUUUAUCUCUUAUUUUAUAAGUCAAUUCUAUCGUACCUGUUAAAUUCCUCGUGCAUAUAAACAAAAAUAUUAAAUAUAUUUUUGAGCAAUUCUUUUAUAUAAAAAAAAGAUAAACAUCAAAUAUCACCCUUACAAUUUUUCACUUUCUCACUUUAAUUCCAUAUGGCUUAAAGUGUAUCAAUUUAAUACCUUAUAGUUUUAUUUUUCUCUUUUCGUUAGCUCUUCAUUAAUUUUUUGUUAAAUUAUAUAUAAAAAGCUUCAGUUUAUCGAAUAUUCAUUUUAGUACCUUUUAGUUUUAAUUUUGUUACUGAUUUAACGUAAAAAAUUAGUGAAGGGGACAACAAAAAAAUAAAAUAAAAUCACAACAGAGUACAAAAAUAAUACACUUUAAAAUAUAGCGUAUUAAAGUAGAAACGUCCGAAAGCACGGGUGGCAUUUGAAGUUUUUUCAAAAAAAAAAAAAAACCCAUAUUCAGAGAGAGAGAGAGAGAGAGAGAGAGAGAGAGAGUAGUUCCAAAGCAAAUAACCAAUAGUAGUCAAAAAAGGAGAAAACGAAAAAAAAGUACAAGGUGAAAGAGAAAGGAGAGAAAAGGAGAGAGGAUAAAAAGGCAUUGAAAGCAGCUUCAUAAAUCACAAUUGCCUCUGCAUUCUUCAACCUCUUGAAUUGGAUUCCUUUCUUUCUUGAACGGACAAAAGUGGUUGGGAUUUGGGAAGACUACCUCCGCCUCCAGACUGCCCCUUUCUUUUUCCACCUUCACGCGUAUUCGGCUGACACCUACUACCUCCCGCCUCAUGCUUUAUAAUUGAAACUAACUAAUAACAGAGAAAAAAAAUAUAUUUAAAUUUUUUUAAAAAAAUUUAUUUAUAAAUUUGGAUUAAAAUUAAUUAAUAUUAUUCGAUAAUUUUAGAAAGUUUUGGACCCAGCCCAAGUCUAAGAAUGUAAUAUAUCUAAAAAAACUCAUUCAGCCUAAAAGUUUAAGUCUAUUUUGAUCAAUCCCAAAAGCAUAUAUCAACUCUUUUAUCCUUUUAUCAUUAUUUUAGCUAUUUUUGUCGGCUUUCUCUCAGACAUGCUCUGUAAACUCAUCAUAAGAGCCACCAACUCAAUCACAGCACACCACUUGAGGCGAGUAGCCUAGAAUUAUCAAAUCGUUGGCUUUGAUACCACUUGCCAGAAAAUUCUUAGCCUAGCCAAAAGCAACGUGAGAUUAAGAAUAUAACGUAUCUAAUGAAACUCAUUCAACCUAAAAGUCAAGCUUAUUAGGUUUGGACACACUGAUAUAUCAAUUCUUUUACUCACUGAUAAUUUGAUAAGGAAAAAAAAAACAGAAAGAGAGCAUUUUAGUAAAUUUAGUUAAACUUACUAAAUUUGACUUUUACUAAGUGCAUAUCAAAAUUCAAUAUUUGAUUUGAUGUAUUUAUAUUCGACUUUUUGCACUUGGAUCUGCCUGAGGAGACCCAAUUGUAGCAUUUGGAAUUAUGUCUAAACUGACGGUAGUUCCAUCGGUAACAGUUAAAGAGUUUAACUUUAUGCAAAAGAUAAAUAUACCUUUUUAAUCAUUUUUAAAUUAAAUUUUUUUUUUCUACAUUAGAGGUAAUCUCAGUACUAUAUAUGUAUAGUGAUAAAAUUUUAGAAUUGCAAUUCUCUUUCUGCAUGCAAGCAAACAAAUAAUCUAUAUUUACAACGCUUUCUACUAUAUUUAUUAAACCAAAUAAGGUUCAUAUAGUUAUAACAGUUGUAUUUUCAACUACAUGUAACUUAAACUACACCAAGUUUCUAAUUAUAGCCAACCAAAUAGACCCUUUUUAGAUAACUUGUAAAUUUUCAUAUGUAAUAUCUAAAUAUCUAAAUUGAUGACUAGACAAAAGUAAUCAAAAAAAUUUUAAAAAAAAAUCUAAAAAUCCAAGAGUAGAUAACUUGCAGAUUUUCAUAUGUAAAAUCCAAAAAUCUAAAUAGAUGACUAGAUAGAAGCAUGUACAAAUUUGGCUCAUCAACAUUAAUUUAGACAGGAAAAAAUGUACAGGAGACCCCCUAAACUUAAGCUCGUUUAUAACUACGCUUCUAAAUUAACUUUCAAAUUUGACAUAAUUAGAUUUCUAAACUUUAUCAAAUAGUUCAAAAGAUCUCUCUUUAUUUGAGAUUAAUAAUUACACACCCGUUUCUAACCUAAAUCUUGUAAAAGCUUCAGAAUAGAAAGAAAUUUAUUUCUAUUCUGACAUAUGAAAAAAUAAAAAUAAAAAUGGAAUGUAGAUUUAGCCUAUUCUUCAAUUUUUAUGCUUGAUAUUCAAAUUUGAAAGAGAAAUAUUAAAUAUAUAUAUAUAUAUAUAUAUAGAGAGAGAGAGAGAGUCCGGCUGGGAUACUAUCGAUAGCACCAAGCACUUAGUAUUAUCGAGUUUUCCGUCGUUAGAUUUAACCCUUUGAUUAUUUUCACCUGUUAAAUUAUACUGUUCAACUAAUAACUCACUCAACUCUAAGAGAAUCUACAUCAUCCUAACCGUACAUUUUUUCAUCUAAGAGCCGAAAACCUAAUAGCGCCAACAGCUUGAUGCUAUUGAUAGCAUUCCAGCCUAGUUCUAUAUAUAAAAUUCAGUUGUGAUACUAUCGAUAGCACCAAGCAUUUAGUGUUAUUGAGUAUUCUGCCAUUAGAUUUAAUUCUUUGACUAUUUUCACCCGUUAGAAGGCUUAUAAGAUUAUGUGCAUGACUUGCGACCCAAACAGAUAUGUAAUUAGUAAAUUUGAUUGACGACUUGGAUCUAUUAAUUAAGGCCAAUUUGCAUAAAAAAUCCACUUAUUUUAGGCUUUUGCAAAAUUGGGCCACCUUUUUCGUUUUUGUAGAUUCAGUCCGCUUUUUCAGCAAACUGACCAAAAUGCCCUUGUACCUUUUUCUCUUUCUUCUUUUUUUUUUUGUCGUUCUUUUUUCUUUUCUCUUCCCAGAGAGCGGCAGAGGCAGAAACGCCACCCUUGCCCCGGCAACGUCUCCUUCGUCCGCUCCGGCGACGUCGCCGGCAACGAGCCCCUCUCCCCUGCCUCGACCCAAAUCCUCCGACUCUGCUGAGGCCGCGCCGCAAUCCUCUUUUUUUUUCUCUCUUUCUUCUCUUCUUCUUCUUCUUUUUCUUCUUUCUCCUGCAGGAACAGUUUUCUUUUUUUUUUUUUGUUUUACUCUUUCUUUUUUUUCUUCUUCUUGCGGGAGAAGCUUCCUUCUCUUUUUUUUUUUCCUCUUUUUCUUCUUCUUCUUCUUCUUCCUCAUGUACACCAAGUUUUGCCACCCCGCAACCAACCUCUUUGCCUCCACCGCACCAGCCUCGCGCGGCUCCGCGGCACCCCGCGCCUACCCCCAACACUGCUCCGCCGCCGCACCGUGCACCGUUAAUGAUGUAAUUACGCUAUUACACCAUUAAUGGUGUAAUGGUGUAAUUUCACCAUUAAUGGUGUAACCAUUGCACCAUUAAUGGUGUAAUUACACCAUUACACCAUUAAUGGUGUAAUGGUUAAUGGUGUAAUGGUGCACCAUUACACCAUUACGACGAAGAAGAAGCAGCCGCAGCGCCCCCGCGUGCCCGCCCGCCGCCGCUGCGUGCACCGGCCCGCCGCACCGGCCCUGCCGCCGCCUCCGCCCUCCUCAUCGCGUACGCGCCCCUCGCCGACCCUGCGUUCACCCCGCAGGCCCAAGAGGCCGUGGACGACCGUGGACGAGCGCGGUCCACGCGAGCAGGUCCCUCACGGGCAUUUUGUCGAACACCUUGCGGGCUAGAACAAACAGAGGACUAAACAAACAGAGGACUAAACAGAGGACUCUCUCUCUCUCUCUCUCUCUCUCUCUCUCUCUCUCGCCUCCUCUGGUGGAGCUCGUCGAGGUGGAGAUAGAGGGCUCGCCGUCGGUCGUGGCGGCGAAGAGGAGGGCGGUGGGCGGAGAGCGCGCGGUGGCGGGGAGCUGCGUGCGGGGGCACGCGGGUGCACGUUGCGGCGCGCGGGCACGCUUCGGCGCGCAGGGGCGCCGACGCACGCUGCGGCGCGCGGGGGCACGCUUCUCGCGGGCGCGCUCGGCGCACGCGGCGCUGGGGCACGCUUUGCGCGGGCGCGCAUGGCGCAUGCGGCGCGCGGGUGAGGACAGGGGCCACGACUCGCUGUCGUAGGCGCCGACGUAGUUGAGGCGCUUCCACGCCCAGCGCGAGCACCCCACUCACACCACGCACUCUAACCCACCCACCACAGACAUCGUCGACGACGACGACGACGACGAUGGUGGAGACGAAGAUGGAGAAGUCGAAGAUGGUGGAGACGACGAUGGUGGAGACGACGACGACGCGGACGCGCUGUGGCUGCUUCUUCUUCGUCGUAAUGGUGUAAUGGUGCACCAUUACACCAUUAAUGGUGUAAUGGUGUAAUUACACCAUUAAUGGUGUAAUUUCACCAUUAAUGGUGUAAUGGUGCACCAUUAAACCAUUAAUGGUGUAAUGGGCGCGACAGCGAAGAGCCGGGCCAGAGGGAGAAGGCGCCCUCGUCGCACAUGGUGCGGGCGACGCAGUCGGCGAAGCUGCGGAAGCGGCGGCGGUAGCCGAGGAGCGCGACGUUCACCUCCUGCGUCUGGAGCAGCACGCUUUAUUCUCCCCAUUUUGUUUUUCCAUCUUUUUUUUUUUGUUUUUCUCCCCAUUUUCUCUUUCUCUCAUCAUCAUCAUCAUCUUCUUGGGUUUUUUUUUUUUAAAAUUUUAAUUUUUUUAUUUUAAAAGUUUCUCUGAGGGGGGCGAGCGCCAAGAAGAUCACGCGCGACGUCCUCCUCUAGAAGGUCUCCCACGAGCGUGGAGGACGGUGGCGGCGGAGGAGGAGCCGACGGCGUGGCCGCGGCGCCGCUGCGGGCCAGCUCGGCGGCGGCAUCGCGCAGGUGUUCGACGCUGUCGGCCAUGUUCUCGAGGCAAUCACGGACGGGGCCAGAGCCGGAGCCGAAGCCAGGGGGACGGCGGCGAGGCGGGCGACGGCGGCGAGGCCGGAAGUCGCCGUGGCGCGCCUCGUGCUCUUACAGAAAGAAGAAAAAGAAGAAGAAGAGGAAAAAAAAAAAGGUGCUCCAGCAGGAGGAAGAAGAUGAAGAAAAAGAAAAAGAGAAGAAAAAAUUGCUCCGCCUGGCUUCGCUUUUUUUUUCCGGCGGAAAAAAAAAAAAGAACGAGAGAACGAAGAGGAGAGAGAAAGAGGAAAGAGAAAAAGUAAUAAAGAUAUUUUGGUCAGUUUGCUGAAAAAGCGGACCGAAUCUGCAAAAACGAAAAAGAUGGCCCGAUUUUGCAAAAGCCCAAAAUAAGUGGAUUUUUUAAGCAAAUUGGCCAUACAUUAAUAAUAUAUAUAUAUAUAUAAAAAAGAAAUAUUGAAUGUGGGAUUAGAUUCGCCCCAUGAAUGGAUUUAUGGGCCCCUCCCCANAAGAGAAAAAGUAAUAAGGGUAUUUUGGUCAGUUUGCUGAAAAAGCGGACCGAAUCUGCAAAAACGAAAAAGAUGGCCCGAUUUUGCAAAAGCCCAAAAUAAGUGGAUUUUUUAUGCAAAUUGGCCAUUAAUUAAAGUGUUUGAUAAAGUUUCUAAAAGAAAAUUAAAAGCUCACAAGCCAGUUUGAAGGAGAGAGGUUUGCGUGUUUAAUUUAGAUACGUUUUAAGAUAUAUCUGUACAUUGUACAGAAGCUCUCCUUUUCAGAAGGGAAAGAGUCCAAAAGGACAUCUCUUCUUUUCAACAAACAAGAUCUAUUGUUGUUGUUGGAUAAUAAAUUUUAGUUCUUAUUUUAAUAAGAGAUAGUUUGGUGCAGAGAAGGCGAGGAGGUGUUAUUGUCCCCGUGAUGUUGUUGGGGGAGAAAACGACUGUUUGGUAGCCAUCUAAAAAUUAAUAAAGGACGUACACCAUUAAUUAAUUGUCUUUUCCUGGAGCAAUUUUGCCCUAGAACUUAUUGCCUGCACCUGGUGUAUUCCUAUUUCCUAUCCACAUCAUUUUUGUUUUAUGAUCAAUAUCUUACAAUUGAAACUCAAGUCGACGCCACCUGACAGAUCAACGCGCGCAAGUCACAAUUAACGUUUGAAAAACAGUUAGUAAAGUAUAGAAUAAUCUUAAUCACUGUAUGAUUUGUCAAAAAUAAGCAUUCAAGGUUUAUGGUUUUGAUAUUUUUAUACUUUUUUAAGUGUUAUAAAACAUAUUUAAUUAGUUAGAUUGCGAAUAAAACGUAUUUAAUUAGUUAGAUUGUGACAUCCCGCUUCUCAGGGAGUUAUCUAUUCUAGAACUAGUCUAACUUGACACGCUUAAUCAUCUUAAGUUCUUAAGUUUAGGCACCGCUCGAAAUGUUAUAGUUGGAUUAAAAGAUUUAGUUAUACUGUAUCUUUUAUAUAUAUGACUAUUCUAAAUCCUAGAGUGUGUUCUCACCCGUCUUAGCUGAUUUUAUGAGGAAUCACAUUCCACCCUGUUGGGCCAAUAAGGUGCAGCCAAGUGGUACACCGGUACUCCACUCAACCCUGUUUCUUAAGGGGAGGAAUUUUAAUAUGCACCAAGAGCAUCGGAAGAAACAUGAACCAUCACUACAUAUAACUGAGGGGAGUUACAGUAACCGCAAGCGGUUACAAGCGGUUCCGAUCGGCUGAAAGUGGCCCAGAAAAAUAAGGAGAGUGGCCGAUCAUGGAUGAGAAAUAACUGAUCAACAUGGGUGAACUAUAAAUAGGCAAAUAACGCCCUGAAGAGAGGUCUUUUCUCCAAGAAUAGAAAACCACAUUUAUUUUCCCUGCAAUUUUCUCACAUUUUCUAGGAGUAGGCUACCUGUAAUCCUUUACUUUCCUGUAUUUACCGCUUUUCUCUGGGAGUAGAAUAUUAGCCAGAUCAACUGAGUCUGUAUGCCUUCAGGCACACUCGACCUUUAUACUAUUUCCCCAAGUUAUAUUCAAUACAUAUAAAGGCAUUCGGCUCUUUCAGCCGACCAGUUAUUGUGUAUUUCGUCUGUUCAGCUCUUCUGUCGACCCAAGUCUUUGUGCAGCCCGUAUAUUAGGUUCGUCCAGCCGAACCGAAUCUACAGUAGAGUUUUUCGAACUCGACUGAUUCGAUUCCUCGUCAGCCGAAUCGUUUGAUCCAGUCGAAGGGCGCAAACUUCGAGGGUCACCUUUCGUAGCUGUCUCGCAUCCCUACGCGUUCCCCGAGGAAGGUUUUUGAUCGGGUCAAGAAUUAGGGAAUUUGGCACGUAACAAUUUUUGGCACGCCCGGUGGGACUCCAUUUUAGGUAAAUUUAUAUUUUUCUUCAAGUUAUGGCUGAUGAUAAUGCCAUGAACUUACGCAAUAGGGUUGUUUCUAGAAAUUCCGAGAGCGAUCAACCCAACAAUUCGGAUAAUGCUGGGGAACGUCAAGCGGUCUUGCCUGUCGAGGGUGAGACUAGUGGUCAAUCCGACCAACAGGAGCCUAGUUUGGCUCAAGCGCUUGGGCAAAUGACUCGGGUCCUACAAGUGUUGGACCAGAAUAGUCAUAGAAGCACUGCACGGUUGGAUGCAGUAUUGGCCACGAUCACGGCCUCUAACGAGAAUAUUGCCCGAAUAGGGCAAUUAUUGACUCGUAACGAGCAACCUUUGACAGGCUUACAAGGGCCUGUAAUGACGCCAGUGUGACAAAAUCCUGUGACACCGGCAAAUAGUCAGCCCCAAUACCAGGGGGCACCAUUCCAAGCGGCUUACAGACCGGCUGUUGCUAAUGCCGGUCAACAACCAAAGAUAGCAUGGGGAUUACCACCUCCUCCGCCAGUAGCAGCAUAUCAACCUCAAAAUGUAGGGGCUAAAGCUGGGUGGGAGGCUCCAAAUAUACAAGGAGUUAACCCUGUGGUAUAGAAUUUCGGGCUACCACAAGGACCAAAUGUAGCACAAGCACAAGCCCCCUUCCAAGGGAACAAUAAUGAAAUAUACGCACAGAUUGAAGAAGCCAUCCGAAAUAUUUUCUGAGUUGGCGCAAGGCCGGCAAUGCGGCCUGUAUUUAGAUCACCUUAUCCUGCGAAUAUAGAUGCAGAACAUUCUUAUCCGGCAAAUUGAAAAAUACCAAAAUUUGACAAAUUUUCUGGUGAUGAAAUUGAAAACACAGUCGAACAUGUUGCACGGUUUACGGCACAGUGCCAAGAAGCCGCUGCGGAUUCGUUUUUAAAACUGAGAUUAUUUAAUACCUUGUUAACCAAGACAGCUUUUACUUUGUAUACGAGUUUACUGGCUAAUUCCGUCCGAGAUUGGGACGAAUUAGAAAGAAAAUUUCAUGAACAAUUUUAUAGGUCAGAACCAGAAUUAAUCAAUUUAAAUAGAGAACAGGAGAAUCGAUUGAAGAAUAUUUGAACCGAUUCAAGACGGCCAGGAGCCGUUGUUUUGUGAGGAUGCCGGAAUCUAAAUUUGCCAAAAUGGCAUUUAACGACUUACAUUUCAAAAUAAAAGAUUAUUUUGAAGAUAAAUAUUUUUCAAAUCUAUUUGAUUUGGGAGUUCGAGUUGCUCAAAAUGAGCAAUUUCGAAGAGGAAACAAUGAGGAUCGGCCCAGGUGGGGCCGAAACAAAGAUUGGAACAAAGGGAAAGAGAAAAAUAUCCCUUUUCUUGAAGAAUCUUCGGCUCACAAUGAGCCGAAUACAUCUGAAGAAAUAGAGGAUUCGGCUGAUGAAGCCGAAAUAUAUGUGGUGGAAAUGGUAAAAAACCGCCAGCCUUAUAAAUGUGCUUUGUUAAAACUUGCUAAAUCAAGCGAGGCAAAAGCACGAGUUUCAGCAUAUAUGUAUUCAUUUGAUAUAUCGAAGACCGAUUAAAUCUUUGAUCGGUUAUUAAAGGAUGGUCGAAUUCAGCUACUGGAGGGUCAAACUAUACCUCCUGGAGAGAAAUUGAAAAGGAGAAGAUACUGUAAAUGGCACCAUUUAUGGAGCCAUAGAAUGAAUGAAUGCACUGCCUUUAAAUGGCAGAUUCAAAAAGAAAUAAAUGAAGGUCGGUUCAUAUUUGCCGACCAGGAAAAUAAAGAUAUGAAAAUUGACAAGAAUCCAUUUCCAUCGCAGGUCAAUAUAGUGGAUGUCAAAGGGAAAGCAAUUGCGGACAAGAAGGUCGCUGAAAGCAUUGCCUAGCACCAAAAGAACUCUUCGGCGCCUUUGCAUAAGAUGUAAGGCCGAAAUGACCAAAAAAGAUUGGGAAGCAAUUAUCAAUGAGAAGAAAACGCAUAAUGAAUGGAGGAAAUUCAUGGCGUUUCCGAAGGAAUGGGAAGAAAUUCCCGAAGGAGACAACAAGUCAGAGGAUGGUUCAGAUGAAGCCUCCAACGAGUCCGAGCCAAAAGUCGGACUCGGUGUAAAACAAGAAAGACUUGUUGAUGCAAAAAGUUUUGAAUGACUAUUACAAUAGCAGGAGAGAAGAACGCAACAGCCGAUGGAGUUACCCAGAAAAAUCAUUCGGUUCAAAACAGAGAUUUUCAGGGUAUCGGCCACAUUGGCAGCAUCAAGCCAGGCCGAGUCCAGAACCGGAGUUUGAGGGGAUGACCGAGAGGGAUAUAGAAUUCCUCGGUCGGAGAUUCGUCAAUGAGCUCGGCAUACAGCCAUGGCUGAGACUAUGGGAAAGAAGAGAGAUUUUAAGAAACCAUUUAAGAAUGGUAAAAGUACCGGCAAACGUGCGGGUUGAUCAAUGUCACGAAGUCAAACCAUCGGCCAAAUGGCAAGGGCCGAUGUUAACAAAAACACAGAAGCGUCGGCAGCAGAGGUUGCAAGCCGAAGCAAGGCAUCAUUACGAAGAAGCGAAAGGGAUUAGGUUGAACGCGUGGAGACGACCCAAUGAACCACCACAUCCUUUUCAUCCGAUGCAGAAUGAUCAUGAGGCGGGCGAUUCAUCGCCCGUUCCUUGGCUGAAGUCAAAGAUAGAGCGACCAAUUAUGGCCGAACCAGAGGAGAAGGUGACUCGGAAAGAGCUAGAGGAAAAAAUAGCCUCUCUCGAGACCAUUAUCAAGCAAGAUAGAUGGCCUCCCAAGGAGAGGGAGGCGCGAAUGGAAAGUGACUCCUCAGCCGAAACGGCAAAGGAGUCUGAAGAAAAGAAAUAGAGGUGUGACACCCCAAUAAUCCCACAUCGGAUGGGAAUGGGGUUGUCAUUGGGUUUAUAAGAGACUUAGACACUAGUAAUAAUAACUGGGCUUAAGCAUUUUGGGCCGGUGAUUGGGCCCAACGAGUUAUUGUUGCUAGUGGGCUGGGUCGUUACAAGAGGGUACAAGCAAAAUCGGUUGAUGAAGGUACAACCGAUGUGAACAUGGUAUAUACUCCGCCUCAGUCAUUCAAAGCAGAGUAUACCGAGUAUGAGGAGAUGAUCGAUGAAGAAGAUGGGCUCACGGUGGCCCAAUUACAGUUGGAAGACGCCAGAGCGGCCGAUUCGAUGGUCUUUGAGAAACCAUCGACCAUGCAAACGGGAUUUGUGAGGUCUCUAUUCAUACGGGCCUUAAUAGAAGGACGGCCAGUAGGCCGAGUCAUGGUGGAUAGCGGAGCAAUGGUCAACGUCAUGCCUACUUCGUUCUUUAAAUAGGUGGGUAAGAGCGAAGACGAGUUGAAGCCUACCGACACAAUUAUGACUGACUUCACCGGGAGCGUUCAACAAGCUAAAGGAGUGCUUACAAUCGAGAUCACGGUAGGUGCUAAAACUUUAAGAACAACAUUUUUUGUAGUGGAUGUAGAUAACCAUUACAAUUUACUGCUUGAGCGUGACUAGAUUCAUGCCAAUGCAUGUGUCCCCUCAACGCUACAUGGGAAGCUAUUCCAAUAGGUAGGAGAUACAGUUGAAGAAAUCCGGGCCGAGGGGCGGCCCCAAAUGGUGGACAUUAACGCAGAAGAAAUUGGCCAUAUCAAUUGGGCCGAUGCUUAUCCAGAUCAAAUUUCUUUUGUAAGAGUGACCGAAGAGGGAGUAAAAUUAAUUCUCUCUAAAGAUGAGGGAGCUUUGGUGGCAGCCGAAGAGCCACCAAAUUGGUUAAAAUGGAGUACCAAAAAUAAAAAACCGAUGCUCUAGAAAAGCUUCGGCAGAACGAGCUGACCAACAAGAUUGAUGAUUCAGCCAACCAAGCCGAUGAGAUAACGAUUGGCUAUGCAAAUGAUUCGGCCAACCGGGCUGAUGAGAUAACAAUUGGUUAUGAAAAUGAUUCGGUUAGUCAGGCGGAUGAGAUGAUAUUUAACAAAACAGCCGAGCCGGCCGACAGUGACUUAUUAACAAAAUCGGACAUUAAGGCCGAUAAAGAAGUAUGUGAUGAACCAAGAAGGCGGGCAUCCAAAGAAAAUAUGGAAGAAUCGCCUAUUAAAGUCGGUGACAAAAAGUUAGAAACUCAAGAUCCACUAAUAGAGGUGAACUUGGGAUCCAACGAGAACAAGCGACCGACUUAUAUCAGUGCUAAGCUUUCGGCUCAACAGUAGGAGGAGCUGAAAAAGUUGCUAAUAAAGUACAAAGACUGCUUCGCCUGGAGUUAUGAAGAAAUGUCAGGUUUGAGCCGAGAAAUAAUAGAACAUAGGCUACCUAUUAAAAAAGGAUAUAAGCCUUAUAAGCAACCGGCUUGUAAGUUUGAACCAAGUAUUGUACUUCAAAUUAAAAAUAAAAUUAAAAAUUUUUUAAAGGCCGACUUUAUUAGAACGGCCCGUUAUGUUUAUUGGGUAUCCAAUAUAAUUCCAAUACGAAAAAGAAUGGUAAACUUAGGGUUUGUAUUAAUUUUAGGAACUUAAAUUUGGCUAUACCUAAAGAUGAAUAUUCAAUGCUUACAAGCCGAUAUGUUAGUGGAUUCGGCAGACGGGAAUGAAAUCCUGUCUUUUAUGGACAGACAUGCCGGUUACAACCAAAUUUACAUUGCUGAAGAAGAUGUAGCUAAAACGGCUUUUAGAUGCCCAAGGUCUAUUGGGACCUUUGAAUGGGUAGUUAUGCCGUUCGGUUUGAAAAAUGCCGGAGCUACCUAUCAGAUAGCAAUGAAUUUUAUUUUUCACGAUUUGAUUGGCAAGAUGUUGGAGGUUUACAUUGAUGAUAUAGUUGAAAAAUUCAAAUCACAAGUUGAUCAUUGGGCGGAUUUAAAACUCGUCUUUGAAAGAAUGAGAAAAUAUAAUUUGAAAAUGUCACGCCCUGGGACCCGGCAUAGGUCCGCCUGGUGCGUGCCCAGACCGGCCACAUGCCUGCACAUAUAAGGCAUCUACAACAAAAGCGAUAAAUAAACCUAUGAUACAAAUAUCUAGAAAUAUCAUAGUGAGUAUACAACUAAGUUCUAUCAACAAGUAGAAUCAAGGAUAACUAAUCCACUAAAGUAAAGCAUAAGUUAAUACAUUAUAAAUCUCAAGAUACAUAUAAGGGGUGGUCUCUACAAAAAGGUACAAAUCUCUCAACCUCUCUAAAAUGAAAUAAAAGAUAGGUGGACCACCUAUCACCGAACCCCUCGCAAGCUAACUCGAGGCUAUACCUUUCCCGCGAUCCCGAGCCUCUCCCGGAGUGGAAGGCUCUGAAAGAAAUCAUAAAACAGGGAGCGUGAGAACUAUAAUUUAUAGUUCCCAGUGGGCAAUUACUGACCUGAGCAAAAUGCACCACUAGACCCAAAACAUAAGCAGAUAUAGGUAAUAAUAACUACGGAAAAGAAAGUAUAUAAUAAAUGCUAUACUACUAUGUCACAAAUAUACAUGAUAUGAACAUAAAGCACAUCUACUCUAUCAUGAUCCAAUAUGCCAAAACAUGUCUACUAUGCUCUAUCACGGCACCCAAGUAUACUAAAAUGCAAUAAGCAAUACUACUAAGUAUACUACAUGUCCAAGUGUCCAAUACAUAUCUAGUAUGCACUAUCAUAGCGACCAAGUAUACUAUAUGUCCUAAUGUCCAUUGAAUCCAACUACGAUUUACUAUUAACUAGUGAUUAUUAUAUAAACGGUUCCGUGUCGAUUUUCAUUUCCAAUUAAGGACCUACACAAGGUAGUUCAGCUUGUACCGCCUAGUUGUCGAUGGUAGUACCAACAUUCCCCCUCGAGGAACGGGACUGUCCCACACGACCCUACAGGCGCCUCGCCGCCUAGCUGCCUGUGGUAGCACAUCAUCCCAAGCUGGAAUAAGGUUGUCCCACGUGACCCUACAAGCGACUCCCGCACGUGCGAACUGCGUCGCAAAAAGGCCAACUCCGGUAGCGGCUUGUAGGGAGUGACCCUCACAAACAUGUGCGAAUGAGCACAAAUGACAAGCAAGCAAAGUCAUCAUCUCAACGAUCCGGUCAUCAUGGCUCUACCAUGGAAAUGAUCGCUAGUAACUCAUAGGCCUAGUCCAAUAUCCCAAGUGAAGGUUUAACCAUUCAAAAUGUCCAAUGCCCCUUUAUGGCAUUAUAUCACACUAUGCCAAAAUCUUGUCCCAACGCUAAUGCCACUUUAUGACAUUAGGUUACUAAGUCCACACAUAUUCCAAGCCUAAUGCCCCUUUAUGACAUUAGCUUGCUAAGUUCAUAUCUAGUCCAAGCCUAAUGCCCUUUUAUGACAUUAGCUUACUAUACCAACUCCAAGCCCAAUGUCUCUUUAUGACAUUGGCUUACUAUAUCAAGCAUGAGUCUAAGUCUAAGAAUACAAUGCACUAAUCAUUUUCACUAUAUGAAACAUAAUCCAAAUUCACACAUAGGGGUGUUAUCCAUAAGCCCAAGCCCAACAUGCAAACUCUCUACUAUAUAGAGGUCCCAAAAAUACGUUAUACAUAACCUGUGCAUUUUAAGCAUUCUAAAAUUCACAAAUAAUCUAUCUUGCAUGAAUAUGCAUGUGUCUUUAUUUUACGAUAAGUAAAAACGAUUAUAGGGAUGAUUUAUCCCGUUUUGGUGAGGCCAAACCCACCAAGUCUCCUCGCAACCCUUCGUUUGCGCCGACGAAGGUGCCCACAAGUCUCCUAGCUCCCUAAAGGUUAAACUAGGAGUGUUACACGAACGUUACGAACAACACAUAGGUCAAACAUUAACCAACUCGACAAAAGGGCAAAAACUCACCUAUAGUGUAGAAAUCCCCUCCAAGCUCCAAAUGGGAGCUAGAACCCUUCCAAUCCCACCUAGAGGAAGGCUCUAAUCCAAACAAUUGAGCUCCAAAAGCCCUAGUUCAAACAUCCCCAAAAUUAACCCUAAUUUGCUCAAUCUAGGGUUUCUAUAACAAAAUCAUGAAAAUCAUGAUCUAAGGAGGGAAAACAAGCAACUAAUAUCUUUAGAAGCUUUAAACCAAGCUAGAUUUCAGCUAGGGUUGAACUCCUUCCCUCAAACAAGCUCCAAACUUCACUUCAAGGCUUCUCCCAUGGUCCAAGAACAAAACCCAUUGAAGAAGAAACCAAAAGAGAAGAUCAAACCCAAGAAAACCAAGCAAAAAUGAAGGAAAAACCAAAGAAAAUGGAGAGGGGACUCACCUCUCCUCCUCUGGUCGCAGCACACAAGGCCCUCUCCAAGGGGUGUGGGUAUAAAUAAGGUAUUGCAACAAUAGCAAAAAGAACCCCCAAAAACUGUCAGGCUGCAGUUUGCAAAGUGUACCGGUACGCGAAAAGUGUACCUGUACAAACCACUGUGCGCGCAAACCCGAGGCUCGGGUUGGCAGAAAAACACACUGUGUACCGGUGGCACUUCCGAUGUUGUACCGGUAUACCUUCUGUUCCGGUACAAGCUUUAUGCUGUACCGGUACACUUCCAGAAAAUCCAAUCCGAGAGCAGCCUAAGUCCAUCACUUUGGUGACCUUAGCACUACUAUAAAUACUACAAUUCUCAGGAUACGAGCUAUAGGUUGGAACACUGUCAACAACCCUCCAGAAUAUCUUGAAAAAUUUGAAACACUGAUCAAACACUCGAACCUCGUAAUUUACAAAGGUUCAGUGCGUUACAGAAAAUGAACCCUUUAAAAUGUGCUUUUGGAGUUUCUGCAGGAAAUUUCCUAGGAUUCCUGGUACAUAAAAAAGGAAUUUAAAUCUAUAAAAAUAAAGCAAAAGCUAUAUUAGAAUUGCCGCCACUAAAGAACAAAAAAGAGUUGCAAAGUUUACUAGAAAAAAUUAAUUAUUUGUGACGAUUCAUAUCAAACUUGGCCGGUAGAAUAGGAGUUUUCACUCCAUUACUUCGGCUCAAAAGUCAGGAAGAAUUUGUUUGGACAGAGGAACAAUAAGGGGCAUUUGAAAAAAUAAAAGGAUACUUAGCAAAUCCUCACGUCCUUAUGCCUCCUAAACAAGGACAGCUGAUGAAGCUAUACAUUUCAACUGCAGAAGAAACUUUAGGAUGUUUAUUGGCUCAAGAAAAUGAAGAAAAAGAAGAACAUGCCAUUUACUAUUUAAGCAGGCGAUUGUUAGAUGCUGAAAAUGAUAUUCGGCAAUUGAAAAAUUAUAUUUGGCCUUAUACUAUGCUUGUACAAAAUUAAGAUAUUAUAUUUUGCAAACCGAAGUGCCGAUAAUAUGCAAAACUGAUUUGGUGAAAUAUAUGUUAUCUAAGCCAGUAUUAAGAGGUCGAAUCGGACGGCGGAUGUUGGCCUUGUCCGAAUUCUCUCUUAACUAUGUCCCAGCGAAAACUGUUAAGGGACAAGCAAUAGCCGAUUUUCUGGCUGAUCAUCUAUGUGUUGAGUUCGAAGAGCCGAAGCAAAAUUUAAUCGGCUGUCAACCUUAGAUACUUUAUUUUGACGGCUCAAGAACAGCCGAAUUCGCAGGAGUUGGAGUGGUUAUACAAUCUCCUGAGGAAUACACUUAUCGAUUUGCUUUUGAAUCAAAUUUUGAUUGUUCCAAUAAUCAAGUCAAAUACAAGGCCUUAAUAAUUGGCCUUGAGAUUCUACAAGAGUUAGGAGUAUACUCGCUCAAAGUCAUCGGUAAUUCACAACUGGUAAUUAAACAGGUAAAUGGAGAAUACCGAUAUGAGAACUGAAAUUUGCAAAAUUAUUUAAGAAAAAUGUUAGAAUUACUUUGCAGUUUCGGGGAAGUUGAGUUUGAGCAUUUAGCAAGAGAGGAAAAUGAACAGGCUAAUGAAUUAGCCCAAUCGGCUUCAGGAUAUAAAGAGCCGAAACAAGAUCUAGUAAAAAUAGAACGAAGACUAUUACCAUCGGUUUAUGUACGAAAGUCGAUUAUUGCUCCCACAGCGGUUAAAGAAGACUGAAGAAAGUCUAUAAUUGAAUAUCUAGAAGACCCUAACAAGCGGGUCGACUAUAAUAUUCGAAGAAGAGCACUUGGCUAUUGUCUAUUGAAUGGACAACUUUAUAAGAGAACAGCCGAGGAAGUAUUAUUGAAAUGCCUUGGGCCUGAGGAAACUCUAUUAGUGAUGGGAGAAACCCAUAAGGGUUUGUGCAGAGCCCAUUUAGCAGGAAAAAGACUAAGAUGGACAAUUCGACAUUUAGGAUAUUACUGGUCGACUAUGCAUCUAGACUGCAUAGAAUAUGCUAAAGGUUGCCAAGAUUAAUUGUCAAUGCCAUGGCUCAGUACAGAGAGUUCCUGCCUCUGAGAUGUACGCAAUAAUUAAACCUUGACCUUUUCGAGAUUGGGCUAUGAAUUUAAUUGAAAAAAUUCAGCUGAAUUCAUCGGCUGGUCAUAAGUUUUUAAUAGUGGCGGUUGACUAUUUCACUAAGUGGGUAGAAGUAAAACUCGCUAGAUUGGUCACCCAAAAAGAAAUCAUUGAUUUUGUUGAAGACUAUAAUUCAUCGUUUUGGAAUUCCCGAAAUGAUCACAACCGAUCAAGGAACAAUGUUUAUCAGAGGACAAUUUGUUUGGUUCAUUGAAUCCAGAAAAAUCAAGUUGCUUCAUUCAUCACCUUAUUACGCUCAGGCUAAUGGACAAGCCGAGGCAGCAAAUAAGGUAAUCAUAAAUCUGAUGAAACGGCAUAUUGAAAAAUAUCCAAGAAAAUGGAAUGAAAAACUUUACGAAAUAUUAUGGGCAUGCCGAACUUCAGUAAAAACGGCAACAGGGAUGACGCCGUCCCAAUUAGUGUACGGCCAUGAGACCGUAAUACCAGCCGAAAUAAUAGUUCCCUCUCUGAGAGUAGAAAAAUAAAAAGAACUGACGGCUGAUGAAUAUAAAAUUUUAAUAAAUGAAAGAAUGAAAAAAAUGAAUAAAACUCGGCUGAUGGCUGUAGAUCAUUUACAAGCUUAUCAGAGUCGAGUGCACAAUGCGUAUAAUAAGAAGGUUAGAGCUUAGUCUUUCACAGUUGGGGACUUGGUUCUUAGACUAAUAUUCCCAAUCGGUCGAAAUGACCGAGUAUAUGAAAAAUGGUCUCCAAAUUGGGAAGGACCAUUUCAGGUUAACAGAAUUACAAAAGGGAAUGCAUAUUAUUUAAAGAGUGUAGAUGGGAUAGAAAAUGAGAAGUCAAUCAACGGAAAAUAUCUGAAGAAAUAUUACCCAUCCAUGUGGGAAAAGGAAUAAAAUCAAAAUUAGACUAUUACAAUUGACAAGCCAAAUCAACACAAUAAAUCCUUAAGCUGAUUCCAUUCGGCUAUUAAGUUGGCUUGAGCGGUCUCGGCUACUUUUCUCCUAUGCUUCAUUAGGGGAUGCAAUUUGUAAAGCUGAGAGAGUUUAUCUUGAAACUUCAUCCCUUCGCUCUUUCUGACCUUCAGUUGGUCUUACAAAAGGAGCCGAUGCUCAAAAGUGCGAACCAGAGCUGAUUCGACUGUAGUUAAUUCUUCCUUAAGAGUUGAAAUCUGUUGCUGCAAGGCCGAUUCUUGGUUUUUUAAGGCUUGAUCUUCUCGACUUAUGUCAGUUAUUGGAGUCGCCACUUCAGGAACUGUCGAUUUGAAGUGAUCGACUUGAUGGAAGCGGUGGUCUAAAGAUGAAAACUCGACAGCUAGAGAUUGUUGCCGAGACAAGAAAAAAGAAAGCCGAGAUGAUAAAGUUUCUACAAAAUAUUUGCCAGCGGAAGAAAUGUCUAGCUGAUCGGCUAAAUCAAACAAAAGUGCGCAUAGCCGAUCGAAUUGCUGUAAAGUUCGAGCCAAGUAUGGGAGACCAUGACUAUACAAUCUUAGACACUCAUCAAAUUUUUGUUGAGUGUCUGUUGACACAACGGUAGUUGAUGAGUCGUCUCUCUCGUUGGAAUUGGGACUCGAAACCAACAGAGCAUGAAGAGUUGCGGAAAGAGAGUCUUCAAUUUCGGGCACUGAGCCUUCAGAAGUAGAGUGGGGUAUUGCACUUGCCUCCUUAACACCCUCCUCCAAAGGUGUGCCUACAUUUUUCCUCUCUGUUGUUGUUGUUGGAGUAGAUAAGGGCAGUGCCACAUCACUUGUCGGCACUUCCUUGUUCAUUUCUUGGGCAGUCCGUUUCUUUCCUGCCUCUCGCUUCUUCUCAAGACGGGCCUCUCAACGGAGUUGUCUAUCAAUCUGCGUCCCCAAAGAAGAAGAAAAACGGGCUCUUGAAGUAUCUUCAGGAGGUGACUGUUUCAUUGGGAAGAAAUGAUAAAUGAAUCGAAACAAAAGAAAGAUUGAGUUUAACUAGCCGAAUUGAUUUACCUCAAUCGUGAUUGGCUCAUUAGGAACAGAAGCUGGCUCUGAGACAUCAGCCGAAGGUGUUUCUGCGGCUCUUCCUUUUGGAACAUCAGCUGAAGGUGUAUCUUCGGCUCUUUUCUUUAAAAUAUUAGCCAAAGAAAUGCCUUCGGCUCUCUUAGAAAGCGGUUUCUUAGCAACCGACUUGCGCCGUUUCGGAGGCGGCGGGGGAGUAGAAUGUUCAUGUUCCAUCGGUCGUUUCUCUGAAGCUGGGACCGAUGAAGAAGUCAGAAUUGGCUAUAUAUGAAACAGAUAAAUAAAAGUAAGCAAUAAUCAUAUAAUUAAAAGAAAAAUCAAAUCAAAAAGAGUAGAGCUUACUACAGAAGAAGCAGAUGGGACGUCAGAAUUGUGAUCGAAGUUCUCUACCGAUCCUUUCCUUGGUGCGGAUGGAGCAGCGGUAUCAACCGAACUGCUCGGGAAAGGCACCGUUGUAUAUGGAAGAAAAGUAAGUAGAAAUUAUUUUAAAGAAGAAUAAUUAUGAAAAUUGGGAAGGGACUUACAAAAUAGAUGGACGGUCUUUCGAUGCGCCCGAAGCAUGGAUAAAUCAAAGAUUCGAUCAGUAAACUGAUUCCAAGUCACGGUAUAGCUGGUAAACGCCAAUUCGGCCUGAAGCUUAUUAAUUUGAAGAACCGCCGAAGACGGUUCCCCAUGGCCGAAAUCCGAUCAGCUUCGAAUAUACUUUUAGUAGGAGGCCGAUUGACAGCUGUGUUGGCCGUAAAGAACUUGGCUUGAGCAGGGAUCGCUUGUAUCAAUCCAAAUUGACGCGCUACGUAUUGAGGGGAAUAAACUUCAGUACUCGGCAACAGCUUCGAGCGCGAUUUCAGCCCCAUGUGCAGAUCCCUAGGAGCCAAAAAAGAAUACCAUACGUCUGCAUAUUCGCUGACACGAGAAGAGGCCAAUUCGCCUUGAAAGGCCUCGUACCGAGUAAGGAACCAUAAUAGGCCAGUGAGACGAUCGGCAAAUGGAGACCAGGAAAUAGCCGAAUCGGAACUCGGCUCAUAAAAAGUCUGGAAAUAAGUAAGAAAAUUAAAAGGUUGGCCCGAUGUUUUCGGCUGUGGACAGCCGAGAGCUAACCCAUAAGAAUCAUAUUGAGCAGUCAAAUUUAGAUCCAAAGGAUUUCGGCACAGACCAGGAAUAUAAAUUUGCAAAAAUAUUUGCAAAAACCAAAGAACACCACAAUCAGAGCUGAUGUUCACACCAUCCCGAGAAGGUAGUAGUUUGAUAGAAUCAAAAAUCUCCCUACAAACAAAAGCAAGAAAAUAGGGUCCUAAAGCUAAUCUAUCGCCGUUGGCUAAACCUACGGCAAUUGGAACAAAAUCUCGAUUAUUUUUUUGCGAACGGGUACAGAAAAGAUUAUGGCAUAACCAAUAUAGAGGAAGGAUGUAUGCUCCUUCCUCGUAACCGCAGGAGGAGAUUCACCUGCAAACUUGCGGAGAAAUUUAGAGUAAACCAGAUCAUUGAGGUCAAAGUGGGCCUCAAAAUUAGACACGCCAUUAGGAUUGUAAGACAUAGAAAGGAUAACUCCAUGAGGGCGUAAGCCAAUGAUGGCGGCGACAUAAAAAAGAGUGGGAGUGAGGGGUCAUCUUUUAAAAAGAAAAACGUUGGAAACAGGGGACCAAAAACACAGAGCAUCGGCUAAAAGAGAUUGUCGGCUACAGGGGGUUGCCGAGAUAAUUUAAUCGCCUUGUAAAUACCUACUUCCCGCCAUAAGUCACCAUAGGCAGCUUCUACCCGAUCUAGCCAAGACAGGUAUGCGUCUGAGACACUUGGCCAGGUCCGAAGGCUUUUUCCUGUCGAAACUGAUAAGUACCAAAAAUGGAGAUGGAUGGUUUUAGCCCUCAAUGGAAGGCCAUCACUAGAAAAUAGAAAAUCGUCAGGGGUGGGUUCGCCUGUGAAAGAAUGACCUAAAAUGAAUUGAGAAGGGUCCGAUUCAACGAACUGUCUAAGUAUGUUAUAAUCUAAGGAUGAAGAAGAAGGAAAAAGCGGAUGCGGCGCCAUUACUAAACUAAGGGUGAAGCGAAAAACCCUAAGAAUGGAGAGAAUGAGGUUAAAGUUCAGAAAGAAGAGAGAGAAGCGGAGAAAACGAUAGUGAGAAAAGAAAAAAAGGCAAAGAGAAUGAAGCUUGGAGAAGAAGUUUAGCGAAGGAAAAGGAAGCCGUCGCGUCAAAUCGUCGCGUCGAAGCGAGUUCCGAGGCUAACUAUAAUGAUGAAGAGACGGCGGUAAUUAAGAUGACCUAAUUAAUGCCGCAGAUAAGACCAAAAGAGAUGGUGGGAUCGUGGCCGUAGAAGAGGAAUGGACGGCUGAGACGAAACCGUACAAAGAAUUCGAAACUGAUUGUAUCGGGAGUUGUGCCUCGGAUCACGCCAGCUACCGAAGCGUCCUUUCGGAAGCUGCCGAGGGGGCAAUUGUUGGACCAAUAAGGCGCUGCCAAGUGGUACACCGGUACUCCACUCAACCCUGUUGCUUAAGGGGAGGAAUUUUAAUAUGCACCGAGUGCAUCGGAAGAAACAUGAACCAUCACCGCAUAUAACUGAGGGGAGUUACAGUAACCGCGAAUGGUUACAAGCAGUUCUGAUCGGCUGAAAGUGGCCCGAAAAAAUAGGGAGAGUGGCCGAUCAUAGAUGAGAAAUAACUGAUCAACAUGAGUGAACUAUAAAUAGGCAAAUAACACCCUGAAAAGAGGUAUUUUUUUCGAGAAUAGAAGACCACCUUUAUUUUCUCUGCAAUUUUCUCACAUUUUCUAAGAGUAGGCUACCUGUAAUCCUUUACUUUCCUGCAUUUACCGCUUUUCUUUAGGAGUAGAAUCUUAGCCAGAUCAACCGAGUCUGUAUGCCUUCAGGUACACUCGACCUUUGUACUAUUUCUCCAAGUUACAUUCAAUACAUAUAAAGGCAUUCGGCUCUUUCAGCCGACCAGUUAUUGUGUAUAUCGUCUGUUCGGCUCUUCUGCCAACCCAAGUCUUUGUGCAGCCUGUACAUUCGGUUCGUCCAGCCGAACCGAAUCUAUAGUAGAGUUUUUCGAACUCGGCUGAUUCGAUCCCUCGUCAGCCGAAUCGUUUGAUCCAGUCGAAGGGCGCAAACUUCGAGGGUCACCUUUCGUAGCUAUCUCGCAUCCCUACGCGUUCCCCGAGGAAGAUUUUUGACCGGGUUAAGGAUCAAGGAAUUCGGCACGUAACACACCCAUAAUGAUAGUCGGCCGGAAAGGUGCGCUCUGUCCACUAUAUGACCUCUAACUUAGCCAAGACUCAUCUUACAUUUCUAACUGGUCAUUGGCUCUGAUAUCAACUGUAACGCCCUGCUUUUUAGGGGAUCACACAUUCUAAAACUAUUCUAAUCUUAUCACCCUUAACCUCUUUAACCUCUUAGGAUUAGCCACCGCCAAAAAUGUUAUAACUGGAUACGCACACUUACCUUAUAUAUAGGACUACUCAAAAUACUGGAGGUGUCACAAAAAUUUUGAUAUUUGGACCUCAAACAUAGCUUUUUAGGUGUUGUCUUUCUACAGUGUUGAUAUAUUGAUAAAUACAUAUAAUGUACGUGUAUGAACAGAUUAAAUCUUGCCAGAUAAUAAAUUCUAACACAUCAACAACAUAUAAAAGAUUUUAAUGCAAUGAAACCACUUGAACUUUUGUCUAGUUACAUAUAGCUAUUUAAACUUUUAAAAUUUUGUAUUUUCACCUGAGCACUACAAAAUUUUACAAAUUUAUAUUUUAACAAUUUGAAAUACAUAAACAAUAUAUAGAGGGAUUAAAUGCACCGGAACUACCCAAAAUUUUGCGUACUUGCCGAUGGGCAAAUGAUAAAGGCUAACUAUAUAUAUGGCUUGAUUAUUAUUAAGUCGAUUUUGCCCACAAUAGCAAUUUUUAGCAUCAGAAAGACUCGCCCAUAUCACCGACAUUCAUUCUUUUAUCACUUCAGUUGGCUAACGGUGAUUACUUUAAACUGAUUUAAAAAAUAAAUAAAUUUAGAUGCUUAAUUAUGAAUUUUCAAAAUUUUGGAUGAUAAAUAUAAAAUUUGGACAGUUCAAAUGACUAUUUAACCGUAUAUAAAGGCAACAUAUAUAUUGCUGUACUAGAACCUGGAGGACCUAAAAUAUGUAAUGUAAAUAGAUCCGAAAAUUGAAGAAAAAUUAGUGGUGAAUUCCUCGUACCCCACCCAUUAAAAAUAAACCUGGAAACAGUUUUCAGGCUAAAAAAGAAUUUUCACAAAUACUCAAUUUUGCAAAAAAAAAAAUAAUAAUAAAAAUAAAAAUACUUCUGAGGACAAAAAUGAUCUCACGUCUUAAAUGAAAACAUUAGUUUUAAUUUUCACAAGCUUUUUUGUUGAGUGGUGCAAACUAAGGGCCCGUUUGGAUUGACGAAUCUGUAGAUCCAACGUAAGUCAAGUGCAGUAGUGUUUGAGUUUCCUUGAAGUGUGAUUAUUUUUUGGUUGUUUGUUUUGACGUAACUCGUAUAGCCGGAAAGUUAAAUUCAAUUACUUCUUCCGUUUAUUUUGAUGUAACUUGGUACUGGUAAAAUUAGUUUUUUGAGUUUUGUUGUUUAUUUUGAUAUAAGUAGAUCCCAUUAUCUUCUAAAUAUAAUAGUAAAUUUACCGCUAUAAAAUUUAACUUAUUAUAUAAUUAAUUUUUUUAUUAUUAUUUAAAGGUAAUCCUAAUUUAUUAUAAAUAAGGUAAUUCUUAUUUAUUAUAAGGAAGGCAGAAUUUAGGUUCGACUGUUUAAUAAAUUUUUAGAGAAGGUUAAGUAUGAUGGUAGUCGAGUUCGGCACUUUAGAAGAGGAAGUCGAAAGUAGGUGAAAUUAAGGUCUAACGUAACUUGUGUUACAUUAUAUUUUUUACUUACACCAAAACAAAUAACGACAGUGAUGGAACAAAUAACGUAACUUGAGUUCCAUUACUCCACUUACACCAAAACAAACUGGAAAAGUUGGAACACCUCUCAUUCUCCUCACUCUUGUUUACUCUUUGUUUUCUUUCCCUUCAUAUCAAACAAACAUAACCAUCACCAAAAAGAAGCUUUACAGAAACAGAGAAAAAGAUGUGAACAAAGCUAGAAUUGCAAACUAAUACUCAGCAAAAAGUUGCUGCAUUGUUAUAGCUACAAGGCUAAAAAAAAAAUUUUAAAAAAAAAGCUUGAUAAAUAGAUCAAGCUAUUACUCAAAAAAAAAAAAAAAGAAAAAGAGAAAAAUUAUGAUGGCCAAUUACAAUUAUCAAAUACACUGUUUUCCUCAAGGCUUACGGAUUUUAAAGCCAAAUACUCUGGGAAUAUAUUGCUGCGACGGCUUCUGUGGCUUUAGAUGCUCGUAUGUCAUCAAAAAGAGGUGAGGAAACGUCGUCCCAAAAUAAGCUCCGUCGAUGUCUAGGCAUGGUCGAGAAAAAAGCAAAAUCACAUGUCGAGAAAGCGAAAGCAUCGUUCUAUGCAGUUUUAUGUUCAAAAAGUUCAAAAAAAUAAGGAGAAAUAACUAACUACAUAAGAGGCAGAAGCCACAGGCAGAGGGUCAAAUGCAUGGGCAGUGCCUGAACUUUCGAUAAAUUGCAAUUUGGUUGGUUCGGAUCUUUUGAUUAAAACAGUUGAUCCCUGAACGUGGUAAGUUAUUUUUGUUCUAAUGUCAUCCAAGAGUUAAUUUGUCGCCCAAAAUCUACGCUGAGCUCGUAGCGCUGAUUAGAGAUAUUGGACUCACAACACAGCUGAGGAUGACAUUGCAAAUUGACCAUGAAUUAGGUAACAUCAGGCGCUAAUCUAUUUAAGUGAAAGAUCAGGGACAUCAUAGCCCCGGAUUACAAGUUCAGAUAGGCUUAAAUCACAAUAAUAGAUUAUACGCAAGAAAUCCAUGCGUACACAAACAACAUAUUAAGCGUAAUUUUUUUGGACAUACCCAAGUAUUAUCUUGCGCUAGUGGCCAUUCAAAAGAAACACUAAUAAUAGAUGUAGUAAAACGGGAAAAGAAAUAACAAUAACAAGAUGCAUCUAAAAGCUGCAAUAAUAUCCAAUCAAAUAUAGUUAAAGUUUGAGAGCAAAAGGAUACCAUUUUGGUCCUUGGAUGUUGGAUAAUAUAUGUCUUCGCAUUUGGGGCAAUACACUUUCACGUUACCAAUUCUAGGGAUGUCUGAUUGACCAACUGGGAGACAUGCUUGGCCGCUGCAAAGCACUCGUCGGCAUCUUCCAAAGUCAUAGUUUUUGAACUUUUCCAGCUGGAAAAGAAUAAACAGUCACUAAUCUUAAAUUGGUGCAUUAUAAAAUACAAUAAUGAGAUAACUAAUCCUUUUAAAUAUGCAAAAUAUAUGCAAAUGAACAUGCAAAGUUAGUAUUUCUGUGCACUUGGAAACAUUAUUUAUCUGCAUGUGCAAUCGCAAAAGGAUCUGGUUUUCAGGUGUAUCCAUGUUACAUGUAUGUAACAAAUUUGAGUUUAAUUGAAUUACCCACCAUCGUAGUCAUUCCUUUACUGGUUAUAAUAUAUCGAGCAUGAAUCAAACCGUAUAGCAUCUCUGCAGCUGAUUCAAUCAACUCGUUUUGGUCCUCAGUGAGCAUAUCACCUGUUGAAAUAAGCAAUUAACAUCAAUAAAACCAGAUAUACAUUAAUUCACAAGCAAGAUAUAUAUAUAUAUAUAUAUAUAUAUAUAGAGUCCGGCUGCUAUGCUAUUGAUAGCACUAAGCACUUGGUGCUAUCAAGUUUUCUGCCGUUAGAUUAACCCCUUUGAUUAUUUUUACCCGUUAGAUUAUACUAUUCAACCAACCACCCACUCAACCCUAGAGGGCCCACAUCAUCCUAACCGCACAUUUCUUAAUCCAAUGGCUAAAAAACUAAUAGCGCCAAUAGUUUGGUGCUAUUGAUAGUAUUCAUAUAGAGCAGGGCUCCUGAGCCGUUUUCGAUGAUGGAAUUUUCGAAUCGACGAUCGGCUCCGUUAGACUUGAUCUAGCGUAUUUGAAGUUUCGAGAAAAUAAUUUUUACGAUUUUUCGAUAUCAUUUACCUAGUGAUCGGAAGGAUUCAAAAUCAAUAAUUUUUAAGGGUUGAUAUCUACCAUUUUCAAGUUUAACGGUGUAGAAGUAUUCAAAUCAAAUGAAAUUUUGAUACAAAAUUCUUUAUACUAUCUACAACAAGAUCAAUAUUUCUGAUCGAAAAUUUUAGUGCUAUAUCACCACUUUUUGUAGAAUUUUUAUUUUCAACCGUUAAAAAUUAUUGAUUUUGAAUCCUUUCGAUUGCUAGGUAAAUGAUAUCGAAAAAUCGCAAAAAUUAUUUUCUAGAAACUUCAAAUACGCUAGAUCAAGUCUAGCGGAGCCGAUAGUUGAUUCGGAAAUUUCAUCAUCGAAAACGGCUCAGGAGCACGGAGGCCUCCGUGCUCCUGAGAGCACAGCAGUCCUGCUAAUAUAUAUAAUAUAUAAUAUAAUAUAUAUAUAUAUACAUAUAUAUAUAUAUAAUAUAUAUACAGACAUACAUACAUAUAUAUAGAGAGAGAAAGAGAGAGUAUCCGUUGUUACCGAUUUAUUUUCGAUUAUAGAACUUUCAAAUCGACGAUCAGUACCGUCGAACAUAUGAUCUAGACCACUUAAAUUAUCUAAAAACCAAAUUUCAUGCAUUUUCGACACUAUUAGCCUAAUGAUCAAAGGUUCACAAAAUUUAUAAUUUUAACGAUCGAUAUAGGGCAUUUGCCCGUUUAACGGUGUAAAAGAAUCUAAAGUAGUUGAAUUUUUGUUAAAAAAUUCUUUAAACUAUUUAAAACAAGAUCUAUACCUUCAAUCUUAAAUAAAAAAAUUCUAUCAUUAAGUCUUGAAAGAUAUUCAAUUCCAGCAGUUCAUUUUUGCAUUCAUUUGAUGCACAAGAGAACAAUAUUGAAAAAAUAUGAAAUUUGAAUUCUAAAUACUUUAAAUGGUCUAGAUCAUGUUCAACGGUGUUGAUCGUCAAUUUGGAAGCUCUAUCAUCGAAAACAAAUCGUCGCAACGGAGCCCAUUUCCUACCGACUCUCUCUCUCUCUCUCUCCCUCCCUCCUCUCUCUCUCUCUAUAAUAUAUAUAUAUAUAUAGAACUAGGCAAGAAUACUAUUAAUAGCACCAAGCUAUUGGUGCUAUUAGUUUUUUAGCCCUUGGAUUGAGAAAUGUACGGUUAGGAUGACGUGGGUAUCCUAGGGUUGAGUCGGUAGUUGGUUGAAUAGUAUAAUCUAACGGGUAAAAAUAAUCAAGGGGUUAAAUCUAAUGGUGGAAAACUUGAUAGCACCAAAUCCUUGAUGCUAUCGAUAGUAUCCCAGCCGGACUCUAUAUAUAUAUAUAUAUAUACAUAUAUAUAUAAACAGUGAAUUCAGAAGCACCAGGUUGUUGCAUUAGGUCCUCGCUUGUCUACAUACAGAUGAAGUUACUAAAUAUUAAGAGCAAUAAAGGAUUGAGUUGUUUUUGCUGAUGAUAUAAAUUAGAUUUAUGAAAAUAAGAUACCAAUAAGCUCUCACUAAGAUUUAUGAAGGAAAAAAACCUAGAUUCUCAACUCCAUAGAGUAAGCAAUUCUAAGAAACAAUAAUUUGAUUUUGGUGCUUAUGUCUUACAACUAUAACAACAUAAGAGCAUGUGAUCCCUAUAACAUUGUCUGCCUAUUUAUUGCCGAGGUCUCUAGUUUUGUUAUUUCAUUUGGCAUGAUUCACAACAACCAGAUUUUAGAUCAGUCAAGCAAGAACAACACAACAGUGGAUGCCGUAAAGUACUAGAUUGUCACAUUAAGUACUUGCUCGUUCACGUAGUCCAAAUAUAAAGAAGAAGAGACCACCGAGCUUGUUUGACGAUGAUAUACAUUAGAUAUAUGAAACUAGGAGAGUGAUAACCUCUUACUAAGAUUUAUGAAGAAAAUACUAGAUUCUGAACUCAUUGGCUAAGCAAGUCUAAGAAACAGUAGUUUGGCUUUGAUGCUUUUAUAAGUUUUACACCAAUAAACAAGUACGUGUGAUUCCCAUAAAAUUCUUCUACACCUACCUACGGUCCAGGACUAUAGUUUUGUUGUUCUGCUUGGCUUGAUUUAUAACUUAUUAUUAGGAUUUUAGUGGACAAAACUGGCCUGAUUAGAUGAUCCUCUAAAGACCUAAAGCCCAUCUCAUAUUAGGCACCCCAAGAGCUCAACAUCGGAAUGAACAUCUCCAGUUUCUUUACGAAUAAGUUGGUUCUUUUUCUUUAAUUGAACUUCUGUACAGUCCGUUUGGUAUUGAGGGUUAUCAAAGAUAUGCUUCUCCAUUUUUCAGUAGGACUGCAAAAACUAUAUCGUAAUUGAAUUAUUUAGAUCUGCACAGCAUGAUAUGUUUUACCAAAACAACUGAAUAUUUCCCAUCACAUUUUCUUAGCUGUAUGUAAAGCGUUCUCCCCACAAUCCCAAAUGAAGCUUUAGUCAUCUUAUUGCUUUUCCAUAAUAUAAUUUUCUACAACCACUUUGAAAAGACCUGACAAAGACACCACGCCUUCUACAAAUACGCAAGUCAUAAACAAAGACAAGUGUCCAUAAAGCUCCCCAUAUAUGUCUCUACUCUUUUUGUAAUUGAUUCCCUCCCGCUCCCCAUAUCUGUCUCUACUCUUUCAUACGCUGCUGGCUUUGAAGUGAAGCAGCGGCAUUAGCCUAUACAAUUACUUCUCGACCGGCCCAGCUGCUAAUUGCGACGAAAGCUUUUGGACCUAGCGAAAAGGACUCUAAGCCUUCGCGAAGUCUCAGUGCCGGAAGAAAGGAAAGACAUAGUGGUUUGGGUGAGCAGUAGGACACGGUUCCGAUACCGAUCGCCACAAUAAGCCAGUGUUAUUAGUAAAAGUUUAUUUAGCAACUAAAACAUUUAAUAUAAACCAUAAAACUACUGGUAGGAAAAGUCAUAUUAAAACAAUUUUUCCAUACGUUCAGCCUGUUUUGCUUUAAACAAUGAUACAGGUGAUGUAUGAUCAAACUUACCAGGAGAGGACUCAACAUCCAAGAUUAGAUCAAGAGCAUAAUCAUAAUAUGGGACUUGACCACUAAGCCCACAAAGGUUGAAAUCAUCUUGUAUAUACUCUUCAUCAACUUCACAGAAAAACUCAUUUCCUUUCAAGCUACAGAACCAUGAAAUCCAUGUGGUGUCCUCUUCAUCAGAACCACUACCAUCCUCUUCACUGUUAUUUUCCAAUUCCUCUGUAACGAUAGAACAUUGAAAAGCAAGAAUAAAUCAACGCGAAAACAAAGAUAAAGUCAUCAGGGACAAGUAGCAUUAACCAAACAAGCAUUGUUAGAUCAUAGCAUAAAGUAACUUUACUUAAGGCACCUGAAAAUGUCAACUAUCCUAAAACAUGUAUGACACCAAUAACUGAUAACAUCUUACAAAAUAGCAAGCAACAUGAGAAAAACUUAUCCAAUAAAUGAUAACAUCUUAGCAGAGAGCAGCAUAACAAACUGGAUAGGAACCUAGAGAAUGGACAGAAUGCUAAAUAUUUGCUUCAUUUAAAAUUAUCGAUGUAGCAUAUUGAAUAGCAAUGUUCCAAAAAGUGGUUCAUGUUCGCAUAUGCGGUUCGGACCAUAAACCGCACCACAUAUGUAAAAUAUGCAGCCCACAUGCCGCAAGCAUCCACAUAUAUGGUAAAUUGUUUUUUUAAUAGGUGGGAUUGAAAUACAAUGUUGAAUGAGAUUGUCUGAUUAAUAAUUAGUACAUAUCCAUAUGACUAUUUUCAUACAAGUUUAAUUAAUAAUAAUGCAAUACAUACAAUUAUCCUUAUAUAAAUACAACCAAACUAUCUCUCUUCUUAUUUUAGUAGGUAUUAUUCCUAAUCCAUCUAUCAAUUAUGUUUAUAAAUAUUGAAUAAUUUUUAAUUGUUAGAUGUUAUUAUACUAUUUUUUUUAUUUUAAGUGUUAGCCUCUCAAAUAAUGUGAAUACCAGUUUAUUGAAAAAAUUAUUAUUUUUCAUAAAAGUUUAUAACAUCGCUUUUUGAACAUUGAUUUUUGUUUGACAUUUUUUUUCAAUUUUUGCAUCGCAAUUCUAUUUACUUCUCAAUUUAAUAAUUAAAAGUAAAUUUCUCAUUGUUUGUUUAGUGACACAUAUGUGCAUAUGAGGUCCUUUAUUUGAAAUUAAUCAUUUUAAUUUGUGAAUUCUAAAUUGUUACUUUAGUUAUUUAACAUUGUUAGGAAGCAUAUAUAUAUAUAUAUAUAUAUAUAUAUAUAUAAGUCCGGCUGCUAUACUCUUAUGAGUACGAUCGCCCUCGUACUCAUAAGUUGUUUUCGAUGAUAGAGCUUCUGAAUCGACGAUCCACACCGUUAAACGUUAUCUAGAGCAUUUAAAACGUCUAGAAAUCAAAUUUUAUAAUUUUUCGACAUCAUUUACCUUACAAUCAAAAGGACACAAAAUUGACAAUUUUUAACGGCCGGUAUGGGAUAUUUGCUGGUUUAAUGAUGUAAAAGAAUCGAAAUCGGUUGAAUUUUUGAUAGAAAAUUCUAUUCACUAUAUAGAUAAAGAUCAAUAACUCCGAUCUUAAAUUGAAGGAUCCCAUCAUCCAUUUUUAAGACGUCGUUUGAUUUUGACCGUUCAUUUUAUACCCACUUGAUGAACUUUAUUAUGAUUUCGAAAAAUUACGAAAUUUAUUUUCUAGAAAUUUCAAAUACUCUAGAUCAUAUUUAACGGAGUGGAUCAUCCAUUUGGAAGCUUGAUCAUUAAAAAUAACUUAUGAGUAUGAACGGCUCUAUACUCAUAAGAGUAUAGUAGGCUUAGUAGCCCUAGCCCACAUAUAUAUAUAUAUAUAUAGAGUGCGGCUAGGAUGCUUAUGGAACGACGGAGGGCUCCGUGCUUCCACUUUGUUUUCGAUGUUUGGACUUUCGAAUCGACGAUCGGCUCCGUUAGACUUGAUCUAGUGUAUUUGAAGUAUCUAGAAAAUAAAUUUUGCGAUUUUUCGAUAUCAUUUGCCUAGUGAUCGAAGUGGCUCAAAAUCAACGGCUGAAAAUAAAAAUCUUACAAAAUAUGAUGAUAUGACAUUAAAAUUUUAGAUCAAAGUUAUUGAUCUUGUUUUAUAUGGUAUAAAGAAUUUUCUAUCAAAAUUUCAUGUGAUUUGGAUAUUUCUACACCGUUAAACUUGCAACCGGCUCACCACGGCCAUUAAAAUUAUUGAUUUUGAGCCCCUUCGAUCACUAGGNUUUUAAUAUGGUACGUUCGUACUUAACUCCAAAAAUAAAAUGCUCGGUCGUAAAUAUCAAAGGAGCCCUUCAAAAACCUAAUAAUUAAAUGCUCUACUGGUCCUCGGGGCGGCAACGGGCGAAAGCCGUACGAGAAAUCCUAAGCGAGCCCGUCUCUCUCUCUCUCUCUCUCUCUCUCUCUCUCUCUCUCUCUCUCUCUCUCUCUCUAUAUAUAUAUAUAUAUAUAUAGAAUUGAGGUCCUAUGCUUUUAAAAGUACCAAGCUAUUGGUGCUUUUAGAUUUUUGGCCAUUAGAUUAAGGAAAAUGCGGUUAGGAUGAUGUGAGCCCCCUAGAGUUGAGUGGGUGAUUAGUUGAAUAGUAUAAUCUAACAGAUAAAAAUGAUCAAAGGCGUAGAUCUAACGGUAAAGAAGUUACAAGCACCAAGUCUAAUUGGGUCGACCAUCGAUUCGGAAACAGCUUAGAAGCACGUAGGCCCCCAUGCUCCAUGGAGUAUACUAGUCAUACUCAUAUAUAUGUAUGUAUAUACAUACAUACAUACAUACAUACAUAUAUAUAUAUAUAGUAGAUCUUGUGUGCUAUUAAGAGCACAGAAGCCUUCGUGCUCCUAAGCCAUUUUCGAUGAUGAGACUUUCGAAUCGACAAUCAGCUCCGUUAGACUUGAUCUAACAUAUUUAAAGUAUUUAGAAAAUAAAUUUUGCAAUUUUUCGAUAUCAUUUACCUAGCGAUCGAAAGGAUUUUAAAUCAAUAAAUUUUUAAUGGUUGAUGUAUAUCGUUUGCAAGUUUAACGUUGUAUUAGUAUUCAAAUCAAAUACAAUUUUGAUAGAAAAUUCUUUUUACUAUUUACUGCAAGAUCAAGAUCUCUGAUCGAAAAUUUCAGUGCUAUAUCAUCACUUCUUGUGAGAUUUUCAUUUUUGGCCGUUGAUUUUGAACCCUUUCGAUCGCUAGGUGAAUGAUAUCGAAAAAUCGUAAAAUUUAUUUUCUAGAUACUUCAAAUAUCUAGAUCAAGUCUAGCGGAGCCGAUCGCCGAUUUGGAAACUCUAUCAUCGAAAACGACUUAGGAGCGCGAAAACCUCCGUGCGCCUAAUAGCACACAAGACCUACUCUAGAUAUAUAUGUAUAUAUGUAUACAUAUAUAUGUAUGUGUACCUAUAUAUGUAUACAUAUAUACAUAUAUAUGUACACAUGCGUAUAUACAUACAUAUAUAUAUAUGUACGUAUACAUACAUAUAGACCUAGGCUGGAAUACUAUCAAUAGCACCAAGCUAUUGGUGCUAUUAGGUUUUCGGCCCUUGAAUAAAAAAAAUGUACGGUUAGGAUGACGUCAAAGGGUUAAAUCUAACGGCAGAAAACUUGAUGGCACCAAACGCUUGGUACUAUCGAUAGUAUCCCAGCCGGACUCCAUACAUAUAUUAUUAACAUUUUAACAGAUGGACCACAUAUGUCUCAGCAUAUGCACCCGCAUACCAAGUAUGUGCUAUGCUGUAGGUAACAAUAGGGAUACUGCAUACUGCCUUUUGGAACAUUGCUGAACAGCACAUGCACAUAUACACGAUAAUUUAGCUUUCUGACUAAUACAUGCACAUUGAUCACGAUGAUAAUCAAAGUAUAACAACCACAAUAUCAUGUUAGUUACUAAAAUAGUCACCAACUCCUAUCAGGACAAUCCACUUAUAUUGAUUUAUUGCGAUCAUACUCUCAUAUGAUCAAAUAGCAUGGCUAUAAACAAACAGUUUUCAAUGAUAAAACUUGAGAAAAGAAGAUAGUCAGUACUCAUCUAAGGCAAAAAAACAGUAAAAUCAAGGUUUCAAUAUAUGCUAUGUUGCUCAAAAAGGUACAAAUAUUUUAAUCCAUAAGAUAAGUUGCACUACUAGUUUCUAAACUAAUUAGCCCAAAUUCACUAGCCCUCGAACUUCUUAGUUGGACAUUCAGCACCCCAAACUUUUGACCCUGCUUUAUUAAAUCCUCCUUUCGAAGAUAAAUUAUCUUUUUGCACCUGGUGCAUCCGUACAUCCAUGCACCAAAUCCAUCGGCCCUCCAUCCAUCUCAUACUUUCAAUCAAACUAUCCAAUUCUUAUGUAAAGAAAAGAUUUAUACUCAAUUAGUGGUAGGGAUUGAAAUAUGAGGUGGAAUUUAAAGCCAAACGAUCGAUGUGUGGAGAACCAAUGUUAAGAUCUAUAUUACACAGGUACGGAUAUAGGUAUACGGAUACAACAUGAUACAGAUACGGUGGUAUGGCAAUUCCUAAAAACUUUAGAAUAUAAUACGCAGGGUAUACUUGAAUAAAAUAUUACUUCAAAUAUAUUUUAAAAUAUGUUGAUUGUAUGUAAUAAUAUAUUGAGGACAAUAAGGAUAUAUGGAUUAUUUCAGGAAAAUAUAUUGAUAUACAUUAGCUUGUAUAAUUGUUCUAAAUUACUUCAUAAAAAAAGAUAAUCAACCAUAUGAAACAAUAAUUAAAAAAAGUAUAAACCAAUUAUCAUCCACCUUGAUCAAAUGGUAACACUAGAUAUUUAGUUGCAUAAACUAGAUAAUUAGCUAUUCAUCAUAUAUGUGUGUUUUAUUAGGAUCUAUUAUAUAAAAGGGAUAAUUGCCUAUAUACCCCUCAUAUGCUUGGAUAUAUCCGAUCUACCCCUGCUUUUUCUUUCUUUCUAAAAUGCCCCUCAUAUGUUCCACCGUUAUUCUAAAAUACCCCUACAGUUAUCCUCUGUUAGCUUAACUCGGGUUAAACAUGGGUUAAAUAUAUACUAGAGUUAAAACCUAAAUAAAAUACCUAUUUUGCCCCUACUAUAUUAUACUAAUUCCUAAAGUUAUCCUCGUCAUCUCCCUCCUCCUCCUAUCGUCAUCCCCAACCCCGACCCCAACCCCAUCGUCGCGGAGAGGACGGCGAGUCGGCGACCCUUUCGACCCCCUGCUCAUCCUUCCCCCACCUCGCCCUCGACUCCCUCCUAUCCCUCCGCGACGUCGUCCUCUCCGGGCGCUUCCACUGGGGCGACUACCUCCGCCCCUUGGUCCCCUCCCCGCGCGCCUCCACCGCCGCCAACCUCUCCGCCCUCUCGAAGCGCAUGCUCCGUGCCCUCCAGAAGCUCCUCCCUUUCAGGACCGGCUCCUCCACGAGCUCCUCCUCCGCUGCUCUCGUCGUCGUCGUAGUCCUCCUCCACCGCCUUGGCCGGCGCCGGGAGCAAGAGGGCUGCAGCGACGAUCCCAUCUCGCCCGAGGCCGUCCGCGUGCCGGGAACAAGAGGGCGCAGUGUUGCGCGCGGAGGGGAGCAGCGUGUGCGCGGUCCACGAGGCCAGUUUGGCCUCGUGGACCGGAUGAGAGGGAGGUCCACGGUGGACCUCCCUCUCAUUAUAUAUAUAAAUAAAUAUAUAAAUAUAUGUAUAUAUAUAAUUUUAUUUAUAAAUAUAUAUAUUUAUAUAGUAUUUUAUUUAUAUAAUAGAAAUAUUAUUAUAUAAUAUUUUAUUUAUAACUUUUUAAUUAUUUAUUGAUAUUUUUAAAUAUAUAACUCUUAUAUAUUAUUAAUAUAUAUUUAUUAUAAUUUUAAAUAUAUUUAAUCUAUAUAUAAAAAUUAUAAUAAUAAUAUAUAUAGUAUAUUAAUUAGUAUAUAUUUAUUAUAUAGCUGAAUUUUUUAUCCCGAAAUUUUAAUUGGUGAACGUAUAAUAUCCGUAUAAAUCACGUAUCUGAAAUAAUUGCCGAAUUCAUUUUUUAGCCGUAUUUUUCAACUAAUUUAAAAAUUAAAAGACGAAUUAUAUCUGUAUCGAAUUUUUGCUGAAUCCAAAUUAACUAACUAUACCUCCAGCCACCAAGGUUGGUUUAGCUGUGAUCGAUCUCAUCUGUUCAUCUGUCGCUCCCGACGUGCUUUAUUAAUUAAUUGAUAUUUGAAGGGAAAAUUAGAAAAGUAUUUGCUAUAUGAAGGGUAUAUAAGAAAAGUUAGUUACGGUACAAGGGUAUAUUGGAAUGGGUAAAAUGGUAAUUUUUCAGAGAUAACGGCAGCUCACUGACGGAACUUAACUACAGGAGUAUAUUAGAAAGACUUGGAACAUAAGAAAGGUAUUUUCAAUAUUAGCCUUCUAAGAAGGGUAAAUAAGAAAAUCGGAAACUUUUCAGGAAUAUAUAGGCAAUUGCCCCUAUAUAAAACAGCAAUAAAAAUAAUUAUAGUAACACUUUGAUAGAAGAAGAAAAUAAUCAUUCUCUACGGCCUUUGUUGAUUAGUGCUAAGUUAACAAAUUAGAUUAAAGAAAGUAAAAGCUAAGCCGUAAAGCACUAAACCAUAGCUUAAUACUAUAUGGAGAUAGAGCGAGAGUGAGAGCCUUCAACCAUCCAAGAACAAAAAGAUAGAAGAAAUGAUGAAUUGAAGAGAGAUUGGCAUUUUUCUUACUCUUUUCAUAAUUUCUAGUGGAUUAGGAUGUGGGCUUUUUUGAAAAAUUUUGAGUUUCAAUUAUUUUAGACCAAAAAACGAACCUAACCAUAUCCCCUCCCAUGUCCCCCCGUAUCCGAGCUGUAUCCGCUAUUUUUUUAUUUUUAAAAAUGUCGAAUGCUUCAUUCCCAUAUCCAAUACGUAUAGGGUGCGUAUCGGUAUCCGACACAUGUUCGAUACGAAAAUGGCAUAAAAUUUUAAGUAUCCCUGCUCCAUAGGUUAAUAUGCAUGGAAUUUUUUUUUUCUUUAACAGCAAAUGAGGACAAGGACUAGAGUGAAUUAAUUUCAAAAUUUGAGGUUUUGAAUGUCCAACUAAGAAGUUUAAGGAUCAAAGAGAACUUGGGACUAGUGGCGCAAUAUAAUCUAAAUUGAUGUAAUGCUCAUCGAUUUGUUCUAUAAACAUCCAUUAAACAUAAGUGUGCAUUAAGUAAUGAACAGAAGGUGAGACCACCAUGCCUGCUACAGACUCUUUGUAGUUGUACUUAAAAACACGUGCUAGUUGCCCCAGUAUCACGGGUUCAUGUUAACAGCAAAGCCUGUCAAUUAGCGCAUAUGGUUGUAUACAACUUACUCUUCCGAGACCCUGCAUUGGUGAAAAUUUUGUGAACCUAAAAGACUGUUUGCAAUGUUUGAGGAAGAAAAUAAGCUAGAACACAACGCCCAUCAGCCUGCUUUGAACUUGUAAAUUAUCAUUGAACAUUUGAACUACAACACAUAAGCCAUGAUUCCAAAAAUUUCUCAAAGAACCAAACUAUUGGAAGACGAGACAAUUGUAUGGGUAUGAAGGCCAUUGCAAAAUACAAGAACUUAAAAAGGAUGCUAAAUCCAAAAGAGGAAAGCUGCAUAAGCUUUGACAUACACCAUCUAUGAAAAGCAAUAAUAUUUCUACAAGAAUCACUCACUCAAGACUUCCAAACUUUUCAAGUCCAGAGGUUAAGAUGCCAUCUUGAUUGGACCCAUGGUAAUAUAGGCUUUCUAACUUGGAUGAUGCAAUACCAUGAAAAUUGUAGGUCCUAUUUGGGCAUUGGAACAAGUUAUCCAAGAAUAACUUAUUUAGAAUAAAUAUUUUCUAGUGUAAUUGUAAUUUGUAAGAAAGGGGUUUAAUUUUUACUCCUUGAAAGGUCUUGAUAUUCAUAAUUUGAUAGAAUAUCAUAUUCACCUACGAGAUGAUUUAUCUUUUCUGAAAAAAAAAAUUUGAAGGCCGAGCAUAAUAUCCAAUUCUAGACAUUUGAUCACCCUCCUCAUUUACCAAAUGUACAAAUUUCUCAAAGAGAUAUAUAGAACAAGAUAUUUAUGCAUCUAAACAGAACCUUACGAUCGUCUCAUAGUACUUGCUAAAAAAAAAAAUCUCUGGCAUCAAGUCCGAUAUGUUAAGGCAGAUGCUAGAGGUGCCAGUAAACUGGGUAGAUAUCCGUGGAAGUCUAGGCGGACAAACUAUAAGAGCUGCAGUUUGCACGUGAUUGUCAUGGAUUGCUAACAAUGGCAGAGAGGUUGGAUAACAGAUUCUUUGCACACCAACGAGGAGUACAUCAAAAGCAAGAGAAAAUUGGCAAAUAAGGAAGGCAUCAAUGAUUUAGGAGUAGCUAUAGAUUUCUACUGUCUACAUUGUCCGCUGACAGGUUACUGCCAUAUAUAGGUAUGUAUUCUCGUGUACUUUUCUAUCCAUCUAUCUGUAAUCUAUGUAUAUUUACUGACUAAACAAUACACAACUACUUCAGAAAAAUUCAGCAAUAUUCUUUUGUCUUCAAAAUAAUGGUUAAACAUGUUGAGCAAAGUAGCAAACGAAUAAGAGGAGUCCUCAUAUCAUGACAGAGAUUCCUAAGUUGCCUAAGAAAUGAAGAACAAAAAAAAAAAAAAAAAAAAAAAUCAAAGAUCAGGUCUUAAACAGGGUAAAAGAAAUACAUUAAAAGCACUGCAAAUAUACCUCCCAUACAAAGAAAAUGCCUUAAUUAACUCAUUCUACACCAUUUUCUUUUUUUUUCUUUUGGGCAUGUAAAUAUUAUGCUCAAGAAUCUACACGGUAUGCACAAAUAGAUGCCCAAAUCAAACAAAACAAAGCAUUCGAACACCACAAGCAGAGAAUACUCGAAACAUCAAAAGGGAUUAGAAAUCGAAACCCUAACCUUUGGAGCACUUGUUCUUGGAGAGAGAGGAGAAGUUCCCCGUCGACGUGGAGGGCAUCACAAGCCUAUCCUUGCCGUUCAAUCCCCACGAACUGGACGGCGAGGAUUUCUCCAAGUGCUUGUCGAGGACCUCGUUGAUCCGCUUCCGAUCGAACGAUCCGUUCUCCGCCUUCGAUCCCACCGCUCCCCGGUCCUUGUACAUAUCUGUCCCCCCCUCUGCGAUCCUCGCGAAGAAAUCGGAGAUCGGCAGCGGAGAAGCGGAGGAGAUGAAGAAGGAGAGGAUGCGAUUAGGGUUAGGGUUAGGGUUAGGGUUAGAGAGAAGGGAAAGGGGAGGAACCCACCUCUAUGCGGUUGGGUUCUCGGUGGGAUCGGAGAGCGCAUGAGAGAGGGGAAGCAAGAGAGAGAGAGAGAGAGAGAGAGAGAGAGAGAAAGAAGGAAAAGAAAGGGCUUUGUCGUAAUUACGAAGAUGUUUAAGACAAGUGGAAAAUAGAUAGGAUAUUUCGAGAUUUACUCUCAUUUAUCUUUUUUUUUAAUUAUUUACUUUCGAGUUUAAUUAAAUAAUUAUUGAAGGACAAAAUUAAAUAAAAAUUUGUCCUUUUGCAUAAAAAAUUUAGGCCAAUUUGCAUAAAAAAUUCACUUAUUUUGGGGUUUUGCAAAACCGGGCCACCUUUUUCGUUUUUGCAGAUACGGGCCGCUUUUUCCGCCGCCUGACCAAAAUGCCCCUGCUAUACAAUAGCCUCCCGCGUAUUUCUUGACAUACGUAUACUACCCUGCCGUACGGUCUGGCGCGCAUUAAAUGACCCGUUCAAUCUCAGUCAUUUCUCGGAACCCGGACCACAUCCACCCCCGCUAUUCGCCGACCCCGCUGUUUCCUGUUCGGCUUUAAUUCUUUAAUACAAUAACUCACGAUAAAUGAGAAAAUAUGCACGGCCCGAGAANGGCGGAAAAAGCGGACCGAAUCUGCAAAAACGAAAAAGGUGGCCCGGUUUUGCAAAACCCCAAAAUAAGUGGAUUUUUUAUGCAAAUUGGCCAAAAAUUUAUUGGUCCAAUUUCUUUUAAUUUUGAUUCAGGCCUUUUUUUUUUUUAAGAAAUAAAAAAAUUCAUAUUCCUUCUCCCCUUUCUCUUUCUUAUUUUUCUCUUUCUCCCCUUACUUCCUCUCCUCCUCCUCCUCCUCCUCCUCCUCGGCCACCCCUACAUUGCUGCCACACUCCUCCUUCUUACCUUGCCCAUAUUUUCACUACCAUCAUCACGCUUCUACCUGUCUACGUUGUUCCCAUAGAUAGCAAUAAGACUAUUAUGGACAAAAAAUUUGGCUGCGAGGUCGCAGCGGAGGGCAUGGCCAUAGACGGUAGUAUAAUAAGAAUGCUACAAGAGUGUGAUGGGAAGGGAUAUUGCGUCAAGACAAGGACGAAAGAGCGCGUCCAGACAGGGGCGGCAAUUGUAAAGCAUGUGGAGGAAAAGACAAAAAAUGGGGAAGGCAUUGCAACACAAGAGUGUUAUAGAAAUAUAUUUUAAGGACUUUUUUUACAAGUGUCCUAAUUCUAUCUAAAAUUUUUUAAACAAAAAAAAAGCCAUUCCCUGUAAACUCUCCAAUGCAGACCCACCCUCCAGUUUCAAGUCUGUUGGGCCAAAACUAAAAAAAGAAAAAAAUGACCUUAAAUAUUUUAAAAAAACUCCAGCCUAAUACUCUUCUCUCCUCCCUACCCCUCGUUUUUCUUUACCCUUCCCUUUCCGUCCCGACUUCCUCAUCUUCCCCAAAACUCUAAGCUUGCCUCCUUUAAUAUCACCUUUCUUGACGCUGACCUCAUCGCCUCCAUCUUUAACCGCGUCAUCAACUUUGAGCCUAAUCUCCUCCACUGCAAUCACAGGUGCUCAUAGACGAGGGAGAUUGAGGAUCAAAGGUGAAAAUGGACUACGAAUAUCAAGUCGCUAUGGUCAGGGAAGAUCGAGGACGAGACCGGUCCGAGAACUAUCAUUAUUAGAAAAAGAAUGAGAAGGUAAACUCUAUCUCCCACUGUUGGCCUCUUUUCUCAUUUAAUUAUAGUGAAGAUUCGAGAAUUGAGAUUGCAAAAUUUAUUACAAAACUGACUUGAAUGGUUUAAAUCCUACUCUUUAAACUAUAUAAUGUAGUCUUAUAUUUUGAAUAAAAUAAGACUAGCUAUCUUGAAUAUUGUUUCAAAUUGGAAAAUAGGCCAAGGUUGUUAAGAGAAAAUAUAUAAGUUAAGAUCAUAUAAUAUUAUCUUAUAUUUUUAAUAAAAUAAAAUAAGAUAUCCUAAAUAUUAUUUUAAAUUGUAAAAUUAGAAAAUAAGCCAAAUUAUUAAGAAAAAUAUAUCAAAUUUCGGCCAAAAUACAAACAAAUGUGAUGCAUAUUUUAAUCCUCCGAAUUCAUUAUAUGUGUGCUUGUUUGCUCACAUUGCUUCUUAGGUAGAAAGAAAAAAGUACGAUAAUAGUUUCUUAUUUGUUUAUUCAGUCAUCAAAUAUUUUUUUUAUUAGUUGAAAUCAGCAUAAUUUUGAUAUUUACACUCUCUUUGAGGGAUUUUCUUUAAAAUAGCUUUCAGUUAAAUGGUCUCAGUAUACUUUUACGCAAAAAAAGAACUAAAAAUAUAUGAAACUUAUUUAGACUAUGAAUCAUUUGGAUUUGAUUACCUCUACCUGAUCUUGCAAAGUUUUGAUUUUACUACCUAAUCUUUCAAUUUGUUUGAUUUGAGAAAGUCAACGACACUUUGACUUUAAAUUUGAAUAUAUCGUUUAUCUUUACAUAUUUAAUUAACAUAUUUUAUACAAUUUUCACAACUAUAAGAUUAUUGAAAUGAUAAUCAGCUUACAUUUUUUAGUCAAAGUAUAAUUGAUUGACUCAAAUUAAACAAAUUGAAUGGUUGGGUAGUAAAAUAAAAAUUUCACAAUAUUAGGUCAUCAAAUCCAAAUAGUCCAUUGUUUAGAUAAGUUCAAUACGCUUUUAUCCAAAACAAAGGAAGUAAGGAGGAGAAUGAUUCUAACAAAAGCUAAAGCAUAUUACUAUUAAUAAUCAUGUAAACUACAUAUGAGGAUCCAAAUGGAUCCAGAUUGGUAGAGCUCCCACCACGAUACUGCUUCAUUUUCUUAACAAAUUGGGACAUUUUAUUUUUUUAUAUAUAAUUUUAGCCCUCACUUACCAUUCUAUUUCUUUCAUUGGUCUAUGUGCUGAAUAUUCACAAAAAAUUUAUUUCAUACUAACCAACGUCAAAAUAAGUAAUAAGUGGGAGCAAAAAAUAAGAUAAAAAAUUAAUUUGUCCCAAAUUCAUUUUGUUUGCAUCCCUAACUAUACAACUAAUCCUUCAAAUUCUUGCUAAUCAUCUCUCUAAUUUUAUAUUUAACUUUUUAUCUAAAUAGUGAAAAAUUUUUGCUAAUCAUUAUAUGAUUUUAUAUUUAAAUUUUAAUCUAGAUGGUGUAGAUUGAAGUACAACACAAAAAAGAAGUGCGAUUGGCUAGGGUUCAUGUUGAGUAUAAUAAAUGUAUAUAGUAAAAGCAAAUACAGCCAAUCUAAAUUUUAUAUUGUUUGAAAAUAAUUAUCUAAUAUUUAAAUAUUUUGAUUUUAUAAUCCAAUGUUUUACUUUAUUUGUUUUAGUUGUUUGCUAGUUUUAAAAAACUAUUAUGUGCAUCCUGUCCAUUCAUAUAUUUGUAAACUACAUCUUUGUCGAUCAUUCAUUUUAUUUAAUUAUUUAAUCUCUACAAUACAAAAUGUUGUAAUUUUCUUUACUUGAAAUUAAGUGAUUGAACAAACAACAUGAGAUGCAUAAUCUCAUGAGAACAACUGAUAAUCAUAUAAACAAUAAUCUUCAUCCAUCUAUAAUUAUUUAAAUAUUAGUAAGUAAUGAACUAAACUAAUCCAACAGAAAUAAAGAUCUAAACUAAAUAUUGAAAUAUAAAAGUCAUGAGGACGAAUCUGGAACAUAACUACCUAGUAUCAUCCUUACGCACUAUCCUGACCCUCACCACCGGUAUCACCUAAAAAAUGGUUGGUGGGGGGUGAGAACAUAUAAACACGUCUUCCCUUUCCAAUAGAUACUGCAAGCCGACGAAGGCAAGCUAUAUCUCAUCGGCAGAAAAAAGAUGUAAUCAACAGUAAUAGAUAAAUCAGGUACAAUAGCAAUGGAAUAACAACUAGAAAUAAAUGCAAAAGUAACCACUACUGCAAGAUAAAGUAGAAAUCGAUAAACAUGCAUAAUCAAUAAUAUACUUAAAUAGUAACAAUAAUGACUAGAAAGAAACUACAACUACUGUAAGGACUGAGAUUUUUACAGUGCAACUAAACUCUCUGUUGAUGAUGUUUAUGUGUGUAAUUUUAUUACAUAAGCACUCGUCAAGUUUCAGGAGAAAAUGAGCUAAAAUGGAGAAGUUACGCGAUUAUUAGUUUUCACUUAAGUGAAUAGUAACUCCGGUUUUCCGGAGAAGCCACGGAGUAGAGUUGGCUUUCGGCGUGUAUCGGACUCCGUUCAUAGUGAUCCAAUAGCUUGUUUUGAACGGUUUAGCUAUUCUGGAACCAAUGGCACUGACGGAUUUUAGAUCUGAUGCACGAUUUUUGAGAAAAAGGAGUUUUAUCAAAAAGAGGGUUUUCGUUCUUUGCUUUUCGUGCAUUUUAAAACUCCUCGUGCUUUGUACAAGUGAUCUGGGGAUGGGUGAGAGAUGUUCUUGGUACCUACUGGUGGUAGGGAAUUCAAAUUUGAAUUUGAAUCUAGGAUUUAGUGGGAUUACACAUUGGUAUAUGUGUGUGGUUUUUGGAAAUUGGAGAGCAGACGGGUUUCGUCGCGAAUCCGUGACCGAUCGAUGUGAACCAAAAUCGUAGGUUUAUUGUCUCCGUGGUGCUGAUCACGCUGGCACAAUCCGUUCGGAAAUCUGACGGACGGAUCUUCGGGAAUCAAAAAGUUUUUGCUAAGAGGUCAAAGCGGCAUUUUUAGUAUUUCGCGCGAAACCCUUAUAUUUUAUGUGCCGAAUCGCGUGAGAUCGGACAUAGAGAUGCGUAUGUGUAAAAUACGCGUGCUGUGAGGGACUUGACUGAGAAUAUUACCCCUGGGAGGACUAUCUUGCAAAAUGCACAUAUGUAUAUAGUGGUUGCACUAGGGUUUCAUGAGGAAACCCUAGCUUUUGGCCUCCCUCUUCCUCAACCGAACCCCAGCCGCCUCAGCUCUCCCCUGCCCACCUCGUGCGCGUGCCCCGGCCGCCGGCAGGUGCUCCGGCCGCCGGAAAACCCCUCCUCCAUCACUUCUUUACCUAUUCUCCACCCUCCUCGGCCAUGCAACCCAGAGGAACUUCAAAACACCUUUGGAAGCCUUCCCUUGGCCGAGAUCCACCCUCCGGCGCCGUCACCGGCCGUUCCCACCGCCUGCGCACGCCGCCGGCGCCAACCAAGCAUGCUGCGGCCACCUGCAGUCACCCAGGCCGAGCCUGGGUGAUCUCUGUAUCCGCGCGCCGCCGUCACUCCCCAUCGGCCGCGCCGCCCUCGAGUCGGCCCCGGCGACCUCUGGAAACCCGACGCGCGCGUCCCCCGCCGUCCCCGCGCGCCGCCGGCCGCCGCUGAGAUCUCCUGCAGCUACCCAGACCUGUGCGGGCCGAGGUCGGGCCCGCUCGACAUCCAAGUGCCGCCGCCGCCCACCGGGGGGUACACCACUUUCCCCUCGGCCUCCGGCGCCGCACCGUAGCCGCCCCGACCUCCUCCGGCCGCCGCCGCGCCGCCGGGAAGCACGAACCCGAGAGGGAGUGGGUGGAGUGGAUCUCAACCGCCGCACCACUGGUUGCCGCCCGCCGCCGGCCAGCACCCUCCCCGAACCUCUCGGACCGACUGCUCCCUCCUCCGGCCGGACCGCCCGCCUCCCGGCCGCUGGCGACCAACCCUAGCUCUCCUCGGGUCUGGUAAGGGCUAUUUAUGUUGCAGCAGUGAAUUCCGAGGUUCCGGUCACCUUUCCGGUGAUCCGACAAGCCUCCUAAGCUUCGGGAAGUGAGCACAAUGAUCUACAACUCGUGCUAAACAUCGUGCUCACCUCCGACAGUGGCAAAGAUGCCCUAGUUAGCGAGUUAACAGCAAUCCUCGCGCUGUGCGCACUAUUUCACAGAAUUUGCAUCGCUCGUGCGCGCACCGUAGCGGCCGGCAGUGCUCCGAAAGGUGAGCACGGCCUCCGUCAUGCUGAAACCUAUCAGCGAGCGUGAUGAUUGGCUUAAUCGAUCUCUGGUUUGCGUGCACGGUCCAGAAAAGUCUAGAAAUCGCAAAAUAAUGAGAUUUCAUGCUAUAGUAUGGGCCUUUAGGAUUUAUGCUUCGAUGUAGCUACUGUUGGCAGCAUGUUUGGGCUGAGGAUAACCUCUGGACUGAUCGUCCAAGGCCCCUAGCCCUUGCGGAAAUCAAAAAGUGAUUUUUGAUGCGUUUUUCGGCGAAAUCCGGCGAUAGAACGCGAUUUCGGUUCGGAAUUCAUCCGACGGUGCCUCGUGGUUGAUUGUAGCGUCGCUGAGCCUUGUUGGCUGGUCACCCGCGUCGUUUCGAGGGUUCGGAAACGACAGGUGAGCGACAGUGGAAUUCCGGUGCGGUUUUCGGAACUUCCGGCUUGUUCGGUAAUCGGUUUUGGGAAACCGGUUAUCGUGGUUCUGGUGAGUGGGGAUUGUGUGUUAGCGAGACAUGUUAGUGGGUUAGAUUCUAACCCGUUGGACCUUUCGUAGGUUCGAUUGUUUCGUCUGCACAGUCGAGAGAUCUUCGUCAGACACGUACAGGUGGGUACUUCGAUCCGACGUUGGUACAGUGGUGCACGCUCGGUGAUGGUUUCUUACCCUUGCUCUUUUGUUAUUAUCCAUGCUUAUAUUAUAUGUUGAGCUUUGCACCUCUAUUGUUUACAUUACACCCACGUUGUUUGAUUAUACUCUACUCAGAUGUUUCCAUGCUUAGUAUCAUGUGUAGGAGUAUAGUCUAUCUGUAUGUGAUACCAUGUUUCCUUGUUGCUCUACUUAGCUAUUCUGCAUACCCUGUUUCAUAUUUAUAGUAGAGCGAUUCUGUGAUUAUCUGUGAGAUUAGCGAUCUAGUCGGUCGAUUCUAGUAUUCAGUAUUUGUGACCUAUUCGGUGAGUUCCUCGACCUUUGUUGUCUGAUGACCGUUGAGGUCGGUAUACCCUGAGGGGUGGGAUUGUCGGUUAGUUGCCGACGGAUGAUUAUACUUUACUCAUAUCCUAUACUUGUGACCAUGAUUGGUCGAGUUUCAUAUCCUAUACUUGUGACGUGAUUAGUCGAGUUUCAUAUCCUAUACUUGUGACGUGAUUGGUCGAGUUUCCAUAUACUAUACUUGUGACGUGAUUGGUCGAGUUUCAUAUCAUAUACUUGUGACGUGAUUGGUCGAGUUUCAUAUCCUAUACUUGUGACGUGAUUGGUCGAUGUUUCAUAUCCUAUACUUGUGACUGAUUGGUCGAGGUUUCAUAUUCUAAUACUUGUGACGUGAUUGGUCGAGUUUCAUAUCCUAGUUGAUCUGAGUGGUCAGUCUUGUGUUCAUUGAGCAGUAUUUGCAUAUGUUUGAGGGAUGUUGAUGUUGUCCAUCCUACGUUGACCUGAGUGGGUUGGUUCUUGUGCUUCUUUACAGUUGACGACCUAUGCGGUCGAUGGGCCCCUGGGGGGGCAGGAUUGCGGCUGGUUGCCGACGGUUGAUCAUUGAGCAUAUAUAUCAUUGAUCGCCCGAUACUCGUCGCAUUUCACGAACAGCGUGGCGGUCUAAUCCACCGCAAGGAGUGUUCUUUUCCGGAAAAGUGGUUGAAUGGUGACAACCCGUGAGCCUAGAGAGGUUAUAUGCACUGGAGAGUAGUAGUGGCACUGCUUGAGGUCUGCGGUGCUGACCAAGAAGAGAUUGGUUUCAGAUUGGGUACUUUUGGACUUUCUGACCGGUUGACGCAUAUGUCUAUAGUAGCAGUCGUUGCAUGCAUACUUACAGUUCUUGCUUUAUAGUUUCUUGCCUACUAUAGUAGAUAUUCAUGUAUGCUUUCUGUUCCAGUUACAGUAGCGGUAGCCGUUAUUCAGUCUAGUUCCUACUUUCUUUCAGUUUAUUGCUACUGUAUUCAGUAUAUCUGCUCAUUACCUUAUACAUCUCUUUCGUUUAUUAUUGUUCCUACUAUAUUUUCACUGACCGGUGUGUCGUAUAGCUCUUCCUGAUCCGGUGAGUACUCCUCGCCUUCUUCGGCUUGCGGUACCCACUGGGAGGGGAGACAUGUUUACAUGUUCUCACCUCCCCCACUAUUUUUCAGGUAUCGCGGGCGGUGAGGGUUGAGACUGGACGUGAGAUACGUAGCGGUUGAUAGAGCUUCCGACCCAAGUUAUUCGGUUUAGUUCUACCCUUACUAUUAUGUUGAUAUAGCUUAGAUAGUUUAUAUGAUUCGGUAUAUUUUAUUACAUUUGAAAAUAUGUGUUUUCAUGAAUGUAAUAAAUGGAUUUGUGAAUUUUGUGAAAUGGAAAGGUUUUCUACCCCUCGUGGUAGCGUUUUUAAAGAAUAAAGGUUUCUGUAUAGGAAACAGUUUUGAAAAGAAUUUUCUGUGUAUUUAUGUUUAAAUAUUAAAUGCAAAUCUGUGAUGUGAAUGGUGAAUGUAUGAAUAUAUGAAUGAAUAAUUAUUUCUAUAUUCAUUUAGUUGUGGUUGUAUCCUGUUUGUACUGUUGUACUUGUGCAACGCCGUGCAAAUACAGGGGAGACUCUGUCCGUGUGAACAAUGGAUCCCUGUAUUUGUGGCGGAUCUGGCAUACUCUGGGGUCAGGUUUCCAAAAAAAAAAAAAUUUUAGACGCCUUUUCCGCUGUGUUCAAACAAAAAGGGACCCCGGAGCGUGACAACUACCCAUCAGUGUAUAAAUAUCCGUUAUUGUAAAGACAACAAGAAACACCAAUGCGUCAAAUGAAUGAAUAAUACAAAUAACCAAAAUUCUCUACCAUAUUGAUUUAAUGACCUCAGGCUAUGCCACAUUCUGCUUACCCACCCGGCAUAUAACCCUAAGGGUGCGUUUGGUUCGAGUUAUCCUGGUAGGAUUACAGGCAAUCCUGCUAGGAUUACCGUGAUUGGUUUAUCCGCUAUAUAAUCUAGUCGUUAAUAUAGCAUUACAAAUCGAGUAGGAUUGCACCGAAAAUAUUAACGAAAGGGGGGUCGUAUAUCUUGGAUUACUGAAAACCGGUAAUGCUACAUAUUAUAUAAAAUGACAAUUUUAUUCUCCAACACCCCCAAACCCAAUUAACAGCAUUAUUUCCAUCUCUCUCUCUCUCUCUCACGCCUUCCCUGCUCUCUCUCUCUCGCUCUCUCUCUCUCUCUCGCACGCCUCUCUCUCUUUUUCUCUCUCUCUCAUGUCUUUUUUUUUUUCUAUUAACAGCAUCAUCUUUUUUUUUCUAUUUUCCUUUUCUUGCAUCUGAUUUGGAAAUGUUAGGAAAAAUUUCAUAUAUUUUUGUGCCCUAAUUAAUCAUGUGUUAGCCUAAAAAUAAAAAACCUAGUUUUAUUUAUUUGUGUGUAUAUGAUAAUUUUUUAUUUAAUUUAUUAUCUUUUAAUUUUUAUUUUAGUUUUUUAUUUGUAUUUUCUCUCGUCAAUUAAUAUUCAAAUGACCACAACAAGGACAAUUUUGAAAAAAACUAUACUUUUAUAUCAGGAUUAUUAAAUUUUAUAGACUGAACCAAACGUAAUAAUACUAUAAACACUGUAAUCUAGUAUUACAUUACUGCAUUAAACCAAACGCGUUAAUGCAGCAUCAGUAGUAAUCUCACGCCGAAAUCCAAGAUACCUUUAUAUGUCGAGAUACUCUAUAAUAUUACAUAAUUCAAACCAAACGCGCCCUAACAGGCACCUUGUAAGGCUCAUGGGUCAGAAAUACGAUCAUCUUUCCGAAAAAGAACACCCUCUUAUGGUGUAUCAGACCGUUGAUGUACGUAAAAUGCUCACGAGCUGUAGCUAUCGAUGCAAUAUGCUCAUUAGCCAACAUCAGCAAGUAGCUGAGAGAAUAAUCUGCAUAAAUGCUUGACCAAUCAGGUCUACUAUUUUCGGAGGAAUAUCACCAUGUCACUGAUCUAUCAGGUCUAUAUAACCAAGUCAUAGUUUAUAAGAUACAAGAAGUCAUAGUUUACGAGAUAUGAGAAGUCAUCAUGCAAUAAAUAUGCAAUCAUGCACGAAUACAAAUGUCACCAACCACCAUGAACAAGUCAUGAUAACUAAUCAUAAUCAACAUACUCUACAACUAGAUCAUGAUACUAUAAAUAAGAAUAAAUCAUAGAGUAGACAGCAGAAAACAAAUGAAGUGUAAAAGCAUAGUAGAUAAGCAUGAACAUACUACUCAAAUCAAAGAGGAGAAGGCACCGCUGAACUGAAUUCGGAUCGAAGUAUCUACCUGUAAUCUGGUGAAGCCCUAGCUUUAAUAGUGCUCCAACAAGUUGCUUGGACCUAUGAAAGAUCCUAUAGAGUCGCGAUCCACUUGGCAUGGAAAGACUAACACUAAAUGAACUCAAAAUCACUUAUCUCACAUUCAAAUAACCAACCGGGCAAUCGGUGUCUAAUGCCAAUUCCCAAACACUCGCUGGAAAUUUUCGACAACACACCGGAACACUUUCGAAACCCACGAAGUGUCCCGAAAAGUACCAAAUCACACAACAACUCCCCCAUUGACCCAAAACGCACCAAUUGAGGUGUCUGAGCAGCAAAUACAUGUGAAUGUUGCAAACAUUGUGUUUAAUGUAAACCGAACUACGUCGGGUUCCCAAAAAUGCCAAAUCGGCUCCAGAACCCACUAUAAACCCUAUUGCUGCCUCAGGACAUAAGAGAUAGGGAGGUAACUAGCCAAUAAGGCUCGAUAUUAGACACGAGACAUCCAUGAGUCGAACGCGAAUUUCAGAUAAAAAAAAAUAAUCGAACAGUCAAUUUGGUCGAUAAUCGCGUCAAAAUUCAAAUUAAGCUACAACCUACAAACAAGGACAAUAGUCUAGAAGUCAUACACUGCUAGUACACACUACCCGGGGUAGCAAACAUUCACAAUUUGAAAUAAAAAACCCUCGAGCAUGCGUUUAAUUGCAUAAUUAAAGUAUUACAAGCAAAAGUUUACUACGAUUUCGAAAACCGUGUGCUUCAAAAACCAACCACUAGCACAGACCGAUAGGUCUUGACGUUCCGAAACCCAUGCUCACUCUCUAGAGUGCAAUGGAGGUUGUGGAGUGCGCUGGGGCUUCCUAAACCCCAAUGUCCAACGCUCUCGGGAGUGGCAUAGCAAGACUAUCAAAUAUGGCCUCCCGGAGUGCGAUGAAGAUGAGCUCAGAUGUCCUUGGGCCCAUAGAAGGACCAUGCUCACCUUCUGGAAGGUUGUUAAUGUUGGACUAAGCCAGAACAAAGGGCUCGGCCCAAAACUGCCCCAGUUUGGGCUAGGACUGAGCAACUCUGCGCACUUGGGCUCAAGCGCUCGAAGGCAGCUCGUGCCAGCUCAGGAAGGUUGAGGCUGAGGAGGGGAAGGCCAAAGCAAGGAUGGUUGGCAGCGGAGAGGCGCUAGCGGCAUGGUUGGAGGAGAUCUAUCCAAAACACAAGAGUUCAGGCUCAGCCUGGUACUUCGAGUGUAGGAAAGAAAGAAACGGCGCGAUGGCAAUAAGGAAAAGUCUUCGGAGCUCCCUGAGCAGGCCACGACGGUCGAGAGUGGCAACGCACUAGAGCUAGAGCCGCAGCCUGAAACCACCCCAAAAUCGGGUACCACUUAGAUCUCAGGCUCGGGAAAUGCCUGUGGCAGCAAAGCUCGCCAGUCCAAUGUUGCCGGAGGUCAAAAAGAUCGGCGGCGACGGCGACACAACAAAGAUGGUGUUAAAGCAUAAAAAAAAAAGAGAAAAAAAAAAGAGAAAAUUUGAAUCCAACUUUUGAAUGGGAAUAUGGUGUAUGAGAUAAUCUAUGCACUAGGUGCAUAGACUACAAAAAAAGGGAAGAGAGAGAAUGCUAAUAUCUCGUAGGCACAUGGAUAUUCCAUAUCUACUAAUUAGCAAAUUAGUCAUUUUCUUUUCAUAUAUUUGUGAGGUGCUCUACUUCAAUAAAAGCAAAUAAAUAUUUUAUUUUGUAAAAAAAAAAAGUAAAUUAGUAAACACAUGCGUAUCCAUAUACAUACAUACAUACAUACAUAUAUAUAUAUAUAUAUAUAUUACUCUUUUAUUUUAUUUACUUUUAAAAUACUAUAACUAAAGUAAAAAUAAUAUAAACAAAUAAGAGGGGCUAAUUUGCAAUAUCAUAUCCAUGAUCCCAUGAGGACAAAAUAUCUCAACUUCCCACAUCCCCACAACCCCCACCAUAUGCACUUCCUUCAAAAAAAAAUAAUAAAUAAAUAAAUAAAUAAAUCCCAAGUAGUUACAACUUAGCCCAUAAAUAUCUCUCAAAAAAAAAAGGGGAACCUACUUGGAACCUAUUUCGGAACCUACUUUUGAAUCUACUCUCUAAUCUAUUCCCAACAAAAAAAAAAAAAAAAAAAAACACCAUCCCAUUACUCUCUUCACGAAAGAGAAGAAGAAAAUAGGUAAUAAUAAUAUUUUUUUUGAAUAUUUUUUAUAACUAAUCCUAUCAAUUUUUAUAAUUAUAAAAAUAAUUUUCUUAAAAAAAUAAUUAUAAAAAUAGAUCUUUAAAUACGGUGAAUCAUUCACCGCAUUCAUAACUUCUAUUUAGCAGUAGAAAAAUAAUAAAAGCGGUGAACCAUUCACCCCUUUUACCAUCGUAGAAUUAUAAUCAAAAGGAAGAAAAAGAAAGAAAGCGGUGAAUGAUUCACCGCUUAUAAAAGCGGUGAAUGCGGUGAAUGAUUCACCGCUUUUAUAAGACUAUAUCUAAAAAUAAAAUUUUAACAGAUUUAUUUUUAAAAUAAAAUUUUAGAAGAGGACUAUUGAACUAAAAACCCCAUUGAUGCUUCAUGACAAAGCCCUCUCUCUCUCCUCUAAAAAAAAAAGCUCUUUCUCUCUUCUAAAAAACGUCAUCUCUCUCUAUCAUGGUUGCAUGCCAUGGCCUCAAUUCUCAUAUUGUCGUGAUUGCACCAAUCUCGUGUGAGCAAGGCGAAGAUAGUUGAGCUCAACAUCGCCGUCAAUGGAGUGCCCGAGUCCACCGCCUUCGACACCAACCUGCAUGCUUUCCAACCCCAUCUCUAAUGCCGUUGCGCCUCGACUUGCCGUGACGGCCUUCACCCUCGACAUUGCUGCUGCAUCUACUCUGUUGUAGCCGCGACUUCCGACUCUCUGCUGCGAUUCCAAUGCAAUCGUGAAACCGGUGUUGCGCAACGCACUAAGCCCACCAAUUGUUUGAUGAAAUGCCCAAGAUGCAUUUUUUGACGGCGAACCUAACUUGCAUAUAGAGAGAAAGCGGUGCUCUUCUCUUUAAGAAAAAAAUGUGUCAUCAAAAGAGAGAGAGAGCGGUGCUCUUCUCUUUGUUAAAAAAAAAUGUCACCAAAGGAGAGAGAAAAAUUACUCCUUCAAUUAGGAAAGAGGGAGCUUUGUUACUAAAAGGGAGGCAAGGAAGGGAUUUUCCCACCUUAGUUGUCCAAUGAAUAUAAAAGAGGCAAAGAAAGAUUAUCCAUCUUUGUUGUCCUGUACUUUCAAAGGAGAUAAAGAGAGAAAAAUGUUCACUUAAUUCUCUUAUAAUUAGGAGGCAAAAGAAAUCAAUCGGGUUACCGAUUGUUACUCUUUUGAUCGUCCUUUUAUUGGAAGAACAACGGGAUGUUCGAAAAAUAAUCGAACCCCUUGAUUCUAUCCAGAGUCGAACCUCUCGAUUUGGCCAAAUUAGACCAAAUUGAGAUUUAAUCGCAUUGGACGCUUUAUGCUCCAAAUUAAAUUAAGUCAUGAUGUUGAAGUUGGUUUUAACCUUUUCAUUAUUAAUGUGAGUUGAAUUUUCAUUAUUCAUGACUGAGAAUUUGAAAAUUAAAAAAGUGCAUGCGAAAUUUUAAGCAUUGAAUUUGAUUUUAAAUCAGAUAUUUAAAUUUUUUAGGUUAACAUUUUGAUCUCGAACAAGUCCCAAAUAAUCUCAAACUAACUACCUCAAAAUAAAGAAUCUCGUUUGGGACCAGCCUAAACCUGAAUCUGAGCCCAAUUCUAUAGCUUGCCCAAAGAAAAUAUGGACCUAAGCCAUACGGGCCUAAAUUGAGCCUGAGCCCACAUCCAAAACUUAGAUAUAAUUCAGGCCUCAACCUGAAUCCAUACUAUAUGGGCCUGAAUUUAGCCCAUGCCCGAAUCCAUACUAUAUAAGCCUAAAUUUAGUCCAUGCCUGAAUCCACAGCUUGAAUUACAUGAACCCACACUGAGCCCAGGCCCAGGUUUGAAUACAAACCUAACCCAAAGUAGACCAUAAAAAAAAAGUGCCCAAACUGGAUCAAGCCCAAUUUAGAUCUUCAUGAGACUUAAGAACCAAAGUUUAAACUCACACUCCAAACUACAUGGAUCUCCUUAUAUAGACUAGAACCAAAUCCAAAAAUCUAACCCAAACCAAGACUUGAAAUCAUGCUUACCAAUCAAAUCCAAUCUUGAACCUAAGCCACAUGGGCUAGGUACAAUCUGAAUAUGAGACCAAGCCCUACCAACUUUUUUUCUAUCUCUUUUCCAUACCAAUUUGUUAGGGGGCAAAUCUUUUUAACCCAAUUCUCUAGCACAUUAAACUAGAGUCAUAUUGCUACCACAUUCAUACUAAAUUGAAUUCUAAAAUAUUUAUUUAGAAUUGAUCAAACUAUCUAUUUAUCUUAGUAUAUGUGACUAAGGUAAAAGUAAUAAAUUAGGUUUCACCUAAUCAAAUCAAAUUUAUUGGACUCUAAUACAACUACCUGGAGUUCAAACAAAUGAAGCUAAGUUAGACUCUAAUACAUAUACUUAGAGUUUAAUUUAAAUUAAAUUUGACUAAUCCUAAUAUAUAUAAUUAGGGUUUAGUUAACAUUUCACCUUAUGGUGAACCCAAAGUAAAUAUAAUGAAGCUCUAACAUAUAAGAUUAGAGCCUAACUACACUGGACUCUAAGAUAUAAAAUUAGAGUCUAAUUUAAAAUAUUUGGGCUAAUCCUAACAUAUACAUUUAGGAUGAAGGCUUAAAUUGAAUAUCAAAUCAAAUUCAAUUGGACUUUAUCACAUACAAUUAGAGUUCAAUUAACCAAAUCAAACUCUAAUGCAUCUAAUUAGAGUUUAAUUUGAAUCAAAUCCGAUUAAAUCCCAAUAUAUAUACAUGGAAUUUAAUCAAUCUUUCAUCUUAGGGUGAACAAUAUUGUUGAGUUCCGAAACAUAUAGAGCCCAACCAAAUCAACUUGAUCAUAUACUUUGGGCAUCUUGGAAUAUAUAACUAAAGUGCAAUUAAAAUUAAGUUCAAUUGACCAUCAUAUUGUAAAAUUAAGCUUUUUUUUUUUAUGCUCUAUAUAUGUACACUGAGGGUAUGCCCUUGGUUAAAGCCAUAUAAUUGAAUGAUAAACUAUAUUAUAAAAUCUUUUUUUUGUUCAAUUCCAGUUUAUUUCUCCUUCAACAUUUCAGAGGUCUCUUAAUCGAAGGUAUCCUAAUAUUUUAUAGGGGUAAUUAAUAGUAAAUGCUUGCAUUUAUUGAAAGUCGUGGAUUCAUAAUACUUGAUACCUAUAUAUGCAUAUUUAAAUAUUAAUCUGAAUCAUGAAUACUACCCUACGGAAAAUUAAAAUAAGAUCAACCGUGCAAGGUGCGUCAUUCGUGGUGGCAGACAGGUGUGGGCCACAGUCAAGUCCCUAGAGAGAGAUGGGAGACCCGAGAGAGAGGAUAAGAGAGAAAGAGUUAGAGAGAUGGAGAGAUCGCGGCCGACUGGAGAGAAGGACGGCUGGUGGUAUAGGGGUGGCGAGGGCUCUAGGGAGAGAAGAGAAGAGGACCAAGGUUAGGGUUCAAUAGGUCAGUCAUCUAUAUAUACAUAUAUAGAUACGUAUACACACACACACACACACACACAUAUAUAUAUAGAGUUCGGCUAUGGUGCUUAUAAAAGCACCAAGCACUUAGUGCUUGUGAACUUUUUACUGUUAGAUCUACGUCUUUGAUCAUUUUUACCCGUUAGAUUAUACUAUUCAACCAACCACCCACUCAACCCUAGGGGGCCCACAUUAUCCUAACGGCACAUCCCUUAAUCCAAGGGCCGAAAACUUACAAGUACCAAUAACUUGGUACUUUUAAAAGCAUAGGAGCUCAAUUCUAUAUAUAUAUAUAUAUAUAUAUAUAUAUAUAGAGAGAGAGAGAGAGAGAGAGAGAGAGAGAGAGAGAGAGAGAGAGAGAGNNNNNNNNNNNNNNNNNNNNNNNNNNNNNNNNNNNNNNNNNNNNNNNNNNNNNNNNNNNNNNNNNNNNNNNNNNNNNNNNNNNNNNNNNNNNNNNNNNNNNNNNNNNNNNNNNNNNNNNNNNNNNNNNNNNNNNNNNNNNNNNNNNNNNNNNNNNNNNNNNNNNNNNNNNNNNNNNNNNNNNNNNNNNNNNNNNNNNNNNNNNNNNNNNNNNNNNNNNNNNNNNNNNNNNNNNNNNNNNNNNNNNNNNNNNNNNNNNNNNNNNNNNNNNNNNNNNNNNNNNNNNNNNNNNNNNNNNNNNNNNNNNNNNNNNNNNNNNNNNNNNNNNNNNNNNNNNNNNNNNNNNNNNNNNNNNNNNNNNNNNNNNNNNNNNNNNNNNNNNNNNNNNNNNNNNNNNNNNNNNNNNNNNNNNNNNNNNNNNNNNNNNNNNNNNNNNNNNNNNNNNNNNNNNNNNNNNNNNNNNNNNNNNNNNNNNNNNNNNNNNNNNNNNNNNNNNNNNNNNNNNNNNNNNNNNNNNNNNNNNNNNNNNNNNNNNNNNNNNNNNNNNNNNNNNNNNNNNNNNNNNNNNNNNNNNNNNNNNNNNNNNNNNNNNNNNNNNNNNNNNNNNNNNNNNNNNNNNNNNNNNNNNNNNNNNNNNNNNNNNNNNNNNNNNNNNNNNNNNNNNNNNNNNNNNNNNNNNNNNNNNNNNNNNNNNNNNNNNNNNNNNNNNNNNNNNNNNNNNNNNNNNNNNNNNNNNNNNNNNNNNNNNNNNNNNNNNNNNNNNNNNNNNNNNNNNNNNNNNNNNNNNNNNNNNNNNNNNNNNNNNNNNNNNNNNNNNNNNNNNNNNNNNNNNNNNNNNNNNNNNNNNNNNNNNNNNNNNNNNNNNNNNNNNNNNNNNNNNNNNNNNNNNNNNNNNNNNNNNNNNNNNNNNNNNNNNNNNNNNNNNNNNNNNNNNNNNNNNNNNNNNNNNNNNNNNNNNNNNNNNNNNNNNNNNNNNNNNNNNNNNNNNNNNNNNNNNNNNNNNNNNNNNNNNNNNNNNNNNNNNNNNNNNNNNNNNNNNNNNNNNNNNNNNNNNNNNNNNNNNNNNNNNNNNNNNNNNNNNNNNNNNNNNNNNNNNNNNNNNNNNNNNNNNNNNNNNNNNNNNNNNNNNNNNNNNNNNNNNNNNNNNNNNNNNNNNNNNNNNNNNNNNNNNNNNNNNNNNNNNNNNNNNNNNNNNNNNNNNNNNNNNNNNNNNNNNNNNNNNNNNNNNNNNNNNNNNNNNNNNNNNNNNNNNNNNNNNNNNNNNNNNNNNNNNNNNNNNNNNNNNNNNNNNNNNNNNNNNNNNNNNNNNNNNNNNNNNNNNNNNNNNNNNNNNNNNNNNNNNNNNNNNNNNNNNNNNNNNNNNNNNNNNNNNNNNNNNNNNNNNNNNNNNNNNNNNNNNNNNNNNNNNNNNNNNNNNNNNNNNNNNNNNNNNNNNNNNNNNNNNNNNNNNNNNNNNNNNNNNNNNNNNNNNNNNNNNNNNNNNNNNNNNNNNNNNNNNNNNNNNNNNNNNNNNNNNNNNNNNNNNNNNNNNNNNNNNNNNNNNNNNNNNNNNNNNNNNNNNNNNNNNNNNNNNNNNNNNNNNNNNNNNNNNNNNNNNNNNNNNNNNNNNNNNNNNNNNNNNNNNNNNNNNNNNNNNNNNNNNNNNNNNNNNNNNNNNNNNNNNNNNNNNNNNNNNNNNNNNNNNNNNNNNNNNNNNNNNNNNNNNNNNNNNNNNNNNNNNNNNNNNNNNNNNNNNNNNNNNNNNNNNNNNNNNNNNNNNNNNNNNNNNNNNNNNNNNNNNNNNNNNNNNNNNNNNNNNNNNNNNNNNNNNNNNNNNNNNNNNNNNNNNNNNNNNNNNNNNNNNNNNNNNNNNNNNNNNNNNNNNNNNNNNNNNNNNNNNNNNNNNNNNNNNNNNNNNNNNNNNNNNNNNNNNNNNNNNNNNNNNNNNNNNNNNNNNNNNNNNNNNNNNNNNNNNNNNNNNNNNNNNNNNNNNNNNNNNNNNNNNNNNNNNNNNNNAACUUCAAAUUGAUAAUCGGCACCGUUGAAAUUGAUCUACACAAUUAGAAAUGUUUAGAAACCAAAUUUUGUAAUAUUUAAAAAUCAUUAUCAAGUUCAUCUUAAGAGUUAAAAAAUGAACGGUCAUAAAUGAAUAACCUUCUUAAAAUAGAGGUUAGACUUUCUCAAUUCAUAAUCAGAGUUAUCAAACAUUAUCUAAAUAGUAUAAAGAAUUUUCUAUCAAAAAUUCAAGCAAUUUGGAUUGCUCUACACCGUUAAACAAGCAAACGGCUCAUACAGGCCGUAAAAAAUUGUCGAUUUUACGACACUUUGAUCACUAUGUUGUUGGCCUAGUGGCCCUAAUCUUUUAUUAGAUUUUGAUGAUAACAAAUAAUUACGAUUAUUGGACUAAUUCUUUAUCUUGAGUUUUUAUGUUUUAAAUCUUUAUAUCUUCAAAAAGGACCCAAGAUGGGCAAUCUUCUAGCACCGAGCCUCACCACUUGAAGCUAUAUCUGCUUCCUUUGUCAAAACAAACUCACUCUCUCUGUUCUUUAUUUGAUGCUCUAUUAGAGUGAGAAAUUUUGAGCUAAGUUUAAGACUAUUCAUCUUAUCACCUUAUAGAUCACUUAAACAUUUUCUAACUUUUGAUUAGGUGCAUAGGAUUUUUAAAUAUUCAAAAAAACUGCUCAAAUUCUGUGUUCUGUCAAGUUGCGAUUUCUGGACGCUGUUCCGGGCGCCCUAAAGUGGAUCCGAAUCUCAUGAGAUUUUUUGGAUCCUGCCUGUUUGCUGUUUGGGUGGUCCAGAAACUUCUUUACCGGAUCUGGUCGCCCGAAUUUCAGUUUAGGGCGACCGAAAGUGUUUGACUUGACAGGUUGCGUAUCAGUCCAAAAAGUUCUGACGCAGGCGGCCCGCGCGUUGAAAAUCUGGGCACCCACAUCUUCUGGAAGCCCAAAAUGAUCCCGAAUCCAGAAAAAUCCGACUGUCAGAAAAAUUUGUCCCUCGAGAUCUGGGCGCCCACAAUUUCUGACGGCCCAAAUCCAGAGGAAGCGGCGCGUGUCAGAAAAGCUGUUCCUCGUGUUCUGGGCGCCCACAACUUUUGAUGGCCCGAACAUACAAAGUCAAGAAAAGCGGCGCACGUAGUCUAACAGGCAGCUGGCGUGCACAACUUCUGGGCGCCCGGAAACAGGUUUAGGGCGCCCGGAAACAGGUUUAGGGCGCCCGAAAGUACAACGGACAAAAGUUGCCCGAGGCUAUAAAUAGAUGGUAUUGAGGCCUUUCUCAGCAGCAACUAGAUAGUUCAUUUUGAGCUUAAAAAUUCAGUGUCUCUAAUACUCUUAGCUCUCAAUUCUCUUUAUACUUGAGUGAAAUUUGUAGUGAGAUUUAAUCUUGUAAAAAUAGAGAAAAUCAAAGUCUUGAAGCUUGAAAAGAAGAAGGAGUUGGUGUGAAGGCUUGGUGCUUGCCCGCAAAAGCAUCAUCUAGUGGAGAUCCAACAUUCUCUAGUAUUGAGAAGUUGGCGGGGACGUAGGCAAAGUGCUGAACCUCGAAACAAAUUGAUUGUGUGCUUUUGAGUUUGCAUUUCUUUAAACUUCUCACUUUUAUUUGCAUCGGAUCUUUAAUUUGCUUGAUUAUUUGGAUUUUUAUUUUAGAAACCUAAUUCACCCCCCCUCUUAGGUUGCCAUUUUGAUCCUCAAUUGGUAUCAGAGCGAGGUCUCACAUUAUUUAGAUUAAAAUCUAAGUGAGAAUGGCAUCCACGGGAAAGAAUAUCGAAGGACAAUCUAUUGUUCGGCCACCAUUUUUUGAUGGGACCGAUUAUCCUUUUUGGAAGAUUAGAAUGAAGAUAUUCUUUCAAUCUCUAGAUUUUGAUAUUUGGGAUAUAAUCGAAAGUGGUUAUAUCGCUCCAUCAAAAUCAAGAGCGGAAUGGAAUGAAGCCGAAAAAUUUCGCUUUCAAUUGAAUGCUAAAGCUAUCAAUUCAUUCCUUUGCGCUCUCAGUAGAGAAGAGUUUCACCGAAUCUCUACAUGUACAACGGCUAAAGAGAUUUGGGAUAAAUUAGAAGUUACUCAUGAAGGUACUUCUAGGGUGAAGGAAUCUAAAAUAAGCAUGCUUAUGUCAAAUUAUGAACUAUUCAAAAUGGAGGAAAGUGAAUCCAUUUCGAAUAUGUUCACAAGAUUUACUAACAUUAUAAAUAGCUUGAAAGCCUUAGGUAAGGAUUUUCCUCAAUCGGACUUGGUACGAAAACUUCUUCGUGUACUACCAAGAAGUUGGAUACCUAAGGUUACGGCUAUCCAAGAAGCUCAUGACUUGGACAAAGUAAAAAUUGAUGAACUUGUUGGAUCACUCAUGGCGCAUGAACAACGCCUCAAAGAAUAUGACAACGAAGAGGCUCCUGAGAAAAAGAAAAGCCUUGCACUUAAGGGAGUCAUUGCUUCCGAGAGUGAAGAUGGCGAAGAAGGUUCGAGCGAAGAAAUCGCUAUGAUUUCAAAAAGGCUCGAUCGACUAAUCAAGAAGCACAACUUGAGGAGACCUAAACGAGACGGGUUCAAAGGUGAAGGAUUCAAGAAAGGAAUCAUUUGCUACAAUUGUAAUAAACCGGGAUAUUUGAAAAGUGAAUGCACUCUUCCAAACAAAACUUUUAAGAAAGACAAGAAAAAUAAAGCCUUCAAUGCACUAAAUUGGGACGCCCCCGACGAAUCUAGCGAUGAGGAAUCGGAAAACGAAGUAGCCCAAAUUUGCCUUGAGGAGCAAAGCUCAAUCCUAUGUCUUAUUGCUCUUGAAGAUGAGGUGUGUCUCCAAUCAAAAGGUGCAAAUGACAAAUGGUACUUGGAUAGCGGAUGCUCAAGACAUAUGACUUGGGACCAAACCAAGUUUAAAUCAAUUGAAAUGAAAGAUGGAGGAUUUUUUACUUUUGGAGACAAUACUAAAGGAAAGAUCAUUGGAAUCGGCACAAUUGGUAAUGAAAAGGUUAAUAUUUCAAAUGUUCUUUUAGUUGAUGGUCUUAAGCAUAAUUUACUAAGCAUUAGUCAAUUAUGUGACAAAGGCUAUUUUGUUAAAUUUGAAACAUCUCAUUGUAGCAUUCUUGAUCCAUCUAUAAAUGAGGUAGCUUUUAUGGGUUUUAGAUCCAAGAAUGUUUACACUGUUGAUUUAGGCAAACUCUCACAUAAAGGAGAAAAAUAUUUUUCGGUUCAAAUUAACGAAUCUUGGCUUUGGCAUGGAAGGUUAGCACAUGCUAGUAUGGAUUCUCUUUCAAAACUCUCCAAAAGAAAACUUGUAAAAGGUUUACCUAAAAUAGACUAUGCCAAAGGUGAAGUUUGCAAUGCUUGCGCUCAAACAAAGCAAGUAAAAUCAUAUUUUAAAUCCAAAAAUAUUGUUUCCACAACUAGGCCUUUGGAAUUGAUUCAUAUGGAUCUUUUUGUACCAAUUGAUGUCUCUAGCAUUGGCAGAAGCAAGUAUGUUUUCGUAAUUGUUGAUGAUUACUCAAGAUAUACUUGGACUUUAUUUUUAAGACACAAGUAUGAUACUUUUAAAUCCUUCAAAGACUUUGUCUAUCGUGUUCAAAAUAAAAAGAAUUGUAUAAUCUCCAAAAUUAGAAGUGAUCAUGGUGGUGAAUUCGAAAAUCAUAACUUUGAAAAAUUUUGCAAUGAAUUGGGAAUAGAACAUUAAUUUGCUACCCCUCGAACACCUCAACAAAAUGGGGUUGUUGAACGCAAAAAUAGAUCUCUCCAAGAAAUGGCUAGAUCUAUAUUAAUUGAGGGGAAGUUGCCUAAAUAUUUUUGGGCCGAAGCCGUAAACACAGCUUGCUAUAUUAUGAAUCGUGUACUAAUUCGACCAAUUCUUGAGAAGACUCCUUUCAAAUUAUGGCAUAAUAGAACUCCCAAUAUUGGUUACUUUAAAAUUUUUGGUUGUAAAUGUUUCAUUUUAAACACAAAAGACAAGUUGGAAAAGUUUGAUGCUAAAUCCAACGAAGCAAUAUUCUUGGGUUAUUCUUCUACUAGUAAAGUUUAUCGAGUGUAUAAUCGACGAACUUUAAUAAUAGAGGAAAGUAUGCACAUUCUCUUUAAAGAAUAUAAGGGAAAGGAUACUUCCUAUGAAGAUGAUCUCUUGACUUUGAAAAGUUAAAUAUAAACUCUACACCCCAAGAAGUUGAACCAUCUAAGAAAAGUGAGGAGUUAAUCUCUAAAGAGAUUGAACCCACUCCCUUACCUAAAGUGUGAAAAUUCGCCACUUAUCAUCCCAAGGACUCCAUCAUUGGAUAUCAAAGUAAAAAAGUCAAGACAAAAUCCUCUCUUAGAUUACUUUAUGACCACUUGACUUUUAUAUUUCAAAUUGAACCUAAAAAUUUUGUUGAAGCUAGUAAUGAUGAAAAUUGGCUCAUUGCGAUGCAAGAAGAAUUCAACCAAUUUGAGAGGAAUCAAGUUUGGAUGCUUGUGGAAAGACCGAGUGAUCAUACCGUUAUUGGCACUAAAUGGGUUUUCUGAAACAAGCGAGAUGAAUCCGGUGUUGUGGUUCGAAACAAGGCUAGGCUAGUGGCCCAAGGUUUCAACCAAAUUGAAGGGAUUGAUUUUGAUGAAACAUUUGCACCGGUUGCUAGACUUGAAGCUAUUCGAAUUCUUCUAGCAUUUGCCUCUUAUAUGAAUUUCAAAUUAUUUCAAAUGAAUGUAAAAAGUGCUUUCUUAAAUGGAUACAUUUCCGAAGAAGUUUAUGUUGAGCAACCACCCGGUUUUGAAAAACAUAACUUUCUGGAUCACGUUUUUAAGCUUUCAAAAGCACUUUACGGUUUAAAACAAGCUCCUAGAGCCUGGUAUAAAAGACUUAGCACUUUUCUUACUUCAAAUAAUUUUUCAAGAGGAAAAGUUGACACCACAUUAUUUAUCAAAAUUAAGGAUAAAGAUUUUCUCAUUGUACAAAUUUAUGUGGAUGAUAUUAUAUUUGGUGCUACUAAUGAAUCUCUUUGUAAAGAAUUCUCUAAGCUAAUGCAAAAUGAGUUUGAAAUGAGCAUGAUGGGCGAGCUCUCAUUCUUCCUUGGACUCCAAGUUAAACAAAUGAAAGAUGGAAUAUUCAUCAAUCAAGCCAAGUAUGCAAAAGACCUAAUCAAAAGAUUUGGCUUGGAAAGCUCAAAAGAGACGAACACUCCAAUGAGUGCCUCAACUAAACUUGACAAGGAUGAAAAAGGCAAGGAUGUUGAUAUCAAACUCUACCGAGGUAUGAUUGGCAGUUUACUUUAUCUUACCGCGAGUCGGCCGGACAUUAUGUUUAGUGUUUGCUUGUGUGCUCGGUUUCAAGCUCAACCUAAGGAGUCACACUUAGUGGCUGUAAAGAGAAUUCUUAGAUAUGUUAAAGGGACUCUCAACUUAGGGUUAUGGUAUCCCAAGGGCACUAAUUUUAAUCUCAUUGGCUUUUCAGAUGCCGACUUUGCCGGAUGCAAAGUUGAUCGGAAAAGUACGAGUGGGACUUGUCAAUUUCUUGGUCACUCCUUAGUCUCAUGGUCUUCGAAAAAGCAAAAUUCGGUUGCACUUUCAACCGCCGAAGCCGAAUAUAUCACGGCGGGUUGUUGUUGUGCACAGUUUUAUGGAUGAAACAAACCCUUGAGGACUUUGGAGUACAUCAAAAACAAGUUCCAAUCAAAUGUGAUAAUACUAGUGCCAUCAACAUAUCUAGAAAUCCUAUUCAACAUUCUAGAACUAAACACAUUGAAAUUAGACAUUAUUUUAUUAGAGAUCAUAUUCAAAACGAAGAUGUCAUUAUAGAAUUUGUGGACACUCAUAAUCAAUUAGCGGACAUUUUUACUAAACCACUUAGUGAGGAUAGGUUCACUCAACUUAGAAGAGAAUUGGGAAUGAUUGAUUUAUCUGCUUGAUUUUCUCUUUUUGAUUGACUGUUAUUUUGUCUUUAUUUUUGCCUUGCAUUUUAUUUUUUUUGGAAACACCUUUUGCUUUGUGCAAAUUCCGGACGGAAAUUUUCGGUCGCCCAAAAAUUUUCGGGCGCCCGAAACAUGCGUUGACUACAGUGCCUCGUCUGACCGACCUAAUGGGUUAACGGGUUUCGGAUCCGGGCGACCACUCGGUUCGCACCCGCGCCCGAAAACCCGCUUUGACCGCCGCGCCACUUUGACCGCCCUGGCGGGUUACCGGAUUCCAGAUCCGGGCAACCGAUCCGACCCGCACUUCCGCCCGAAACCCGCUAGCGAGGCCCCCUUGUCGUCCCAGCCACCCGAGCCCUCUUUUUCAUUUUUUUUUUCUUUCUCCUCCCAGUCCGGUCGCCCACUUCCUGCGCCUAGCCCGCAUCAGAUCCGCCUAAAACUCCUCCAAAACUCAGAUUUCCUCUCCUUCCUCUUCAAUCUGUGGUAUUUCUUCUCCAUUUUUUUUCUUUACAAACUGAUAUCCCUAAUCUUGCUUUUAUUUUUAUUUUUUUUACAGAUUUCUUGUACUUUGUGCAACAUAAUCCUUUUCUCUACCUAGAUCUACAUCAUUUCAUCUUAAAUCUUGCAUUUUGUCAUCUUUUGCAUAAACCCCUACGAUUGUUAACCUCUAAUUAUUUUUAAAUUAUAUAUAUAUAUAUAUAUAUAUAUAUAUAUAUAUAUAUAGAAAAAUGCCUAGAACUAAAAAUGCAUCAAGGGGCCCUUCACAUAGAGAUUAUCAAAAUGAAGAUUUUGAUGCUUUUAACUUUAUAUUUAGAGAUGCUCAAGAUAAAUUUCUUUUAGGCCGUUCCGUUCAACCUUGCCGUAACAUUCAUCAUCUAAAUUUUGAUUGUUAUGAACUUUUGGAUAAGCUCACACAAGUUGGUUGGGAUUUUUUUGUUCAAAAUUCGCGACCUUUUUAUCCGGACCUAAUUAGGACUUUUUAUGCAAAUGCCACUUUUAAUUCCGAAUUUACUACUAUUACUUCCCAGUACCGGGGACGUGUUUUUGCCAUUACUUCUAUCCUUCUUUACACCGUUUUAAACAUUCCAAAUGACGGCGUUUGCUACUACCAAACCAACACUUUGAACUUUCCUGCAUUUUCUGAGGCGCAACUACGCAAUCAUUUUCUUUGUGAAGAUUCUACUUCACGAGAAGAUUGCUCCCAUCUUUCCUUUCCUCACCGCCUCGCCCACUUUUUACCUACUAAAGUAGUUCUUCCUCGAGACGGUCACCACACCGCUGUUCAAAAAAUGAAUCUUUUUCUACUUUAUCAUCUAUUUGCGGGAAUCUGGGUUAAUUUGGGGUAUAUCAUCAUUCGCCACAUGGCCGUCGCCGCUUCUCAUCCCUCGCGCUCACUUCCAUAUGGCUCUUUGCUCACCGCCGUCCUCGAGUUCAUGUCGUUUGAUCUUUCCGACGUGAGGCCGAUGAAGUACCCUUCCGCCAUUUCUACCGCCACUUUUUCCACCCUAGGCUUCAAGAGAAAUCGUCAUGGCAUUUGGGUAAGAAAGCAUGUGAUUGAUUCGCCGAGCGAGCAUAGUGAUGACAAUACCGACGCCGAGGAUGAUCCUAUGCCUUAUGAGCCGCCAGCUCGAGCGCCUUCUCCACCAGUUGAGCCGCCACCUCGAGCGCCUUCUCCACCUUUUGAGCCACCACCUGUUGUGCCUCCGCCUUAUGCUCCUCCUCCUAUGGAUUUUCAAGACCAAGUUUUUAAUCGACUAGAUAUGAUGGAAGAGCAUAUGCACACUUUACAGACAGACGUUUCCGGCAUCAAGGCAUACAUGGACUCUCUCUUUGGACCUUCUAGUGCCUUUUAUGCCGCAUAUGGACCCCACGUUGAUCGACCAUCAUCCUCCACUAUGCCUCCACCGGUUUCGCCCACGGGUCAUGAGGAUGAUGAUGAAGAGGAUGAAAAUGAUGACUAGCUCUAUUUUACUUCUUUAUGCUUUCUUUUAUGCUAUUUCUAUGCUAUAUCUUAUGCUUCAUCACUUUUUGCCAGUCUCCGUUAUAUUUCUUUUUGUUGAUGACAAAGGGGGAGACUUUGUGAUGUGAUAUAUAUUAUGCUGCACUUGUGAUAUAUGAACCUCGUUUGUGCUGCACUUGUGAUAUAUGAACCUUGAUUAUAUUUUGUGCUUACUUGGUUAUUAUUUUUAUAUAUGAACCUUGAUUAUAUUUUGUGCUUACUUGGUUAUUAUUUUUUUUCUGAUAUAUGCUAUGCCUAUGAUUGUGUUAUAUACUUGUUAAAUAUAUGCAUAUAUUUAGGGGGAGUAUUAUACUCUUUUGCUCUCUACUCAUUUGAAUAUUAUCACAUUAUUUGUCAUCAUCAAAAAGGGGGAGAUUGUUGGCCUAGUGGCCCUAAUCUUUUAUUAGAUUUUAAUGAUAACAAAUAAUUACGAUUAUUGGACUAAUUCUUUAUCUUGAGUUUUUGUGUUUUAGAUCUUUAUAUCUUAAAAAAGGACUCAAGAUGGGCAAUCUUCUAGCACCGAGCCUCACCACUUGAAGCUAUAUCUGCUUCCUUUAUCAAAAAGACAAACUCACUCUCUCUAUUCUUUAUUUGAUGCUCUAUUAGAGUGAAAAAUUUUGAGCUAAGUUUAAAACUAUUCAUCUUAUCACCUUAUAGACCACUUAAACAUUUUCUAAAUUUUGAUUAGGUGCAUAGGAUUUUUAAAUAUUCAAAAAAACUGUUCAAAUUCUGUGUUCUGUCAAGUUGCGAUUUCUGGACCCUGUUCCGGGCGCCCUAAAGUGGAUCCGAAUCUCAUGAGAUUUUUUGGAUCCUGCCUGUUUGUUGUUCGAGUGGUCCAGAAACUUCUUUACCGGAUAUGGUCGCCCGAAUUUCAGUUUAGGGUUACCGAAAGUGUUUGACUUGACAGGUUGCAUAUCAGCCCAAAAAGUUCUGACGCAGGUGGCGCGCGCGUUGAAAAUCUGGGCACCCACAUCUUCUGGAAGCCCAAAAUGAUCCCGAAUCUACGAAAAUUCGGCUGUCAGAAAAAGUUGUCUUGUAAGGACUGAGAUUUUUGCAGAGUAGCUAAACUCUCAAUUGACGAUGUUUUUGUAUGUAAUUUAAUUACAAAGGUACUCAUCAAGUUUCGGGAGAAAACAAGUUAAAUCGGAGAUUCUACGUGAUUUCCAAGUUUCACUUAAAGUGAAUAGUAACUCGGUUUUCCGGAAAAGCCACGGUGUGAAGUUGGCUUCAGGCUCGUACCAGACUCUGUUCAUAGCAAUCCAAUAGCUCGUUUCGACCGGUUCAAUUAUUUUGGAACUAAUGGCGCUGACGGAUUUUGAGUUUGACGCACGGAUUUCGAGAAAAUCUGAAAAUACGUGUCUUAUAUGUAUUUUGUGUGUAGUUUCUUUUGUUGUAGAGGUGGAUCAAGUUUCGUCGCGAAUCCGUGAUCAAUCGAGGCGAAACGAAAUCGUAACUUUGUUGUUUCUUUUGUGCUGAUCGCACUGGUGCGAUCCGUUCGCAAAUCUGACGGACGGAUCUGCGGAGAUCGCACUUUGAUCGAGGAGAGGUCGGCGAUGGCAAAAAGGUAUUUUUGCAAAUGCCGCGACAUUUUAUGUACCGUUUUGCGUGAGAUCGCACGUGGAGGGCUACUCGUGUGUUUUACACGCAUUGUGGAGGACUUAGUUUAAAAUAUUGAGUUUUCGUGGGUCUUUCCACAAUUUGAGUUUUAUAUAUAUAUUUGGUUCCUAGGGUUUCUACUAGAAACCCUAACCCUAGCCACCUAAUUAGCCCUCAGCCACCUUCGCCUCGCUCCCCUACCCUAGCCGCUCACCCCGACUGCCGCUGGCUGAACCCCGGCCGCCGCCGAGCCAUCAUCUUCCUCUCUCUUCAUCUCUCUCCAUCUCUCUCUUUCUCUCGGGUUAGAGCCAGGACGAGGCUGCAUGGCCUCCAGGCCCUUCGCCGGCGUCGCCCCGACCCCGUCGGAGUGUUCCCCGUCGGCCACCGCCACCCCGAGCGCCGCCGCCGCUGUCCUGUAGCCGCCUAUAGCCUUCUAGCCCGAGCCCAGGCCGAGGCAAGCCUGCGUCCCUUUCCUCUGCGCCGCCGCCACCGUGGACCACCCCGGCCGACUUCCCGGAGCCCCGGCGUACCUCCCCGCCGACCGCUGCCGCCCCGGAGCGCCGCCGCGCCGCGCUAAAGCCGCCUCAGGCAGCUAGAGCGAGCACAGGCCGAGGUCAGCUCGUAGCUUCCUCCUCGCGCCGCCGCCGCUCGGGCUCGCACCCGAGGCACCCCUCCGGCCUCCUGAAACCCGCCGCCGCCGCCGCCGUCCCGGAGCUUCCCGACCGCCGCCGUGGCCGCCAUUGCUAUGGAACCCGAGCUUUAGUUCGUGCGGGCUGAGCUUGCUCCACCGACAUCGCCGCAGCUCCCCGCCGCCAACUGAGGUGAGCCUCGUACUCCUUACCUCCCCCGCACCCAUCCCUGUCCAGCGCGUGCCUCGCCGUGCCGCUGGAAGCCGGCCGGCGCAAGUUUGAUCCGGCCAAGCCCGAAUUAGGGCUUAGUUGAGUGGUUUUCUGUUGUGAGCUUCCCGAGCCUCCCCUUUCUCUACGGAAGGGAGCACGAUGAUCAUGGAAAAUUUCUGAUCAUCGUGCUCACCUUGGUUUCUGUCGGGAAGGCCCCGUUCCACUGUUUCGGCGAUGUCGACCCUAUAGAGCCUUUUUGGCUACGAUUUCUAGUUUGCGCGCGUUUCUCCGACGAUUCGAAGCUGUCCUGAUGCUUCCGGAGGUGAGCACGGUGAUCUUCGGUCAGUGCCGAUCACAGUGCUCACCUCACUUUGAAUCAACAGAGUCCGGUUAGUCCUGUUCGGUGCGAUUUUCCCCGACUGCGCGUUGUUCGCAGAACUUCGGGUUGCUCCCGCGCCACCCACAGUGAGCCGAUGUGCUCCGGACCAUGAGCACGGCCUCCGGCACAUAGAGACCUGUUGGUACGUGUCUCGGUGGACCUUGAAAGUCCUCGGUUUGCAUGAACGAGCCAUGUUAUCGCCCGAUUUACAUAAAAUAUUAGGAUUUUAUGUAAAUACAAGGGCUUUUGUGCAAUUGUGCACCUUGUAGCUACUGUGGGCAGUGUGUAGGCAUGUGUGGUGACCUCUGGACUGAUUGUCCAUGAUUCGUUAGCUUUUGCGGAAAUCGAAGAGUCGAUUUCAGUGCGUUUUUCGGCGAAAUCCGCCGAAAAAAUGCGGUUUCGGUUCGGAUUUCUUCCGACGUGGUUUGGUUGUCCUGUAAAUUGUCGCUGAGCCUUGUUGGCUGGUCACCAUCAUCACAUUGUGGGUUCGGUGAUGACGAGUGAGCGACGGUGGGUUCCGGUGUCGAAAUAGACACUUCCGGGAAUCCGGAUUCGAACAAUUAUCCAACGAUAAUUAUUGAGUUGUGUUACAUUGUGUUUCCUGCCAAGACAUUAAAAUUGGUGUGUUUUGUGGCAGCGGGUGACUCGUGGUACGAGUCGGUGAGUUUUGGGACACUUAGUGGGUCCCGACGGCGUCCCAGUGUGGUUCUCGGGACUUUCGGUGAGUUACGGUGAUUGGUUUUGGGAAACUGAUUACAGGGAUCUUUUGUGGAGGUUUGUGAGAUUGUGUACUUCAGGUUAGUGGGUUGGAUACUGACUUAGUGGAUCUUCGUAGGUCCGGUCGACUUGUGUGCAUCCAGGUUUUCCGACGCGACAGUGACAGGUGGGUACUUCGAUCCGAUGCUGGUACAGUGGUGCACGCUCGGUGAUGGUUUCUUACCCUUACUCUUCUGUUGUUACUAUUGCAUAGUAUAUUUUGAGCCUUGCACCCAUGAUUAUUCCAGUAUACUCUACUCGUUGUUUGCAUGCUUAGUAUUCUUAGUAGGAGUAGAGUAGUUCUAUAUAUAUGCAUAUCUGUUGAUCUGGUUGAUCGUGGUUCGGCGUGGUACGCCCUUGUUUCUGGCUUCGGCCUAGGCACCGGCUUCAACCGGUUUUUAUAUUGAGCAUACCAGCAUGACUUAGUCACAGCACUUGGGGGUAUUCAUGACACCAGGUCGGUUUUGCCACCGACCGGAGGUGUGCUUACCCUGAUGGGUCGUCCUGUCGGGCGGGUGAAUCAGGUUAGUGCAGAUCAGUGACAGGCAGCGCUUGAGGUCUGCAGACCAAUAUAGCAGGCACCAGAUUUGGUACAGUUUUGGUUUGGUUACCUUGAGGCAUACUCAGCUUUGCAUUUCUUACAGUAGCAGUUUUAUUUAUUGCUCAUUUAUCUGUUAUAGCUACUGUAGUUUCUUCGUAUCAGCAUCUGUAUCUGUUUACCAUAUUGUUAUAUAUCUCUUCCUGAUCCGGUGAGUACUCCUCGCCUUCAUCGGCUUGCGGUACCCACUGGGAGGGGAGACAUGUUUACAUGUUCUCACCUCCCCCACCAUUUUUCAGGUAUUGCGGCUGGUGAGAUAUGAGACGAGACGUGAGACGCGUUCGUAGUGGUCGCUAGAGCUUCCGACCCGGCUUGUUGGUUUAGUUCCUACCCUGUUUACUUGUGUUAUUAAUAGCUUUGAUAUUUCAUGGUUCAGUUGGUUUAUGUUAUUCGAAUUCAUGUGGUUUUGAAUGAACUAUAGAACUUGUGGAUUUUGUGAAAAGGGAAAACUAGUUUUCUACCCCUCGUGGUAGCGUUUUAAAAAGAAAAGGUUUUCGUGUAGGAAACAGCUUUCAAAACAGUUUUUCUUGUGGUUUUUAUGUUUUAACACUGAAUGGUAAAUAUCGGGUGAAUGGCGAAUGAAUGUUGAGAAUGGUCUAUUCAUGUAUUGUGGUUGUAUCCUAGUUAUACUUUGUUGGGACAUCUUGUACUUGUGCGACACCGUACAAAUACAGGGGAGACUCUGUCUGUGUGAACAGUGGAUUCCCUGUAUUUGUAGCGGAUCUGGCAUACCGUGGGUUCAGGUUUUCAAAAAAAAAAUUUUCGAUGUAUUUUUAACCUAAAGGGACCCCGGGGCGUGACAUGUCCCUCGAGAUCUGGGCGCCCAUAAUUUCUGACGGCCCAAAUCUAGAGGAAGCGGCGCGUGUCAGAAAAUGCUGUUCCUCGUGUUCUGGGCGCCCACAACUUUUGACGGCCCGAACAUACAAAGUCAAGAAAAGAGGCGCACGUGGUCUGACAGGCAGCUGGCGUGCACAACUUCUGGGCGCCUUGAAACAGGUUUAGGGUGCCCAAAAGUACAACGGACAAAAGCUGCCCGAGGCUAUAAAUAGAUGGUAUUGAGGCCUUUCUCAGCAGCAACUAGAUAGUUUAUUUUGAGCUUAAAAAUUCAGUUUCUCUAAUACUCUUAGUUCUCAAUUCUCUCUCUAUGCUUGAGUGAAAUUUAUAGUGAGUUUAAUCUUGUAAAAAGAGAGAAAAUCAAAGUCUUGAAGCUUGAAAAGAAGGAGUUGGUGUGAAGGCUUGGUGCUUACCCGCAAAAGCAUCAUCUAGUGGAGAUCCAACAUUCUCUAGUAUUGAGAAGUUGGCGGGGACGUAGGCAAAGUGCCGAAUCUCGAAACAAAUCGAUUGUGUGCUUUUGAGUUUGCAUUUCUUUAAACUUCUCACUUUUAUUUGCAUCGGAUCUUUAAUUUGCUUGAUUAUUUGGAUUUUUAUUUUAGAAACCCAAUUCACCCCCCUCUUAGGUUGCCAUUUUGAUCCUCACAUGUAAAUAAUUUUUAAAAUUUAUGAAAUUUAGUUUCUAGAUAUUUCAAAUACUCUAGAUCAACUUCAACGGCUCCGAUCAUCGAUUCGAAAUCUCGAUCAUCAAGAACGACUUGAUAGGACAAGUGCUCAUAUCCUAUUAAUAUUAUCUUAUUUUGAGCCUGAAUACAGCCCUAACCCUAACCUAACCCGAACCCAACCCGAUACUCCACCGCAAUCCUCGACCCCGGCGAUCUGACCCGAGCCCUCGGUGGUGCCACUGCUCGAUUCGGUGCUCCAAUCCACUGGUAAGAGCUCUCGAUCUAGAACCCUCUCAGUAUAGGGAAAUUCUCAUCAAGUUCUUGGUAGAUUUAGCUCUGCAGUGUUACUUGAAUUUUCGGUGUCAUCGUCUUCUAUUGACUCUACUGCUGUUGCAUUUGAUUUUUAGGUUAAUUUGGUAAAUUCGAGAAGUUAUGCAGAGAUUAAGUUCCUCUUGAUAUUGUUUAUGUGCUAAUAGAAUAAAAAGAAAAUGAUAGCAUAAUUAUAAAUGUAACUUAGGUCAAAAGAUUAUUCUAAGUAUUGUAUAUCACAUCCAACUAUAUAUUCAGAGUUUCAUUUCAAGCCUAAAAAAAAAAAAAAAAAAAACUCUUUGCACUUCCUGAAUGGUGAUAGAACAAGUUUACUGUAAUUAGGAGCUAUAUAUAUGGUACUAGAAUUUAGUGAAAUGUCUUUGAAUUUCGUUCUCUUAUGGUCAAUUAUCUUGAACUUGUAUGUUUCCGAAUGGGAAAACAACAAGGUUUGCUGUGAUAUCUGCAUAGCAAGCUUCUUCUAUGCAUGUGGUAGAAAUUUUCUCCUCAUCAAGUUGCUAAUUUUUUUUUUUUUUUUAUCGACUAUUUAUAGAUCCAUCUUAUAAAUUCUGAAAGUUUUGAUUAUGUGUUAGGACAUAAUUAGCAUAAUUUAGCUAGCUGAACCCAGGGCAUUAAUUUGAUUUUAUUGUUAUCAUGUUGAACAUAGUUAAUGAAAGAUAGCCCCUGUAAAAUCUAGCUAGUUUGAGAUACUAAUAAAGGGACAGGAUGUUGUUUAUGUAGCCUAUUGAGUCGAUUGGUGGCAUUAGCGGUUCCUUUGCAGCUUGAGACGUCAAAUUGUGUAGGUUUAGGCGAAUUUUUAAUCUGCAAUGCAAUUCAGGUUUGCGCAGUGCGUACAAUGGCUGUAAACGCCUCUUGAGUUCUUAGUUGUCCCAGAACGAUUAUAAGUACGUACUCCUACAUAAAUUGCAUAAUUGCCAUGCUGCUUUUUGAUUAAACUUACAAUAUUUAUCUGUAUUCCUAAGUGUUCUGGUUUGAUUAGUUUCAUUCUAGUGCUAUUUAUGCUUUGGAAUUUAUUCUUCAGCAUUUCUGUGGCUUCUUUCAAGAGGACUUCUGAGCUCUCGCUUACUGGCUGUGACCAUUUGAUGCACUGUUUUUGUUCAACUAAUUGGAGUCCAUAUUAUUUUGAAGGUCGACUUGGAUCUUGGAAAUUAUGAGAGGUUUCUAUAUAUCAAACUUACUCGAGAUAACAAUAUAUAUCACCACUGUAAAAGAUCUACCAGGGGAGUUAAUUAGUUUGAUUCUAAUCCUGAAAAUUUUUACAAAAUUAGCGGAAUUAAUUUGUUACUUCCAAGUUAUUUCCACAGUCUUUGAUUGCCAUUUUUUUGAAGGAGGCGUUCACGAGAUCGAAGUUACUUUUAGAACCUUCCAUUAAUAUCAAAAAAUUCAAAAGAAAAAAAAAAUUAUAUAAACCUCCAUGUGCACUUACAAGUCUGCAUGCCUAUGAUAAAGUGUGGAGAGGUUGUGGGCCGGUGUUAGAAUCUUUAGGAGGUGGAUUAAUUAUGAGGGUAUAUAUAUAUAUGUUUGUGCUAGCUUUCUGUGUUUCUGAACCGCGCAGUUCAAUUUUUCUGGGGGAUACGUUGUAGAACGUAACCUAUGUGGGAAGUUUCUUUUUGUUGGUACUUAGUUGCUUGUAGUUCAAUCAAUUAAUUAUGUAGUGCCUUGUAUUCUAAUUAUGGCUUUUUUCCUUUUGUUUUGUUUUGUUUUGUUUUGUUUUUUUUUUUUUUCACUUCUCAUGGUCUUAUGCAUUUUACUUGUCUAAGAAGUAAUUUGUCCUUGACUGACUUGUUGAUAGUACUAGCGAAUUCACUCGUGCAUUGCGGUACAUCAAUUUCGUAUAAAUAAAUAUAAUUAAAAAAUAAUAUAAAAAUAAACAAAAAUUGAAGAACGGGAUGAACUUUUUUAUUUUUAUUUUUUUCACAUUAGAACAAGAUUAUUAUUAUUAAUAAUUUUUUUCAUGUUUUGAAGUUUUGUAAGAUUCUAUUUAUAUACAAAGGUAACUUCAAUAAAAGAGAAUUAAGGGACUAGUGAACCAUUUAACAAAAUUUAAAAAAUUAAUUAUUAAAAGUUUUUCUUCAAAAUUUUAUGGUUGAUAAAAUUGUUGGGAGAAGGAUGUCGCUGGCGAUUCAAUGUUAUAUAUGCCCAGGUUCAUUCGAUUUUUCUCUUUCUUUUUGCAAUCUAGUGUUCUUUUUUUUUUUUUAGAAAAAAAGUUUCUAGUUUAACCUCAUUUAGAUGGAUUGAAGAAGAAGAAGAAAUAGUUUAAUAAAAGUACGUAGUUACGCGUAAAUUAAGAGAGAGGAAAUUUUUUUUUUUUUUCUCUCUCUCCUCUCCCACUCCUCAACUCUGCGUCUCUAACCCUUUCUGCAUGCAUGCAUGCAUGCAUGCAUGCCUCUCGCUCUCUCUCUCUCUCUCUCUCUGUGCCCCGUCUCCACCCAGGCUCCCCCAAUCUCUCUACCGCUCUCCACCCUCACUGAUCAUCACUCUCUCCUCACGUACGGACACACACACACACACACACAUGUACAUGUACACACUCUCCGCGCGUGCCCUGGCCUCGUCGAUCCAAGAAGCCUCAUGAAGCAAAUCUUGGCGGCAAAUCGAGGGGAGAGGAGGGGACACGUGGCCUCUAGAAUGGGGAUUCUUCGUAUAUUUCUUCUAUAUCUAUCUAUCUAUAAAUAUAGCUAGAGAUAGAUCGAGGUGGUAAUCCUUUCAGUACAGAAGAACACACAGCUCGCUUGCUAAUUUAAUAAAUAAUUAAACCUUCAUGCAUGAAGUCUUUCUAAAUCCGGCAACAACUUAAUUUUGUACAAAACCACUAAUGUACGUAGCUUGCUGAUAUCAAUUUAUAACUAAACUAAUUGAGGCAUCGAAUAAUUAAGCUAGGAACGUUGUUUGUGCUGUUUGUGUAAGACUUAAUUAAUGAAUUGCCCUUUUAGUUUGGAUUAUGACGGGAAAGUUGUAGUGCGCAUGUUAUUUUAGUUUAAUGACGAGGGAUUCCUCAAACUCUUCACUAAUUAAGCAGCCCCAUCGAUAGCCAUCUUCCUCAAUUUAUUUAUUAGUGGACGAGGGACAAAAGACUUCCCCAAUUUUAUUUCUUAGUGCGUGGACGAGGGACAAAGGCCCCCGGCCCCCACCCCUGGCUAUAAAUACCCGUACACAUAGGUAUUCAAACACUNCUCUCUCUCUCUCUCUCCCCCCCCUAUCUCUCCUCCCCCCGCCUACUCAAGCAUAGCUAUGUCCACAAUAAUGAGCUUUCUGGUUUCGACCAGCAUUGACCAAGAGCACUUGAUAGAAAGUUCCCCCAAAAUAGGAAUCACUAUCGGCAUAAAUGUGGGGAUGACGGUUCAAGGGAUGAUUGUCGCUACGGCAAUCAGCCUACUUAUCUACUGCAUAUGGAAAAGGAGGCGGUCUGGCCCCCGCAGGAGCAACAUAGGGUCCACGGCCUCAGGCGUACUAGAGGGUCGCCUCGCUGCCCAUGGCGACAUUGAGUCGGUAGUCGCCUCAGGCGUACUAGAGGGCCGCCUCGCUGCGCAAAUGAUCGAUCAAUAUUAGUAUUUAUUAUUUGGUAUGUUAGCUAUCUAUUUAUAUACUUUAUUUUGAGUUUGUAAAAAUUUUGCAUAUAAGCAUAUAUAUUUUACUCUUAUGUUUAAAAGUCUCCUUGCGAUAGUAUUUAGUAACCGCAACCCCCAUCGAUGUAUUUUUUUUUUUAAUAGUUUAACAACUAUUAUAGUCACUGCGUUUGCAUUUUUUAUUAUAUAACAAAUCAUUUGGCAUAUAUAUAUGUCGGUGUUUCCUUAAAAAAAAAGACCGAGUUACGCAAAAAGAAUAUUUGAUUGCUGGAUGGUUUUGAAUCUUUCGACCUCUAGGUACAGGUGAUUUCUAAGAUUAACCCAUAUUUGUCAACACCAUAUAUCCAAAGAUGCUAACCAUAUAUAUAUAUAUAUAUACAUUUAUCAAGUAUCCUCAGAUGCAUCAGUUUUAUCUAUAUCUGAAAAGCAAAAUAUUUUACACCGACGUAUCAUUACCUCGAAACAUGCCUCAAAGCAGUCAUAAUUCAGUUCUAGCCAAUCAAUUCACAUUCAGCAGAGAAACAACGACUGGUACGUAACAUGAAUAACUUUAAAAGAUCGAAACAACAAGGCUUAAUACAGGGCAUUCCAUUGAUGCACCUCUAACUGCAAGGCUCCAAUCUCCCUCUCGAUACCUGUAAUUUGAUUUAACGCAUAAUUACGGCAGUGAACAUAAACAAAGAUUAAUCACUAAUAAUCACCAUCAUAUCAUUUGUAUAUAUGAUUGAAUCCAUUUCCAGCAAUAACCUCAAAUGUUUCAAAACAUAAUUUUCCAAAUGAGGCAGCAUUAAGGAAUCCAGCAUUUUUGAACAAAUAUAAAGAGUAAAGAUUGAAUAGCUAACCAACUUAGAGAUUCAGCCCUAUAAAGCGAUUAUAUAUGAAUACUAAUUGGACACACGUGACUCAUGCUAGGGUUUCUUUUAUUUAUUUGUUUUUUUUAUGACAAGUAACUCAUGCUUCUAAGAUCAAAGAGAUGUGAACAAAAACAAAUUAAAUCUACUUAAAAAAACAAAAAUAACGAAUUAAAAUUAACUACUCGUGAUCUGAUACCUCUUGUAGCAUGCGACACCUCCAGUUUACUACUCCGAAGCGCCUCUGUACUCGCACCAAAUUGAAAUCUCAUCACACGCAUAAACAAAAAAGACUAAAUCUAAUAAUCGAAAACACGUACGCAAGUGAAGUCAUCCGAUGAUGCAAAAACUAAAAUCCCGUAAAUUUUUCCAAAAAAAGGUGCAAAUUAAGGCAUAAUUAACCAUCGACCGAACAAAUUCGGAUUGAAUACGAUUUCAGAAUCAAUAAUACGCAACAAUUACGUCGAAAUUACGAGAAUUAGGGCAUAAUUCAUUGAAAAAGUUGCGGUGGGUUUCUUCGCAAAUAGACUCAUCUCUUGUCCAGAGAAGGAACGAGCGAGAUCGAGAGAUGGAGAGGAGAGAGAUCGAGGUAUGAUGUGAUAAAUCCUAAGAAAUUAAGCUUAAAUUGAUCGAAAAAUAAUAUAUGAUAUAAUAAUAUAUAAAUAAAUAUAUUUCUAAUGUGAACUCGCAAAUAAAUAAAUAAUAAAUAAAAUAAAAGAUAUUUUUAGCCAAUAUUUUCUCAUGUAAAAAAUAUAUAUUUUUUUAACACUGUUGUUUUGUGUGACUUUUUGAUGACCAGUUUUUUUUUUUAAAUUAUAGAUAUAGAUCACAUCUAUNUUUUUUUUUUCACUGUCUGUGUAUGGUGUGUACACCGCGGUGCACGCAAAACUUUUCUUGUCCCGCCCUUAGGAAAAUGAAAAGAGGGCCACGAUCUGCUGCAAACCAGUGGCUGUACUCGGUGCAUAUUUAGGAUUGUGAACCGCGCAUGUUUCAGCCGUUCACUUCAUAGGUGGAGACUAAGUCGACGGUGCAGAUUUAAACAUGGAAUGCAUGACAUGAACGGUUGAUAGAUUGGGUGGUGCACGAGUGUACGGAUGCAUCAGGUGCAGGCGAUAGUGGUCAACCAAAUUUUAACUGCUAUAUUUGACCUAAAUAGUUGGUGAUGAAGAAGAAGAAUAUUUUGUAUUUUUUUAAAAUGAAAAAUAUUUUGGACAACAUUUUUAUACUGUGCGCAGAAUUUUUUUUUCGCACAAAAUAAUAUAUUUCCAUCUAAUAGCAAAGAUGUAUUAUGUUGCUUAUAGUGAAGUUAUCCGCGUACUACGGCGGGCUAAUACUAUAAAAGAUAAAAGAUUGGAAAAGUUAAAAAUUCUAAAAUUUUUUAAAACAUCAAUAAAUACAAACUAAAAAUAUAAAACAGAUAUAUAUAAAUAUAGCAAAACUUAUAAUAGAUACGUGACAAUAAUGAAAGAAGUGGUAAUAGAGUUGCUACUGCAUACGCACCUUGAUCGUGCUGCCGAGAUCGGAGAGGCGAUUUUCGUUCUCUGCGUUGCCACCACGGCCAUUGUCGGCGUCGAGCUUCUCCUUCGUGACAGCCACGUCGAUGCCGUACGUAUCUCCCCACACCUACCGCUUCUUCCCCCUCAUUGAAUCCAAAUCCAUAGCACUUCACUUCGCCGCGCAGCGCAAUCCUUGAAACCCAAAUUUCAACCCUACACAAUUUUAAAAAAUAAUAAAAAAAUAUAAAAAAAUAUAAAAAAUGAACCAUUCUUAUGCACCAAAAAAAAAGCGAUAAAAAAGAGUAUGAAGAAAUUUUAUUUUACUCUUUUUUAAUUUUAAGCGAUUUGUUUAGAUAAAAUUGAUUAUAUAAAUACAUUAAUUAGAAAGUUGACGGGUAGGAAGACGAAGCAUCAGGCAGUUGGAAGGGCGUGAAGGAGGAAUUGCCAUGUCGCAAAUUCUAUGUAAAAUAAUGUAUAGAAAUAUAGAUGCACCAAAAAAAAGUAAAAAGAAAACAAUGUGAUAAAAAAGAGUAUGAAGAAAUUUUAUUUUACUCAUUUUUUUUAAAAGUGAUUUGUUUAGAUAAAAUUGAUUAUGUAAAUACAUUAAUUAGAAAGUGUACGGGUGGGAAGACGAAGCAUCAGGGAGUGGGAAUGUAGCACACUGAACUUUAGCAAAUUGUAAGGUUUUAGCGUUGGAAUAGUAUUUUUUGAUAUUCCCGAAAUUCUUGAGGAUCGUUGACUGUGUUCCGACCUGCUACUCGCGUCUUGAGAAGCGAGGUUGAGUACUUAGCACCAAAACCUCCAAAUUGUAGGUUUUGAGGUGCUGGGUACCGGUACCAGAGAAGGGGUAUUGGAAUCACGUCGCGUAACCGAGAGGGGUGCUCUCGGGUUUGAGCCCUGCGAGGCAGAGUACCGGUACUGCAUUGCCCGAGUACCAGUACUGGACCUGGUACCGGUACUGCAUCGAGCGGGUACUGGUACCCUGUGCUUUAUUCGCUUGACAGAGGUUCGGGUUUGCACGUUCGACUGCGGGUGCUGAUACUCCAGCCUGCGUACCAGUACGCAAUGCAGUCCGCAGACUGCAUAUUUUUCAGGAGUCUUUUUGAGAUUGUAGCAUCUCUAUAAAUAACCCAUACCCUUUAGAGGGGUUCCCUGUGCUGGAACCAGAGGAGAAGAGGUAGAGAGCUCCUCCCCUUCCUCUCUUUGAUUUUCCUUCUCUUUUUGUAUGAUUUUUGGUGGUUUGAUCUCCUCUUUUUGUUUCUUUUUCAUGGGUGUUGCUCCUUGGACCAUGGAAAAGCUUUGGAGUGAGGGAUUUAAGCAUGUUUGAGGAAAGAUCUCCAACCCUAUCAUCUUCUAGCUUGGUUUGGAGCUUGGGAAAAUGUUAGUAACAUUUCUACUACUUGUGAUUGUGGUUUUACUUGAGUUUUGGGAAGAAACACUAGUUAUGAUAAAACUAGGAUUUUAUUCCUUUGAGGUCAAAUUGAUGGGUGUAGAACUCUCUUCUAGGUUGGAUUAGAAGUGUUCUAACUCUCAUUUGGAUUAGAAAUAUUCUUGACAUCCUUACCUUUACCUUUUUGCUUAUUUUUCAAAGCAUAACAAUCCUUUCUCACAUGACCCGUCUUCUUGCAAUACUAACAAGUAAGUUUUCUACCUUGUGAUUUUGAUAUUCUUUUACUUUGAGAUCUUCUCUUUGUGUUGGAAUAUUGGCCUCGCUUCGGCGACCUUCCUCUUUCAUUAAUAGUUAGUGCUUGACUCAAAUCACUAGACAAUUGAUUUGUAGCUUUACGAGUUUCCUCAUUCAACAAUGAAGCAACAGUAUUAUUCAACUUGAAUUUGUUCCCCAUUGUGUUCGCCACCAUCGUAACAAGAGUACCCCAACUUGAAGGUAAAGAACUCAAAAGUAGUAAACAAAGGACUUCGUCAUCAAGGUUAAUUUUGAGAGACUUCAAUUGUGCCGCAAUAGAGUUGAACUCACUCACAUGCUUACGAAUAGUAGAACCUUCUUGCAUCUUCAAGAGAAAGAGUCGCUUCAUUGCAUGCAUCUUGUUCACACUCGAAGGUUGCUCAAACGAUUGCUCCAAAGUCUCCCACAAUUCGGAUGCGGUCUUGCAUUGAUAGACAUCAAACAAGAUCAAUGAUGAAAUGCAUGGUCUAAUCGUCGCCAAACAUUUUUGGUCAAGUAUAUCCCAUUCAUGAUUAUCCAUACUAGUGGGCUUUGCACCUUUUCCCAAUAUUGGUAAAUCAAGCUAUUUUGCAACCAAAUAAUCCUCUAUCAUAAUUUUCCAUAUAGGCCAAUUGCUCUCAUUCAACUUCUCAAAUUUCAUAGCUUUCUCCAUUUGAAAAAUGAGUGAAUAAAUAUAAAUGAAUACUUAGAUAGCCACCAAUCAAGCUCUGAUACCAAUUAUUGUUAAAUGAGGUGAAAAAUAUUGAUGGCAAUUUCACAAACACUUGGUAGGCAAUUUCACAAUCCACUCUCUACAAGCAUCCAAUUAAGAGCAAUCACAAGAGCAAUAACAAAGUAAAUCGAAUCACAAGGACACAAGGAUUUACGUGGUUCGGCUAUGCCUACAUAUAUCCACGGGAGAACAAUGCAAAAUAAACUUCCACUAUAAAUUUAAAAAUUACAAGAGAGAUUCAAAUGGGAGAAAUAUCAUCUUAACUCUAAGGUAUAAAACAGAGCUCCAACAAUCUCUAGCUCUAUCCAAAUAGUGUAAACUACACCUCACAAGAUAGAUCUCACCUCCUUCUUGAUAGAACUAAGAUUAAAAUCAACUCUAGGGUUUUCUCUCUUUUCUCCGACUUCUUUUUUCACUCUUUACUUUUCUCUCUUAUUCUAAUAUCCCACUUUAGCUCCCUAAGAGAAAAGGCUAACAAUAUAGGCCUUUGGAUCAAAAGAAUCAUGAUCCAAAGGCUUACAAAUAGAGGGACACAUACAUGAUAAGAAAAUAUAGAAAGAGAAGAUUUUGACUUCACCAAAUUACAUAGCUUAAAUAGCAAGGCCCAAAUAACAAAUAGACCCAAUGUAAUUAGCUCAACAAAAGCUUAUCACAACUCACACUACCGGCACAAAAAAUUUUGUACGUCUAAAUCAUGAUGAGGUAUAUAUAUUUUUUUGAAAUACACAAGCUAAAUAUGUGUUAUUUAUUAUAUUAUUACUGUUUAGCAUAGUGCAGAAAGAGGAGUGAAAGAGCUUUCUAAAGUAGAACUUUUCAUGUUAGUCCACACUAAAAAGAACAAAGAACCAAUGAAUAAAGUAUCAAGUGAUCACAUUUUGGGUAUGUUUAGUUCGAAGUCGGAAUCGAAAUUAGAAUCGAAAUCGAAAUAAGCUAGAAUCGGAAUCAGAAUGACUCAUUGCCUAAUUCUGUUAGGUUCAUCACCUGAAUCGGAAUUGGAAUAAAUCAUUCCCAUUGUCAGUGUUUGAAUUCAUAAAUUUAAUUUAAAUUUUAAAUAAAAUUUGAAUAAAAUUUUAUAUAAAUUAAAAUUUAAUUUAAUUUAAAUUCAUAGGUUAAUUUGAAAUACUUGAUGAAAUUUUAAUUUUUAAUUCAAAUUCAAAUUAAAAUUUAAAAUUAUAUAUUUAAUUUCUAAAUUUAAACUUAUAGUUUAAUUAAAAAAAUUGAAAAAAUAAAUUUAAUCUGAAUAAAUAUCCAUUCUGUUCAGAGUCAACUUCCAAUUAGGAGGCCGAAUUGGAAAAAAGGGUGAUUGUGGGAUUCCCACUACACUCGGGAAUCAGAAUCGGAAUGGGACUCCUGCUUACCAAACACCGAUAAACGAAUUUGUCCAUUCCGAUUUCGAUUCCAAGGUGAAAAAAAGAGCGAACCAAACACGCCCUAUAUAGAUUGACAAAUAUUUAUCAUAUUUUUAUUUUCUAAUAUAUUUUAUUGUUAACUGUAUUGUAAUAUAAUGUCAUUUGUAGAAAUGGAUAAGUGAGUUUCAAAAUAAAUUAUUGGAAGAUAACAAAGAAAACCUAAGAUAUUUUUUUCCAAGUAUUUGGAAAAGAGAAAUAUGGAUGCAUGGGUGGUUUGCCGUUUAGGGCCUGUUCCCUCUAAAUUAUUUAGACUAAAGCAUACUAAUCAAACAAACUUACGGAUGAUUAGAGAUGCUAGAAUUGAAGCUAGAAUUGAAGCUGAUAAGAAAAAUGAUAUGCUCAACAAGAAAAUUCACAACAUGGAAGAAAAAUAUAAAAAAUGAUGAAAAUUUUUUGACAAUGAGGAAAACUAUAAGAAAGUUAUGGCCAGUAUUUACUAGUAUGCAGCAACUUAAGACAAGUGAACCCCACUUGAUGAUCUACAUACUUCACAAUCCGACAAUUGAAAGAAAUGACAUGUAUUUUAAAAUCAGUUAUAUAUUUAUAUCUUUAUUAUCUUAAUAUUAUGAUAAUAAAUUUUUUUGCAUAUAUAAAAUUAUGAAAAUUAAGGUUCUCUCCAAAAAAAAUUUAAAAUAAGAAAUUGAAUUAUCUUCUUCCAAUCAUCAUGUUCCACCACUUCAUGUAUAUAAAUGUAUACAAUAUGAUAAAAUAUAUUUUUUUGCUUAUAUAUCUAUUCAAAUUAUUACUGUCGUUGAAUAAAGAUGUUUAAAAGUCGAUAUUUAAAAGUGGAUUCUGUUUACAGGAAUCUAAAGUGGAUUCUGUGUACAAGAAUCUAAAGUGGCGAUCGUCUGUUUACAAGAAUCUAAAGUGGAUUCUGUGUCCAGAUCUUUUCUCCGGUCUUGUUGCGGUUCAAAUUUCGAUAGAUGCCACCUUAUUCCUGCUUGUGGAGCCUCUGGUGGUUUAAUUACUUGUUGAAAUUCCAAAUACUUCUUAUGUAAGGAGGUAAUAGUUCGUGAGUACUCGCUUACCCUUAAUUUGAAGCAUUUCGCCAGCGGAAAGAGCUUUUACAUUUCAAAUGUGUACGGGCCACCAACAUGGGACGGAAAAGAAGAGUUUUGUGCGGAACUUCUCUCUCUCAGCGGGAUUUGCUUCAGCAACUGGGUCAUUUGCGGGGAUUUCAACCUCACCAGAAACCAAGCAGAACGAACUGGAAAUCCGUGGAGUACUAGAGCGAUGGACAUGUUCUCAGACCUCAUAUCGAAUCUCGAACUCAUCGAUCUGCCCAUCGCUAAUCAAAAAUUCACUUGGUCAAUUAUGCAACGUUCACCAACACUGGCCAAGUUAGAUAGAUUUCUUGUCUCGACGGAAUGGGACCAAAUCUUCCCGCACUGCAGGGUAUCUGCGCUCCCUAGGAUUACCUCCGAUCACACCCCGUUACUUCUCUCUACAGGGACGACGCCAACUUUGCAGAGAUUUCGGUUUGAGAAGGUCUGGCUUACUAAGGAGGACUUCUCCAACAAAGUACCAAUCUGGUGGAACGAAGUCACCGAUAAGAAGUCGGCUAUACUCACUUUAACAGCAAAACUCAGACACUGCAGAACUAGGAUGAAAGAAUGGUGUAAGACGAAUUUUUAUAGUAUAUCCAACGCCAUUAGGUGUCUUCAGGAGGAAAUCCGAAGUAUUGACCUAUUGGAGGAACAUAAUAUAUUGACUCAGGAAUUUCGGGAUAAACGGGUCGACCUUAAAUCACAACUUCAACUCAUCCUUAUGGAGGAAGAAAUUCUCUAGAAAACGAGAGUGAAACAGCACUGGCUUAAGGAAGGUGACAAUAACAAUAAAUUCUUUCACGUGGUGGCCAACGGUCGAAAGCGCAGUAAUGCGAUAGAGUCUAUUGUAGACGCCAUUGGAAGACAAAUCAACAAUGACGUUCAAAUGAGAUCCUAUUUUUUUCAUUCCUUUAAAUGACUUUUUGGGAGGGUGGAAGAAGAGCCGUCAUCUUUUGGAGAUUGGAGCGACCUGUAUCGGGCAGACUUCCUAUCCGACCCGGACUCCCUUACUAGCCCCUUUACACUAGACGAAGUUAAGAAGGCCACAUUCCAAUUGGGGAGUGACAAGGCCCCCGGACUCGAUGGAUUUUCUCUUAUAUUUUUCAACAUUUCUGGGAGACGGUUAAGGAGAAUAUUUUAAAUAUCUUCAGAGAUCUCCAAGAUAAUGCUCUCGACACGACCCCAAUAGACUAUUCAUACGUGUGUCUAAUUCCUAAAAAGGAAGGAGCGAGUCAAGUUAAUGACUUCCGACCGAUUAGUCUCAUUAAUGGAAUUCAAAAGAUCAUCUCUAAAGUGCUUGCAAACAGACUGGCGCCCAUUUUACCGAAGACUAUUGCUCCAUCACAAUCGGCCUUUCUGAAAGAUCGACUACUAGCUGACUCUUUUGUCACUGCAAGUGAACUUCUCAACUGGUGCGCAAAAUCCGAUAAGGAGUGCGUUAGUAUUAAGGUUGACUUCGAGAAAGCUUAUGACAAUGUUAGUUGGAAUUUCCUGCAAAGCAUACUGAGGUGGCUUGGGUUCAGCGACAAAUGGUGGGCCUGGAUCAAACAAUGUAUCGGUAACGCUAAACUCGCUAUCUUAGUAAAUGGCUCGUUGUUUUCCCGGAAAAAAAAAAUGGUGUGAUCGGAAAACCGAGAAAAAUGUAAAUAAAUAAAUAAGAAUGGGGGAGUGGAGAUUUAUUAAGGGGUGCAGCUUUUUCUUCCCCUUUUUUUUUUUUUUACUUUUGACUACACAUUUCUUAAAAGCAAGAUAAGAAAUAUAUAGCAUAAAAAUAACAAUAACCAGAGAUAAAAGAGUUCAUGCUUUUCAGAUACCCGCAGGUACCCGAUUAAUUGCGCCCUUUACACUAAGGCCACCUCCGAUUAAGCUGGUCAAAAUACCCUUUUCUAAAUAAUAAUAAUAUAUAUAUAUAUAUAUAUAUUUUUUGGCUGGACCAUACUAAUAAUAAUAAUAAUAACAACAAUAAUAAUAAGUGCCCAUGAACUAUAUAUAUAUAUAUAUAUAUAGUUAAUAACUUAAAAUAUUUCUAUAUAACAUACGUACAUGUAUAUAAUAUACAUGUAUGUAAUAUAUAUAUAUAUAUAUAUAUAUAGAGUCCGGCUACUAUGCUAUUGGUAGCACGAAGCGCUCCGUGCUACCAAGUUGUUUUCGAUCAUGCGGCUUCCAAAUCGAUGAUCGGCUCCGUUAGACUUGAUCUACACUAUUGAAACUAUUUGGAAACUAAAUUUCAGAUUUUUUCGACAUCAUUUGACUAGUGAUCAAAAGAUUUCAAAAUUGACAAUUUUAAUGGCCGAUGUGGUGUGUUUGUGAGUUUAACGGUGUAAAACAAUCCAAAUGCGAUGAAAAUUUUAUAGAAAAUUCUUUUCACUAUUUAGAGUAAGAUCAGUAUAUUUGAUCUUGAAUUUAAAAUUUUAUCAUCAUUUUCAUGAGAUUUUUAUUUUCAGCCGUUCAAUUUUAAACUACUUGUUUGAUAGGUAAAUGGUAUCGAAAAAUUAUAAAUUUAAUUUCCAAAAUACUUUUAUAGUGUAAUUAAGUCCAACGGAGCCGAUCUGUCGAUUGGAAGCCGCAUAUCGAAAACAACUUGGUAGCACGGAGCGCUCCGUGCUACCGAUAGUAUAGUAGCCUAGUUCUAUAUAUAUAUAUAUAUAUAUAUAUAUAUAUGAAAGCUACAUUAGCUGCAACUAUCUAAUAUUAUGAAAAAUGAUUAAAAAAAUACUGUGUGUACUUAAUAGUCUCCCCUUCUGUUUUUUUUUAAUUAUAAAUAAGUUUCAUUAUUAUUAUUAUUAUUAUUUUUUUGCUUAACAUAAAAUAUUAUUAAAAUAAAAGUUAUGGGUACAUUUUAAAGUAAGCAAAGGAAACAAGAUAAUCCACCCCUUUUCUUGUUUUUUGUUCUUUCUUGCUCCCAGACAAGAAUGUUAUGGGUUCGGUUGUGGGUUCGGUCCUUGUCCUUGAUGGUGUGGAGGCUCGGGCGACCAGCAGCAAACACGGUGAGUUUGGCCGGCGUCAACGAUGGACACAACGGCAACAACGGGUCAGGUGGCGUUGGCGGCUUGAGCAGCGACGGUAGCGGUGGACUCAGCGGCUCGGUCGACGAUGGCGGGGGCGCGGCUCGGACGGCGUCGGCGGGGUACGUGGCAGCAUCGGCGGCGACGGUAGCAGUGGACUCAGCGGCUCGGUCGACGAUGGCAGGGGGGCGCGGCUCGCACGGCGUCGGCGGGGCACGUGGCAGCAUCGGCGGCGACGGCCGACGUGAUGGAUGCGGCGGCGGCGGCUCCCCUCCACUAACUAUAUGUUAUUAUUAUUAUUAUUAUUAUUUUUUGCUCUUCUCUUCUUCUUCUUCUUCCCCUCUUUUUUUUCUUUUUUUAAAAAAAAAAAAAAAAAAGCAAUGCAACUGGGAGUGUAUUUGCACUGGGUGUCCGUCCUCUCCCCUCGCACUACUUCCCCCUCACUAUUUAUAGAGCUUGGAGGGGUGGGUUUGCUCUGGAAGUGAUGAGAAAGAGAGAGAAAGAGAGAGACAGAAAGAGACUAAAAGGAAGAGGGAGGAGAGAAGGAGAGAGAAAGACAGAAAGAAAGAGAGAGAGAGAGAGAGAGAGUAAGAAAGAGAGAGAAAGAGAGAGAGAGUAAGAAAGAGAGAGGAAGAAAGAGAGAGAGAGAGAGUAAGAGAGAAAGAGUCAGAUUUUUCUCUCUCUCCCCAAUUCUUUUCUCUUUUCAUAUUAUAUAUAUAUAUAUAUAUAUAUAUAUAUAUAUAUAUGAGUUGAGCUAGAAUACUCUCGAUAGUAAACGGAGCGUUUUACUAUCGAGUUGUUUUCGAUGAUAGAGCUUCCAAAUUGACGAUCGGCUCCGUUAAAUAUGAUCUAAACUAUUUAAACUACCUAGAAAUCAAAUUUCACGCACUUUCGAUAUUGUUCUUUUAUCCAUCUAGUGAAAUAUAUAUUAUAUAUAUUAGGUAGUCCAGAUUUGGAUCAAAACUAGCCUAAGUUUCAGGAGUAUAACCCAGCAUUGCGAAUAAGGAUCACAGUUGCAUAAUGCUGGAAUGAAAAAGGGUGGAGAUGGCGCUUCAUAACUACAGGCCAUAGCUACAUCGAAUAUCAAUAGUCGCCAUCAGAUUAGUUUUGAUCAAAAACCUACUUGCCCUUUUAGCCAACUGACACACCGGAUAUACUAAACUGGCGUUGGACCGUGCAACCAAAUUUUACCGUUAAGUCCCUUAUGAAUUCAUCACCGACGCAGGUCAGGGAGCCCAAUGUAUGAGCAUCUUUGGAGGUUAAAAUUCCGGUCAAAAUCAAAAGUCUUUAUUUGGAUUCUGCUGCGCAAGAGACUGCUAACACAGACAGAAUGAUCUGCAGAGGAUGCCUGGUGGAUCAAUUUUGCAUUUUGUGUGUUUCUUUCCAGAAACCUACGACCACUGUUUCGGGACUGUAUCUUGGUUAGAUACAUCUGUAUUUGUGCGAAGUUCAGAUGCAAGCGAAUCGGAUGCCGGGGAUGUACGGAGGCUAUGGACAGAUACAUCUAACAUACCCAAUGCCGCCACGAGAUGAAAUGUUUAUAACCCGUUUGCGGCAAUCUGGUGGGUCGUCUGGACUGAGGCAACAACACUAUCUUCUGCGAGGUGCUUUCCAAUGCUACCCGGGCUCUUGAACGUGUCGGUUCUUUGACCAAUGCCUGGAACGGAGCCCUUGCCCUUGUUGUCCUUCUUUCAUGCUCGGUCCCACUUCUUCAUUUUCGUUAUCCACCCCGCUGUUGGGUAAAAUUUUAAGCUAGCCCAUAAAAAAUGACAAAAGAAAAAUAUAUAUAAAAGAGAUAUUUUAAGCCAGUUUCAAGUCCACAUAUAUAUAUAUAUAUAUAUAUAUAUAUAUAUUAGAAAAUGAGAAGCAUUUUUUAGUCUUGAAAAGUAAAAGAUAUUUUAUUGGGUUAUGAUUUAGAUUCGUGCAUACUGCAUAGUAGAGUGGAAAAGGCCUCCUAUUCGGGCAAAUUUUUACCAACAUUCAAUGUUGAGGCCUGAUAAGAAAGAGAGAGAAAAAGAUAAAAAAAAAAAAAAUUCCUUGCAACUUCCCACUACUCAAGUCUAUGUAGCAAACUUUCUGAUGCAGAAGCAGUAGUAGUCAGAAUAGACUAGAACCUAUGUUGACGAAUUAAACUGUUUUAGUUCAUCUAAGUUGUUAGAAAAAUUAUUAAUUUGGUAGAAAUUUUAUAUAAAAGUUAUUAAUUUUAUUGUUAAAAUUUUAUCUAAAAGUUGUUAGAAAAGUUAAUAAUUUGGUAGAGAUUUUAUUGUUAGAAUUUUUAUUUUGAGCUUAUUACUGUCAGGAAAAGCACUUUAAAUAUUCUCUACAUUGGACGAUAAAGAAUUAAUAAAAAAAUUUUUAUUUUUUAAAAUGAGAUGUGUUCUUUAAUUUUUUCUUCGCGAAUGCGUCGUUUUGGAGUGAGUCCAGUUCCGAAGUGAGUUCGGUUCAGGAGUGAAUCCUGAUUAUCUUUUCUAUUUCUUUCUUUUUUUGAAUUUUUCUAUUUUCUUUAAUUUUUAUUUUUUUAAUUACGAAAAUUUCCAAAAAAAAUAUUUCAAAAAUUUUCAAAUUUUCAAAACGCUUUCAAAAUCAUAAAUUAUUUUCUGGAGCCCUCUAAAAACAUAGAACUCUAUAUCCCAUCCUGCGUCAGAUUUGGUAUCAGAGCCUAGGCUAUUUGACAGUUCUAUUUCGUUAAAAGUUUUAGGCUUGGGAUGAAAACAACGUGGAAAUUGAAAAAAAAAAUUGAAAGAAAAGUGUGGAGAAAAAAAAAUGGAGAGUGUGUAAAAGAAAAAAAAAGGAAAAAAAAAUAUUAUGGAUGCAAAAGAAUGUCUUAAAAAAGUUUUUCAAAAGUAUGGUAGAAUAAAAGGAAUUCAUAUUGAGUCUUUAAAAGAAAUAUGCGAGAUGACAGGAGUAGAGUUUGAUGAAUGGCUGUACGAUCAGAGGUCAUAUUUUGAGAUAAAAAGAAAUGAUAUUCGGAAGGAAAUACUAAAUGACUUGAGAUGGUAGUAUGGACAAAGGCAAAUAUCGCAUCUUGAGUUUAACAUAAUAUUUUUGGAGGAAGAAGAAAGAAGGUUGAAAGAUAUUGAAAAUGGUGCUAAAAUUACUGAAGAUGGUUUUCGAUGGAUGGGUAAUGUCAGAGAUGAUUAUCGAUGGAUCCAACUAAAAGUUCAACUGGAAACCCUAGUUGCUUAACAGAGAGUACCGAGUACACAACCUAUAGCAUAGUUGGAAGUCGACAAUUCUGAUCCAGUUUCAUCCACACCAUCCGAUAGCCAAGAAAUUCCAGAUGUGGUUGAGCCCGAGUUAGAUUUAGAAAAUCCAGAGUUGAUUCAUGAAGAUAAGGUAAAUCAGUGUGUUGAGGAGGUAAGAUUACAGAUCGAGUUACUCGUACUGCUCCAGCAAUAUGAGUCCACUGUAUUAGAGCUUCAGAUUUCAUCGAAAGCAUAUUUCUUAUUGGUAUCAAACCUUACGAAAUCUCAUGAACUUGUCAGUUGUUCUUCCUACUUCAAUACCAAACCGGAAGCUCAGAUGAUACAAGUGGCUCGACAUGCAGGCAUUGGGCUGCAUCACUUUAUUCUACACACUUGGUUGUUUCUUAUAUAUCCUCCUUACAAAUCUAACUAAUCUCGAGGACGGGAUCCUGUGCAGCGGAAGCGAAUGAUGCAGAACAGACUUGAACCUAUGUUGAUCGGAUUAAACCGAUUUAGUUCAUCAAAUUGUUAGGAAAGCUGUUAAUUUGGUAGAGAUUUAUAUAAAAGUUGGAGAUUUUAUUGUUAGAAUUUUUGUUUUGAGCUUAUCACUGUCGGAAAAAACUUUUUAAAUAUUCUCUACAUUGGACGAUAAAGAAUUAAUGAAGAAGAAUGUUAUUUUUUAAAAUGAGAUGUGGUCUCUAAUUUUCGUUCGUAUUUAUGUGUCGACCGGAGCAAGUCCGUAAGGAGCGAGUCCCUUAUCUUUAUCCUUUCGUUUUGCAAUUUCUCCUCCGACUUGAAACCCAGCACCAUUAAUACGCCUGCUGCCAGCACAUCACCGCCAUCUGCUGCCAGCGUCAUCAACACCACCUAUUGCCGUCAAUUGAUGCAUCUGCUGCCAGCACCUUUGACAAUGCCUGCUGAUAGUAGCACCGGCUCCAUCCGCACUUCCUUCAUCUCCCAUUAUUAUUGUCAUCGCUAAGUGUGUCCACCGUCGUUAUCUUCUACCUUUUAUUUAAUUUUUAUUUUUUUUAAUUACGAUUUUUUUAAAGCAUUUUAAAACUUUCAAAAUUUUAAAACGUUUUCAAAAUCAUAAAUUAUAUUUUAGAACCGUCUAAGAAUGUAGGACCUACAUCCCAUCCUGCGUACCUGCGUCACUUUCCAUUACUCCAUCUACAACUACCCACUCCAGCACACCUCCUCAAAAGGAAAAAUUCUAGAAUGCAACGGGUAUAUUGGUGACGUGGUGUACCAAACCAAUCAAAUGUCUCUUUUUAAAAGUAUACGUCCCAUCAGGAUUGCAAAAAAUAUUUUUAUUAUACUUUUGUUUGAAAAGAAGGAAUGUGAUUGGCUUGUUAUUGAUGACGUGGUGCAAGUGUGAUAGUGUAGAAUACCUCCCUCAAAAGGACGUGCUCGUAUCUUUGGAAAUAGUGCAUCUAUAAAUUUGAUAUUUUUUGCUCAUUAGGAAGGGGGAUGAAGCCCAACAUCCAUUUCCAACUAGAUUAAUUACACAAGGCACAACAGUCCUCCAUAAUUAGAUGUUGGAUAAGACCCAGUAACAGAGCCCGAACCGCACCGCCUGCGGCUUUCCAUCCUGACGUUGCCGCAACAACUCUAAUGCCGGCGUCGCUGCGCCUCAACUUACAUGCUGUUGCGGCCUUCACCAACGGCGAUGCUCUUAACUCGUGUGCCGCCGCGGUUCGACUUCUACGUGUCCAACUCGCAUACCGCUGCAGACCAGCAUCAACGCCUUCGACUCGCGCGCCGUCCCAAACUACCAGCGACGAUGUGAUUGAGGCCUCCUACUCUAAUGCUGCCAUGAAAUUAAGCUCGAGCAUUGCCGCGGAGUGCAACUUUGGCAUGCCCAUGGCCUUCAAGACCGACACAACCGUGGGCUAUAUAACUUUGGUGCGCCUACGACCACUGCAUCGAACAGAGUCACGACCUCCAAUUUAGCUGACAUUACGGGUCCCAACCUGAUGUAGAAGUUACCUCUAGUUGAGGCGUCACCAAAGUUGCAAUCUCUAACACUAUGUGUCAGAUCUAUCGCAUGUUUGACGUAAUGCCCAAGACAAAUCUUUGCCUGGGUAUCUACGGGCGCACCAUCGACAAUCAUGGAGGAGCACCGAAACUAUCAAUCUUCUGCUUUGGCGCUUAGCCGUCAACAGAAGAGAAGACCCAGCAAUGUCACGCCCCGAUUUCAUAGUGGAAGCCUGUGGGGACGUCAACAGACUCGCCGAACGGACAGAGUUUUUUCUCUCUGCACGAAGCGACCAACGAGAUAGAAGCAGUAAUAAGGGAAUCAAAGGGUCAACAUUAACGAUUCUAGAGUCCACAACUAAACACAAAGUAUCUGAGUGAUUUAUGUAAAACUAAACUAAACAACUACCACUAUUCAUACAAAUAUACAACCAUACAUUUCAAAAUAAAGAUACAUAAGUAAAGAUCCUGGCUUCACCAGUCCUGAUGUACAUUACAUAAUCUCAAAAUCAAUUAGCUGGUGGUCCUCUAUAUACACAGGUUGGAGAUGCAUGCUACCUAUGGCGUGAUUCUCUUAACUCGAUGAUCCGUUGGUGUAGCUGUAUUUGAAAAGUAAACAAUAAAAAAGUGUGAGAACUACUAGACGGUAGUUUCGUAACAACCACGACCUUCCUACUGGGUCUACUAGAGAUAAGAAUAGGAAAAAAAAAGUAGUAUAGUAUACGAUCAACUAAGCUACAAAGUAUGAUAAAAAAGAAAAAUACUUUUACUAACAUCAUGCCUCUAGACAUAUAUCCUAUCUAUCAUGCUUCUAUAAAAGUAUACUGUCUAUCAUAUCUCUAUACAUGAAAAAUGCGAUAAUAAAGCCGUCUGAUAUAUGCAUCAACUCCAAUAUUGAUAAAUAGGAACGGUACACCGUACAAAGUAAAUAACCAUGCCAUGUAUCCACUAGUGUACUAAUGUUGAGUGUAAGGUGUCACCCGGUCAUAUACAUGCAACCCUAUCAACAUACUGUGACCCAAUCAUAAACUGACCAACUCGUAGGUCACAUAUGUAAGGAACAAAAGACAAAGUGACUAGAAUAUGUAUCAAUGCUGAUACUAAUAAAUAAAUACAGUAAUAAUAUCUAAUCGCAACGACCGAGUCAUAGGUCCGGUCAAGCCUGCGCCUGCCUAGUGUCCAAACCGCAAUCCCGCAGGUGCGCCCGUUAACAUGUAGGCUCUAUCCCUAGCCCGAUCACCACUCCCACAGAUGGGUCGUCAUCCCAAGGGUAAAUAUCUCUGCAAUAACUGGCCAGCAUCAGGAGCGGCACUCGAAGGGGAGCAACCCCUACCGUAUCUAAUAGCAUGUAACUCUAUCAAGCUCAAUGUGGCUCUGUAGGCUAUGGUCUAUGCAAUGAUCAAACAAAUCACAAAUAACCAAUCUGCCUCGGCAUAAUCAUAAAAUGUCAACUAAGUCAUAUAUUACAGUAGUAUAAUCAUAUACCUCUCAAUAUCCAAGAUCUAUCAUAUGAACUAGAGUAUAUAUAAUGCAGAUGAACACUAGAUCUCUUACUAAAUAUGCAUAUGAUGUCCAGGGGUAUUUACUAAAGAUGCAUAUGUUGUCCAAUGGCCCUUCCCAGUCUAACUUAGUGUAUGCAACAUAAUAAACUAAUUGGUAAUUACUAAACUAAAGCAAUUCAACCUAUUGAUCAUAUAAUUAGACAUAGGUUAAUGUUUGCAUGAAUAUACUAUAUAUGUAAUCCAUUUCCUCUAUUUAAUUUCAAACUAAAACAAUUUUCUACGAAUAUAUAACCAUAUACAUACACCUACAAAUGCACCAUAGACAUAUACAUGAUUUAUUGCUCAAUUAAUCUAACAUCAACCAGCGUUCACAUGCAAUAUCUAAAUUUUCACCCUUCACUCACCUAUAUUGCCAUCACCACCCUCAAAGCGUGCAACCUGCAUUCAUAAACAUAUACAAAUAUAUGCAAAAUAGACGUAGAAGGAAGUUCGCUAUUUUCGGCGACACGGAACCCACCUAGAUUGCAAUCCAAAGAUGACAAUGAACAUAGGAGAUGCGAGCUGCUUUGCUGCAGUCUUCCCGGUCCUUACAGCAGCCACAACAUCAAAAAAAAUUCGCUCAAAAAAAUCCCGCAACGAAUCUCACGUGAAAUUAGGGAUGCCAAUGAGUAUGAAUAUCCGAAAUAUUACCCGAAUCCGAACCCGAACGGGGCGGGUUUAUCCGAGCUAAAUGGAUAUGGAUUCGGUUUACAUGGAAAAUAAAAACCCGACGAAUAUGGAUACGGGUAUGGAUUUUGUAUUUACCCGACCCGACACCGAACCCGAACCCGAAUAAAUUAUAUAUAUAUACAUACUUUAUUUUUAUUUAUUUAUAUAAUAUAUAAAAUAUUUAAUAAUUUUUAUCCCUUAGAUCUUAAUUUAACGGUAUGGAUUCUUAAAACCUGCCGGGUCCGGGUCCCGGUUUGGUCGGGUACGAAUAUGGGCAUGGAUUUUUAAAACCCGCCGGGUUCGGGUUCGGGUUCGGGUCCGGAUACGGGUUUUAAUUUGGUUUUCGGGUUCGGGUUCGGGUUCGGGUUCGGAUACGGGUUUUAAUUUGGUUUUUGGGUUCGGGUUCGGGUUUUUAAAAACCCGACCCAAACCCGACCCGUUGACAUCCCUACGUGAAAUCGACUCCUGAUUCACAUACAAAUCAAUACUAUGGACAAAGUAGAAAGUAACCAAGUGCUACUAAGUAGAUAUCUAUAUCUCACAAUGAAGUUCAAGUCUCUUGACUACAUAAAUAUGCGAUUUGGAAUAGAAGAUAAUUAACAUGUAUGUGGAAUUACUCAACAUGUGCUACAUAAGGUAUAUAACAAGGAAUAUGCAAUCAACAUGCAUAUAAUCGAAAUGCCAUGAUUCAUAUCACAAGUACGAGUUCUAAAUGUCAUAAUAAUCAGGGAAUCAACAUCGAUAAAGAAACACUGCAGCCAAAAAAAUUGAAAGUUGCAGUGAAGUUUAUCGACAAGUCUGAUUUAAUCGAUUCAUUUUUAGCUCUAACCGUAAUGGUUUCGCCUCAAAUUUCAGCUGUAGUUAGUUCACAUCCUUAAGAAUAUCUGUUCCCAAUUUCACAAUCUAAUUCAAAACGAUCAAGGAGAAAUUAGAAAACAUAUUACUUGCUGUCCUGCACUGACAUAGGGCUACUAAAACUACUAAAAGCCUAAUUUCUCUUGAAAUAUAACUCCGUUUAGUCUCAAAUUUAUAUAUUAUAAUCUCGACAUCCAUAGGUACUAAUCAGCGAAAUUUCAGAGUUUAAUUCCAUAUAAAACGGAAGAAAUUAAUAGAAGAAAUCUACUGUCAGCACUACUCUAACAGCAGUUUAAGCCAAUCUUUGUAUUCUCUUUUAUAUACCCAUCUAAUAAAGUAAAAUCAAAUUCAAGCCUUAACCAUACACAUCAAAUAAAAUAAAAUCAACUAUUUAGAGCAUCAAAUUCAAGCCUUAACCAUUUACAUCCAUAAAACCCAGCAAGAUAUUUACCUCUAUUACCCAAUCCAUUUUCUUUCAAUUUGUUGCCUAAUCAAAAGUUGGGUUGGCCUCCAAUAAAGCUUUCUUCCAAUUUUGCUAGAAUUUUCCACAAAUUUAUCACAAUUUUGCACCUAUUUGUGUGUGAGAAAGAAAGAAGAGGAUAAGGGAUUUUGAGAGGAGAAGAAAGAAAGAGAAGAUGGUGUCGGUUGGGGAAGGGAGAAAAAUCGGGUUAAUUACACAAGUACGUAGUCCCCAACCUUUGCAGUAAUUUUUAUUGGCCAAUUUGCCUAAAAAAUUCACUUAUUUUUGACUUUUCAAAAUCGGACCACCAUUUUCAUUUUUACAGAUUCGGUUCGUUUUUUCAGCAAACUGACCAAAAUACGCUUAUACUGUUCUCUCUCUCCUCUUUUUUUUCUCUCGUUCUUUUUUUCUUUCUCUUCCCAGAGAGCGGCGGAGACAGAGGCAGAGGCGGAGGUUGAGGCGAAGGCGGCCUGCUUUAGUUUUGUCUGACGCAUCCUUAUCCUCGCUCGCACACCCCCCGCCUUCCUCGCCUCUGACACCGCCGAGGCCGCGCUGCGACUUUUUUUUUUUUCCCCUCUCCGACCCUCCUCCACCGCCACCGACGACGACGACUAUCUCACACUCUCUCGCCUUUCUUACCCUUUCCCUCUCCCUCCUCCUUCACCUCUUCCGCCGCCUUCGACGAUGACACUUCUCCGCCGACAUCGGCGCCGCGGAGGAUUUUUUUUUUUUCCACUCCGACUCUCCUCCACCGUCUCCGACGACGACGCCUCUCUCGCCCUUCCCCACCCUUCUCGUCCUCUCCCUCUCCCUCCUCCUCUGCCGCCUCCGACGACGACGCAUCUUCGCCGACGCCGACACCGCGGAGGUCACUGCGGCACUGCAGCCUCAGAGCGGGGGGUCCUUAGCGGCGUCGUCGCCGGCGUCGUGGCUGUUAGCAGAGAGGGGUGACAAAAAAAAAUAUAGAAGAAGCAAGAAAAAAAAUAAAGAUAAAAAAUUAUAGAAAAAGAAUGAUGAAAAUGAAAUUACAUCGUUAACUGCAACAAAAAAUUAUAAGUUGCACUACUUAAGAUAAAACUGCAGCUUUAAGAUGAAAAUUACACUCUUUGGGAAAUAUUUACACUGUUUCUCCUCUUAUUGUACUCUUUCAGAUAUAAACUGCAUCCAUUAAGAUAAAAGUUAUACUCUUUAAACGAAAGUUGCACUCUUUGAGAGAUAUUUAUACUAUUUCUUCUCUUCUUGUACUUUUUUAGAUGUAACUGCACCCCUUUAAGAGAUAUUUAUACUGUUUUUUCUUUUGUUGCACUGUUUUUUCUUUUGCUGCACUGUUUUUCCUCUUAUUGCACUGUUUCUCCUUUUAAAGGGUGCAGUUUAAGAUAAAAAAUAGUAAAACAAGAGAAGAAAUAGUGCAACAAGAAUAGAAACAGUGCAACAAAAGGAGAAACAGUGCAACAAUAUGAGAAACAAUAUAAAUACUUUUUGAAGGGGUGCAGUUUACAUCUCAAAGAGUGCAAGAAGAAAAACAGUGUAAAUAUCUCUCAAAGAGUGCAACUUUCGUUUAAAGAGUGUAACUUUCAUCUUAAUAGAUGCAGUUUACAUCUGAAAGAGUGCAAUAAGAGAAAAAACAGUGUAAAUAUCUCCCAAAGAGUAUAAUUUUUGUUUAAAGAGUGUAAUUUUUAUCUUAAAGCUGCAGUUUACAUCUUUAGUAGUGCAACUUAUAAUUUUUUUCAGUUAACUAUGCAAUUUCAUCUUCAUCAUUCUUUUUCUAUAAUUUUUUAUCUUUAUUUUUUCUUGUUUCUUUUAUAAUUUUUUUUUCUUGUUUCUUCUAUAAUUUUUUUUUUUGUUACCCCUCUCUGCCAACGGCCACGACGCCGGUGACGACGCUGCUAAGGACUCCCUGCUUCGAGGCUGCAGCGCUGCAGUGACCUUCACGAUGUCGGUGUCGGCAUCGACGCCAGAGAAGAUGCGUCGUCGUUGGAGGCGGCAGAGGAUGAGGAAGAGGGAGAGGACGAGAAGGACGAGGAAGGACAAGAGAGACGUCGGGUCGGAGAUGGUGGAGGAGAGUCGGAGAGGAGAAAAAAAAAAAAGAGUCGCGGCGCGACCUCGGCUUGGUCGGAGGCGUGGAAAGUGGGGUGUGCAGGAGAGGAUAAGGAUGCGCCGGACAAAAUCGAAGCAGGCCGCCUUCGUUCUGUCUUUGCCGCUCUCUGGGAAGAGAAAGAAAAAAAGAACGAAAGAAAAAAAAGAGGAGAGAGAAAAAGGUAUAAGGGUAUUUUGGUCAGUUUGCUGAAAAAUCGGACCGAAUCUGCAAAAACAAAAAAUGUGGCCCGGUUUUGCAACAGCUCAAAAUAAGUGGAUUUUUUAUGCAAAUUGGCCAUUUUUUUUUAAAAGUCGCUAUGUCUCAAUCUUUUUCUGAAUUUUUUUGUUAUUUAUUUUCUAAUCUUGUAGUCUUAUUACAAUUACAUCAUAACUGUAAAAAAAAUAUUAAAAUUAACGGAAUCGCCACAUCAACGUCUAUUUGGCAUCCUUUUGCAUGUUAAGUUAGGUCCCUAAACUUUGCAUGUUUUUCACUUUAAUCCCUAAAAAUAAAAAUUUUAAAUUUUAAAUUUAAAUUAACAAAUAAUAUUAAAAUUAAAAUUUUAAACUAACGAGAAAUUAGAAUUUUGAAUUCGAAUUUAAAACUGAAUUAAAAUUUUGAAUUGAAAUUCAAAUUUUAAAUUUAAAUUUUUAAUUGAAUCUAAAUUUUGAAUUCAAACUUAAAAUUUUGAUUUUAAAAUCAUAUUCAAAAUUUUGAUUUUAAAUUUUAAAUUUGAAUUCAAAAUUUAAAUUUGAAUUUAAGAUUUGAUUUCAAUUAUAAAUUUGAAUUUAAACUUUGAAUUCAAAUACACAUUUUGAAUUUGAAAUUUGAAAUUGAUGUUUGAAAUCAAAUUAGAAUUUAGAAUUCGAAAUGUAAAUUUGAAUUUAAAAUUUAAAAUUUAAAAUCAAAUACAAAAUUGAAAUUUGAAUUCUAAUUUAAAUUUGAAUCCGAAAUCAAAAUUUAAAUUUAAAAUUUAAAUCUUAAAUUAAAAAUCUAUUUUUGAAUUUAUAAAUUUAAUGAGUUAAUUACACCAUUGGUCCCCAAUCUUUGCAUUGUUUCUCAAUUAGAUCCUCAACCUCUUUUUUUUUUUUGCAAUCUGCUGACAUAGUGCCACCGUGGCGCUGACGCGACACCUUUAUGACGCUGAUAUGGCGCCUUCGUGACACUGACAUGGUACUGACGUGAUAUUUUUCGUCAAUUUUAAUAUCUAUUUAACGGACGGGACUUAAUUGUAAUGAAAUCAAGAAAUUAGAAACUUGAUUGCAAAAAAAAAGGUUGGGGAUCAAAUUGAAAAACCGUGUAAAGGUUAGGGACCAUUGGUGCCCACAUCAUAGGCGGAAGAUCAGAAGACCGAUCCCGCCUAACCCGCUUCCACCACACCUUCGCCGCCUUCUCAAGGCAGUGUGUGGCGAGGUGUACCUUGUCCUUCUCCAAGGUGUAUAGGUCCUCGAAGAGUUUCUCCAUGGAGUCGAUCCAUGACUCCACUACCGCCGGUUCCACCAUCCCCCCUUCGAAGAUAGGUGGGUUGAACUUCUUGAAUUGAAUGAGAGCCGCCAACGCGCGCUCCCGCUCCGCCUCUUCCGUCGUACUAUCGGGAUUUGAAGUCCCCGAUCCAGCCGGAAUCGCCGUAACUGGAAUGGCCGCCGCGGCCACACCCUUCGCUACGGUCGGCACCACCGCAGGGGGCGUAGGGGGCUCGGCCUCCACGUGAGCCGUCGCCGCCUGCUGUCGCUCCAAGGCCUCUUAAAGCCGUCGUAUCUGCUCCCCCUGACGCUGAACCAACUCCGCUUGCUGUUGCACUACGCCAAUAAGCGCGGCCAUCUGCUCCCGAAGCUCCCCGUCGCCACCCGCUCCGGGUUGCACAGGAGCCGCACUUGGUUCCUCGGGCAUCGACCUUGUUCGGGGUCGACCACGAGGCAGCAUUGCUUCCUGAAACGAAGCAAUUCACGUUAAUUACUUAACCAACAUACUCGAACUUACCCAAUCCGGCGAAAGCAAAAGUGUAUUUAUUUUUAUUUCCAAGCAUCAUGUAGUUGGCCGCCGAUCACAACACAAGGAAAAUAAAAAACAAAUAUCAACUUAAAACUAGUCCCUAACUAUAUUAGAGACAUACUAACAUCAACCCAAUCAUAAGCUUUCGCUAUGUUUUGUCCAACGUCACUCACGUUCCCAAGAUCCUUAAGGUCUUUCCAUUCCUAAAGGUCUCUAGGUCCAUCCUAUACGUGCACUUUUUGGCUUUUUACACUCUAAUACCAUUAUAUCUGUCACGCCCCGAACCCGGUCCUAUUUGGCCAGUUCGGACCCGUCGAACAGACACCGAACGAACAGAGCCUCUCCUGUCCACCCAAGGCUCAACAACAAGUACAAAUAGAGUAUAAAAUUUGCACAUGCGGAAGUAUACAUAAUGGCUUGCACGAGGGCAAGCAGUAGCCAGAGUGAAAGUACUAUCUACUCAACAUACAAGUAAUAUGAUUCCCUUUUAACCAUAUACAUGCAUACAUCUUUAAACAUUUAGAUUCUUUACAUUCUUUGCAUUAUUUUUUUCUACAACUCAAGUUCUCCAAAAUAUAACUUCUUGCUUUCAAUAUAAAUCCUUUUACAUCAUUCAUGUUCUUUCAUUUAAACGUCUAUAAUCAUCAAAAUACAAAGGAUGAUGUAAGAGGGUAUGCAACUACAAAAUGUAAAGUAUCUCGGGCGGUCUCUGUCUAGGGUGCGAUACCCUUACCGCGAUCAUCCACCGGUUCGCUCGGUCUUGGCUCUGUGGAAAUAGUGGGGUGAGAACUACAACAAAGUUUCCAGUGGGUUCGACCGCCGACCAUGCCGACUUUCCCACUAGGUCUAAAUCAGGCAUAAUAGAAGAAAAAUAGAUAGUAACCAACUAAACAAAUGCAGCUAAUAUGCCUGAACAAUAAACAAUGUUAUGCGCAAUAGAAUGCUCAUGAUGAAUGCAAAAUCACUUUUCGGUUCCCAAUCUCUAGGCUAGCCCGUGGGUUUCGCCCUCAAUAGACUCACCAAUUCAAAUCCCAAGUAUCGGGAAGACUACUAUGCCCGAUGGGACCGUCCUCUGAGGGAUUCCACGUCCCAGUGAUGACAACUCCAGAGCACAUCGCCCCAGGGGGAGCUACCGCCCUCGAGCAAGGACUUACAGGUGAGUAUGAUCAAAUCCUUAACUAUAAGGAUGUCAAGUUCAAUCCAUUCCUUAACUAUAAGGAAGCUAUGCACAUAUGACCCUUAACUCUAAGGUUGUAUGUCAUAAUGUCUCUAUCACACUUUUACUUGCAUUCUUUUCUUUCACUAGUGUCAUGUACACUACUUUGUUCUUGUACUGACACACUCAUGCCACACUUGUUUUCGAAGUGUUCAACUCUAGCAUUCUUGACUCGUCGAUGCCACUCUCUACACUUAUGUCAACAUGAUACAUUUGUUCUCUAAGUUCACUAAGUUCUUGUCAUUUAUUAUGCAUACAUAGGAUUUAUAAAUUCUCACUUUCUUACUAGUAUUUCUAUAGUACAUUGAACUUUGGCAAAUUGCGAAGUUCGAGUGGGGGAAGGCCAAUUGGAAUUAGCCGACAUCUUCUAAAGGGUUUAGAGAAGUUGGUGAACAGGUUUGAGAGUGAUCGGAGCGCGGGAAGCGAGAAAGUGCAUUGCUGUGGAUUUAUUUCACUAUUUUGCAUUGUUGUAUCGGUACAAAUAUGUAUCUGUACCGGUACAACAAGCAGCAGAGGCAGCAGCUACGUGGCAGCAGGCCUAAUUUGGUCUUUUCUCAUCUCUAGCUUAUCUAUAAGCCUCUAGCUCGACCCCUGCCCUUCAGAUAAGGUUGCUGGGACUCUGAACCAAGGGUUUACACCUCUCUUACUUUUUCUCUCUAGGAAGUGUUCUCUCUCUAAGUGGAAUCAAGGGUUUUGGUCCAUUUUCCUCUUCUCUUUUGAUGCUGAUUGCUUUGGGAGGUCAAGGAGCUAUUACAGAAGGUGAAGAAGGUGUCUUGGGGCGAAUUUCGCAGCUCCCUUGCAGCAGGUAGCUGAGGGAAAGGUUGCUAAGGUAACAACUUAAUUAAUUUAAGAUUUGAUGUGUUGGUGAUAGAGUUAAGUGUGAUUUUGAGUUCUUGUAACCAGCAGCAGUGGGGGAGAGAUUUUGGCAGCUCGGGAAGGGGGCUGUGGCUGCGGAGCUUCAAUCCGAAGCUAGGGGANAUUUCGCAGCUCCCUUGCAGCAGGUAGCUGAGGGAAAGGUUGCUAAGGUAACAACUUAAUUAAUUUAAGAUUUGAUGUGUUGGUGAUAGAGUUAAGUGUGAUUUUGAGUUCUUGUAACCAGCAGGAGUGGGGGAGAGAUUUUGGCAGCUCGGGAAGGGGGCUGUGGCUGCGGAGUUUCAAUCCGAAGCUAGGGGAAGGUACUACCAAAGCUGUGAGAAGGUAAUUGAGUGCUUAGACGCAUAAUUGAUGCUAUAUAAGUUAUAAAUAUGAAGUAUGAAUGCUGAUUUUGGGAGUUUGUGUUCUCAGCAGCUGGAAUCUUCACUUUAAACUGAGUAUUACAAUCUUAUGAGCUGAUUUUGAAUGUAAUUUAACCAGAGGAAAGUGAGAAUUCAAGUUGGGAAUCUACGCAAGCUGAAUUCCAGCAUAUUCUAAGAAAUCGCAUAGGUGUACUAACACUGUUUGAGCAGUGUUCGCAGCAGGUUUGCCAAAGGCUAUCGGAUUGUUCUCGGCUGAUAUUUAGGAGCUUUUGGAGGUUAAGGUGAGUACCUUAACCUGAACCAAAGCAGGGGUUCAAGCUACAGCCGUGUGCAAGGUGAGAUGUUGCUGAAAUUAGAUGUUUUGGUAAUUGUCUCAAUGCAGUUUUCUAACUAGUUCGCAGCAGGUGCGAAGAUCACUUUGGGCUGAACAUUGAGCCCCUUUUUGGGCUGAAUUAAACUGAGUUUGGGAGUACUUCAACCUGAAUUAAGCAGAGGUUUAGUUUCAGUCUAAGCCUAGGUGAGGAUUUAGUCUAUUUUCUAUGAUUAUGUGAAGUUUUACCAUUGGUAUAGAAGUCAGCUCUUAGCUGAUUUCGGAUUUGAUGUUAGGGGAAUUGAAGGCUUCGGAUUUCCUACAAAAGUAAGUUCGACAAGGAUCGUCAAGUAGUAGGUGGGUUUGACCUUACCAGAACAAGUGAAACCCCUAUGUUCUAUAUGAUACUAUAGAAUUACUUGGAUGUGUAACUUUAUGAAUAAGUACUCAACAUCAGGAAUUGAAUGCUAUAAACACAUUGGUUUAUUGAGUGAAAUGGAACUUUUAUAAUGUGAAUAGAAGCAUGAGUAAUAGUAAUGAUGCUUAGUCUAAAUAUCUGGACCUUACAUGGCAUAGGUACAUAUGCAUUACUUUCUUAACUUGUUGAGUCCAGUGGAUAUUAGCCUUUUCACUAUGUUUAGAUUCCGACCUAUUGGUCGAGAGUGAGAACCUUACAUGUUAUGGUAUGAUUAUCUAAAACUAUUAGACUAUGGAUUAUGCUUGCUUGCCAUUGUGCUCAUUCGCACAUGCUUGUGAGAGUCGCGCCCCAGAAGCCGGCACUCCGGAGUUGGCCUACGCGACAGAUUGCUCGCCCGUGCGGGAUUGGGUGCCGAAGUGGAUUGCCGUGGGGAGUGUAUACUACCACGGGGCCAUUAGGCGCGGCGCAAGCUGUACUACCUUGAGUAGGUCGUUACGAAUUAAACUAAAGUACUAACGGAUAGUAAUAUAUGAUUACCCUUAAUCAAUGUACAGUUACACACUUACAUGACAUGUUUAUGUUCAUAGCAACUACCUUACUUGCUUCUACUUGAUUGAUACAUCUGAUAGUAUGAUACAUGUUCAUAGUUUAUUAUCAUUGAUAGAUCUAGCAUGCAAUAACUAUUUUUUUUUUACUUUUCAAUUAGUACAUCUUGAGCCUAGUGGUGUAAUUCGCUGAGGCUGGCGGCUUACCCACUGGAACCUAUUGUUUAAUAGUUUUCACGCUCUCUUUAUUAUUGCUUUCACAGAGCCAUCCACUACGGAAGAGGUUAGGGAUCGCGGCAAGGGAGUCGCGUCUAGCUAGAGAUAGCGUGGAGCCCUACUAGGUGAUCACCUCGCUACCUGGACAUAUGGACGAGAGUGAUGUGUACCCUAUGUAGAGAGACUACCAUUUCUGUAUAUAUAGUUUUGGGUGACUCUAUGAUGUAUAUUUGUUUAGAACAGUGGAUUUACAGUUUUGGGUUUUAUCUUUUGUUGAGCUUUGUAGGGUUAUACUUACUUUUCUCUAGUAAUAGUACAGUUGAUAUAUAUAUAUAUAUAUAUAUAUAUAUAUAUAUAUAUAUAUAUAUACUUUGCUCUGAUAUCAGGUUAUAAUCUUCUUGUAAUUACUACUUUUCUGACAUGAUUUCUGUAGACGUCUUAUAUACUGCAGGUAUCUGACGGGUCUGUGCAUGUACCGGGUAUGCUUCCGUUAGGACCCGGGCGUGACAGAUUAUAGUGGUAUCGGAGCCUAGGGUUGAGUCUUAGUGGACCUAGUAAACCUUAGGCUGGUUGGACUAUAGGAAAUAGGCUCGCGAGAGACGAGGUCUAUUUAAUUUUAAAGCGAAAGUAUUUCGAUUGGGUAUUUUAUAAACUCCGAAUAGGAGGAGUUUAAUUGAAAGGUGCAACUACUAACUUUGUAGAGAGCCACGCUGGCGGCCGACAACGUUACAUCGGAAGUUAGUGGGUGGCACAUUUCAUUACUUUCGCCUGAUUGGGUGGUUAAGGUAUUGAGUGGGGUUUCGAUAGUGUGAGUUUUAUUAACUUACGCUUAUUAUGUUUGUUGCAGUUUAAUAUGCCUACAACUCGUUCUAUGGCUACUGGAGCGGUCGAGGCAGCUGAUGCGGAGGAAGUGGAGACCUCCGCUACCUCCGGAUCUAGUGAGGUCCGUGAGUUGCAGGAUCAGCUUGCGGUGUUGACAGAUUUGGUGACACAGCAGGCAGCGGCAGUGCGACAACAGAUGGAUGCUGCACGCCGACAGGAGGAAAGAAUGAAGCGAUUGGAGGAUUUGUUACUACGGCAGAUGACUGAUAGAGGGUUAUCAGAUUCUACCCCGCGAGUACCCGAGGGGGAUACGGCUUGGAGAGCACAGUCACCAGUACCAAAUACCUCACCAGCAGCGCCGAGGGUAGAGGUUCGACAGGAGGCAGUGGUACCACCGCCAGUGCCUGUGACCGUGGCGGGGACAGUGUUACCGGAGAUGGUAGGGGCCGAGGAGCGAGAGCAGAUGAUGGAACGCCUAAAUGAAUUUCGUCGUUGCAAUCCCCGUAUCUUCGACUGCGAGAAAGCUGAUCACUGGGUGGUUGAGAAAUGGUUGAUGCGCAUGAAAAUGUUACUUUAUGAUACUUUUGUUGAGGAGUGCGACCGGGUCUGGUUCGCAACACACCAUCUGGAUGGCGAGGCUUACAGGUGGUGGUUGGAUAUCCGAGAGGAUCCCCGUACUGACUUGUCUGCGAUCACUUGGAAGAGGUUUAAGGAGUUGCUGUUGACGACCUACUUCCCACAGAGUGUAAAGAGACAGAUGGAGAGGGAUCUGAGAAAUCUGAGGCAGGGGGACAAGACAGUGGCUGAAUAUGAGCGAGAGUUUUCUCGAUUACUGCAUUGUGUCCCUUUUGUGGUUCGAGAUGAUGAGGAUAAGGCCCGUAUUUUUGAGGUGGGUUUGCGACCUGCGAUCUUCAGAUUGGUCCAGGCGUCAAACCUCUCCACUUACCGGGAUGUAGUGAACAGAGCAUUGAUCGUUGAGAAAGGGGCGGAGAUUAUGAAAGAAAAGGAAAUGAUGGAUCGAAGCAAAGAAAAGAGGCCUGGGGCUGAGAGUAGUGGGCAGCAGCCUUUCAGGAGACCGCUGAAGUACCCGAGAGGCCAGCCGAGUCAGUCGAGGGGGCGAGGUUCUUCUGCACCCCGUGGAGCACUCGAGCGUCGUCGGCCGCCACGUUGCGUGAUCUGUAGUAGACCCCACUUUCCACCGCAGUGUCCACAACGUGGGAGCAAGUGCUUUCUUUGUGGUCAGGAGGGCCACUUUCAUUCUGAGUGCCCGAGGGGUUCUUCACCAGCACUAUCAUCAGCAUCAGCACCUGCAUCCUCAACUACGAGUCAGGGGACUCCGUCAGCAUCGUAUCAGUCUAGACGACCACCUGGACAACGACAGUCUGAGAGUUCUCGACAGGGUUCGAGUGGGCGUAUGUAUGCCGCCCAGAUGGAGGAGGCCGCAGCAGCAGAGGAGGUCGUAGCAGGUAUUAUUAUGAUUCACGAUGUUCGUGUUCGUGCAUUAUUUGAUACUGGUGCUUCGCAUUCUUUUAUUGAUCGGCUGUUUGCCGAGUUGCAUAGCAUUCAAUUAGUACCCACUUUGCAUCCGGGACGAGUGAUCGUGCCCGACCAUACCCUGGAUAUUCGUGAGUAUUACCCUCGUUGCCCAGUUCGGGUAGGCGACUGGAUUAUGCCAGCGAACUUAUUAGUACUGCACAAACUAGGUGAGUUUGAUGUAGUAUUGGGUAUGAAUUGGUUGAUACAGUACUAUGCUACUAUAGAUUGCACGAACAGAACGGUAACCUUUCGGGAACCGGAUCAACAGGAAUUUGUAUACAGGGGAUGUCAGAGUUUAUUGUUCGCAACGACAAUUAGUUCUUCGCGAGCACGACAGUUGAUACGGAGGGGUUGCGUGGCCUAUUUGGCUAAUAUUUUUGUCAGUGACGGAGGAGUGGCCAGUAUUGAUAACAUCCCGGUAGUACGGGAGUUUCAUGAUGUGUUUCCAGCUGAGUUACUAGGUAUGCCGCCUGAUAGGGAGGUUGAGUUUGUGGUAGAUCUUGUUCCUGGGACUACCCCAAUCUCAAAAGCACCCUAUCGAAUGGCACCUGCGGAGUUGAAGGAGCUAAAGGCACAGUUACAGGAUAUUCUGGAUAAAGGUUUCAUUCGACCGAGUAUAUCACCUUGGGGAGCACCCGUGUUGUUUGUUAAGAAGAAAGAUGGAUCCUUUCGAUUGUGUAUCGAUUAUCGUGAAAUUAAUAAAGUCACAAUCAAGAAUAAGUAUCCGCUACCACGGAUUGAUGAUUUAUUUGACCAGCUCCAAGGAUCAAAAGUGUACUCCAAGAUUGAUUUGCAAUCUGGAUAUCAUCAGCUGAAGAUCAAACCUGAAGAUGUUUCUAAGAUUGCUUUCAGAACACGGUAUGGGCAUUAUGAAUUCACAGUUAUACCAUUUGAACUGACGAAUGCCCCAGCAGCUUUUAUGGAUUUAAUGAACCGUAUCUGCAAGCCUUAUUUGGACAGAUUUGUGGUAGUAUUCAUUGAUGAUAUUUUGAUCUAUUCUCGAAGCGACGAGGAGCAUGAAAACCAUUUGAGAUUGGUGUUGCAAGUCCUUCGGGAAAAGAAGUUGUUUGCAAAAUUAAAGAAAUGUGAAUUUUGGCUGCAAGAGGUGGCAUUUCUAGGACAUGUGAUUUCAGAAAUCGGGAUUGCUGUGGAUCCCAAGAAAAUUGAAGCAAUCAAGGAAUGGCCUAGACCGGCCAGUGAAGCCGAGAUUCGGAGUUUUCUCGGUUUAGCAGGAUACUACCGACGAUUUGUGGAGGGAUUUGCUAAAAUGUCUACUCCACUUACCCGACUUACACACAAAGGAGCUAAGUUUGUGUGGAAUGAAGUAUGUGAAAGAAGCUUUCAGGAGCUAAAGGAACGAUUGACUACCGCCCCGAUCUUGGCGCUACCUGUUACCGGAGUGGAUUAUGUGAUUUACAGCGACGCAUCACUGAAUGGAUUAGGGUGUGUUCUAAUGCAAAAUGGAAAGGUAAUUGCAUAUGCAGCUCGUCAGCUAAAAGAUUAUGAAAAGAACUACCCUACACACGAUCUAGAGUUAGCAGCUGUAGUUUUUGCUCUAAAGCUAUGGCAUUACUAUUUGUACGGCGAGCGGUGCGAGAUAUAUACAGAUCAUAAAAGCUUAAAGUAUCUGUUUACUCAGAAGGAACUAAACUUGAGACAACGCAGAUGGUUAGAGUUGCUCAAGGAUUAUGAUUUGACUAUUCUUUAUCACCCAGGGAAACCAAAUGUUGUAGUAGAUGCUUUAAAUAGAAAAUCGACGGAAAAUUUGGUAAUGUCGAUAACCUCGCAACCACCUUUGGUAAAGGAAAUGGAACAGUUGAAGUUGGAAGUUGUAGCUCCUGACACACCUUGGCGGCUUAUGUCCUUGAUUGUGCAACCUACUAUAAUUGAGAGAAUUAAAGAAGAGCAAGUACAAGAUGAAUUUCUUCAAAGGAUUCGCGCCAAGAUUACUGGUGAUUAUGUUGGUGAAUUUCAAGUAGAUAAACAAGGAUUAUUAAAAUUCUGCAAUAGACUUUGUGUACCCGCAGAUUCAAAACUUAAAGAGGAAAUUUUUACAGAAGCACAUCGGGCGCCCUAUGCUUUACAUCCGGGAAGUACAAAGAUGUAUAAGGAUUUGAAAUUGACUUAUUAGUGGCCUGGGAUGAAAAAGGAGGUUGCAGAAUUUGUAGCUAAUGUUUAACCUGUCAGCAGGUCAAGGCUGAACAUCAACUUCUUGCGGGAAAGCUUUAAGGUUUACCUAUACCAGUAUGGAAGUAGGAAAGGAUUACUAUGGAUUUCAUUGUAGGGUUGCCUCACUCGCAAGCGGAUCAUGAUGCGAUUUGGGUAAUUGUGGAUAGAUUAACCAAAUCUGCCCACUUCAUUUCGAUUCAUACAGUUUGGUCAGGAGAGAGACUCGCACAAGUGUACCUAGAUGAAAUUGUGCGAUUACAUGGGGUACCUGCUUCUAUUGUAUCAGAUCGAGACCCACGAUUUGUAUCACAUUUCUGGAGGAGCUUACAAGAGACUCUGGGUACCCGAUUGGUUUUUAGUACUGCUUUCUACCCUCAGAGUGACGGACAGACCGAGCGCACUAUUCAGACCCUCGAGGAUAUGUUGCGUGCGUGUGUGAUGGAUUUUCAAGGCGGUUGGCCAGAAUUUCUAUCUAUGGCAGAAUUUGCUUAUAACACUAGUUAUCAAGCAAGUAUUAAAAUGACACCGUUUGAAGCCCUCUAUGGAAGAAAAUGCAGAUCACCACUUCAUUGGAGUAAAGUAGGUCAGACGUUAACCUUGGGUCCUGAUGUCUUGCAGGAAGCCGAAUCUAAAGUUCGAUUUGUACGAGAAAGGUUGGUGACCGCACAAAGUCGACAGAAAAGUUAUGCUGAUAAACGUCGACGGGAAUUGGAAUUCCAAGUGGGAGAUCAUGUAUUUUUGAAAGUGUCGCCGACAAAAGGAGUGAAGAGGUUUGGUAUUCGAGGAAAUUUAAGGCCUCGAUUCAUUGGACCUUAUGAAGUAUUGGAGCGGAUCGGGCCAGUAGCGUAUCGGCUGGUAUUACCACCAAACCUAUCUAGCGUGCAUAAUGUGUUUCAUGUAUCUACACUGCAGAAGUAUAUAUUUGAUCCGACUCACAUUCUGGAAAGUACUCCAAUAGAACUACGGGAGGAUUUGAGCUUUGAAGAGCAACCUAUAAAAAUUCUAACUCGGGAAGUAAAACAACUCCGAAAUCGCGAGAUCCCUUAUGUAAAGGUGCUUUGGAGCAACCAUGAUGAACGUGAAGCAACCUGGGAAUUAGAAAAUGCGAUGCAGGAGCACUAUCCUCAUCUUUUCUAAAGAGUACUCGAGGUAAUGUUUCUCGUUUCGCGGACGAAACUCCUUUUUAGGAAGGGUGAAUGUAGUACACUGAACUUUGGCAAAUUGCAAAGUUCGAGUGGGGGAAGGCCAAUUGGAAUUAGCCGACAUCUUCUAAAGGGUUUAGAGAAGUUGGUGAACAGGUUUGAGAGUGAUCGGAGGGCGGGAAGCGAGAAAGUGCAUCGUUGUGGCUUUAUUUCACUAUUUUGCAUUGUUGUACCGGUACAAAUAUGUAUCUGUAUCGGUACAACAAGCAGCAGAGGCAGCAGCUGUGUGGCAGCAGGCCUAAUUUGGUCUUUUCUCUUCUCUAACUUAUCUAUAAGCCUCUAGCUCGACCCGUGCCCUUCAGAUAAGGUUGCUGGGACUCUGUACCAAGGAUUUACACCUCUCUUACUUUCUCUCUCUAGGAAGUGUUCUCUCUCUAAGUGGAAUCAAGGGUUUUGGUCUAUUUUCCUCUCCUCUUUUGAUGCUAAUUGCUUUGGGAGGUCAAGGAGCUAUUACAGAAGGUGAAGAAGGUGUCUUGGGGUGGAUUUCGCAGCUCCCUUGCAGCAGGUAGCUGAGGGAAAGGUUGCUAAGGUAACAACUUAAUUAAUUUAAGAUUUGAUGUGUUGGUGAUAGAGUUAGGUGUGAUUUUGAGUUCUUGUAACUAGCAGGAGUGGGGGAGAGAUUUUGGCAGCUCGGGAAGGGGGCUGUGACUGUGGAGGUUCAAUCCGAAGCUAGGGGAAGGUACUACCAAAGCUGCGAGAAGGUAAUUGAGUACUUAGACGCAUAAUUGGUGCGAUAGAAGUUAUAAGUAUGAAGUAUGAAUGCUGAUUUUGGGAGUUUGUGUUCUCAGCAGCUGGAAUCUUCACUUUAAACUGAGUAUUACAAUCUUAUGAGCUGAUUUGGAAUGUAAUUUAACCAGAGGGAAGUGAGAAUUCAGGUUAGGAAUCUAUGCAAGCUGAAUUUCAGCAUAUUUUAAGGAAUCGCAUAGGUGUACUAACACUGUUUGAGUAGUGUUCGCAGCAAGUUUGCCAAAGGCUAUCGGAUUGUUCUCGGCUAAUAUUUAGGAGCUUUUGGGGGUUAAGGUGAGUACCUUAACAUGAACCAAAGCAGGGGUUCAAGCUACAGUCGUGUGUAAGGUGAGAUGUUGCUGAAAUUAGAUGUGUUGGUAAUUGUUUCAAUACAGUUUUCUCACUAGUUCGCAGUAGGUGCGGAGAUCACUUUGGGCUAAACAUUGAGCCCUUUUUGGGCUGAAUUAAACUGAGUUUGGGAGUACUUCAACCUGAAUUAAGCAGAGGUUUAGUUUCAGUCUAAGCCUAGGUGAGGAUUUAGUCUAUUUUCUAUGAUUAUGUGAAGUUUUACCAUUGGUAUAGAAGUCAACUCUUAGCUGAUUUCGGAUUUGAUGUUAGGAAAAUUGAAGGCUUCGGAUUUCUUGCGAAAGUAAGUUUGACAAGGAUCGUCAAGUAAUAGGUGGAUCUAACCUUACCAGAGCAAGUGAAACCCCUAUGUUCUAUAUGAUACUAUAGAAUUACUUGGAUGUGUAAUUUUAUGAAUAAGUACUCAACAUCGGGUAUUGAAUGCUAUAAUCACAUUGGUUUAUUGAGUGAAUGGAACUUUUAUAAUGCGAAUAGAAGCAAGAGUAAUAGUAAUGAUACUUAGUCUAAAUAUCUGGACCUUACAUGACAUAGGUACAUAUGCAUUACUUCCAUAACUUGUUGAAUCCAGUGGAUAUAAGCCUUUUCACUAUGUUUAGAUUCCGACCUAUGGGUCGAGUAUGAGAACCUUACAUGUUAUGGUAUGAUUAUCUAAAACUGUUAGACUAUGGAUUAGGCUUACUUGCCAUUGUGCUCAUUCGCACAUGCUUGUGAGGGUCGCUCCCCACAAGCCAGCACUCCGGAGUUGGCCUACGCGACAGAUUGCUCGCCAUGUGGGAUUGGGUGCCGAAGUGGAUUGCCGUGGGGAGUGUAUACUAUUACGGGGCCAUUAGGCGCGGCGCAAGCUGGACUACCCCGUGUAGAUCCAUGUGACUUAAAUUAAACUACUAACUGACAGUAAUAAAGGGUCACCAUUAAUUGGUGUGCAGCACUCACUUACAUGACAUGUUUAUGCUUAUAGUACUCACAUUAUUUGCUUCUAAUUAGUUGAUACAUUGAGAUUAUAAUUACAUGUUCAUCGCUAAUUAUCAUUGUUAUAUCUAGCAUGCUAUAACUGUUUUUACUUUUCCUGUAGUACAUCAUGAGCCUAGUGGUAUAAUUCGCCGAGGCGGACGGCUUACCCACCGGAAAGUAUUGUUUAAUAGUUCUCACGUCCUCUUUGUUGUUGUUUUUACAGAGCCAUCCUCUACGGGAGAGGCUAGGGAUCGCUGCAAGGGAGUCGCGUCUAGCUAAACGUAGCGUGUAGUCCUGAUAGGUGAUCACCUCGCUAUUUUGAGUUGCUGACGAGGUUACCCAUACAUAGAGAGACUACCAUUGUAUUUAGUUCUUGUAAGGUGACAUGUGUGAUGUAUAUAGUGGUUUAGAGUGAUGUAUUUACAGCUUUUGGGUUUCUAUCUCUUGUUGAUUUGUCUGGGAUUUGUACUUAUUUUUCUCCUGUUAGUAGUACUAUUAGUUUAUAUGUUGCUCUGAUAUCACGUUAAAAUCUCUUUAUAAUUGUUCUUGUCCUAACAUGAUUUUAUAGACGUCUUAUAUACUACAGGUAUAUGACGGGUCUGUGCAUGUACCGGGUAUGCUUCAGCUGGUAUCCGGGCGUGNUAUAUAUAUAUAUAUAUAUAUAUAUAUAUAUAUAUAUAUAUAUAUAUAUAUAUACUUUGCUCUGAUAUCAGGUUAUAAUCUUCUUGUAAUUACUACUUUUCUGACAUGAUUUCUGUAGACGUCUUAUAUACUGCAGGUAUAUGAUGGGUCUGUGCAUGUACCGGGUAUGCUUCCGCUGGUACCCGAGCGUGACAAUUUCCCAUGCAUUUAUACUCACAACAUGCAAUAAGAAGCUCACAAGUAACCCUACUAUGCAAUAUGCUCAAUACAUACAUAUGCUCAAAUAUGACACUUUAGACAUAAAAGGAAUUUCGAGGUCUUCGGUAUGCACCACCCACCUUAGUUAGUUGUAGGGAUGCUACGGUUCAAUUCUUGAAAUUUUUGGGCUCCUAUUCCGUGUGUUGUGGCUAUCUGUACCCAAAAUAAGCCAAAUUAGGCUUUUUAUUCAAUAUCUCUACUUAGACCUUUUCGUUUCGCCGAACCGAGCGCUCCAACGCAUCGGAAAUAUCUCUAAUUAGGUUUUCACAAGGUCAAUUUGCCUCGCAAACGAUCGGAGGCAAAAGCCCCAAAUUUGGUGCCCUAAUGUUGCCAUUUGCUCCAACCUAGAUUUUGAUCUCUAGAACAAGCAAAAGAGAGCUUGUUGAACCUCUAGGAACUCUUUUAGAACCUUUUCUAAGCCUUUUAAACCAUUUCUAGGGCAUCUACUAUGAACCCUAGAUGAUCACUAUGAGAGCACAUAAAGCUACCAUGGAUUUUCAUAGAGUUCAUGCCUCAAGAGAGUUUCUACACUUGUAGAAGCUCCAAAACCAAAAGAUCUAGGGCUCAAAUCCAAACCCUAACCUUAUUCUCACAACAGACCUCACCUUAGCCACAAGCUCUCCAAUGUCCACCUUGUAGGAGAGUCCCCAAGCUUUCAAAAGUUCCAAGUCUCCCAAGUUUUUCUUUCAAAUCCCCUCCUCCACCACCUUGAAAGAGAGUUCUAGAGAGAGAAAGGGAGAAAAUGAGGGAGAGAGGUGUGUUGGCUGUGAAAGAGAGAGGGGAGGAGUGUUUGGGGUAUUAUUAUGUUGUAACAAUUACAAUAAAACCCUCCCUUUUCUCUAAUUUGCAGCAGACCUCAAGUUGCUGCCAGACCGAAAGUGUACCGGUACAGGGUAGGGUGUUACCGGUUACAUGAUCGCGCAGAGGCAAAUCCGAGAGCUGCUGUUCGGAUUUUUACAAAGUGUACCGGUAAACAUCUGGGCUGUACCGGUACACUUCUGCGCAGAACCAAACUCGAGAGCUCUCCCUCUUGGUCAGCAAUGUUGUACCGGUACAACAUCGAUGUUGUACUGGUACACUUUGCCCAGACUGCAAUUUUUUGCAUCUUUUUGAUUCUAUUUCGCGCCGAUCGAUGCUAAAACCUUUCUAACCUUUUUGGAACUCAUUUUUAACCCUUCCAACAUUUGUUGGAAUAUUAAUUGGAAAUUGCCCAACUAAUCCUUUCGCACACUUUAGUCAAUUUGGCUAAAAUUCGAUAUUUUCUACCGAAGUUUCGGUACGUUACAUCAUGCCUCUACGAUGUUUCUAAUCUUGCAAGAAGCUCAAAACUCUAAAACUUAGGGUAGAAAUCCAAACCCUAGAACCAAUCUUACAUAACAACUCACCUUAGCCCAAUGCACUCCCAAGUCCACCUUGUAGGAGAGCUUCUAGAUCUUCCAAUCCUCCAAAUCCUCCUCCAAAACCUUCUCCUCCUUCUCCUGCUAGCUUUUGAAGAUGAUCUCUAGAGAGAGAAAGAGGGAAAUGAGAGAGAGAGGGGAUUUGCUGUGUAAAACAGGUGGGAGGGGUGUGUUUGGUCAUUUAUAGGUUGCAACAAUAGCAACCAAGCCCCCUAAAAAUCCAUAAUUGCAGCAGACCCAUUUUUGCUACGGGGCCCAAAGUGUACCGGUACACGUGUCCCUGUCACCGGUACAUUUUCUGCGCAGAGGCAAACCCGAGAGCAACUCUCUGCGGGUUCGCAGCAUUUGUACCGGUACAAACCAAUUUGUACCGGUACAAAUCCGGCCUUUCUCAAACCCAAGAGCUUUUUCCCCUCGGUCAGCACUAUUGUACCGGUACAACCCUGUAUCUGUACCGGUACAAAACAAGGAUUAAAGUGCCGCCCGUGCCGUACGGCACGGGGGCGUGCUGUACCGUGCCCCCAAGAAGGGGGCACGGUACAGGGGGGGUCUCGGACCCCUUCUCUGUCUCGCGGCACGCACCUGUGUGCCGCUCGAGACAAAGCACGGUAUAGGGGGGGGUCUCGAGCAAAUUUUUAAUUGACAUAGGCGAUCCAUACCUGUCGGCCCGAGCACCUGUUGGCCCGAGCCCUCCGCUUCCACCACAGACAUCUAUUUUUUCUUCACAAAAUAUUUUAUCAAAAUUUGUCGCACCACGAAACUUUCGAUGAAUCAAAGAAACAAAAAUCGAUUUCCUAAACAAAUUUUGAUCAGAUAUUUUUAAAAAGAAUAAAAAAACAAAAAAUAUAGAUGUAAUAUUGGGAAUAUAUGAAUUUCUCACAAUACCAGCAAUACUUAUAUCAAUAUUGUCAAAUAAAUCUUGUAUUUGCAGAUAACAAUAUGCCAUAUGAUCCAGCGCGACGAUCUAUGUGAAAUUAAGCAGUCAUCUCUAUGUAAAUAUGUAAAUUUAAAUAAUUAUUGUACUGUGAAUUUUAUUAUUAUAUUUUAAUUUCUAUUCUACAUCAGGUAUAGUUGUAUUUUACUUACAAAAAGCUUUCAUGCAUGUUAAUUGAUGAGUAUAGUAAGAUAUACAUAGUAAAUAUUUAUAUUAUUUUGUUUAAAUCUUUCAAAAUAAUAUUAUAAGAGUUUAUUGGAACCAAAAAAGCUAAAAUAAGUCCGUGCCAAAGCGUGCCAGUAGGAGGUCAUGCGUAUCUGUCGGCACGCAAGCGUGCCACGUGUCGGCACGCAAGCGUGCCCGUGCCGUACCGUACCGUGCCAGGGACGUAACGGCACGCCCCCAUUCCACAGCACUUUAAACCUUGGUACAAAAUGUGCAGACUUCUGUUCUUCGCGUUGUUUCGAGUCUACUCCGCACCGAACAACGCUAAAACCCUUCUAACUCUUCUAAACUCAUUACUAACCUUUCCAACAAGGUUGGAAUGCUAAUUGGAACUUAUUCAAUUACUUCUCUUGGAUGCUUUAGUCAAUUUGGCUAAAGCCCAAUAUCCUCUACCGAGGUUUCGAUAUAUUACAAUUUGUGACCUCUUGAUCGUAAGGUAAAUGAUGUCGAAAAAUUAUAAAAUUUGAUUUCGAGAAGUUUUAAAUGCUGUAAAUAACGUUUAACGGUAUGGAUCGUCGAUUCAGAAGUUCUAUCAUUGAAAAAAUUUGAAAUUUGGUUUCUAGAUACUUCAAGUGGUAUAGAUCAUGUUCAAGGGUGCUGAUCGUCGAUUUGGAGGCUCUAUCAUCGAAAACAGAUGGGUGGCAACGGAGUCCGUUUGCUAUCGAUAGCAUUCCACCUCAACUCUCUCUCUCUCUCUCUCUCUCUCUAUAUAUAUAUAUAUAUAUAUAUAUAUAUAUAUAUAUAUAGGCUGGAAUACUAUUAAUAGUACCAAUGACUUGAUGCUAUUAAGUUUUUCGCCCUUGGAUUAAAUGAUGUAUGGUUAGGAUGAUGUGGACCCCCUAAGGUUGAGUGGGUGGUUGGUUGAAUAGUAUAAUCGAACGGAUGAAAAUGAUAAAAGAGGUAAAUCUAACGGCAGAAAAUUUGAUAGCACCAAAUGCUUCGUGCUAUCGAUAGUAUCCCAGCCGGACUAUAUAUAUAUAUAGAGUCCGGCUAUGGUGCUUGUAAAAGCACCAAGCACUUGGUGCUUGUAAAUUUUUUACCAUUAGAUUUACCCUUUGAUCAUUUCUCAUAACGUUAGAUUAUAUUCUUCAUCAAUCCGACCCACCUCAACACAGUGGGGCCCACAUCAUCCCACAUCAUCACUAACAGCACAUCUUCCUUAAUCCAAGGCCGAAAAAAUACAAACACCUAAUGACUUGUACUUUAAAACAUAGAGAGCUCAAUUCUCUAUAUAUAAUAUUAAUAAGAAUAGGAAUUCUUCUCUAUAAUAAUCUAUAGAUAGAGAGAGAAUUCCUCAAUUCUAUAUAUAUAUAAUAGAGGAAUUGAGCUCCUAUAUGCUUUAAAAAAGUACCAAUUCAUUGGUGCUUUAAGUUUUCGGCCCUUGCAUUAAGGAAUGUCGGUUAGGAUGAUGGCCCCCUAGGUUGAGUGGGUGGUGGUUGAAUAGUAUAACCUAACGGAAAAAAUUGAUCAAAGGCAGAGAUCUAACAGUAAAAAAUAACAACACAAGUGCUUGGUGGCUUUUAUAAGCACAUCAGAACCAAUAUAGAGUCCUGCUGGGAUACAUUGAUAGCACUAAAGAAUUAGUGCUAUCGAGUUUUCCACCGUUAGAUUAACCCUUUGAUUAUUUUUAACCCGUUAAUUAUACUAUUCAACAACAUUACUCAACCCUAGGGGCCCACAUAUCCUAACCGCACAUUUUCUCAAUCCAAGAUUAAAAACUAAUACACAAUAGUUUGGCCUAUUGAUAGUAUUCAGGCCUAGUUCUAACGGUGGAAAACUCGAUAGCACCAGUCCUGGUGCUAUCGAUAGUAUCCUAGUCGGACUCUCUCUCUCUCUCUCCUCUCUCCUCUCUCUCUCUCUCUCUCUCUCUAUAUAUAUAUAUAUAUAUAUAUAUAUAUAUAUAUAUAUAUAUCAAUUCGGGUUUGAGUUUGGUAUAGUUAAAAUUCAUAAAUGAAUCCAAAUUUGUCAUAUUUUUUAUUUUUUAUAUUCAUAUCCGAAACUAUAUCUGUCCGAAACUAUAUCUGUUUAGUAUCAGAUAAAUCUGUUUCGUUUGGGUUCGGAUUUGGAUAAAAUUUCAGGUAUCCAUACCCAUGGACAUUUCCACUACUAUUUAAGAGAGAAAGGACACUGUUAAAUACAUGCUCUCUUAUUGGACAGUUUGAAGAGAGAAAUCUGUUAGUUAAAAAUAUGCUUAUCUCUGGUCCAUUAAAUCUACAGUUAUAAAUAUGCAUAUUUAUGAUGCAUGAUAUCAAAGAUAUGCAUAUCUAUAUCUUUGGAUAUCUCGAAUUAAUAAUUUUAAAUUAAAGUUGUGAAUUGCAAUGAUCUUCUGUAUAUAAAGGGGUUGGGGGGGUUAAGGGUGAGUGCCAUAGGAGUGAUCUCUUCUUUAUGGCUUCCAAACGGUCAUAUGAACUUUGUUUUCUGUUGCUUUGCCUUCACGCGACUUGUGAAAAACUCAACGGAAGGGAGAUAAUCAAUCAGAAAGGGGGAGAAUGGGAGCGGCUAAAUCGUCUCAUGGACCCUCCAAUCCACAAUACUCAAGUGCUUGAAUACUUAUUGCUUCCAAUGCUUUACAGUUUUUAUGAAACCGUUUAAUUUCGCAUCAUUUUCGAUAAUUAGACAUUCGAAUGAUGAUUUGCAUCAUGUACAUAUGAUUUAGGAUAUAUACUGUUUUCUUAGAAAAAUUAGAAUCAGUUGAAUUUUGGAUAAAAAAAAUCUAUCUAUGAUUUAGAUCAAGAUUUUUAUUGUCGAUCUUGAGUUUAAAAACCGGAUCCUUUAUUUUUAGUAGGUUGCUUUGAUUUGAUUGUUCAUUUUAUAACUGCUCGACAGACUUCAUUACAUAGACUCCGGCUUGUAUAUUUUUCAUAGCAUGAAGGUCUCCAUGCUAAUAAGUUAUUUUAGUGAUAAGACCUCCAAAUUGACAAUCAGCUGCGUGGGACACGAUCUAUCUUAUUGAAAGUAUUUGAAAGUCAAAUUUUAUAUUUUUUUUAACAUGCACCAUUUGACUAGUGAUCAAAAGGACUGAACUUUCUAUCAAAAAGAAUUUUAGUUGUUCAUCCAAGAAUUUUCUAUAAAAAUGAAUUUCAAUCGAUAGUUUUUGAAGACUUAUACGAGCCGUUUUCUUAUUUAAUAAUGUAGAACAAUUCAAACCGCUCAAAUUUUUCGAUCCUUUGAUCACUACAUAAAUAAUUUUUAAAAAUUAUAAAAUUUGGUUUCUAAAUACUUUAAAUACUCUAAAUAAUUUUAAUUGUUCCAAUCAUCGAUUCAAAAUCCCUAAAAAAUAACUUGAUUGGAUAAAGGACUCCAUAAUCCUAAAAGGAUAGUAGCUAGAUUUACAUAUACAUAUAUAUACAGAGUACGUCUCCUAUGCUUUCGAAAGCAUGAAGGCUUUCGUACUUGUAAGUUAUUUUUUAUGAUAGAAUAUUCGAUUCGAUGAUCAACUCUGUUAACCAUAAUCUACGUUAUUGGAACUAUCUAAAAAUUAAUUUUCAUAAUUUUUUGACAUUAUUUACUAAGUGAUCAAAAAGUCUAAAAAAUGACUAUUUUAACGAUCGAUGUAGCACGUUUUAAAGUUUAACAGUGUAAAACAAUCCAAAUUAUAUGAAACUUUAAUAAAAAAAUUUACUUAACAUUAAAGCAAGAUUAAUACUUCUGAUUUAAAAUUUAAGUCUUUUAUCACUAUUUUUUUAUGAGAUUUUCAUUUUCAGUUAUUCAUUUUAAGGCUAUUCGUUCACUAGGCAAUAAAGUCAAAAAAUUAUGAAAUUUGAUUUCUAAAUAGUUCAAUAACGUACGUAAAUCAUGUUUAACGGAACCAAUCACUGAAUAGGAUGUUUCAUUAUCGAAAAAAACUUAUAAGUACGGAGGCCUUCAUUAUUUCGAAAGUAUAGAAGCCUACUUCUCUCCUCUCUCUCUCUCUCUCUCUAUAUAUAUAUAUAUAGUUUGGCAACUAUACUCUUAUUAGCAUAAAGAGAUCUAUAUUUAUAAGAGUAUAGUAGCCCUAGUAUAUAUAUAUAUAUAUAUAUAUAUAUAUAUAUAUAUAUAUAUACAUANCUUUCUAAAGUUUUGUGCCUUAAAUUUCGUUGAAAAUAAUGUCCUUUAUAUCUAUUUCUUGCCUAACAUAAUCUAAUAUUUAUUUUAUGUGAUAAUACUUGCAUCAUAAGUGCGCAUCAUAUGCAUGCAGUACCUACCAUAAGCAAGUAAAGCAAUAAUUUAAUUUUUGUUUGCUUACAUUUCUACUGUUUAGAAAUAUAACUCAAAUUACAACAAGUAGCCACAUUAUAAACGUCUUUUCAUUAUGUGUUUCAAAAUAUUUUCUUGCCAUUUAAUGUAUAUAUAUAAUAUAUAUAUGCAUUUGUUUUUUUCUUGUUAAUUAUGAUAAAGACUAUCAUAUAUAUAAUUAAGAAAAAAAUAAUCUAAUUGUACAUCCUAAAAAUUUUAGGUUGUAAAUUUUUUCCCUCCGUCUUGACGUUCACAAACCCUUUUAGAUUUUUAAUAUUUACACUGGAACAAAUAUUGGCUGUUGCAUCAAAAGGUAUAAAAUUUGUACUCUUUUGGAGUCUGCAGGUAGCACUGCUCUAUAAUUAAGUCCUUUCUUAAUUAUGAGAAGACUACUGAAAGAAUACCUAACUAAUUUAUAUUUACAGUUUGGAGGCAGUCUGAAAGAAGUAGAUUCAGAUGAAAAACAUCAUUCCAAUGAGUCGGAAAGUAGUAAUCGAUCUGUACAUUUGAGAGAAGAGCCAAUUGCGCCUGAUCCGCCAGACUAUAUUCGUCAUGUAAUCAUUUUAAAAUUUUUCAUAGCUUAUAACAUUAAGAAGUUAAAAAAUGUGACACCCAAGUUCUAUACCGGAUGAGAAGGGAGUUGCAAUUGGAUAUAUAAGAGGCUAUGAAUUCUAAUAAUACUACGUAGGUUCAAAAAAUUUAGGCAGGUGGUUUAAACAUAACGAGUUAUUAUUUCUAGUGGGCUGAAUCAUUAUAAAAAAACUAUAAUUAUUUUGAAUUAAUUGCUUUAUUGUUUCUUUCUAUUAUGCAAUUUCAAGAUAUGAUUAUGAUUUUUGUACUAUUUAAUAAGCCGACCCACUAAUAAUAAUAACUUGUUAGAACCAAACCAACAGUCCAAAAUGCUUAAACUCAGUUAUAAUUAUUAUUAGGGUCUUUGUUCCUUAUGUAUUCAAGAAUAAUCCCUUUUUCCAUCAGAUUUGGAACUAUGAAAGCAAUACAACCACCACUCUUUUUCUCUCUCUCUCUCUCUCUCUCUAUAUAUAUAUAGGCUAGGGCUACUAUAUAUACUCUUAUUAAUAUAGACCCUUUGUACCCAUAAGUUUUCGACAGUUGGAUAAAGGAUGUGUGGUUGUGAUAAUAGUGGUUUCUAGUUAGGAUGAUAGUGGUCCCCUAGGGUUGAGUGGGUGGUUGGUUGCAUAGUAUGAUCUAAUUGGUGGAAAUGAUCAAAGGAAUAGAUCUAACGGCCGAAAAUUUAUAAGUANAUAUAUAUAUAUAUAGUGUAGGGCUAUUAUACUCUUAUAAAUAUAAAGCCCUUCGUACUUACAAGUUGUUUUCAAUAAUGAACCUUCCGAAUCGACGAUCCACUCUAUUAAAUAUGAUCUAAAGUAUUUAAAACUUCUAAAAAAUAAAUUUCGUAAUUUUUCGAAAUCAUAAUAAAGUCCAUCAAGCGGAUAUAAAAUGAACGGUCAAAAUCGAACGACGUCCUAAACAUGGAUGAUCGGAUCCUUCAAUUUAUGAUCAAAGUUAUUGAUCUUUAUCUAGAUAGUGAAUAAAAUUUUUUAUUAAAAGUUCAACCAAUUCUGAUUCUUUUACACUGUUGAACUAACAAAUAUCCCAUACCAGCCGUUAAGAAUUGUCAUUUUGAGAUCUUUUGAUCGCAUGGUAAAUGAUGUCAAAAAAUUCUAAAAAUUUAUUUUUAGAAGUUUUAAAUGCUUUAAAUAAUGUUUAACAGUAUGAAUCAUCGAUUCGGAAGCUCUAUCAUCAAAAAUGACUUAUGAGUACGAAGGCAAUUGUACUUAUAAAAGUAUAGUAACUGGACUCAUAUAUAUAUAUAUAUAUAUAAUUAGGCUACUAUACUAUCUAUAGUACCGGAGCUCCGGUACUAUAGUGUUGUUUUCGAUCUUAGGGCGUUCAAAUCAACGAUCCACACCGUUAAAUAUGAUCUAGGGUAAAUGAAGUUCUUAGGAAUAAAAUUUUAGUUUUUUUCGACAUCGUUUACUUAGUAAAUAAAUUAUGUAAAACUGGACCCGUGGAAAUAUGAAUACUAUUUAAAAUUUGACAUAAGACUUUUAAAUCACAAGAUCAAGAAAUGUUAACCUUAAUCAUAUAGUAUUAACAGUAUUUUCUAUCAAAAAUUUGAAAAAUUUAGAUCCUUCUACACUGUUAAACUCCAAACUCAGUCACUAAUAACCAUUGAAAAUGACAAUUUUUGAAAUUGUUUGGAUCUAAAGUAAACUAUGUCGAAAAAUUUAAUUUUAUUUUAACUUAAAAUCCUAGAUCAGUUUUAACGGUGUGGAUCGCUUGAUUUAAGCUCCGAAGUCAACGGAACUAUGUACGGAGCUCCGGGUACUAUAGCACUUUGUAUAAGUACCUAGCUCGUAUAAUUAUAUUUAUAUAUACUAUAGGUCGGCUACAUAUCCUAUUAAUGGAUAGGAAGCACUUGUCCCUUCAAGUCGUUUUGGAAUGAUUGGAAACUCAAAUUGAUAAUCCGCACGUUGAAAUUGAUCUACAACAAUUAGAAAUGUUUAGAAACCAAAUUUCUGUUAAUAUUGAAAAUUCAAUCAAGUUCAUCUUUAAGAGUUAAAAAAAUGAACCGGUCAUAAAUGACAUAACUUCUUAAAAUAGAGGUUAACUUUUCUAAUUCAUAAAUCAGAGUUAUCAAACAUUUAUCUAAAUAGUAUCUAAAGAAUUUCUAUCAAAAAAUUAAGGCAUUGGGAGUUGCUCUACACCGUCUAAACAAGCAAACGUCCUCAUAAAGGCCGUCAAAACAAUCUGUCAAUUUUUACGACCACUUGGAAUCACCAUGUAAAUAAUUUUUAAAAUUUAUGAAAUUAGUUUCUAGAUAUUUCAAAUACUCGUAGACUCAACGUUCAACGGCUGAUCAUCGAUUCGAGUUUUUCUACUCAGUCAAGAACAUUUUGAUGAUAGGACAAGUGCUUACUAUCCUAUUAAUAGGAUUAGUAGCCCUAGGCAUAUAUAUAUCAUAUCAUAUAUAUAUAUAUAUAUAUAGUAUAUAUUAUAUCUCUAUAAAGUAUAGUAUUAUUUGGUAGUGUGCUAAAGAUAUUUUAGAAGUAAUUUCAGCCUCUUUACUUCAGGUUUGGUAACUCUUUGGAUAAAGAUUGUUGUUUCGGCGGUGAAAAGUGGUCUCUCAGAGUUUAGUGAUGGUUGGUGCGAUAGUAUUAAGGUCAAAGGUUAGCAGUGACAAAUGGUGAUCCAAAGGUGAAAAAGCUUAGAAAUGAAACUGGAGAUAAUGCUACCAGAGCCCCAAAACAUUACUAGCUUAUAUAUAUAGUAUAGAGAGUGUUCAGUGUAGAAUAUUAACAGUAACAUAUUUUAACUUUUUCACCCUUUGGGAAUCAUUACUCUUACCUCCAAACGCCCAUCAGAUUCUAGGCAUCCAAUGGUCACAAAGUGGAUUAAUAUCCCAUACUAUUAAUAGCAUUUCAACACAACUCAUGUAUACUACUAUAGAGUCCGGCUACUAUUUCUUAUGAGUAUAGAUUCUUUGCACUUUCAUUAAGUUAUUCUGCCGUUAGAUCUAUCAAUUUGACCAUUUCCACCCAUUUAGAUAUAUAUAUUAACUAUUCAACUAAUACCCACUUCAUUAUGGGAAGCACUAUCGUCUUUCACUUGGCAACUACUAUUAUCUUAACUUCACAUUCCUUUAUCCACAUGGCCGAAACUUCAUAAAUGAAUAUAAAAGGGCUAUACUUAUAAACAAUAUUUAGCUGCUAUAUAGUACUAUAUAAUUAUAAUAUAAUUAUAGGUAUAUAUAUAUCAAUAUAAUAUAUAUAGUUCCGGCUAUUAUGCUAUUAAUAGCACGAAGCACUUGGUGCUACCAAAUUUUUCGCCGUUAGAUCUACCCUUUUGAUCAUUUUCACCCGUUAGAUCAUACUAUUCAACCAACCACCCACUCAACCCUAAGGGGCCCACAUCAUCCUAACCGUAUAUCUCUUAAUCCAAGGGCCAAAAACUUGAUAGCACCAAUGACUUGGUGCUAUUAAUAGCAUAGUAGCCUAGUUCUAUAUAUAUAUAUAUAUAUAUAUAUAUAUAUAUAUAGUUGAGCUAAAAUACUAUCGGUAGUAAACGAGCCGUUUCACUACCGAUUUGUUUUAGAAGUACCAACUCCUUGGUGCUUCUAGGUUUCUAACCCUUGGAUCUACUCCUUGAUUACUAAUAGCCUUUGGAUCAAAUACUAUUCCAUCUAUCACCACCUACCACCAUCAUUCCAACCCUAUAUCACUCCAUCCAAGGGCUACAAACCCAAAAGCACCAACACCUUGGUGCUUUUGGGAGUAUUUUAGCUCAACUAGAAGCAUAUAUACUUCUAACUUUAAAACCUUUGGAUCUCUAGAGUUUACUAGUUAGUGGCGAUAAUAGUAUAAGUUCAAGGGCCUAAAAGUUGGAAAUUGGUGCUUCCAAACGUAUAGUAGCUUUAUUAAUUUAUUUUGCCAAGUUCUAUACAGUAUUAUUGAUAAAUACAAGUGUAAUUUUAUUUAUUUAAUUUUUUUUUUGUAGUGGGCUUAUUAUUACGCAAAACCAGGCAAAUAUUAUGGUACAAGAGCAAAGAUAAAUCUAUGGGGCCACCCAAAUUUAAAAUAUUAUCAGAGAAGCACGACUACAAUGUGGGUUAUGAAUUUUAAUGGAAAAGCUAAUGUCAUAGAGGCAGGAUUUCAUGUAAGUAGUAAAAAUACUUCCAUGCAUAUAAAGUAACCUUCUAUUGCUCUCUAAUAAGCUCUCCAAAUGUUUUUUUUUCUUUUUUGAGAGAUAGGUAGCAUGCUAUCCGCUUCGUUUAUUUCAUUUAGAAAUAAACUUAGCUAGAAAUAUGAAUAAACUAGGAUUCAAACUUGGAUCUCGGAUACUAACCACCAAGCCCUUUGCCAUUUGCUAUAGGGACGGUCGGUAGCUCUCCAAAUGUUAAGUUGAAAUGAACAUGUGGUCCUCAACAUUGAAAAUACUUAAAUGAAAGACAAAUAUGAAAAGCGUCUUGUAAAUAUUCUGAGCUAAAAAUCUCUAUUUAUCGAAUCAAAGAUUAGAGAAACUUCAAUUUGGCCCCACCUCCUGUGCUUUAGUUCAUUUCCACUUUACUAUUUUAUUAUUUUAUUUUCACUUAUUACCAUAUGAUUCAAAAAGUUGUACUUAAAUACCUUGUGAUUUAGCUCAUUUUCAUUUUGCCGUGGUUGUUAAAAGAUUUUACAUAUUUUGUAUCUUAUUUUAUAGUAGAUUGUUUCGAUAAAAAUAAAGGUUUUUAUAGGAUCCUUAAGUGCAAACUCGUGAAUCACAGGGGGCAAAGUAAAAUGGGCUAAACUACAAUGGGCAAAUUGAUUUUACCCUAAGGUCAUAACUUUUGCAAUUUGCCCUCUUCAAUCAGUCUACCAAUUUUAAAUUAAUUUCUUAAAAACUAAACAAAAAUUAUUUAUUAAAUAAAAAGUUCCACAUUUUAUAAAAAGGGUAUGUUAAAAUAAAAAUAUUUUACUAUGGGACUUCUGUGCUUUUAAAAGUAUAUGAAUUUUUUAUAACUUUUUAACCAUUAGAUGUCUAAGAUUUAGUGGCAGCAAUAGUAAUAAAUCUAAUGGAUUUAUAAAAAGUUGAAGACGUCCACUAAUCAGGUACUUUUGAAUACACACAAUCUAAACUCAAUAUUUUAAGAAAGAAAAAAACUAAAAAUAAUUGAAAAAAAUAAUAAACGGUCCAUUGUGGCACUGCCCUACCAGAUGUUCCCCAAGCUAUGUGGUCCAAUGGGCUGGAUCCAAAUAUGUGUCAUGCCAUGCCGUGCCGUGCCGUGCCAGCCCGGUGCACAGUGCGCAUUGCAACCGUAGAUUGUUGGCGUAGGAUGGCGGUGCAGGUGGCAUUGGUUGGUAUAGAAAAGGAAAAACAAAACUUGUAGGUGGGCUUUUGGUUUUCUUUUUUUUUAUUCACUAAUAUUAAAAUUCUUUGCAGAUACAUCUAAUAAAUUAAGGGUAUAAAAGAAGGGAUUUUCUUUUAAAUAACAAGAGGACAAAGUGUAGAUUAUGCUAUUCACAUGGGUCUCAUUUUAAAUUCACUGAGUUUUUUCAGUUGUGAAUGAGUUCUGCUAGCUAGGUUUAUAACCAAAACAUAUUGCAUUUCUACAAACUAUCUCAUUUAAAAUCAAAUUUUAUAUACAAAUUGUAACCCUAGAAUCCUAAGUUAGAGGGAUUGUAGAGAUUGCAACUCCCUUUUUAAUUGUAAACUUCGCAUUUCUCUUCGCAAAGACUUACAUACCUUUGUUUUUCUUGAAACUAGUAUUAUUUCUAAUGAGAUGAAACUUUUCAAAUAUUUUUGCACAACAGGUAUAUCCCAGAUUAUAUAAUGACAGUAAGCUGCAUUUCUUCACAUAUUGGACUGUAAGUAUGAAUUUAUUUGUUAUUAGGCUAAAGAGCAUCAAUACUCCUCAAACUAUAAGGUGGGUGGUACUUCAGUUUACAAAUUUCAAUUUAUUCGCAUUUCUAUUUCAGACAUUUAUUAUUUAGCAGUAGUGCAUGAUAUUCACAUUAUUAGGAUCAGUGCAUCAUUAAGUGGCAUCCUACUUCGCAGCACAUCAACUCUAUGUCAUCGGAAAAACAAUUCUAUACAUAUUUGUUAGUGUUGUAACAUUUUAUAAUUAAUUAUCAAAAUUUAAUUUUUUAACAUAUGAGUUCAUGGUUAGUGAAGCUACAACUUCACUUUACUUGCAUUCAAUGUAAACUUUUAUAACCUAUAUAUUACCUACAUCAAAUGAGAUUAACGUUAGUAUAUUUACUUUUGUAAACUCUUAAGCCUUAACCUACAGCUUAAGCUUACACUAAAUGUUAUAUAAACUAUAUGGGUUUAAUACUCUCAUAACUUAUAGCUUGUGUAGCCUAUAUAGAGAGGGCUUCUCUAUUCACUUAAAAACAACUCAAGGACAACGAAAAGAAAAAUAAAAAGCUACUUCUAUUAUUGUCACACCCCAAUAAUCCCAUAUCGGAUAUGAAUGGAGAUGUGAUUGGGUAUAUAAGAGACUUAGACACUAAUAAUAAUAACUGAACUUAAGCAUUUUGGGCCAGUAUUUGAGCCUAACGAGUUAUUAUUGCUAGUGGCUAGGUCGUUACAUUUGUAUCAGAGCCAAUCACCGGUCGAAAAUGUGUGGCGAGUCUCGGCUGAGUCAGGGUCUGAAAGACAAGGUGAUAGACUAUGCCGAAAUUUGAAUGAUAAGGUGACCGGCUAUGCCAGGGUCUGGAUGACAAGGCUAGCGAGGCGAGUCUCACAUCGCUUGCUGAUCUUGGAGACGAGUCUCAUAUCGCCUGGUGAUCUUGGGUUGUGUAUGUGAUUGGACUAACGAGGACGUCAGGGCCUUAAUGGGAGGAGUCUGUCACACCCCAAUAAUCCCACAUCGGAUAUGAAGGGGAUGUGAUUGAGUAUAUAUAAGAGACUUAGACACUAAUAAUAAUAACUGGGCUUAAGCAUUUUGGGCCAAUGUUUGGGCCCAACGAAUUAGUUUUACUAGUGGGCUGGGUCGUUACAAUUAUACUUAUGAAAAAAAGAAGGUCAAAGAAUUAAAGGUGCUCUCUUGGUGGAGCUUUGGGCUCAUUUACUUGUGCAGAGUUGGUGAAGCCACACAACGAGAGUCGAGCCGUUGUAUCCUGGAGGGGACAAGCCAGUGUUCUGCUGCAUCAGUUUAAAGGCUUUGCCAACCGUAGAGGGCUUGAAUCUCCUUAAAGAGAGCGAGGUUUUCGUCGAUAUUUUUUAUAUUAUUUUGUAGCUAACCUCUAUUUUUUAAAUAUAUACACCAAUAAUUUUAAGGAGAUUUAAAGAUGGAGGCUACACGCGAAAAAUUCAACCAUACUGCCAGAGAUCUCAACAAGCCCUUCUACUUUAAUGGAAGCAACUUUAAGAGAUGGAAAAGAAAAGUGUUAUUAUAUCUCAAUCUACUUAAAAUUGCAAAUGUCCUCACGGAGAAGAAUCCAAAAAAACUAAUACUGAUGAUAUGAAUGAAGACGAACUUCUCGAACACUACAAGAAAACUGAAAAAUACAAGAAGGAUGAGUAUAACUAUUAGUAUUAUCUUCUCAACUGCCUUUCAGAUCAGUUUUAUGAUUAUUAUAAAAAUACUAACUCCUCCACAAAGAAGAUUUGGAUGGUAUUGUAGCUUCAGUAUGAUACAGAGCAAGCUGGUGCAAAGAAGUGCAUCGCUAGCCGCUUCUUUCGCUACCAAAUGUUGAAGGAAAGUCCGUGGUGGAACAAGUUCAAGACGUUCAGAUGAUCGCCCUCGGAGAUAACUUGAUUGUAUUAGAAAUCAUUGAUAAGUUACCACCAUCAUGGAGAGAAUUCCAAAAAACCCUUUGACAUAAGCAAAGGAAGAAGUCUCUCGAGACAUUAAUUGCACGCAUUCGCGUGGAAGAGGAGGCAAGAGGCCAAGAUGCACUUGAAGCAAAAGAGAAUGAUACUAUCACCACUAAGGUAAACUUAGUAUCUUCUAAUUCUUUACCUAAUAACAAUCGUUGUAGAAAUACAUACUUGAAGCCUAAGAAGAAAAUUGGAAAGAAUAGUAGUAGACCUCAACACAAGCAAAAUAACCAACGACCUUCUUCUCAUAUGAAAAAUAUAGUUUGCUAUGUCUAUGGCGAAAGUGGCCAUAUUGCUCAAAUUUGCAAAGUUCAGAAACAUAAAGUUUUAUCUCAAGCUAAUGUUACUGAUGAGCCACAUGUGGUGAUGAUAAUAGACAUAUGUUUAGUGGAGAAUGCUGAAGGAUUGUGAGCAGACUCUGGUGCCAACAAACAUGUCUGUUAUGAUGAAGCUUGGUUUAAAACAUAUAUUUUCUAUAAACAACAAAGAAGUAUUAUGUUUGGUGAUUCACAUACUUCUGAAGUUUUAGGGUGUGGUGAUGUUGAGUUAAAAUUUUCUUCUAGAAGGAUACUUAUCGUGAAAAUGUGUUAUAUACACCCUCGAUUAGGAAGAACUUGAUGUCAAGUUUUCUUCUUAAUAAAAUUGGCUUCAAACAGACCAUUGAAUCUGAUCAGUAUGUGAUUUCCAAAAAUGAAAAGUUUGUAGUUAAAGAUUAUGCAUGUGACGGAAUGUUUAAACUAAACAUUGAGAAUAAAGCAUCAACUACUUCUGCUUACAUACUUUUUUCUAUGAAUUUUGGCAAAUCGAUCGUUUUUGUCAUAUUAAUAACAGAUAUGUUAACUUGAUGAGUAAUUUAGGAUUAAUUUCCAAAUUGAAUAGUGAUUUUGACAAAUGUGACACAUGUAGUAAGUCAAAAAUCACUAAACGAUCUAAUAAGAGUAUUGAAAGAAGCACCGAAUUACUUGAGCUAAUUUGCAUUAAUAUUUGUGAAUUUAAAGGUAUUCAAACUCGUGGAGAAAAUAGAUAUUUUAUCACUUUUAUCGAUGACUUUUCUAAAUAUACUUAUAUUUAUUUAUUAAAAAAUAAAAGUGAUACUUUUGACAAAUUUAAAGAUUUCCUCCAUAAAGUAGGAAAUCAAUUCGGUAAAAAGAUUAAGAGAAUUAGAAGUGAUCGAGGUCGUGAGUAUGAAUUUAUGGGAUUCAACUCUUUUAUUUAGUCUUUAGGAAUUAUCCAUGAAACUACUGCUCCAUGUUCACCUGUCUCUAAUGAAGUGGCUGCGAGAAAAAACAGAAUACUUAUUAAGCUAACAAAUGCUAUGAUAGGUGACACUCGUGUAUCCUUAAAUGUCACGCCCCGGGGUCCCUAUUUGAUUUAAAAGCAAUGCGGAAGUGCCUAAUUUUUUUUUUUUGAAAACCUGACCCCCAGGUUAUGCCAGAUCCGCCACAAACAUAGAGAGUCCACUGUUCACAUAGACAGAAUCUCUCCUGUAUUUGCACGACGUCACACAAGUACAAGAUGCAUAAUUCGCAAUACAUGAUACAACCACCACAAAUGAACAUCUACAGAUAAUCAUACACCAUUCACCAUCACAUCCACAACCAGAGUUAUUUAUAAAUCCACAACUAUUAGUUUAAAAUGUUUCCAAGCCAAAAACUCGUUUUAACACACUAAAUCAUGAAAACCGAGAAAACUGUUUUAAAAACCGUUUCCCACACAAAAACCUUUUCCUUUUAAAACUCGCUAUCACGAGGGGUAGAAAACCAUUUUCAUUUCGCAAGAAUCCAAAUUCUUUAUUACAUUAAUGAAAACCUAAAUAUUCGAUUCACAUAAAAGUACUGAACCAUAAUUGCAGUCUAAGUUAUUUAUUUAAAGAAACUGAGUUUAGAGUUUAAACUAAUGGACGGGUCCGUAAGCUCUACCGAACCGCUACGUACGCUUCUCGCGAAUCGUCCCACUAGGACCUGCGACGUCAUCUGUAAUGGGGGUGGAGGGUGAGAACAUGUAAACAUGUCUCCCCUCCCAGUGGGUACCGCAAGCCGAUGAGGGCGAGGGGUACUCACCAGUCAAGGAGAAUAUCAAAGGUAUUGGUAAGUGUAAACAGUAGCAACGAUAAUACUGAAACGAGAUGUAUAAAUGAAUACUACUGCUACCGUAUGAAUGCAUCAACCGGACGACAAGUCCAAAGUACCCAAUCUGAAAUAGCCAUAUUGGUCCGCACACCUCAGACCUGUGCCACAACUGCUCAACCUAUACAUGACCCGUGCAAAAAGCACCUGGGUCUGAAAGGUAUAUGACCCUCGCAUAAAGCACCCAGGUCUGAAAGCAUAUAACCCUCGCAUAAAGCACCCGGGCUCACGGGCUGGCACUCCCAACCAGUUUUUCGGAAAAGAACACCCUCUUGCGGUGGAUCAGACCGCAGGUGUUCGUGAAAUGCGUACGAGCAGUGGCGAUCGAUGCUGAAUGUUCAAUAACCAACCGUCGACAAUUAGCCGACAAUCUUGCCCCUCAGGGCACACCGACCAUAUAGGUCGUCAAAUAGUCCAACCGACCAAGUAGGUCAUGAUAACAAUGUAACAAGCCGACCAAAUAGGUCACAGAUACAAGAUACGAGAACCGACCAACCAGGUCACAGAUAUCAUAUGUAGAUAAAUCUACUCUACUCCUACUCAUGAUACUAGACAUGAAAACAACCGAGUAGAGUAUAACGGAAACAACAUGGGUGUAAGGCUCAAUAUAUAAUAUGCAAUAUAAACAACAAGGAGUGAAAGGAAUGUCACCGAGCGUGCACCACUGUACCGUCUUCGGGUCGAAGUACCCACCUAUACAAAUACGGUACUGGCUUUCCAACUACGGAGGAAGCAACAACCGGACCUACGAAGGUUCCACCGGGUUAGAAUCCAACCCACGACUACAAAACAGUAACUCACAAUCCCCACCAAUAACCUUACGGGAAUCAGUUUCCCAAAACCGAUUGCCGAACACGCCGGAAGUACUGAAAAUCACACCGGGACUCCGCCGGGACCCAUGAACUGUCCCGAAACUCACCGACUCGCUCUACGAGUCACCCGCUGCCAUCAAACACGUAUAAUUGUGUGACUUGGCAGCAAGUACACCACCUCACAUCGUAACGAUUAUCGUCAGAUAAUCGUUCCGAUCCGGAUUCCCCGAAGUGUCCAAUUCGACACCGGAACCCACUGUCGCUCACCCGUCAUUUCCGAACCUUUGAAACGAUGCAAGUGACCAGCCAACAAGGCUCAGUGACAACACAAAUCAACGUGAGGCACCGUCGGAAGAAUUUCGAAUCGAAAACGCGUUCCGUUGGCGGAUUUUGCCGACAAAUGCACUGAAAAUUAAUUUUCGAUUUUCGAAAAGGCUUAGGGCCUUGGACAACCAGUCCAGACGUUACCCGCUGCCCAAACAUGCUGCCAAUAGCAACCACAAUUUAAACAAUUGCAUAAAAAUCCUCGCGACUACAUAAAAUUACAUUAUUUUAUGUGAUUUUCGGGGUUUUACGGCCCGACAACACAAACCGAGGACCCUCAAGCCUGGCCGAGGCACCCGCUGACAGGUCUCAAUGUGCUGGAGGCCGUGCUCACACUUCGGAGCACUGCCGGCCACUGUGGCAGGCGCACGAGCGAUGCGAACUUCAGCGAAAAGCGCGCACAAUGCUUAAAUCGCGUCUAUCGUGCAAACUGGGGCAUCGUUGACCCCGACGGAGGUGGGCACGAUGUUCGGCAUGGAUCAGAUAUCAUCGUGCUCACUUCCAGAAUUAUCGGGGUGUCUCCGAAUCGCCGGAAAGGUGACUGGAACCCCAAACAGUGCACAGAAAACAUAAAUUAAUGCUUACCGGACCAGUAGGAGCACAGGUUGGCCAACGGCAGCCGGACGGCAGGCACGCCGGCAGGGGACGGGUGCGGCCGGUCAGUGGGGUCGAGGGCAGGUGCUAGCCGGCAGUGGGAGGCAGCCGGUGGCGCGGCGGAGGAGAUCAAGCCCGCACAACCAAGCUCGGUGCAAGGAAACAACGACGGCCAGGCAGCAGUCGGAGGAGCCUCGGGGCGAUGGCGGCCGGUCGCCGGAGGUCGAGGGAGGGCGGUGCGACUGGAAGUGGGCGGCGGCGACGCGCGGUGGCCGAGGUGACUCAGCCUCGGCCUUCUUUGAGUCUGGGCAGCCGCAGGGAGCAUUAGUGGUGGCCAGCGGCCACGGGGACGUCGGGGGCGAUGAGCGGAGGGUCGCCGGAGACCCAGGAGGGCGGCGCGACCGAUCUAAAGUGGCGACGGUGCGCGGGCCACGAGUUCACCCGAGUUUCGUCUGGGCUAACCGCGGGUCGCCGCGGAUCUCCCAGGCGACGCCGGCUGAGCGCGUGGACGGCGGGGCCCGGCGGGGAUAAUGCCGGAGAUCGGUCUCGGCCAGGGGACGAAGGCCCGACACGAUGGAUUGACUCCCAAUGAGCUAUAGCUGAAGUGGGUGGCGGCUAGGUGGAAGGGAAGAUGGAUGAAAGGCCGAGCUCGGGUUUUCCGGAUGCCGGGACACUUGCCGACUGCCGGGGUGUGCGCACGGCUAGGGCAAGGGCCAGCUGACGACGGCUAGGGCUGAGCUCGGCUGAGGAGUCAUCUAGGGUUAGGGUUAGCAUGGAACCCUAAUUUAGCUUUUAUAUAAGUUGGUAAAAAUGCGAUUUAGCCCUCCAAAUUUGAUUAUUUUCAGCUAAGUCCCUGCCAGCGCGUGUAAGAUGAGCGUACGCCCCUCGACGUUCAAAUUUACGCAAAACAGUACAUAAAAUAUUGGGAUUUUCUCAUAUUUUCCAUUUUGCCAAUUUUUGACCUCUCAGCGAAUAAUUCACGAUUCCCGAAGAUCCGUCCGUCGGAUUUCCGAUCGGAUCGUACCAGCGCGUUCAGCACGACUGGGGCAUCGAAUCUACUAUUUCGUUUCGUCCGAUUUAGUCGCCGAUUUGCGACGAAACCAACCCUCUUUACAUUUCACCAACAUUUAUACAUAUAAACACAUAUACUUUAAAUUUUCAAAUUCAAAAAUCCAAAUUUCUUUAUUAAAAAAAAUCUCGGAUAUUACAUUAAACCUUUGGGGUGAAGCCAUUUUAACUGCAUGUUAUGUCUUGAAUCACGUGCUAUUUAAGAAGUCUAAGGUGACACCUUUUGAAUUGUGGAAAGAGUAUAAGCCAAAUUUGAGAUAUCUUAAAGUGUGGGGUUGUCUAGCAUUGUGAGGCUACCGGACUCUAAAAAAUCCAAAUUGGAUGUUAGACCUGUCAUUUGUGUAUUUCUUGGAUAUACUUUGAACAAUAUAGCUUAUAGAUUUUUAGACAUUGAAAAUAAUGUGAUUUUUGAAUCAAAAGAUGCUAUUUUUUAUGAAAACAAGUUUCCUUGUAAAUCAAAAAAUAGUGAGGGUCAAGAUUUUAAAAGUGUUUCAAAUAAAUUGUGUUCUUCAAACUCUUUUUACAAAAUCAGGAACAACAUAUUUUGAACCUAGAAUAAACAAACAAAAAAAAAUAGAAAAAAAUUUUGGCCCUGAUUAUGUUGUUAUGAAUAUUAAAGAAAAUUCACUUUUUUUUACAAGAAGCUUUAUAUUCAAAUGAUACAAUUUUUUGGAAAGAGGUUGUAUCUGAUGAGAUGAAAUCUUUAAUUUCUAAUAAAAACGAAAAUUAGUGGAUUUACCUACAGGCUGUACAACAAUUGGUUGAAAAUGGGUCCUCAGAAAGAAAUUAAAAUCGGGUAGGAGUGUAGACAAGUAUAAAGCAAGACUUGUCGCAAAAGGUUAUAAAUAAAAAGAAGAUCUAGACUUCCUUAAUACCUUUUCUCCGAUUACUAGAGUAACAUCCAUCAGAGUUCUGAUUGCUAUUGUUGUAUUUCAUGGUUUACAAAUUCAUUAGAUGGAUAUAAAAACCGCUUUUCUGAAUGGUGAUCUAGAUAAGAAAAUUUUUAUGGACCAACCUGAGGGGUUAUUGAGCCUCAACAAAAAAAUAAAGUGUACAACCUGAGGGGUUCAUUAAGGCAAGCACCCAAACAGCGGCAUGAAAAACUUGAUUUUUGCAUAAUUGAGAAUGACUUUAAAUUAAACGAGUGUGAUAAGUGCAUCUAUUACAAAACUUUUAAAAAAUUACAUGUUAUUGUUAGCCUUUAUGUGGAUGAUUUGCUAAUUUAUGUCUCUAACUUAAAUGUUAUCUAUGAGACAAAGAUUAUGCUAAAUCAUUAUUUUGAAAUGAAGAAUCUUACUAAGGCUAAAUUUAUUUUGGGUAUGAAAAUUACCAAAACACCAGAUAGAAUCUUUCUUGAUCAGUCACAUUAUAUCAAGAAAAUUUUAAGAAAGUAUAACUUUUUUCAUUACAAGCAUGUGACUAUACCUUUUGAUUCGAGUGUUCACUUAUUUCCUAUUAAAAGUGAAAGUGAAAUUUUGAAUCAAAAGGAAUAUGCUAGUAAGAUUGGAAGCUUGCGGUUUGCGACUGAUUGUAUGAGACCUAAUAUUGCAUAUACAAUAGGGAUACUUAGUAGAUUUACAAGCAAGCUUGGUAUACAGCAUUGGCAUGCCAUGAAACGUAUGAUGAGAUAUCUCGUUGGUAUCAAAACUUAUGGCUUUUUUUUAUGGGAAGUAUCCUGCUGUAAUUGAGAGUUACAGUGAUGCUGACUGGAAUACCCUAUCAGGUGAUUCUCUCUCUACCACUGGUUAUAUUUUUACUGUAGCAGGUGGUGAUAUAUGUUGGAAAUCUAAAAAACUAACUAUCAUUGCUAACUCAACUGUGGAAGCAGAGUUUAUUGCCUUAGCUUCAGUUAGGGAGGAAGCUAGUUGGUUGAGAGAUUUAUUGUCUGAGAUUCCAUCUAUGUUAAUACAUUGUGAUAGCACUACUGCUAUUAGUAGAGUAAAAUUCGCUAUUAUAAUAGUAAAUUCAGAUCCAUGAGAAGAAAACACGGUACUGUGAGAUCAUAUAUGAACAAUGGUGUUACCAGCGUAGAUUAUAUUAAAUCUACUGAUAAUCUGGCAUAUCCACUGAUAAUCUGGCAUAUCCAUUAACCAAUAUCUUGGGAAAAGAAAGGAUCAGGAGCACAUCGAGGGGGAUAGAGUUGAAGCCUAUAAAAUCAUGAACCACGUAUGAGGAUACCCAAUCCGAUGAUCAGAGAUCCUGAAAAUUGGGUUCAGUGGGAAAAAGGAAUCAUAUGGUGGUCGUAAAGAAUGCACAAUAUAUAGAUCUAUAUGAUCGCAUCUUUAUAUAUCCCUAUGGUGUGGAUGCAUUCAUCCUGUAAUGAAAAGAGGGUUGAGUUUUUGCUCUUAAUGAAAUCUGUGGCUCUUAUGAUGUCAGAAUUAUAGGAACACCUUUGAUGGAUUUCACCUAUGUGAGCAUGGAAGUGAGGUCACUUCCUAUGAGAAUGGGCUUAUUCUCAAAUAUGCUAAUGAAAACUAGGAUCAGCACAAGGUCAUAACGUGCUAGAUAGUAAAACUCAUGUCAACACCUAGAUUAUUAUAUGUGAGCAGUGACUCUCUAUUUUUCCUAAGUAGCCAAAGUUCAUGAGACCACUCUGGCUCUAGAGUAGAGAUUAUUGUUUUACUAAGUGAAUGUUCAAUGCAGAGCAUACUGUCAUUAUGUAUAACAGUCCUUCUUUGGUCAUCAAACUCUCAUAUAUUUUUAAUAAAAUGAGUGGGGGAAUGUUGUAACAUUUAUUAUUAAUUAUGAAAAUUUAAUUUUGACUAAAUUACAAAACCCCCUUGUCAAUACUUGCUUUUUCACUCCCCCCCUAUCAUUCAAAAACCUACAGUUUGCCCUAUUGAAAAAUGAAAAAUGUUUCACUUCGGCCCCCGCCGUCAGUGUUCCGUUAGGGUUUCAUUUAUAUCUUAUUUUUUAUAUCUAAAAUACCCAUGAAGACCUUAUCCAUGCUCACACACAUACCCUCGGCCGCCGCCUCGCCCUCGCCCACCCCUCUGUUUAUACCCAGACACAUGCCGUCGCCCUCCAUUGCCCCCUUACCCUUGCCCUCGCCCACCUCUCCGCCCAUGCCCACCACGAUCUCCUCCCUACAAUCGCCGAAUAAAGGGACGGCGAGUGUCAUGCCCUGGGGUCCUUUUGUAAAGCCUUUUUGAAUAAAAGGGGCCAGUUUGAAAUAAAGUCAGCAAAAAGUGCCUAUAUAUAUAUAUUUUUAAUUACAACUUGUCCCUAAGAUGUAACAGACCCGCCACAGAUAUAGAAAUCUCCUUGUCCAUGCUGGCGAAGUUUUUUCUGUAUUUGCAUGGCGUAUCGAUACAACAUACACAACAACACACACACCCACUCACACAAACAACAUACACAAUGCAGAUGUCAGAUAACCAUUCAGCUAACCAUCCUUAUGAUGAUGCAUGCUCUAAACACUCCUUAGGCGAAGGAUGAUGCUAAUGCACAUAUAUCAAUCAAUUCUAUUCUUUAAAAGUAUUUUCUACCCGAAAACUAUAUUUAAAAACACUAAGUAUCGAUAAAUCCAAAAGUCAUUUGAAAAUUGUUUCUCACAUGGAAACUCACUUUCGAAAAGCCAGCUACCACGAGGGGUAAAAAACUACGUACGAUAAAACCAUCAACUACAUGCCUCAGAUAAACCACAAUUAUCACGUUGAAUUAUUGAGAAUCAUCAAGCAUUCACAAUACUCAUAUACCACCAAGUUCGGCAAUCAAACAAGCAAAUAACGGAGCCACAUAAACUCUAGUUUAUUAACGAACAUGAAGAGAAGAGUCAAGACAGAACAACCGUAACUGAAUGAUGACUGGUCGGAACCUCUAUAGCUCCCUAGCUAUCGUGCCUCACACACAGUCCCGAUUCCCACCACCGAGAUCACCUGAAAAAUGGUGGGGGUGAGAACAUGUAAACAUGUCUCCCUUCCUAGUGGGUAUCGCAAGCCGACGAAGGCGAGGCAUACUCACCGGCAAAGGAGGAAUAAUAGAUAGAUAUGUAUAUAUUAAGUACAGUAGCGAACAAUGGAAAACAGGUAUAAACGUGUAUGAAUAAACACUGAUACUGCAAAUAAUGAACAUAUACAUCAACUGUAAAUAAACCAAAAACCCAAUCGCUUUGCCCUAUAGAUCCGAAGAUCGCAGGCAAUGUCACCGUAUGCUCACCCACCAGGCACACAACCUCCGCAAGCACUUGGCAAGAGGCUCAUGGGUUGAGAAGACGACUACUUUUUUAAAAAAGAACAACCCCACGGUGGCCAAACCACUGGUGUACGUAAAGUGCUAAAUGAGUUGUGACGAUCGAUGCGAAAUGCUCAAUCCACAGGACGACAACAAGCCGAGAAUAGCAACAACUAACACAUGUCCAAGAGAUUGCUCGGAUCGUCGAGCCGAUCAACACUGACCAAUCAAGUCUCACCGUAAGAUCAUGCAAGAUACACCACAUCACUCUGCUAAUAUCAUAUGCAGGGAUGAAAGUAGGGAACAAUAACUGGACGUCGAGUGGAAUCACGCUUAUCCAUAACAUGCAAGGAGAAGGGAAAAGAGAAAUAUCAUCGAGCUAGUUCACUAUACCAACUUCGAAUCGAAGCACCCACCUGAACUGGAGAAGAGCCUAACUCCCAAGGCUCGCACGAAUGUCGACUGGACCUACGAAAAACCCACCAAGUCAUUGUCCAUCGAGUCGACUCGAAAACACUAAACUCACAAUCCUGAAAUCGUCGGAAUUUUCAAAAAGUCCACCGGAAUGAUUCCGAACUCAAGGAAAUACCCGGGAAAGUACCACUAAGCAACCCAAGUCAUCCGCUGUCCGUAAACACACCAAUUUAGGUGGUCGGAUUCCAGGGUGCAUAAAACAUAAACAAACCCAUAAUGACAUUUCGGGUUCCCGAAAAUGCCGUUUUCGGCAUCGGAACCCUCCGUCGCUCAUUUGUUGUCUCCGAAACUUUGGGACAGCAAGGAAAACUAGCCAACAAGGCUCAGUGACAAAACUAGGGCAUCAACAACUCCACAAAGUGAGUCCCACAUCGAUAAACACGUUCCGCCAACAAUUUCAUCGAAAAAAUGCUCCGAAACACGAUUCGAUCUUGCGAGACCAUCGAGGACUUGGACAAUCAGUUUAGAGGGUCACACGAGGUGGUCUCACACUGUCCGAGGCAGCCCAUGCUGUCACUAUUGCAUGGAAGCCCUCAAAUAAUACAUAAAUAGCAUAAACUCAUGAAUUUACACACUAAAAAGGCAACAUCACCGGUAUCGCGUGAUUUCGAGAUCAACCAAGGGCACCAAUAGCAAGGUCUCAUCAAAGUGAAGCCCAUGCUCCCUAUCUGAGUCAUCAAAAAUAGUCACGGAGCACUUCGAGCCCAUAGAAAAUGCUAGAAUAUAAGGCCCAAUGGAGCGACAUCGUCGAAACAGCGAAAUGAGGCCUUCCUGACAGAAACCGAGGUGAGCACGAUGAUCAGUGAUGAGUCAAGAUCAUCGUGCUCUCUUUCUUGAAGAUCGAGACCCGGGUUACUCGAAAUAGUGAACAACCCAAGAAAUGCCCCAUUUCAGGCUUGGCCGGAGCAAGCUUCCUCCGGCCGGUUGCUUGCGGCACGGCAAUGCGCGCGCAUGCCAGGGAUAGAUGCGGGGAAGGUGAGGAACACCGUGCUCACCUUGCCAGCGGCGGGGAGUGGCGGCGACGGCGCUGGAAGCAAGUGCGGCCAACCCGGGUCUAGGUCUCUGGCUCGAUGGCUCCUCCCAGCGAUGGCGACGGUCAGGACAGGUUGGGGACGAUGGCGGCGGGUCCCCUGAGGCUAGAGAGAGGUGGCGGCGUCGGCUAACGGCGGGGCUGCGGCGGCGGCGCUUCAAGGAUGCUCGGCCGCCACUGCCACUGAUAAUGCCAACUAGCAAAGCAGCGGCUACGGCGCUUUCGGGCAACACGGGGAUGGCCAGGGAGGUCUUCGGAGGUUCAAAAGGUGGGGAAGAGGAAGGUCUACCCGAGCACAACUCCCCUGGUAGCCUCAGGUCCAGAGAGAGAGAGAUGGAAAGAGAGAGCUUGAGGGAGAGAGAGAGGGAGGUGGCAGCAGGUUUGGCCGGCCGGAGAGGGUCGUCGGUGGCCAGGGGGGCGCGCGGCCCCUCACAAAGGGAGGUGGGAUAUGACUAGGGUUAGGUGGCUGAGGAGAGGGGAGCUAGGGUUAGGGUUUCAUCAUGUGAAACCCUAGAUGCCAACUUAAUAGCAUUCGAACAAUUACGAAAAACCCCUCGAAACCUCGACCAAUUAAUCCAAGCCCUUCACCAUUCGCAUAAAACGCGUCAACACCCCUCCACGAGGAAUCCCUCACGAAACGAUACAUAAAAUAUAAGGUAUUUUACGAAAAAUACUUGUUUCGCAAAAUCGUCCCAUCCCCGAUAAAUGCACUAUUUCGGACGAUCGGUUCGUCGGGCAUACGAACAGAUCGCACCAGCGCUUCUGGCAUUGCCAGGCCAUCAAACCCACGAUUUUGUUUCAUCAGAAACGGUCGCCGAUUCGCGACAAAUCGAACCCUCUUCCAGCCCUUCAAAAACAACUUAUAUAUAUAUAUCUAUAUAUAUAUACAUAUAUGUAUAUGUAUAUGCAUAUACAUAUAUGUAUGUAUAUGUAUAUACAUAUAUGUAUAUGUAUAUGUAUAUAAAUAUGUAUAUACAUAUACAUAUAUACAUAUACAUAUACAUAUACAUAUACAUAUAUGUAUAUGUAUAUGUAUAUACAUAUAUGUAUAUGUAUAUACNCAUUUUACAAGCUGAUUUUGUGGCUGUCAUUAAGCUAGAAAAGCAGUAAUGUAUCACCACACUAUUUCGACUACCACUAUGUUUUCUUGGAUUUGCGAUAUAAGUGGGCUCCAUUUUGUCAAAAUUGACGAACUAAUUUAUAUAUUCAUAUUAUAUUAUUUAGCCUAUGAGAUGAACUGUUGAUAUAGUUGAGAUAAAUAGUGAUAUUUUGACACUUAUCAGUAGAGUAAAUUGAAAUAUAUAUAUAUAUAUAUAUAUAUAUAUAUAUAUAUAGGGAAAACUUCAAAAACCCCCCCUGUGGUUUCGUUGUUUCUCACUUUGCCCCCCUGUGGUUUAAAGUGUAUCAAUUUGUCCCCCUGUGGUUUUGUUUUUAUCUUUUCGGUAGCUUUUUCGUUAAUAUUUUGUUAAAUUAUAUACAAAAAACUUCAGAUACCCAUUUUGAUUUAUCAAAUAUUCACUUUAGUACCUUUAAUUUUAACUUUAUUACUGAUUUAAGGAAAAAAAAAUAAUGAAAUUGAUAAGAAAAAGAGAAAAAUAAAACCACAGGGGGGCAAAUUGAUACAUUUUAAACCACAGGGGGGCAAAGUGAGACACUACGAAACCACAGGGGGGGUUUUUGAAGUUUUCCCAUAUAUAUAUAUAUAUAUGUAUGUAUGUAUGUAUAUUGUCACGCCCGGAUUUUCACGUUUUCUCGGGCACGCCAACGGACCCGCCGUAUACGAAGAAAUUUUUUCCGUAUACGAAGCGAUAACUGCACCUGUAAUCACACGAAACUACAACCAGUAGUAUAGAGCUGCUAAACUGAACUGAAAAUAUAUAUAAAACAUCAGGUUCACUAUACAUACAAAGUCUCCGAGAUACAACAAACCCUCGCUCCAGCGAGUAAACCAACAUAAGUAUGCACAUGAACCAAAAUACCCCAAAACUACCUGUAAAUGAUACUCCACUAGUACUGCAACCAGGGAAGGGAUCUAGCUUGCGACACCCUUUCCACGAUCAGAAUCGGCGAGAGCAGCAGCCGCGGAAGAAGGCUCUGCAAAAAGGGUCAACAAUUGGGUGUGAGAACUACUGCAAAAUAGAGUAAUCCUCAUUGGGUACCGCCACCGACCUCAACGGCUCACCCACUAAGUCUACAGAAAGGUGUGCAAGAGACAGUAAUAAAAGCUGAAAAUCCUACAGCUAUAUGCAACUAUACUAUCGCUAACCAACACUGGCAAUAUGUAGAUCUAGCCAAAAUGCAAUCUCUGACCCAAUCUCACUAGGGACUGUGAAAACACCCGUCCCGCCUGUCGAAGCUACACUGUACACCACCCCAAGGGCUGCCGGUGGAGAGCAAAGUCCUAACCGGACACUACGACAUCAACGCAAAGCAAAAGGCCAGACUCCGGAGCGGCACUCGUGGGCGCAACCCAACCGAGUAUGCAAGCGUGUCUCUGCCGAGCUCAAUCAGGCUCUCACAGGCUAUAAUCAAUGCAAAUGGGUCUAACCGGUCUAACAACCAACUCACACGUGCCCUUGGCACAAUCUAAUGCAAAACACAAAAAUCUAGGUCCGCAGUCAACCGCGACGGCCCCCGAUAGUCCAAAACAAUCUACAUAAUACUGUAAAAUAAGUUCGGCAUCCAAGCACGAGCGUAACCUCAUCCUACAGUAAUCUGGGUAUCCACCGCAUACUAACAGCGGCGAUAUAAAUGAACCACAGCUCCUAAAGCUAAAUCUGGUAAUUUCUGAAACAAUGACAGUGUAGAAUCUAAUAGUUUUCUCCUAAGUCAAUUCCAGUUCAACAUGUAUAAUUCAUCUAAAUCACUAAUUAUGCUCCAAAUUCAGAUUUCAAAGAACAUGCAAAUCAACGAAUUUGAGCUAUAAAACAUAAUAAACGAAGCCAUAAAUACAUGCUGUCAACUCCGGCUUAGGAGGAAAUCUGACGAUUUUGGCAACAUCAACGCACCUCGCAAAGCUCGUCCAACCACGGCGAGAAAUCGAAAGGCGGGAAUCCACGCGCUUGCCCGGCCUCCCAACGACGCAACUGCGAUGCCCACGGCUCGAACGGCCCUCCGGAUCGACGUCGACAACCUCCCGAGCUCCAGCCGCGACCUCCACAACGUACGAGUCCACCAGCUAGAGAGAAAGAAGAAAAUAAGAAGAAGAACCGGCUACUAAGCUCUCUCUAUCAAUAUAUAGACUGGGGAUAAGGUUGGGAUUAACGUCACAAUCAAAUGACCAAAAAACCCCUUACCAACUCAAAAAUCCAGCUGGAAUACCGGUACUCCCUUUGAAUAUCGGUACUCGGGCCUUCAACCCGCAGCUUCGCACACUUGGUACCGGUACCAGCUCGAGCAGUACCGGUACCCGAGCUCGAUACCGGUACUCAGCAGCAUCUACGCGCGAACCCGAGAGCUUCAGUUCUGUACUUCCACUGAGGUACCGGUACUUCUCCCACUGGUACCAGUACUCAACACUAAAAUCUGCACUUUGCAGAUUAAGGUCAAAGAAAGGUGUUCUUUUGGUGGAGCUUUGGGCUCAUCUUGUGUAAAAUUGGUGAAGCCACACGAUGAGAGUCGAGCUAUUGUAUUCUGAAGGGGACAAGCCAGUAUUCUGCUGCAUCGGUUCAAAAGCUUUGCCAACCGCAGAGGGCUUGAACCUUCUUAAAAAGAGAAGAUUUUCGUGCCUUGGCUUGAUCGACUCGUCGACACUUUUUAUAUUAUUUUGUAGCUAACCUCUAUUUUUUUGAAUAUAUAUACCAACAGUUAGGAUCAACUUUGUCCAUGAAUCAUAAACAUCAUAUGUGUGAUGCAUAAAAAACAGGCAUCUAAAUUGUGUCCAAUAGAUUAUCCGGUGUUCUACAAGUACAAUUCAUUUGGUGCAUCAAAUUAUUCAAUGCAUGAGAAUUAGAUGCAUAAGAAACAUAUUGGACAUUCCAAUUGUUGAUUAUAUCUAAUGAUUUACGUUAUGAUUAGAACAACUUGUAUUUUUUUUAUGUUGCAUUGAUGAUCUAGUGCGCUUUGUGCAAGCAAAAAUUUGUUUUUUCUAUCCUGUCCUAUUUGGAGAUAUGAUGGGAACACAGUAAUAAUGCAACAUUGACUUUGCAAAUACAACUUAUUUUGAUUAACGAUGUGGUGACGAUGAGAAUGUUAUGCCAUUGUGACAUUAAAGCUAUAUAAGCUUUUUUACUAUCAUACCUCUAUGGCCACACUCAACUGCAACUAUUCUAAAAAGGAUAAAUUGCAUUGUUACCUCUUGAACUUUUGGCGAAGUUUCACUUUACCCCUCGAACUCUUAAAAGGGACAUCUAACACUCUAAACUCUAAUAUUUCAUUUAUGUUACCCCUUCCGUCACUUUUUCGUUAAGCUCCGUUAACCGAAAACUGACGGAAAGGAUAAAAUGAAUGAAAUAUUAGAGUUUAGGGUGUUAGAUGUCUAUUUUAGAAGUUUUUGGGGUUAAGUGAAACUCGCCAAAAGUUCAUGAGGUAACAGUGCAAUUUACCCUAAUAUAUUACUUAUGGAUUGACUACUAACCCUCAAGUUAGUGACGAUGAGAAUGUUAUGCUAUUGUGACAUUAAAGCUAUAUAAGCAUUUUUACUAUCAUACCUGAUCUAUGGCCACACUCAACUGCAACUAUUCUAAAAAUAUCGGUUAAAAAUUGCAUCAAAUUAAAAAUUGAGGACUGAAGUACUACCCAUUUCAUAUUUUGAUGAUCAAAAUUCUAUUUAACCUUUCUUUUAUAACUAUCAUACAAUAUCACUACUAUAUUUUUUUUCCCCAUUUUCUUUCAGGCUGAUGGUGGUAUUUCAACUGGUUGUUAUAACUUUCAUUGCAAAGGCUUUGCAAUGGUUGAUUGGAAUGUACUUACACCAGGAGACGUAAUUGAUACCGUAUCUACUUAUAAUGGUCAACAAUACUAUAUCACACUUAGCAUAAAAAAGGUUGAAUAAAUUUCUUUACUUUAAAAUCUUUAUAUUUUAUUUUGUAAUGCUAUAUCAUUGCGGCUACUGAAUGAUAGAAUAUCGAGUUUUCUUAAACUUGCAUAUAUUUUAGUACUUUAAAAGUGUUUACGAAGCUUAUAUAAUGGUAACAAAGAAGUGUGUUUUGUCUACAUAAAUAUACAAACACACACACACACAUCUAUAUAUCUAUCUAUCUAUAAUCUAUAAAUCUAUAAAAUAAAAUGCAUGGAAGGGGAACCCUAAAGAAGGCCUCCCUUACUUUGGUGUCUUGUGGGACCCAUGUGUAUAUAUAUAUAUAUAUAUAAGUUGAGCUAGAAUACUACCGAUAGCAAACAGGCUCCGUUGUCAUCCAUUUGUUUUCGAUGAUAGAGCCUUCAAAUCGACGAUCGGCAUCGUUGAACAUGAUCUAUACCACUUGAAGUGUUUAGAAAUCAAAUUUCAAAUCUUUUCGACAUCAUUUGCCUAAUGAUCAAAGGGUUUUAAAAUUUAUAAUUUUAAUGGUCGAUAUGAGGCGUUUUGUCGUUUAACGGCGUAAAGAUAUUCAAAUCAAUUGAAUUUUUGUUAGAAAAUUCUUUAAACUAUUUAAAACAAGAUCUAUACUCUUGAUCUUGAUUACAAGACUCUUAUCAUCAUUUUUUAAAGAAUAUUCAUUUUUAGCAGUUCAUUUUUGUGUCCACUCGAUGGAUAAGAGAACAAUAUCGAAAAUGUAUGAAAUUUGAUUUCUAAACACUUCAAGUGGUAUAGAUCAUAUUCAACGGUACCGAUCGUCGAUUUGGAGACUCCAUAAUCGAAAACAAAUGGGUGGCAACGGAGCCUGUUUGCUAUCGAUAGUAUUCUAGCUCAACUCAUAUAUAUAUAUAUAUAUAUAUAGAGAGAGAGAGAGAGAGAGAGAGAGAGAGAGAGAGAGAGAGAGAGAGUCUGGUUAUGUAAUAGUAAUAAAGAAGUGUAUGUGUCAACAUAAAUAGACACACACAUAUACAUAUAUACAUAUAUACAUUUAAGCUAGGGUUACUAUACUUUUAUAAGUGUAGACCCUUUUGUACUCAUAGAUUUUGGAUCGUUUGAUGAAGGGAUGUGCGUUUAGAAUGAUAGUAGUCUCUUAGAAUUCAGUGGGUGGUUAGUUGAAGAGUAUGAUAUAACGAGUGGAAAUAGAGUAUGAUAUAAUGAGUGGAAAUGGUCAAAGGGACAACACACACACUCACACACGACUUGGUGCAAAGCAUAGGAGCUCAAUUAUAUAUAUAUUUAUAUACAUACAUAUAAUAUACAGUACAUACAUAUAACAUAUAUAGAGUCCAGCUACUAUACUCUUAUGAGUACGAUCGCCCUCGUACUCAUAAGCUGUUUUCGAUGAUAGAGCUUCCGAAUCGACGAUCCACACCAUUAAACGUUAUCUAAAGCAUUUAAAACAUCUAGAAAUCAAAUUUUAUAAUCUUUCAAUAUUAUUUAUCUUACGAUCAAAAGCUCACAAAAUUGACAAUUUUUAAUGGCCGGUAUGGGAUAUUUGCUAGUUUAACGGUGUAAAAGAAUCGAAAUUGGUUGAAUUUUUUAUAGAAAAUUCUAUUCACUACCUAGAUAAAGAUCAAUAACUCUGAUCUUAAAUUGAAGGAUCCGAUCAUUCAUUUUUAAGACGUCGUUUGAUUUUGACCGUUCAUUUUAUAUCCACUUGAUGAACUUUAUUAUGAUUUCGAAAAAUUACGAAAUUUAUUUUCUAGAAGUUUGAAAUACUAUAGAUCAUAUUUAACGGAGUGUAUCGUCGAUUCGGAAGCUCAAUCAUCGAAAACAACUUAUGAGUACGAAGGGUCCUAUACUCAUAAGAGUAUAGUAGCCCUACUCAACAUAUAUAUAUAUAUAUAUAUAUAUUUCAAAUUUCGGUCUGUCGACAGACCCAUUUUUUGGCGGGAUAAAAAAUUGAUUCCUCUUUCCUUACGUAAAAUUUAACGACCCAGCCCACUAGCAACAAUAACUCGUUGGGCCCAACCACCAGCCCAAAAUGCUUAAGCCCAGUUAUUAUUACUAGUGUCUAAAUCUAUUAUAUACCCAAUCACAUCCCCAUUCCUAUCCGAUGUGGAAUUAUUGGGGUGUGAGACUCCCCCCCGUUAAGGCCCUGACGUCAUCGUCAGUCCAAUCACACACACAGCCCAAGAUCACCAGGCGAUGUGAGACUCGUCUCGCUAGCCUGUCAUCCGGACCCUGGCUCAGCCGAGACUUGUCACACAUGUCCAGCUGGUGAACCGGCUCUGAUACCAAAUUUAACGACCCAUCCCACUAGCAACAAUAACUCGUUGGGCCCAACCACCGGCCGAAAAUGCUUAAGCCCAGUUAUUAUUACUAGUGUCUAAGUCUAAGUCUAUUAUAUACCCAAUCACAUCCCCAUUCCUAUCCGAUGUGGAAUUAUUGGGGUGUGAGUCUGUGACACCCCAAUAAUGCCACAUUGGAUGGGAAUGGGGUUGUCAUUGGGUUUAUAAGAGACUUAGACACUAGUAAUAAUAACUGGGCUUAAGUAUUUUGGGCUGUGGUUGGACCCAACGAGUUAUUAUUGCUAGUGGGCUGGGUCGUUACAUUUGGUAUCAGAGCCGGUUCACCAGCUGGACAUGUUUGUCGAGUCUCGGCUGAGCCAGGGUCUGGAUGACGGGCUAGCGAGAUAAGUCUCACAUCGCCUGGUGAUCUUGGGCUGUAUGUGUUCAGGGCCUUAACGAGUUAUUAUUGCUAGUGGGCUGGGUCGUUACAUAAAAUAAAUAACAGAAUUAAACAAACUUUUAUUUCCUCUUUAUUUUUACAAUAGAAAAAAAUUUAUGCUUAUCCAAUUUUUUGCAAAUCAGAGAAUAUCUACUAUUAAUUUUUAUUUAAUUCUUCUUUAUCUCUAUUUGUAAUAUAAUUUCUAUACUAUCUAUCUAUAUCUACACCAUACAUAAAAUCACGUAUUUCAAAUUUCGAUCGGUCGACAAACCCAUUUCUUGGCAGGAAAAAAUUUUUGAUUCCUCUUUCCUUACGCAAAAUAAAUAAUGUAAUGAAACAAACUUUCAAUUUCUCUUUAUUUCUAAAAUAGAAAAAAAUAUACUCAUCCAAAUUUUGCCAACCGAAAGAUAUCUACUGUGAAUUUAUAUUUUAAUUCAAAAUUUAUUUAAGUUCUUUUUAUCUCUAAAAUAUAAACAAAUUCAUGCUUAUCUAAAUUUUUGCCAGAAUAUCAAUCUGUUAAAAAAUAGUACUUCUAUCCAUCUAUUUUACAUUAAAAUUUAAAUUUGUGUUUAAAUCGUAAAUUAAAUUUAAUUUUUGAUUUUUGAUAUCAAAUCUAUCCAUCUAUUUUAUAUUAAAAUUUAAAUUUGAUAUUGUAGAUAUUUUCUAAUAAAAUAUAACAUAUAAAUUUACAAAUUUUUUAAAUUUUUUGAGUGGGGGUCUGUACCAUGGGAUUUACUAACUAAUAGUACCACCAACUCUAAUAUAUAUAUAAUAUAUAUAUAUAUUAUAUAUAUAAUAAUAUAUAUAUAUAUAGUAUAUCAACUAGUCUGAGUCUACUGCAAAGCACGUAAUUAAUUAUUUUAUUUAUUUCUAAAAUUAAAAAAUUUAGCAAAUUAAUAUUAUANNNNNNNNNNNNNNNNNNNNNNNNNNNNNNNNNNNNNNNNNNNNNNNNNNNNNNNNNNNNNNNNNNNNNNNNNNNNNNNNNNNNNNNNNNNNNNNNNNNNNNNNNNNNNNNNNNNNNNNNNNNNNNNNNNNNGAGUGUUAAAUGUUAUAAUAAUUGUUUAACGGUAUGGAUCGGUCAAUUCGGAAGCCAUAUACCGAAACGAUAUAUUUUAUAUAUAUAUAUAUAUAUAUAUAUAUAUUAUUAUAAUAAUAUAGAAUUAACUGGAAUAUAUUAAUAGUAAAACGCUCUUUUUUGCUUACCAAAUUUUUUACUUGGAUGAAACAUGUAGGGUCAGGAUGAUAUUGUCGGUUAGAGUUGAGUGGUCCCUCAGGGUUGAGUGGUCCCACUGGGUUUAUAGUAUUUUAAUCGAUGUUAGAAUAAUAAAAGGGGAGUUGAUCCAAAGGCUAAAAACUAGUAGCAACAAUGGGAUUUUACUACUAAUAGUAGCCCGUCCAACUCUAUAUAUAUAUAUUAUAUAUUAAUAUAUAUAUAUAUAUAAUAUAUAUAUAUAUUAUACAUACUAGUUGAGGCAUACGUGCAAUGCACGUAAUAUUAUUUAUUUUAUUUUAAAUUAAUAAAAUUUAGAAAUAUAUUUUUUAAAAAAUUUAAAAAAUUUGUAAAUUUAUAUGUUAUAUUUUAUUAGAAAAUAUCUACAAAUCAAAUUAAUAUUUAAUAUAAAAUAGAUGGAUAGAUUUGAUAUCAAAAAUCAAAAAUUAAAUUUAAUUACGAUUUAAACACAAAUUUAAUUUUAAUGUUAAUAGAUGCGAUAGAAGUACUAUUUUUAACAGAUUGAUAUUCUGGCAAAAUUUAGAUAAGCAUGAAUUGUUUAUAUUUUAGAGAUAAAAAGAACUUAAAUAAAUUUUGAAUUAAAUAUAAAAUUCACAGUAGAUAUCUUUCGGUUGGCAAAAUUUGGAUGAGUAUAUUUUUCUAUUUGAAAUAAGAGAAAUUGAAGUUUGUUUCAUUACAUUAUUUAUUUUGCGUAAGGAAAGAGGAAUCAAAUUUUUUCCUGCCAAGAAAUGGUUUGUCGACCGAUCGAAAUUUGAAAUACGUGAUUUUAUGUAUGGUGUAGAUAUAGUAGUAUGAUAGAAAUUAUAUUACAAAUAGAGAAUAAAGAAGAAUUAAAUAAAAAUUAAUAGUAGAUAUUCUCUGAUUUGCAAAAAUUGGAUAAGUAUUUUUUCUAUUGUAAAAAUAAAGAGGAAUAAAAGUUUGUUUAAUUCUGUUAUUUAUUUUAUGUAACGACCCAGCCCACUAGCAUAAUAACUCGUUAAGGCCCUGACACAUACAGCCCAAGAUCAUCAGGCGAUGUGAGACUUAUCUCGCUAGCCCGUCAUCCAGACCCUGGCUCAGCCGAGACUCGACAAACUGUCCAGCUGUGGUGACCGGUCUGCUGAUACCAAAUGUAACGACCCAGCCCACUAGCAAUAAUAACUCGUUGGGUCAACCACGCCAAAUACUUAAGCCAGUUAUUAUUACUAGUGUCUAAGUCUUUAUAAACCCAAUGACAACCCAUCUCCAUCAAUGUGCAUUAUUGGGGUUGCCAAGACUCACACCCCGAUAAUUCACAUCGUAUAAGGAAUGGGUGUAUUGAUGUAUUUUGUUUGGGGUAUUUAAUAGACUUAGACUAGAACUUUGUUGUAUCUUGGUAAUUGUAUAUUGAUAUCUGGGCUCUUAAGCAUUUUUUGCAGUGCCCCCGCGGUGCGUGUGGGCAAUAGGGCGCGACACCGAUAGUCCCGUUAUUGGUGCUGUGGAUGGGUUCGUUAAUUUUGGUUAUUCAGUAGCCGGUAAUUCACCAGCUGACAUGUGUGCCAAGUCUCUGGAGCUAGUGUAGGCCAUAGUUUGGGUCCUAGUUAUGUUCGGCAGGGAGCUAUCGUGGGACGCUCGUUCACUCGGGGGGUCUUGUGGUGAUCGGUUGUUCCAGGCAAAAAUACAUUCUAGAGUUUUCGUUGUUUUAAAUGAAGGCAGGGGGUGACCAGCCAGUAAGCUUAUGUAUGGCUGAGCGUAAGUGGUCUUAUUUUAUUCUCUAUUCUUUCUUUCCAGACCUAAAUGAGAGAUUUGAUCGGCGGCUUUUAGUCGGAUUGGGACCCGCGGAGCGAAACGGCUGUUUUCUUGUCGCAGUGGUUCCGAUUCCUGUAUGUCAGGGUGUAAUACUUCACGGGUUUACCGGAAUGCUGGUGUGUUGAUUGAGAUAACGUGUUGCAUCGAUGUACUUGAAAUGAUACAAGGGCGUUUAACGUUUCCGGAUUCCAUCUAUGGCCUUUUUUUUUGGUGAUUGUCUUCAUUCUAUUCUCUUUAAUUCCCCAUAAUAAUCUCCUUAUCAUUUGUUUAAAUCGUUGAUAGUCGACAUUGGAGUCUGUGGUGGAGAUGUCGUAUUGGGUAUAUAAUAGAUUUAGACACUAGUAAUAUAUAACUGGCUUAAGCAUUUGCGGGGUGGUUAGGUUGUCUUUGGUUCCCCAACGGUUAUUGUUGUAGUGGGCUGGGAUCGUUAAAUAUUUACGUAAGAAAGUGAGAGAACAAUUUUUUAUCCGCCUAAAGAUGGCCGUAAAAUCUUCUCGCCUCGAGGUUCCAGGAACAGAUAUAUUCUGUAAGUAUAGUAUGCGGUAGUGUAUAAAAUAUUAUAUAUAUGUCAUGACUAUGGCGAGGGUAGAGUUAUUUGUCCAUGUUUCUGUGGGUCGGCUACCAAGGGGUAUACUUUAUGAGGUAAUAGGACCUUCAAGUACCUACGGUAUCCAAGUAUGUUUAAUCGUAUGAUUGAGACUUUGAUGUCUCGGUAGAAAUCAAAUUUUAUAAUUUUUCGAGAUCAUUUACCUUACGAUCAAGAGGUCACAAAUUUAACAAUUUUUAAACGCCGGUAUGGGAUACUUGUAGUUUAACGGUGUAAAAGAAUCGAAAUUUAUUGAAUUUUUGAUAGAAAAUUCUAUUCACUACCUAGAUAAAGAUCAAUAACUCCGAUCUUGAAUUGAAGGAUCUGAUCAUCCUUUUUUAAGACGUCGUUCGAUUUUGACCGUUCAUUUUAUGCCUGCUUGAUGGACUUUAUUAUGAUUUCGAAAAUUAACGAAAUUUAUUUUCUAGAAGUUUCAAAUACUAUAGAUCAUAUUUAACGGAGUGGAUCGUUGAUUCGGAAACUCCAUCACCGAAAACAACUUAUGAGUACGAGAGCUCCAAUACUCAUAAUAGUAUAGUAGCCAUGGCCUAUAGGGUCGGGCUACAAUACUCAUAUAUAUAUAUAUAUAUAUAUAUAGAGUCCGGCUACUAUGCUAUUAAUAGCACGAAGCACUUGGUGCUACCAAGUUUUCCGCCAUUAGAUCUACCCUUUUGAUCAUUUCCACUCGUUAGAUCAUACUAUUCAACCAACCACCUACUCAACCCUAGGGAGCCCACAUCAUCCUAACCGCAUAUCUCUUAAUCAAAUGGCCAAAAACUUGGUAGCACCAAUGACUUGGUGCUAUUAAUAGUAUAUUAGCCUAGUUCUAUAUAUAUAUAUAUAUAGAAUUAUGCUACUAUACUAUCAAUAGUACCAAGCCCUUGGUAAUAUUGAGUUUUUGGCGUUGGAUGAAAGGAUGUGCGGUUAGGAUGAUAGUGGUUCCCGAUUAAAUUGAUAGUGGUCCCCUAGCUAGGGUUGAGUGGGUUGUUGGUUUAAUAGUACAAUCUAACAGGUGGAAAUCAUCAAUGGGUAGAUCUAACGAUAGAAAACUCAAUAGUACCAAUGGCUUUGUACUAUCGAUAGAAUAGUAGCCGGACUCUCCCUCUGUCUCUCUAUAUAUAUAUCAUUGGGCUGGAAUACUAUUAAUAGUAUUUGGACUUUUUGGCUAUCGAGUUUUUUAACCCAUGAAUGAAAAUUGUAGGGUUAGGAUGAUAGUAGUCCCCUAGAGUUUAGUGGUGGUCCCCCUUAGGAUUGAGCGGGUGGUUUAUUGAAUAGUAUGAUUUAAAGGGUGGAAUCGAUUGAAGCGUAGAUCUAACGGCUAAAAAAUCGAUAGCAAAAUAGCCCAAGUACUAUUAAUAGUAUUUCAGCUCAACUCUCUCUUUCUCUCUCUCUCUAUAUAGAUAUAUUAUAUGAGUCUGGCUAUUAUACUAUCAAUAGUACCAAGCAAUUGAUGUUAUCAAAUUUUCUGCCAUCAGAUCUACCCCUUUGACCAUUUUCUCCCGUUAGAUCAUACUAUUCAACAAACCACCCACUCAGCCAUAUAGCACCAGUAUCAUCCUAACCGCACAUCCUUGCAUCCAAGGGCCAAAAUCUUUAUAGCACCAAGCAUUUGGUACUAUUCAUAGUAUAGAAGCAUAAUUCUAUAUAUAUAUAUAUAUAUAUAUAUAUAUAUAUAUAUAGAGAGAGAGAGAGAGAGAGAGAGAGAGAGAGAGUAGAGUGAGCUGAAUCUAUGCGGUAGGCACGGGGCUCCGUGCCACCCAUAAUUGUUUUUCGAUAUGGAGCUAUUCUCAAAUCGACGGGAUCGGCACCGUUGAAACCAUGAUCUAUACCACUUGAAGUUAUCUAAAAAUCAAUUCAAAUCAUUUUCGACAUCAUUUCGGCUAAUGAUCAAAGGGUUCCAAAAUUGUAAUUUUAAUGGUUGAUAUGAGGGGUUUCUCAGUUAACAGUGUAAAGCUAUUCAACAUCAAUUGAAUUUUGUUAGAAAAAUUCUUUAAACAUAUUAGAACAAGAUACUAUACUCUCGAUCAUGAUACAAAUUUCUAUCAUCACUUUUAGAGGAUAAUUCAUUUUCAGCCAUUCAUUUUUACGCCCACAUGAUGACAAGAAAACAAUAUCGAAAAGUAUGAAAUUGUGAUUUCUAGAUACUUCAAGUAGUAUGGAUCCAUUUUCAACGACGCCGAUCGUCAUGUGGAGGCUUCCAUCAUCUGAAAACAAAAUGUGGGUCAACCGGAGCCCUUUUGCUACCGAUGAGCUAUCGCUCCAACUCUCCUCUCUUCUCUCUCUCUCUCUCUCUCUCUCUCUCUCUCUCUAUAUAUAUAUAUAUAUAUAUAAGUAUAUUAAAUAUAUAAAUUAGGCUCUAUAUCCACCCCCCCGCCCCCCCCCCCUCCUCCCCCCCCCCCCCCCCCCCCCCCCCUCUAUGACCGGCGCUCCGAUACUAUACGUCUGCUUCGAUCUUAAGGUGUUCAAAUUAACGCCACAACCGUUAAAUAUGAUCUAGGUUAUAUGAGUCUUAGGAAUAAAAUUUUUAUUUUUUCGACAUCGUUUACCUUAGUAAAUAAAAUUUAUGUCAAAAAUGGAUGGUAGAUACUUGAAUAAUUUUUAAAUUUGAGCAUAGGACUUUUAAAUUCAGAUCAGAUGUUAACUUAAUCUCUAGAUAGGUUAAAAGUAUUUUCUAAUCAAAAAUUGAAGAAAAUAAAUUCUUCUACACCUUAAACUCAAAACUCGCACAAUAGUAGCCAUUGAAAAUUGACAUUUUGAAUGGUUGAUCAUAAAAGUAAACUAUUCGAAAACAUAUAAAAAUUUAAAUUACUAAAAACUUUAAAUACCCUAAUCAGUUUUAAACGGUGGAUCAUUGAUUGAACACCCUAAGAUCGAAAACGGGACUAUAGUAAGCCCGGAGUCCCCGUAUAUUUUUCUAUAAUAGUAUAGAGACUAGCUCCUCACUCUCUCUCUCUCUCGUCAUCUCUCUCUCUCAUCAUCAUCUGCUCUCAUCUAUAUAAAUAUAUAGUAUAUGAUAAUAGUAGGUCGGGCUAGCUAUACUAUUAUGAGAUAUUGAGGCCCUCGUACCCAUAAUUGUUGAUGAUGGAGCUUCCGAAUCGACGAUCCACUCCGUUAAAUAUGAUCUAGAGUAUUUGAAACUUCUAGAAAAUAAAUUUUGUAAAUUUUCGAAAUCAUAAUAAAGUCAAUCAAGCGGGCAUAAAAUGAACGGUCAAAAUCGAACGACGUCCUAAAAAAGGCAAUUCAAGAUUGGAGUUAUUGAUCUUUACCUAGGUAGUGAAUAGAAUUUUCUGUCAAAAAUUCAACAAAUUUCGAUUCUUUUACAUAGUUAAACUAGCAAGUAUCUCAUACCGGCCAUUAAAAAUUGUCAAAUUUAUGACCUCUUGAUCGUAAGGUAAAUGAUGUCGAAAAACUAUAAAAUUUGAUUUCUAGAAGUUUUAAAUGCUGUAAAUAACGUUUAACGGUAUGGAUCGUCGAUUCGGAAGCACUAUCAUUGAAAACGAUUUAUGAGUACGAGAGCGAUAGUAUUGAUACUAGUAUAGUAGCCGGACCCUAUAUAUAUAUAGUUCUAUAUAUAUAAAAGGAUGUGCGGUUUGGAUGAUACUGGUCCUAUAUGGUUGAGUGGGUGGUUUGUUGAAUAGUAUGAUCUAACCGGAGAAAAUGGUCAAAGGGGUAGAUCUGAUGGCAGAAAACUUGAUAACACAAAUUGCUUGGUACUAUAGAUAGCAUAAUAGCCGGACACUAUAUAUAUAUAUAUAUAUAUAUAUAUAUUCUGGCUCAUGUACUCCUAUAAAUAUAGACCCCUUUAAACUCAAAGGUUUUGGCCGUUAGAUCGACCUCUUUGAUCAUUUCAACCUGCUAGAUCAUACUAUUCAACCAACUAUCCACUCAAUACUAAGGAACCGCUAUGAUUCUAACUAGGGACCACUAUCAUUCUAAUCCCACAUCUCAUAUAUAUAAUUAUGAAAUUAUUAAAUUACAUAAUAGUGUAGAUCAAGUCUAAUGGAGCCGAUCGUUGAUUUGGAAGCCGCAUCAUUGAAAACAACUUGGUAGCACGGAGGUUUCCGUGCUACCUACAGUAUUCCAGCCUAGCUCAUAUAUAUAAUGAUGCUACUAUACAAUCAAUAGUACCAAGUGCUUGGUGCUAUCGAGUUUUCGGCUGUUGGAUAAAAGGAUGUGAGGUUAAGAUGAUAGUGGUCCCCUAGUGUUGAGUGGGUGGUUGGUUGAAUAGUAUAAUCUAACGGGUGAAAAUGAUCAAAGAGUAGAUUUAACGGCAGAAAACUUGAUAGUACCAAGAGCUUCGUACUAUCGAUAGUAUAGUAGCCGGACACUAUAUAUAUAUAUAUAGAGUCCGGCUAUGGUGCUUGUAAAAGUACCAAGCACUUGGUGCUUGUGAAUUUUUUACCGUUAGAUCUACGCCUUUGAUCAUUUUCACCCGUUAGAUUAUUCUAUUCGACCAACAACCCACUAAAUUCUAAGANAGAGAGAGAGAGAGAGAGAGAGAGAGAGAGAGAGCUUAGUCUCCUAUACCAUCUAUAGUACCGGAGCUCCAGUACUAUAGUCUCGUUUUCGAUCUUAGGAUGUUCAAAUCAACGAUCCACACCGUUAAAACUGAUCUAGGGUAUUUAAAGUUUUUAGAAAUAAAAUUUUAUAUUUUUUCUAUAUAGUUUACUUUAUGAUCAAACCAUUUCAAAAUUGUGAAUUUUCAAUGGCUAUUAUGGCGAGUUUGGAGUUUAACGGUGUAGAAAAAUCUAAAUUUCUUCAAAUUUUGAUAGAAAAUACUUAAAACUAUCAAGAUUAAGGUUAACAUUCUUGAUCUUGAAUUUAAAAGUUCUAUACUCAAAUUUUAAAGAUUAUUCAAUUUUUACCAUCCAUUUUGACAUUAUUUAUUUACUAAGUAAAUGAUGUCGAAAAAAACUAAAAUUUUAUUCCUAAGAAUUUCAUAUGCCCUAGAUUAGUUUUAACGGUGUGGAUCAUUAAUUUGAAUACCCUAAGAUCGAAAACAAUACUAUAGUACAGGAGCUCCGGUACUAUAGAUAGUAUAGUAGCCUAAUUAUAUAUAUAUAUAUAUAUAUAUAUAUAUAGAGUCCGGCUGGGAUACUAUCGAUAGCACGAAGAAUUUGAUGCUAUCAAGUUUUCUGCCGUUAUAUUUAUCUCUUUUAUCAUUUUCAUCCGUUCGAUUAUACUAUUCAACCAACCACCCACUCAACCCUAGGGGGCCCACAUCAUCCUAACCGCACAUCUUUUAAUCCAACAGCAGAAAACUUAAUAGCACUAAGUCAUUGGUGCUAUUAAUAGUAUUCCACCCUAGUUAUAUAUAUAUAUAUAUAGAGAGAGAGAGAGAGAGAGAGAGAGUCCGGCUAUGGUGCUUGUAAAAACACCAAGCACUUAGUGCUUGUAAAUUUUUUACCGUUAGAUCUAUCCUUUUGAUCAUUUCCACCCGUUAGAUCAUUACUAUUCAACCAACCACCCACUCAACCCUGGGAGUCCCACAUCAUCCUAAUCAUACAUCCUUUAAUACAAUGGUCAAAAAUCUACAAGCACCAAUUACAUGGUACUUUUAAAAGUAUAGGAGCUCAAUUAUAUAUAUAUAUAUAUAUUAUGGCUCUUGUACUCUUAUAAAUAUAGACCCCUUUAAACUCAAAGGUUUUGGCCGUUAGAUCUACUUCUUUGAUCAUUUAAACCUGUUAGAUCAUACUAUUCAACCAACUAUCCACUCAAUACUAAGGAACCACCAUGAUUCUAACUCUGGACUACUAUCAUUUUAACCCCACAUCUCUUCAUUCAACGACCGAAAAUUUAUGAGUACAAAGGUGCCUACACUCAUUAGAGUAUAGUAAUCCUACUCUUUUUCUCUCUCUCCCUCUCUCUCUUUAUAUAGCAGAUUAGAAUAUUAUUGAUAGUAUGAUAAUAGUUUUUUACUAUCAACUUUUUGAUUAUUGGAUGCCUAGGGUUUAGAGGGGGUGCGUAGAAUUAAUAGUAAUAAUUCAAGGGCGGAAAAGUUGAUAGUAAAGUAAAUUCUAUUAAUUAGAUUUUUUUUAAAAAAUUGUUUAUGUGUUUGAUUUAUGACAGGAUCCUCACACAAGGGACUGGUUAUUGUAUAGAGACGAUUUAAUCACACCAAAACUAAUAGGCUAUUGGCCAAAGUCACUCUUUACAACUUUAGCUAAUAGUGCAACUCACAUUGAAUGGGGUGGACAUGUUGGCUAUGCACAAAGGGAAACAGGUCCUCCAAUGGGUAGUGGAUUUUAUGCUACUGAAUUGGGACAAAAAGCAGCAUAUAUAAAAAAUAUUGAGCUUUUCGACUCAGACGGCCGAUCUUUUGAGCUCAUUGAUGGUGCACAAUAUGCACAUACUGAUGUGGAAGAAUGCUACAACCUUACUCCACUUAUUAACUCAGGCAAGUAUGGAUUGCAUGAUGGAUUUUUAUUUUAUUUUGGUGGUCCUGCUGGUUGUACCAAAUAGCAGUAAGGAUUAGUAUAUUCUCUAAAUAAAUUAAUAAAAUUUUGAGUUGUUAACUGUGACUAGUCGUCUCCUAUUAUAACAUAUUUGUAAAAAAUUAAUCCAUGAAACUUUUCUCUCAUUUCGUGUUACUUGAUUAUGUAGCAUUUUCUCAGUCUAUAGAUAACUUGCAUGUCGUUGACAAGAUUAAUUAGAGGGCCUUAAAAGAUCACCAACGAAGGGCCCGCAUAUUGUAGUUUAUUUAAGAUGUGGUGAAAUUCUAAGGUAAUGCAUUGCAUCGACAAGAAGGCACGGUGCAAAGAGGGUCAUUCUGGUUAUGUCAGUUUGUAUGCAGUGAAAAUUGCUAAUUGUAAAUUUCACCAUUUUUCUAAAAAGGUUCAAGGGAAAUUUCAUUUAGGUAACUAAACUUUGAUCUUUUGAUUUAGUAGUAAUAUGGCUAUUAAUUCAACCAACAAAGUAUGAGAUGGGAAUGACUGCUGCUCUUCUUCACUAACCAAAUAUUAACUCUAAGAGGAUUAAUUUGUACAAUUCAAAGAAAACAAAAGAACAGAUUUUACGAAACAAUAUUGGCAUAAUAAGGAAUAAGGAAUGUUAAGAUCUACUCAAAAAAAGGUAUUAGAUUUACACCCCCUCAUCUGCGAACCGAUAUUUGGCCCUUGUUGUUUUUUUUAUAAUAGUAUAGAGCCAAAGAGCUUCUAAAUCCUUGGAUGAGAUGGUGUAAAUUUACAUCCCAUUUUCAGUGUAUGGAUAGCAUUUUCUAAAAAAAGAAAAAAGAUGAUAAGAGAGAGAAGCCACACAAAUUAACAUGAUGAUAUAUAUAGUUCUACUAAUUUUCUAUGUUUUUCUGAUGUCAUGCAAACUAACAUGAAAAUUUAUGUCAUGCCCCCAGCUUUAGUGGAAGCACUCCCAAUAUUAUGCGCAGAUCCGCAAUGUACAUAGCUUUCCCCAUACACACCAAGCGAUUAACAGAAUAUUCAAUUCAUACAAACACACAACAGCUUCAUACGAAUUGGAGGAUCAAAGUAUACUACUCCCAUUCUAUCACACUGUAAGUUCUAUUCACAAGUCUACAAGUUUCAUCAAAAUACUACCUCUCAAAAUAUUAAUAUUCUACAUAGGGGCUCCAUCUCUAAACAACACCAAAAUGAUAGGGGUUGGGGGAGCUAGGUACCGCAACACAUGAUUACUUGCAGAGAAUGAGGAAAACUCUAAAAAAGAAACAAUAAGUGUGAGAACUAUAUAAAAUAGUUUUUAGUGGGCACAGUUACUGUAAGGAGCACUUUACCCAUCUCCGGGUAGAGGCACUAAUGGUAGUAGGUAAUAGUGAGCAAGUGUGCCAACCACCGACAGUGAGGAAAAUUUGCCAUGGAGUCUCAAGCCUCAUCUAUAUGCAAGAUCUCGUCCCCUCAGAAGUAAAAGGAGAGCGAAUCCAGGCGAUCAGUCAGCAUGAUACAACUGGGCUUAGAAUUACUUACAAACAGGCAUUGCGGAGCCCCCUUAGGUCAAGCUCUGCUAAACAGAGUACUACUCAAGGGAUAGUCUCUGAACAGNGAACAGCCAGCCCAUUUUCUUAUUCUCGGAGACCUAUCAAAGAAGCCUAGGACGCGAUAAAGGGAUUCCUAGAGUGGAAGGACCACCCCGGACCAGUCACCGAGUCUAAACCAAGCUGUCAUUGACCAAUCAGGAGAGUCCCUGAAUGACAUCAUUAGCCACCUUCCUCCAGAAGUCUCACUCAUAUCGUGGUCCAAAAAAGAAGGCAGUUCAAAAAGCUCCUUAUUAGAAAGUAUGGGAUAAGCGAUGCUCCUCUCAAGUACAUAGAUUGGCAUCCCGUUUUCCCAUGCUUGAAUUGCUUCUAUAUAACCACUAUGUAUUUUAACCAACAAAACCAACAAAUUUUUUUGCCUUCUCUGGUACCUUCCAAGACAGAAGUACACAUCACAGGAAAAACCCAAAAACAGAAGCGGAAGAGGAAAGACUGGUAGAUGGCUAGCAGCAAAGUAAGCUUAUUUUGGCACAGCUGGGUAAGUGGUCAACUCUAUCUCCUUCUCUCUCUAUUCAUUCUCCUUUCCAAGAACACCCCCAAAAAUGAGAGAGAUGUCACGCUCUGAGCCCGCCUCUUUGGUCGGAUUCGGACACGCCGACAGACCGCCGAACGGACAGGGUUUCUCCUGUACCGCAAACAGAGUCUCCCCUGUACGUCCAAGGCGUCGCAAUCAAUACAUUACAAGAGGUUCCAACCAGAAACAGUAUUCAACAUACAGAUUGCAUAAGGAAGUAUCAAAAACAUAAACAACUAAGCUAUUACAAGCAUUCACCUCACAUGCAUUUUUUUUACAUAUUACAUUUCCUUUUCUUUUAUUCCAAAUACAAUCAAGAUUAUUAUAAUAUUGUUUUACAUCUUUUCUACAACCCCUAGCUAAGUCGACUCGGGGUAAUGCUAUUUCUGGUCUCGGUGGUAGGGCACUAUCUACGGAGCUACGCCCCGCUCACGUGUGAACCUGUACCCCCAAAAACAAUACGGGGGUGAGAACUAUUGUCCAUAGUUCCCAGUGGGUACGGCUACCCAAGGAAAAAGCUCGACCCACCAGGUCCAAAGGAGGCACUGCAAAGUUAGUCCAACAGAUAUUCGUAGAUAUUUAAUGCAAAUAUUAAAUACAUAUUUAUGCCUCAAGACAUGCAAUAUGUAAAUCAUGCAACUCAUACAAGUAGAUUAAUUGAUUUUACUCUCUAUCAUUUACCAUUCUUUAUAAUAUUAGCAAUUCUUUAUCACUUGUCAUUCUUUACUCUUUAUUCUUCGGCACACUUUACUCAUUUGUCAUUCUUUUUAAAGGUUACACUUACCUUAGCCAACUAUGCCACUCGACUCGGUCUUGAGUCAAUUCAUGACGAAUGCAAUAUCCACUUUUCAAUUCUGGGUCUUUUUGGCUAACUCGUAGGUUUCGCCUCAACCAACACUUUUCUGUUACCCAAUCUCUUGGCUAACCUGUUGGGCUCUCAGCCCGUUGGGCCCUCAGCCCGUUGGUCCUUCAGCUUCCUCCCGCCGGGUUCCAUAACUCACCAACUCAAAUCCCAAAUAACGGGCCCUCAGCCCGUUGGGCCUUCAGCUUCCUCCCGUUGGGACCGUCUGUGGGACAACUAUGUCUGCCCCGAGACAACUACGUCUGCCCUUCUAGUGUGACAACUCCGGAGUGCACUACUUGUAUGGAGCGACCACCCCAAGCUCGAAACAGACUAGGUGAGUGUGAUCCAAUCCUCGACUAUAAGGAUGUCAAGUUCAAUCUAUUCUUUAACUAUAAUGAAACAAUGCACUUAUGACCCUUAACUCUAAGGUUGUUAUGUUAUAAUGUCACUAUCACCCUUUUUCUUGCAUUCUUUAACUUUUACUAGUGUCAUAUACACUACUUUGUUCUUUAUACUCAUUCACUAAUGCCACACUUGUUCUCUAAGUGUUCAACUCUAGCAUUCUUGUUCCAUUAAUGUCACCAUUAUAACACUAGUAUUCAAGACUCGUCAAUGCCACUCGAUCUAUUUGACAUCUUACUUGUCCACAUCGAGUAUCAUAAUUCAUAUGUCAUUGUUUUCCAAUGUCGAGUUCUCUAAUUCACCUAGAGUUUAUCGACCCAAGUUCACUUUCAAACGAAUCUAACAUAGUCUCACAUUAUGUCAACAUAUAUGUGUUCUUUAGGAUUCCAUGCAUAUGCAUACGUUCUUAUCAUAUAGCAAUCAACAUACAUUUUACCCCAUAACUCAUGCAUCUAGCUCAUGUUAUUUAGCAUCUAUCACAUGCAUUCUUUAGCAUUUAUCACAUUAGGCCAACAUGCAUUCUUCUAGCAUAUCCUACAACAUGUACAUCAUGCAUUCAUCUAGCAUGUUUCUACAUUAUGUUUAUCAGGCUUUCAUCUCAAUGGUAUGUAAUAAACAUUAAGCAUAAUAGGAUUCAUACAUCCACAUUAUCAUAGGCCACCUACCAAUUACAUAUAUAUAUAUACAUUUCAUCUAGUAUCUCUUCAUUAUGUCUUCUUGCAUCCAAUUAAUGGUAGUUUAACAUAACAUUCAUAUGUUUUAUCACUAACUACCAUACAUGCAUCAAUAACAAUUCUUACUUCGCUUUGACAUGGAAGCGAGCUAAUAACUUCGAUGAGCACAAUCCAUCUCAAAUCGCUUUCCGAUUGCUUGUAGUCACUUGCAAUCGGCCUCCUGCGGCACCCGUUGCCCGGUUCGGCCCAAACUAGCACUCGACCACCUAACGGUCACCAAUCCACAAUCCGAAAAUUUAAGGUCUAUAACUUGAUGCCACGAUGCUCUGGAUCUAUUUUCAUAAUUUUUGGACGCCGCCUCGGCCCUCUAGGCGGAAACGAAGCCGAACGUCCGUUUCUUCAAUAUCUUUGCAUAGGCUCGACGAAUCGCCGAACCGACUUCGCCAACGCGUUCGUAUAUCUAGCAAUUAGAUUUAUGUAGGGUUAAUUUAGAUCAAACCCAAAUAUUUUACAGGUGGGUAAGUUUCAAGUAGGCAAAGGAUAGCCAGCAAAAUCACUCUUGUACCAGCAUUCAUGUAAGUAACAGUAGUUGCAUUACCAUCUCUUUCCGUACCAGCAUUCAUAUCAGCUUUCGUAACAGUCGCUCUUAUUGUAGUAUCCGCGCCCUUUAUUGCCCUUCCUUUCCAUGGCGAUCUAGCCGAGCGUCUUUCUAGAGUAAGCCCCUCUAUCCAUUGUUUAGCUUGUUGUAGUAGCUUUUGAUGAUGUCGGUAUAGGUUCAGUGGUUUCAUCCCCUAAUCAUGCUUUCUUCCCUUGUUCUCCCUUCCCUCCCGUCUGAGCAAGUUCAGAAGUGAGUGGAUGUAGAAUAACUAGCUUCUUUCCUGCAGCGUAUAUCCUCUAAUGAAUAACUAUAGUCAUAUAUCCUUUCUAUAUAGUAAGACUAUAGAUAUAGACUUUACUUUAUAUAGAUUAGUUCCGUAUAAAAAGGUUGAGUGCGAUCUAGCUUCAGUCUUUAAGGUGAGCCUAUCCAAUUGCAAUCCUAAGGCUAGGAAUAGGUCCCUAAUUUGAAAGAUGGAGUCUAUCGAGCCCUGAUUGAAUAUCCCUCUUUUCUUUUUUGUCCAGCGAAUCUAAUUGAUAAGAAAAGCAGAAAGUUGGAUAGCCUUUCAGUCCCUUUCUCUCUAGACCAAGUAGCAGUCCCAAUUCUUGCAUUCUUUCUUAAGGUUGUAAAUGCUAAGCCUAAUCCUAAGUGCUUCUUUGCGGUUUCCUUUUGGUCCCUUUGAGGGGAAGUGUAACUUUCUUGGAGUUCUUUUACAUGCAGUUCCAGGUCAGAGUUAGAGCGAUAUAGUGUAAUUGCUUCUGCUUAUGAUCCAGGUCCAGGUCAGUCUAAGAGGGGGAGGGCCCUAUUUGUUUAAGACAGGAUAUCGGCACAAGGGAGCGAGACAAUCGAUUUGAGGUGAAUAAGUGAACUCUCUUCUUUCUAGUCCUAAGAAUGAUUCCUUAAAUAUAGAAUGACUCCUUAAAUAUUUGGAGAGCAAGCCAGUAAAAGAAAUAUCAUAUAAAAAAGAAAGGGAAAGAGAUUGAGGCAAGGAAGCCCACCAAAUUCAAAAAGGUAAUCCAUCUACUAUCCACCCUUCCUUCUCUAUGUCAGUGUGUAUUCCCCGUUUCAAGAAUGACUUUCUUUUGGCUUACCUUCCGCAUGUCGCAGUAGGAAGCAUUUUCAUCCGCUUCGACAUCGGCAGGUGUAUUCUUUGAUAGAUUUUCUAGGUAUGUAAAAUAAGACGAAAAUUAAAUAUAUACCAAAAUCCAGGAUCAAAAUAAGAUAACUCACAUAGCGCUAUCGAGAAAAAAUUCUUGAUCAAUCUGCGAAAGCGUGAAGUCCGGCUAUGAUCUGGAAGUCACGAACCGAACUUGGGUGAUUUGGUUUCUCCUCCUAUCUCAGGCACUCUACCGUAUAGUGUGGAAUCGAUGGUAAUUCUUCACCCGAAUACGUAUAAGAAGGUGGCAGGACCAAUACCCCUUUAUAUAGAGUCCAGAUCGACUUCCAAUCAAAGUCUGAUUAGGAUUUUAUUUAAAUUUAAAAUAGGUGGGAUAGCAAUAAAAUAUACCAUAUUAAGUAGUUCUAUAUCGGUUAGGAUUGACCCUUAUCUAUAGCAAAUCCUAAUUUAAAUAUAAUUAAUUGGGCCACAAUACAUGGAAAUCCUAACAAUCUCCCACUUGGCUCAUAUUAAUUAUAUUCCAUGAACGGAUUUUCUAUGCUCCAAUCUUUAUUGCGCAUUAUUGGAAACUUUAUGGUUAAAUACCUUAGAACUCACUUGAUCUUUAGCUCAAACUAAAAGACUACAAUGAUAGGAACUAUGGCGGUCCACCUCUUCAUAACGAAAAUUUUCUUCCAUAAUUACCGUAUCCUCUUCACCUCCUAGCUGAGUACUUUAUAUGGCACAACUUUAUGAAUGGACUUAAACAGUAUGUUCAUUCAUUAAUAGACGAAACUUUAUGCCCAUUAAAUGGUCCAACACAGCUGCAUAAACUUUAACUUUAUUGAAAGAAAAUAAGCAUUACACUUUUAUACAUCGAAAGAACUAAUCAAACCCAUAUUUCUAACAUGAUCUGUAUAUGACCCAGGUGCCAGCCUCUUGGUCAUUGGGUCUGCAAUCAUACACUUGGUACUGAUGUAUUCAAUUGUAACAUAACCUUCAUCUAUCUUCUCUCUCACAACAAGAUAUUUAGUGUCCAAGUGUUUACACCUUGCUGUAAUCUUGUUGUUAUUGGCAAAGAAAACCGCAGCUGAACUAUCACAGAAAAUCUUUAUUGGACGAGCAACGGAGUCCACAAUUCUUAAGUCUGUGAUAAAAUUCCUAAGCCAAAUAGCCUGUGAUGUGGUCUCGUAACAUGCAAUGUACUCUGCAGCCAUGGUCGAAGGAGCAGUAACACUUUGUUUGCUGCUCUUCCAUGAUAUCGCUCCACCAGCAAGUAGAAAAAUAUACCCAGUUGUAGACUUUCUGGUAUCUGGGCAUCUAGCAAAAUCGAAGUCCGAGUACCCGAUCAGCUCCAAGUGAUCCGAUCUCCUGUAAAUCAGCAUAUGAUCCAAAGUUCCCUUCAAAUACCUCAUAACCUUCUUAGCAGCCUUUCAAUGCUCCAUACCUAGAUUACUUUGAUAUCUGCCAAGUAAUCCAUCAGCAAAAGCAAUAUCCGGACGUGUGCACAUCUGUGCAUACAUAAGACUACCAACUGCAGAGGCAUAGGGUAUGCUUUUCAUCUGUUUAAUUUCUAAUUGGAUCUUAGGACACUGAAAAGCAUUAAGCUUAUCCCCUUUCUGUAGAGGAGCAACACUGGGCUUACAAUUAUGCAUUUCAAAAUUUUCAAAAACUUUCUUUAUGUAGGCCUUCUGAGAUAGACAGAGUAAACCUUUAUGUCUAUCCCUUUUGAUUUCAAUACCAUGAACAUAUGAGGCCUCACUUAAAUCUUUCAUUUCAAAAUUUUGGAAAAGAAAUUCUUUAGUGUUAUGCAAUAGCCUAAGAUCAUUACUGACAAACAAAAUAUCAUCAACAUAAAGGACUAAGAAAAUUAUUUUACUCCCACUAAUCUUUAGAUAAAUACAUUGAUCAACAAUAUUUUCCUUAAAACCAAAGGUCAAAAUAAUUUGUUUAAAUUUUAAAUACCAUCAUCGGGAGGCCUGCUUUAGUCCAUAUAUUGAUUUCUUUAAUUUGCAUACCAAGUGCUCCUUUUCCUUUUGCGAGAAUCCUUCAGAUUGAUUCAUAUAUAUGCACCUCUUCAUAAAGAUCCUUAUUUAAAAAAGCAGUUUUGACAUCCAUCUGAUGUAGCUCGAGAUCAAAAUGAGCAACCAGAGCCAUAAUAAUACGGAAAGAUUCCUUUCGAAAUACUGGAGAGAAAGUCUCUUUAUAGUCAAUAUCUUCUUUCUGAGUAAAUUUUUUUGCCACAAGACGGGCCUUGUAUCACUCUAUGUUACCUUUGGAGUCCCAUUUGAUUUUAUAAGCACACUUGCAUCCUACGGGUUUAACUCCUAUAGGUAACUCAACAAGAUCCCAUACCUUAUUGUGGUUCAUGGAUUCAAUCUCAUCCUUCAUGGCAUUGUACCAUUCCGUAGAAUUACUGCUAUUUAUGGCUUCGGAAAAAUUAAGAGGAUCAUCUAAACUCUGGCCAUUCUCAUAAAGAUAGACAAUAUAAUCACUGGAUAUAGCCGGUCUUUUCUGUCUUGAGGAUCUUCUUAAAUCUAUCUGAUUAUCCACAUAUACAUCUUGAUGUGGAUUAUUCACUUGUACAUCUUGAUGUAAAUUAUCAACUUGUACAUCUUGAUGUGAAUUUUUCACUUGUACAUCACAAUGAUUUUGUGGUUUCAAAACGAUUUGUUGUUCUACUGGAAUAGGAACCAUCAAAUCGUGAGGGACAACAGUGGGUCUGUCAUGUACAGAAUCCGAAUGCUCUUGAAUUUUCUCAAAUUCAAUGAACCGAGGUUCAGAGCUCCCACUAAUUGCACUAUCCUCAAUAAACCGUGCUGUUUUAGUUUUUGCAAUCUUUAUAGGAAGUGAUGGACAGUAAAAUUUAUACCCCUUGGACGUUUCUGAAUAACCAAUAAAAUAUCCUCAUAUGGUUUGAGGGUCCAAUUUUUUUAUUUGUGGAUCAUACAAUUUGGCCUCAGCUUGACAACCCCAUGUAUGAAAAUAUCUUAAACUGGGUUUUCUACCUGUCCAAAGCUCAAAAGGAGUCUUAGUGACAGCCUUAGUAGGGACCCUAUUAAGAAUAUACAGGCCUGUUUUGAGUGCCUCACUCCACAAUGAUAUCGGAAGGGUAGAAUUACUGAUCAUACUCCUGAACAUAUCAAUUAAUGUGCGGUUCCUUCUUUCAGCAACACCAUUCUUAUCAGGUGUUCCUGGCAUGGUGUACUAUGGAGCAAUUCUGCACUGCUCCAGAAACUUAGCAAAAGGCCUAGAGAUUUGGCCUUUAUCUAUUUGUCUACCAAAAUAUUCACCACCCCUAUCUGAUCUGACUACUUUUAUCCUUUUCUCGAGUUGAUUCUCUACUUCAGCCUUAUAUGCCUUAAAGGUAUCUAAUGCUUCAGAUUUUUCUUCAAGCAAGUAGAGAGCCAUAUCGAGAGUAGUCAUCAGUAAAUGUGAUAAAAUAUUUAUGGCCAGUAAUUGAGAGAGGAAGAGGUCCGCAUAUAUCGGUAUGAAUCAACUCUGAUAUUCCAUCACAUCUUUUAGCACCUUUAGAGGAGGUUUUGGUCUGCUUUCCCUUUAUGCAGUCCACACACAUUCCAAAGUCAGAGAAGUCCAAAUCAUCUAAAAUGUCUUCUCUAAUUAACCUUUGGAUUCUCUGUUUCGAGAUGUGUCCUAACCUCUUAUGCCAUAACAUGGAUGACCUUUCAUUAUUAAUGCCACGUUUUGAUCCAACAUUUUCGUGCAUGGUAAGAAGGAUUUCACUAAAUGAAUCAUCUAAAAAUACUUUAUAUAGAUUAUUUUCCAAAACACCAGAGCCAACUAUCUGAGAUUUAUAAGAUAAAGAAAAAACUUUAUUAUUAAAACUGAAACUAUAUCCCAAUCCAACAAGUUUCGAAAUAGAAAUUAAAUUCUUAGAAAAAUUUGGAAUAUAAAAUGUAUCAACUAAAUCCAAAAUGUGACCAGUGGAAAGAACUAAUCUAAAUGUUCCCACAAAUUCUACUUUAGUUGGAUUUCCUUCAGCUGUAUUGAUAGUCGCUUCAUCUUUACUGGGUUUCCUGCGAUUCUGAAAUCCCUGCACGAAAUUCGCCACGUGGCAUGUGGCACCAGAGUCAAUCCACCAAGUAUUAGACGGAACAGUAACGAAAUGCAACUCAUGCAAUAAAACAAGAAAUUUAUCCUUCUUCUGGAGCCAUUUCUGUUACUUUUGGCAGUCUUUUCUCUUAUGACCCUUUUCUUACAAAAGAAGCACUUGGGAGUCCACUUACUUGAUUGGUCUUGUGAACCAGAUGGAAUUUCCUUGUUAUUUCUUUUUAAGUCAUUCUUGCCUUUACCAUUCUUAGCAAGCUUUAUUUGUCUCUUUUGAGAAACAAAGUUAACUGCAUUUUGUUUCUCUUGUAUUAAUCUGCCUUCCUCUUGCACACACAUGGUCAGCAAUUCAUUAAUUCACCAUUUAUCUUUAUGUGUGUUAUAAGAGAUCUGAAAUGGUCUGUAUUCAGAUGGUAAAGAAUUCAAAAUAAAGUGCACUAAGAAUGAAUUAGAGAUGGUUACUUCAAGUGUGGUGAGUUGCGCUGCAAUAUCACGCAUUUCCAUAAUAUGCUCGCGAAUCAAGCUAUUUCCGGAGUACUUCAUGAAAGAAAGUUUAUUCAUUAAGGUGCUCGCCAAGGCUCUAUCGGAGCUGACAAACUGCUCCUCAAUGGCCUUUAGAUAAUUCUUGACUUUAUCACAUUCUGGGAUUGAUCCCCAUAUGCUUUUUGAUACCCUUGACUUUAUGAGCAUCAAACUUAAGCGGUUGGAUCGCUCCCACUUUUCCUGCGCGGAUUCCUGCUGUGGAGUUAUUGACCCCACUACCUUAGGCGGUUGCUCAGCGCGCAGAGCCAAAUCUAAAUCCAUAUAGCCCAAAAUAAACAUGAUCUGUUCUUUCCACUCCGAAUAAUUAGAACCAUUAAGUAUAGGAACAGAUUCACUAAUAGGAACAGAAAAUGGAGUCAUAGUUAAAAAAUAAAAUGCAUGCUUUAUCAACAAAAUACCACAUCAAAAUUACCACACACCAAAAAUUAGAAAAAUACACAUUAUAUGACAUCACAACCCCUCCAUUGGGAGCAGAGUUAUGAGCAUAAGUAUUUUUCGUUCUCUAUGUAUAUACUUUAUAUGACAUCACAACCCCUCCUUUGGGAGCAGAGUUAUGUGCAUAAAUAUGCAAUCUCUUUAUCAAAGAUUAAUUUAAACUUUUUGCAGGUCGUGAUAAUUUCAAAUUUUCCAUAUGAAGAAAAAUUGUCAGCUUUGGCCAGGCAAAUUUCUCCAAAUGAGUUAUAAGAAAACUACCAUCCUGCACCACCCAAAUACCUUCAUGUCUAGACCUCCUUUGGGAGCAAACUAAACAUAAUAUUAGGGUGCAAUUUCUGCACGCACCAAUUAAUUCCGGACUACAGCCAUCUUUGAAUCAUCAAACUAAUUAAUUAGGUUUCGGGCAUAAAACCCACAUGCACCCGGAACGCAACACUAAUUAAUUAGCUUCCAGAUAUAACAUGCACGAAUACGAUGCACCCGAAACAUGCUUGACAAUCCUAAUGCAUAAUCGAGAACAAAAUAACGCUAUGAUGUCCUUAUGCGUGGCCGAAACACGCUAUCAUCGUCAAAGCAUAUUUCGUGUGCAAUAUUUCAAAACGAUAAAUUGAUAUUGCAUACAAUAUUAAUUUAUUGUUCCUGGCUCUAAUACCAAUUGAUAGAUUUUCUAGGUAUGUAAAAUAAGACGAAAAUUAAAUACAUACCAAAAUUCAGGAUCAAAAUAAAAUAACUCACAGAGCGCCAUCGAGAAAAAAUUCUUGAUCAAUCUGCGGAAGCGUGAAGUCUGACUAUGAUCUGGAAGUGACGAAUCGAACUUGGGUGAUUUGGUUUCUCCUCCUAUCUCAGGCACUCUAUCGUAUGGUGUAGAACCCAUGGUAAUUCUUCACCCGAAUGCGUCUGAGAAGGUUGCAGGACUAAUACCCCUUUAUAUAGAGUCCAAAUCGACUUCCCAUCAAAGUCUGAUUAGGAUUCUAUUUAAAUUUAAAAUAGAUGGGAUAGAGAUAAAAUAUACCAUAUCAAGUAGUUCUAUAUUUGUUAGAAUUGACCCUUAUCUAUAGCAAAUCCUAAAUUAAAUAUAAUUAAUUGGGCCACAAUAUAUGGAAAUCCUAACAUUCUUUACUUUACUUCCGGUAGUCUUUAGUUCUACCUAAAAUAGAAAGACGGUCGUAAUGGGACGGCCUCCAACCUCCCAACUUCUUGGGUGCUAUCUUAUGUCCAGAACCUUCUGUAAAAGAGCUUUCAUUUCAGUACGGGUACUACGCACAUCUUCUCGUGCUUUUCAGUUUCUAUUACAUAAGGUAUACUAGUCCAGAGUGAUUAGGGAAAUUCUUAUGAGGUGCGGUCUUAGAAAAAGGGGUCAAGACCUUUCAUUUCACUAUUUUUUACUCGUUCGGAAAGCUUUCACUUCGCACCUUCCCCCGGGAGUUGAGCUUACCUUUACGCUUAGGCCUUGUUCUCGUUCUCCUCCCUCCACUCUCAAUGAGAUUUAUGAGAUUCAAUAUAGGAUUGGUAAUAUGCGCUGUUGUGGGAACCCACCUUUAUGCUGCUUCUUCCUUUUUGAAAUAGUGCGGGACUAAAAACAGUAAAAAAAGAAAAAGCGAUAACUCUUUCUCUCACAUCUCACAUGGAAAAUCUUUUCUCUAUUUUUCUCCUCAAGGAAGAGUACGGGUGCUUAGGUUCAAUUCAAGAAUUCCUUGGCAAUUUUGAGAAUGCCCUUCCCUCUUCUCCGAAGAAGAGCACCAUUCCUUUUCUGUCAAAGAAUAGACCCCUCCCUACUUAUUUGUCAUUGUAGAGGCACUAAUAGUAGAAUUUUCUUAUUAUUAGCAUCUUUUAUUUUCCACACUUAUUUGAUCUUGUAUUUUAUUAUUAUGCCUGUAGUGGGUAGAGUGCUCCUUACAGUGUGAAUACUGAAUCAAGUCGCCUAUCUCCGGAGUGGCACUCGAGUGGAUUGACCCACUCAAGGAUCAAGGUAACUAGAUCAAGUAUACUGCAAGCUGUAAUCGAUACGCAUGAUCAAAUAGAUCAUAUAUGCUAACCACUUCUAAAGUGAGCUCAGCGCUAUCCAAUGCAUAACUCUCUAAUAGAAACCGCCAUCUAAAGCCACCGCUAUCAAGAAUCAUAGAAGUCCAUGCUCCGACUCCACCCUUGCAUUCAGGCCGAAAAAACAUCCUUACACUAUCCAAGAUCACCCAGCCUAUAUCCAGGUAUGAAGGAAACUCCAUUUAGUGUCACUAUGAUACUAAAUUUAGCUUAGAUGAUAUGCACACAAGUAGUGUGGCCAAUGCUUAAGUUCAACUAGAUGACCAUCAGUCGGAAUUACAAAAGAAUGCAAAUACAUACUACUAUUGCUACAUAACAGGAAUUCCAUGUCUAUACAACUCGUUCACUUUAUUACCAGGUUAAUAGCAUAUCUUACAGAAAAAUCCACAUGUAUAGACUUGGUUGACGAGUUUGAUGCAUUUGAUGAAAUCAACUGACCUCGAAUCGGAAUCUGACUUAAAGGAGAUGAAAUAGAUCAGGCUUCAACUUAAGAAUCUAGCAAAACGACUCCAAUUAAGCUCUAAAAUCUAGCUCAAAAGCUACAACCAACCUGUAGAAUGCAGCGGAAGUACUCGUUCGUACCGUUUUGCGGAAGCGAUUCGUGCUACAACGUGAUGAGCCCGGAUCGUAAAGAUUGAUUCACAUGUCCUCGGAUCAUCCUUGAAGGUCUUCUCAUGCUCCAAACUCGCGGUGGAUCAAACUACAAAUGAGCACGAUCGCAAAUUCACCGUUCAAGACCCUCUAGAAUAAUAGGGUAAUGGAGGAUGUGGUUUCUCUCUUUUCUCUUUCUUUUUUCGUUCUCCGUUUUAUGUGGGAUCGCCCGCAUAUUUAUAAGGGAUUCCAAAAUCCUAAUAAUGUAAGAGAUAAGGCCAAAUCGGUUAUUAAUUGUUAUCCUAAUAUAAUUAGAUUUUAUCUCUAAGAAGCUUUCCAAUUUAAAAGCGAGAUUAAUCCUAAUCCAAUUAGAUAACAUAAUAACCGUCGGAUCGAGCCCGAUCAUGGGCGCACCCGAUUCGAUUUAACCGAAUGCCAACAUCUCCCACUCGCACAUGAUGGGAUCGAUGCCAUCAUAACCACUUCCUCAACAUAUAUUACACCACUAUUAAUUCUAUUCAUACAGGAAAAUGAACAGUGCGACCGCCGAGUCAACCUGCAUUUUGGGAGCUCUAUACUAGAAACCGUAUACGGCCAGCAUAGAGACAUCAAUCCUCAAAAAGAAAUAUUAGACUCGUGAUGCUUUAGACAAUUGAAUUACAUUAGGUUCAGCAUCUCUAAUCCCUCAAAGGGCCAUGCUAACCUCUGUUGCGCACAAUAUGACACUAUACUCAUGAUUGUUUCGCUAUCCUGAAGCGAUACAACCUGUCGACAAUGAGUCAAAGUGUCUGAAUGUAAUUCAACUAGUCUUCCUUGAGCCCUCAUGCCACCGAGUUGAGAACUGAUUACUUUCCCAGCAAUGCCUCGUAAAGCCGCAUCACUCAUAGCCGUAGGAAACAUGUCAAAGUAGCAAUAUCAAUUCUUUCACUUAAUGACAUAGUCAAAAGUUACUAAGGGCAUCUAACAUAUAUAGGACAUUGUCUCAAAAUAAUGCCCGUAAGAACUCACACGAUGAGGAAGCAGGGAUCCAUUCACUCAUCUUCUUUAUUUGGUCGCUCGGCACAUGUAGUAUGAAAUACAUACUGUGACAGAGAAUCUCAAUAAGCAUAUGUCUUUCUUAAUGUCAUACGGAUCUUAGCUCAGUCAUUCCCGGAGUGUCUACCCUGAGUUCUCCAUUUGCUCGCUAUCUCAAGCGCUCACAUCCGGCUCUUAAUAUAUAGGCCAUACGAAUCGUGGGACUAUUCGUAUGCGGUCUCAUUAAUGACCUCAUCUUGGUGCCAACCAAGGCGGCUUCCAUUAAUGCCUCAAUUUUCGCUCGCUUUCUACAGCAUCGAAAAGAAUGAUUGCCCAUGUGAGAGGGCCAAUCAGCCUGUGACAUACUAUCAAUCAGUUCUACAACAAUAUAGAAAAUAUAUGCACGUGUACUAAUCUUACCAAAUAUCUUUGCCAAAAUAAUAAUUUGUAAUUAAAUGACCAAAAAUAUUACAAAAAGAAAUAGCCAAAAAUAAUCGACUGUCUACACAAUCAAAUCCUACGGAAUCCAUGAGCCAAAAGGGAUUCUCUAACGAUAGGCUUACUCAGAGAAUCUGCAACCAUGCGACUCGUAUAAAUGUGUUCCAGGAUUAUUUACUUCUGCACCAUUGCCUCGGAGUGGUCCAAUCCCAGAUUGGACUGAAAAUGGCUAACCAACCCCACAGCUUAGCAUAUAUCAGGCCGAGCACACAUCAUAGAAUACUGAUCAGGCUCCCGACCGCACUAGCAUAUAGAAUUCGAUUCAUCUUAUCCUUCUCUACAGAAGUUUUAGGGCACUGUUUAAGGUUCAGACUCUCACCUUUAGCAAUAGGAGUGUCAAUGGGUUUGCAAUUGUGCAUCUGAAAUCGUUCUAAAACUCUUCUUAGGUAAGUCUUUUGAAACAGACCUAAAAGUUGCUUUGAACGAUCUCGUAGAAUCUUAACUCCGAGCACAUAAUUCGCUUCACCCAUAUCCUUCAUUUCAAAAUUAGAGGACAGCCACGUCUGAGUGGCGACAGUCAUCUCCUUAUUAUUCCUGGUCAAUAGGAUGUCAUCAACAUAUAAGGAAAGAAUUAAAAAAUAUUCUUUGGACCGUUUAACAUGCACACAGUGAUCUUCUUCAAUCAUCGUAAAUCCAUAUUCAAUGAUGGCUCGAUGAAAUCAAAUAUACCACUGCCUAGAGGACUGCUUCAAUCCAUAAAUGGAUCGUCGGAGCUUACAAACUUUAUGCUCCUCACCCUUUACAGAGAAGCCAGCAGGUUGAUCCAUAUAGAUCUCAUCAUCCAGUUCUCUAUUGAGAAAUGCAGUUUUAAAGUCCAUUUGGUAAAGUUCCAAAUUCAAAUAUGCGACAAUGGCCAAGAUUAGGCGGAUCGAAGCAAACCUUACGACAGGAGAAAAGAUUUCCUCAUAAUCAACGCCUUCUUGUUGGGUAAAACCCUUUGCUACCAGGUAAGCCUUGUACCUAUCGAUUGAACCGUCUGCCUUGCGCUAAGUCAAUCAAGUCCCAGAUAUGAUUUGACUUCAUUGAUUCUAUUUCCGAUAUCAUUGCAUCCAACCCUUCCUUAUGAGUAGGUAAUGAGAGAGUCUCUUGGAAAGAUCCAAGCUCAUCAUCAUGUGCAGCAACCAUGAAAGCUUUCCCCUCAAUCUCAAAAUGACGACGGAAAACUCCCACACGUGUGCUCCUACGAAGUUGAGGCUCAUUUUCUAAAGGUAAGUCGCUCCUACUAUCCCCAGGAGGUAUCGGAGUCACCUCCUCUGCCUCAACUGAGCGAAUAGAAGUGCCAAUACCAGAGUCAUCCAUCUCAUGGAACUCAAUUUCAUUUCGAACCUCACUUCUAUAAGGAAAAUCCUCCUCGAGGAAUUCAACAUCUUGCGACUCAAUUUCAGUCAAACUUCCAUCUAGCUACUUUCCGAUGGACACAUAUCCCUUAGAGUGUUGAGUGUAUCUUAUAAAGAUACACUUUUUUCCUCUAGGACCCAACUUCCCAUGCUUGUGAGAAGUGUUCUGCACAUAAGCUGCCGAACCCCAAAGACGCAGGUGCUCCAUAUUUGGUUUCCUGCAUGUCCAUAAUUCACAAGGGGUGAAAGGUACUGUUUUGGAGGGUACACGAUUAAGAAUGUAGGCAGCAGUUAACAAUGCGUCUCCCCAAAAGGAGAUAGGCAAAUUUGCUUGCGCCAUCAUUGACCUAACCAUGUCAAGUAAGGUGCGAUUUCUUCUCUCCGCUACACCAUUUUGCUGCGGAGUGCCAGGAAUUGUCAGCUGUCUGAUUAUUCCCUUCUCAUCACACAAUUCCUUGAAUUGUUCAGAUAGAUACUCGCGGCCUUGAUUAGUUCUUAAGGUUUUAAUUUUCAUAUCUAACUGAUUCUCAACCUCAUUAAUAUAACGUCUAAAACAAUCCAAUGCUUCAGACUUAUGGGAGAUCAGAUAAACAUGACCGAAGUGCGUAUGGUCAUCUAUAAAUGUGAUGAAAUAAAAAGCACCAUGUCUUGCCCUCACACUCAUUGAGCCACAAAUGUCGGAAUGGAUCAAUUGUAAUGGAAAUUCUGCCCUAAAAGCUUUAUGAAAUGGUUUUCGGGGCGCUUUGCCCGCUAAACAAUGUUCACAUGUGGGCAGGUCGACUUUAGUGAGUGAGCUCAAUAGCCCGUCUCUAACUAAUCUAUUCAUUCUAUCCUGCCCAAUAUGACCAAAACGUGUAUGCCAUUUAAUUGAAACAUUGUGAUCAUUCUCAACAGAAGAUAGCAAGGAAAAAGAACCUCUAUCAUAAUUAUUAUAAUCAAUGUACAAAAUCAUAAAACCAUUUGAAAUAAAACCUCUUCCAUAAUAAAUAGUUCCAAGAUGAAUCUUAACUAUAUCAUUCUCAAAACGAAAAGAAAAGCCUAACUGUAGCAUAGAAAACAAGUUCCUCCGAAUUUCUGGAGCAUAAAAUACAUCAUGUAAGUACAAAGUUUGACCACCUUGCAUGAUCAACUUGUAUGUGCCAACGCCUAACACAUCGACACUAGAAUCAUUCUCCAUGUAUACUCUUUUGCUCCCAGCAAGCACUCGACGGUACUCGACGAAUCCCAUCCGGUCGCUACGAGCGAAGUGUCCCAGCUGAUUACAAUUGAAACAAGUCAUCUUUGACUUGUCCUUCUUGCCACCUCGUUUGCUUCUCUUUCUUUUAGUGCUCUUCGCGUUCUUAGGCGCAGAUCCACUAUGAUUUUGAGCCCCGAUAGUCAUCUUUCGCUUGAAUCCAGUUGUUCUGCGAAAGUUUGACUUUUGCUGCAUUGGCAGUUGGAGUUUUAAAAGCCUCAAGGCGCUCUUCCUCCAACUUUAAAUGCCGUGCAACAUCCUCAAAAGUUUAGAUAUUUUCAUUAUGGGUAAAAUUUUCUCGCACAUGUUCCCACAAAUUGGGAAGUGAGCGAAUCAUAGCUUGGAUCUGCUGCUCAUCAGUUAAGGUGCCGCCAGCCGACUUUGACUCGCGAAUCAUGUUUGACAUUAUUCUCACGUGCUGUCAAGAUUUCUCGUCCAUUUUAUUACUCAAGAUUUCUAGAACCUCUUACUUAGCGAGAACAUAUUGGAUUUUACGGUACCAAAUAUUAUAAUUGUCACCAUCCAAUUUCUCGUCCUUGUUUAAAUCCGCAACAACUUGUUUGGAGGCCAUUAAAUAUCACUAAGUUCAUAUAAUGCGUAGAAAAAAAUAUUUUACACGGUUCAUGUAUUCAAUUUUGCCGCAUUUCUAAUUAAAUAAAUUAAAAAUUAAAUCAUAGAUACGUAAAGGAAGAUUUCGCUAUGCUUAUAAUCACAUCACACACCAUAUGUCAAAAUUUUUAAUUAUUUAAUUAAGAUACACAAAAUAUUUAGGAGUAAAAGCAUAUAAUUUACUCUCCCAAAAAUAAAAGAUUCCCACUUGACAAGGCAUGCAUUAAAAAUUAUAUUAUGCCCAAAGUUACAUCUUAACAGAAUAAAAGGCAUUAAAAUAUUUAAAUGCAUGCUAUAUUUAUCAGAAAAGCAUAUUAAGCCAUCAAAUAUGCACAUUAAAAAAAAAUUGGUGCAGAAAAACGAAAAAAAAAAAAAAAUCUGCAGCCCCGUGCAGUCUACGGACCCGCGCGCGGCCCGGCCUGUGCGGCCUGCGUGGGCUGGGCUGCGCGAGGCCUGCUGGCACGCGUAGCCGGCCCGCACUACCCGCGUGGGCUGCGCGGCCUGAGGAGCCCUCGCGAGCUGGCAGGCCGCGCGCAGGCUUGCGCACGGACCGGGUAGCGUGCGCGCGGCUAUUCAAGUGCUUCUAAGCGCCCUCUUCUAAUUGGUUCCACUCCUCGGCCGGGCACGCGCAUUGCUGCCCAGGCGCCCGCGUGGCCUUUCUGGGCAUGUGCGGCCCGCGCGGCCCGUUCGGCCUGCUCGGCCUACGCGGCCCGUNCAAAGAUCCGAUUUAGGGUUUCGUUUUUCUCUCAAAAUAAAAACCAUAUCAAAUCAAACUUUGUAGAUUUAAUCUACAACAUAGGUGCUUUAAGAUGUGAAGAAAUCAAACAAAGAUAUCUACUUUUGAAAAAUCCGCCAUUAACGCUCACAUACAUGCAAGAAAAUAUAUAAAACAUGAUAGAUUUUAUUUUAACGCAUGUAAUCUCGUUAAAAGUUGAUCUAGGACACGAAAUCAACCUAAAAAGGGCUCUGAUACCAAUGUAGAGCGCAGCGGAAGUAUUCGUUCGUACCUUUUUGCGAAAGUGAUUCGCGCUACAACGCGAUGAGCCCGGAUCGUAAAGAUUGAUUCACGUGUCCUCGGAUCGUCCUUGAAGGUCUUCUCACGCUCCAAACUCACGGUGGAUUGAACUACAAACGAGCAUGAUCGCAAAUCCACCGUUCAAAACCCUCUAGAAUAAUAGGGUAAUGGAGGAUGUGGUUUCUCUCUUUUCUCUUUCUUUUUCCGUUCUCCGUUUUAUGUGGGAUCGCCUGCAUAUUUAUAAGGGAUUCCAAAAUCCUAAUAGCGUAAGAGAUAAGGCCAAAUCAGUUAUUAAUUGUUAUCCUAAUAUGAUUAGAUUUUAUCUCUAAAUAGCUUUCCAAUUUAAAAGCGAGAUUAAUCCUAAUCCAAUUAGAUAACGUAAUAACCGUCGGAUCGAGCCCGAUCAUGGGCGCACCCGAUUCGAUUUAACUGAAUGCCAACACAACCAAAAACCAAGAAAGCAUCAACCUAUGCAAUUCGAUUGACGAAAACCUAAUUUUAGCAAAAUCGAUCAUCCUAGCAUUACUUGGACAAGAAAAAAGAAUAUGAGCAUAUUCCCCAAGACCAGUUUAAGUUGAAACAGCAAAAAAGUUCCAGUUCCAAUAACAGAAAUCUCUAAAAUGGAAUUGAGAGUCAAAAACCUAACGAAAACACAUUCAAUUUCAAAAUUCCAAUUAAUCCUAUAUUUCAAAUCAACUAACCACUAAUUCAGCUAGAACCCGAUCCAAAUUAGUAAUUGAUGGAGGAAAAACCAGCUACAAAUCAAAGAUGGCUUUGCUAGAAGCAUUGUGAUGCGAAAAUCAAUACGAAAUCUAAGAACACACCUAUUUCAGCUCGCAAUUGAAAUUACAGCAAUUAACAAAUUACUAACCUGAAAUUUAGGUGAGAAAAUUGAUCUCCAAGCUCUCUCUAACUCCUACACCAUGACACAACUCAAUCAAAUAAUAGAAGGCUUCCAAUCAGCUCAAGACUCUAGCUGAACUGUUGCUAGUGCACCAUUGCUGCUGCAAGUGCUCUUGUUCUAGCCCGUAGGGAGGGAGAAUGGGGAAAAUGAUGAAAAUGUGGUUUAGAGACACUACAACAAAAUUUAGUUUUAGCGGCGAUUAUUUUUUAAAUUUUCGGCAAUUAUAAUUGCCGCUAAAUAAUUUCAUGGCAAUUAUAACAAUUGCCGCUAUCGGUAGGGUCGGUAAAAAUAAUAGUGACAUUUAUUCCGGCGGUUGAUAAAAAUCUAAUUAAAUGCCGCUAAAUACUACAUAAUAGCAACUAUUAUAAAUACCACUAUAAUUAACUAUAAUUGCCACAAAAAAUAUAGUAAAUAUUUGAUAAACGAAGCUUAUAGCGGCAAUUACAAUUCAUAUUAAAAUACUUGUUCCACAACUAAAUACUACAAUGUAUUAAAAUUUUAAAAAAUAAUAAUAACCAAAAAGCAUUACUAAUUUAUAUAACAAAUAUUCUUCACUCUCAAAUUACAAUCACAAUGUUCAAAUUAAAUUUCGGACAUGAAUUCCAACAACAAAAUACUUGUUCGAAAUUUAACCAAAAAUAAUAAAUUCUAAAUAAUAGUAAACACUUAUAAUCUCGGAGAAAUCCCAAAUUAUAAAUCCUCAAAACUCAUUGCUCCACUUCGAAAGCUUAUUCAAGUCGAUGACAAGGCCUAAAAAACCUGUUUCAAAAGUAAUAUUUUUACAAUUAGUGGUACGAAUAAGCAAUAUAAGUAAACAAGGUUUGUAAUCAACUAGGGUUGAAAAUCUUCCCUUCAACAAGCUCUUCUCCAAGCUCUAAGACUUCUCCCAUGGUGGAAAGGUCACUAAAAAGCAAAAUAGAGCAAAAGGGAGAGAUCAAUCUCCUAAAUCCCAAGCAAAAAGAGAGGGAAAUCAAGCAAAAUAGAAGAGGAACCCUACCUCUCCUUCUUCCCUGUUGCAGCACAAAACCCCAGCCAAAGGGUGUGGAAAAAUAUAUAGUGUAGCAACAAUUACAAAGAAAUCUCUCAAAAACUGCCAGACUGUAAUAUGCAAAGUGUACCGGUACACGAAAAAGUGUACUAGUACAAACCUUUAAUAUGCGAAAACCCGAGGCUCGAGUUGGCAGAAAUAGCAAUGUGUACCGGUACAAAUCCAAUAUUGUACCGGUACAACCUCUUGUUCCGGUACAACUUCAAUGUUGUACCGGUACAACAGCCUGCAGAACCCAACCUGAGAGCAGCCUAAGUUCUUCUUUUUGGAGACCUUAGGGCUAAGUUAAAAAACUCAUUUCUCGGGAUGCGAGCCAUAGGUCGGAACACUGUCUACGACCCUCUGAAAAAAGUGAAAAAGCUCAGAACACAGAUCAAAUACUCGAACCUCGCAAUUUGCAAAGGUCCAGUGUGUUACAGCUAGACUGUCGGCUCAACAACAGGAGAAGCUGAAAAAGUUGCUGGUAGAAUAUAAGGACUGCUUCGCCUGGAAUUAUAAAGAAAUGUCGGGUUUGAGUUGAGAAAUUGUAGAGCAUAGGCUUCCUAUUAAACAAGGAUACAAGCCUUACAAGCAACAGGCUCGUAGGUUUGAGCCGAGCAUUGUAUUUCAAAUUAAGAAUGAAAUUAAAAACUUGUUAAGGGCUGGUUUUAUUAGAGUGGCCCGUUAUGUUGAUUGGGUAUCCAACAUUAGUUCCACUACGGAAAAAGAAUGGCAAACUUAGGGUUUGCAUUGAUUUUAGGAACUUGAACACAGCUACACCUAAAGACAAAUAUCCAAUGUCAAUAGCUGAUAUGUUAGUAGAUUCAGCAGCCGAGUAUGAAAUCCUGUCUUUUAUGGAUGGACAUGCAGGUUACAAUCAAAUAUUUAUUGCCGAAGAAGAUGUAGCUAAAACGGCUUUCAGAUGCCCAGGGUCUAUCGGGACUUUUGAAUGGAUAGUCAUGUCGUUCAGCUUAAAGAAUGUCGGAGCUACUUAUCAAAGAGCGAUGAAUUUUAUUUUUUACGACCUAAUUGGCAAGAUGUUGGAAGUUGACGUCGAUGAUAUUAUUGUAAAAUCCAAAUCACAAGCUGAUCAUUGGGUAGAUUUAAAACUCGCUUUUGAAAAGAUGAGAAAAUAUAAUUUGAAAAUAAACCUUUUAAAGUGUGCUUUUGGAGUGUCAACGGGAAAUUUUCUUCUGAUUCCUAGUAUAUAAAAAAGGAAUUGAUAAAAACAAAGCUAAAGCUAUAUUGGGAUUGCCGCCACCAAAAAACAAAAAGGAGCUACAAAGCUUAUUACGAAAAAUUAAUUAUUUGCGGCGCUUCAUAUCAAACUUGGCCGGUCGAAUAGGAGUUUUCACUCCAUUACUUCGGCUUAAAAAUCAAGAAGAAUUUAGUUGGACAGAUGAACAGCAAGGAACAUUUGAAAAUAUAAAAAUAUAUUUAGCAAAUCCUCCGGUCCUUAUGCCUCUUAGGCAAGGGCAGCCGCUGAAGUUGUACAUAUUGGCUGCAGAAGAAAAUUUGGGUUGUUUAUCGGCACAAGAAAAUCAAGAAAAAGAGGAACAUGUCAUUUAUUAUCUAAGCAGGCGGUUGUUUGAUGUAAGAAAAUCAUGUGUACGCAGCGGAAGAAAAUAACACAAUUAAAAAUUUUCUUGAAAACCAAAGAUCACCUCGUGUUUCGUUUUAGAUCAUUAAUAAUAGAUCUAAUUGAUCUAAUCAAAUAGGAUCUAUAUUUUUAUUUUACCUCGCGCGGGUCGAGAUCNCAUAGAAAAUAAAAUGCGUCAGCCUGAUAGGCUUCUAGGGCAUACAACUAACAGUUUGAUGCCGAAAAACGUUAUUCGGCAAUUAAAAAAUUGUGUCUUGCGUUAUAUUAUGCCUGCACGAAAUUGAGAUAUUAUAUUUUACCUACAGAAGUGUCAAUAAUUUGUAAAACUGACUUAGUGAAAUACAUGUUAUCUAAGCAUGUAUUAAGAGAUCGAAUUGGGCGAUGGAUGUUGGCUCUGUCCAAAUUCUCUCUUAAUUAUGUCCCGGCAAAAGAUGUCAAGGGGCAAGCAAUAGCUGAUUUCUUGGCUGAUCAUCUAUGCGUUGAGAUUGAAGAGCCGAAGCAGAAUCUAGUCGACUAUCAACGUUGGAUAAUUUAUUUUGACGGUUCGAAAACAGCUGAGUCCGGAGGAGCUAGGGUGGUUAUACAGUCUCCUGAAGGAUACAUUCAUCGGUUUGCUUUCGAGUUAGAUUUUGGCUGUUCUAACAAUCAAGCCAAGUAUGAGGCUCUUAUAAUUGGUCUUGAAAUUUUACGAGAAUUAGAAGUACGCUCACUCAGAGUCAUUGGUGAUUCACAAUUAGUGAUCAAGCAAGUAAAUGGAGAAUACCGAUGUGAAAAUAGAAAUUUGCAGAAUUACUUGAGAAAAACAAUAGAGUUGCUCUGCAGUUUCGGAGAAGUUGAGUUCGUAUAUUUAACAAGAGAAAAGAAUGAACAGGCUAAUGAGUUAGCCCAAUUGGCUUCAGGGUAUAAAGAGCCGAGGCAAGACCAAGUGAAAAUAGAAAGAAGAUUACUACCAUCGGUUCAUAUAUGAGAGCCGACAUUAAUUACUCCUGUAGAAGUUCAAGAAAACUGGAGGAAGCCUUUAAUCGAAUAUUUAGAAAGCCCUAAUAAGCGGGUUGAACAUCGUAUUUGAAAGAGGGCACUCGGCUAUUGCCUAUUGAAUAGGCAACUUUAUAAAAGAACAGUUGAAGAAAUAUUGUUGAAAUGUUUAGGGCCGGAAGAAGCCUUGUUGGUUAUGGGAGAAAACUAUGAAGGCUUGUGUGGAGCCCAUUUAGCAGGAAAAAGAUUGAGAUGGACGAUUCGGCAUUUGGGAUAUUACUAGCUGACAAUGCAUCAAGAUUGCAUAAAAUAUACCAAAGGAUGUCAGGAUUGUUAAUUCCAUGGCUCCGUGCAAAGAGUCCCCGCUUCCGAGUUAAAUACAAUAAUUAAACCUUGGCCUUUCCGAGGUUGGGCUAUGGAUUUAAUUGGAGAAAUUCAGCUGAAUUCUUUGGCUAGCCGCAAGUUCCUAAUAGUGGCUGUUGAUUAUUUCAAUAAAUGGGUAGAGGUAAGGUAAAACCUGCUCAGUUGGUCACUCAAAAAGAGAUAAUUGACUUAUUAUGCUCAGUUCAUCGAAUCAAGGAAAAUCAAACUGCAUCAUUCGUCACCUUAUUAUGCUCAAGCCAAUGGGCAAGCCGAAGCGGUAAAUAAGGUCAUCAUUAAUCUUAUGAAGCGACAUGUCGGAAGGCAUCCAAGAAAAUGGAACGAAAAGCUUUCCGAGAUAUUAUGGGCAUGUCGAACUACAGUAAAAACGGUGACAGGAAUGAUACCGUUUCAAUUAGUGUACGGCCAUGAGGCCGUAGUUCCUACUGGGAUAACAAUUCCUUCUUUACGAGUGGAAAGACAAAAGGAAUUGACGACAAAUGAAUAUAAUACUUUGAUGACUGAACGACUGGAAGAGGUAAAUGAGACUCAGUUGAUAGCGCUUGAUCAUUUACAAGCUCAUCAGAGCCGAGUACGCAGUAGGUAUAAUAAAAGAGUUAAGGCUAAAUCCUUUACUGUUGGGGAUUUAGUGUUAAGAUUGGUAUAUCCGAUCGGUCGAAAAGACCGAACAUAUGGAAAAUGGUCUCCGAAUUGGGAAGGACCAUUCCAAGUUAGCAGAGUCACAAGAGGAAAUGCAUAUUUCUUACAAAACAUAGAAGGAUCAGAAUAUGAUAAACCAGUUAAUAGAAAAUAUUUGAAGAAAUACUACUCAUCCAUGUUGGGGGAAUGAAAAGUCAGAGUCAAAAACAUUAAAAUAUUACAAUCAAUAGCCGAAUUUAAAACAAUAAAUUGGAAUCAAAAUAAUAAAUCUUUGAGUUGAUUCCAUUCGCCUUCUAGAUGAGCUUGUGCGGCUUCGGCUACUCGCUUUCAACGGUUCAUCAACGAAUGUAGUUUGUAAAGCUGGGAAAGUUGAUCACGAAGUUUCGUUCCCUCAUCUUUUCUGGUUUUCAGUUGAGCUUGUACAAAAGAGCGCCAUUCAGAUGCUUGAGAGAGAGAGAGCCGAUUCACCUACGGCAAGUUCUUCUUUAAAGCUAGAGAUAUGCUGUCGAAGAGCUGAUUCUUGGUCUGCUAGAGAAAGAUCUUCUUGUGUUAGGUUAGAAAUUGGAGCCGCCACCCCGGGAAUAGUCGUCUUAAAAUGAUUGACCUGGUUGAAGUGAUGAUCCAGAGAUAAAAAUUCAGCAGAAAUGCUAUGUUGCCGAGAUAAAAAAGAUGGGAGUUGGGAUGAUAGAGUUUCCGCAAAACAUUAGUUUCCACAAAACAUUUGACCGCGAAAAGAAGAUUUGGCUGAUCGGCUAAGUCAAGCAGGAGAGCUCCGAGCCGAUCGAAUUGCUCCGGGUUUUGAGCCAAAGAAGGGAGACCAUAGCUAUACAACCUUAAACUCUUAUCUAGUUUUUGCUGAGUAUUUGCCGAUAUGACGGCGGAUAGGUCUUCCCCUUCAUUAGAAUUAGGACUCAAAACCAGUAGGUCGUGGAGAAAGACGAAUGGGUCCUCUGUUUCGGGCAUCGGCAGAGGAACCGAUGUUGAGGCCUCGGCUGGAGGGUCUAGAGGAGGAAUCGUACUUCGGCCAACCUCUUUAUCAUCUUUUUUCGGUUGAUCUUUCUUUUCAUUUUCCUUUUCUUUCUCUCCUUCAUCUGUUUGUUUUAGGGCCUUUGUUGUUUCACUCACUUCUCUAUCUCCUUUUGCAUCCUCUGUCUCCCCUGAGGCAGAUGCUUUUGUCGUUUUUUCUUUUUUCCUUUCUCGCUUGCCCGUUGAAACUUCUGCUCGCUUUCGUUCUGCUUCCGUCUUCUUAUCCAGACGAGCUUCCCGACAGGCCUGUCGUCCAAUAUCAGACAUCCCUCGCCUCAGGGAUGAAGUAAAACAAGCAUGGGAAGUUUUCUGUGAUGAAAUAUGCUUGGCGAAAGAUGGUGGAGAUGAUCCAGCUGAAGAUUGAGAAGAAGAAGAAUUAAUGUGAAUGAGGAGCUACCUCAGGAGAAAUUAGAUCAACAGAAAUGGGGGGAGUUGAUUUUUCCCCUUCGGUUGAGACAUCAGCAUGCUUUUCCUUUGCCGGAGAUUCUUCCGCAGGUGCUGGUGGUUGAGGUGGAGUAGAACGGAUUCUAAUAGCUACUGUUUUACGCCGUUUUUGCGGUGGUGGCUGAGUCAACUGUUCAGAGUCCAUCGGCCAUUUAUCAGAUGGUUGGGCCGAUGAAGCUAAAGUAGGCAUUGGCUGAAAUGAUACAUAUAUGUCAAAAAACCUAGACAGAAAAAGAGAAAGUACAGUAAAAGUCGAACUUACCGAAGAUGGACUAGGCGAACUCGUAGGAUCUUCGUCUGAUACAUCUUCUGGGGGAAUAGAUAAAGGCUCAGUGCCUGCAAUGCCAAGAGUAAAUGCAAAGAGUUAAAAAGAAAUGAAGGGAAAAUGAAAAAGAUGUAGAUCGAUUAAAAGACAGAGACACCUUCCAUAUGAAAAAUCUUGGAGAAAAGAGGGGUCAUGAUAUUGUAAAAAUGUUGCUGGCAAAAGGCGCUCCAAUUCUGAGUGAAACAGAAAUCCAGCACUCUUGCAUGAUUGGGUCGAAAGCUUACCAACCUAAAAAAUCGUCGAAGACGAUUUUCAAGUGCUGAAAUGCGAUCGGCUUCAGCAUUACUUUUUGUAGAAGGAUGGCCGCGAGCGGUAUUGGCCGUGAAGAAUUUGGAUAGAGCCGGAAGUCCUUGAACUAGACCAAAUUGACGCACCACGUAAUGAGAAGAAUACACUUCUGUGCUUGGCGUCAAUUUAGACCGAUUCUUUAAGCUGACAUGGAGAUCUCUGGUGGCCAUAAUAGAAAACCACACAUCGGCAUACUCACUAGCUCAAGAAGAGGCCAGCUGAUCUUGAAUGGCGUCAUAUCGAGUCAGGAGCCAAGAGGUACCGGUAAUACGCUCCCCAAAAGGGGAUCAGAGGACAUGAAAGCGGAAGUCUUUCUCAUAAAAUACUUUGAAAUAAAAGAAAAAAUCACUCGGUUAACCAGGAGUUAAGGGCUCAGGACAACCAAGAUCCAAACCAAAAGUAUCAAAUUGGGGAGCCGAUUCCAAAUCUAGUGGAGUUCGGCACAAGUAAGGAAAAUAAAUUUGUAGACACAUCUGCAAGAACCACAGGACACCACACCCCAAAAAUAAUAACCACGCAACCUGAUGGCAAUGGUUUGAUGAAUUCAAAAAUUUCUCUAUAAACAAAAGUAAGGAAAUAUGUCUCUGAAGCUAAUCUUUCGCUGUUAGCUAGACCUACGGCGAUCGAGACAAAAUCUCGACUAAUUUUCUGUGAACGAGUACAGAAAAGGUUGUGGCACAACCAAUAUAGGAGGAACGUUGUGUGUUCUUUCUUAGUAACGGCGGCAGGAGAUUGGCCAGUGAAUCGCCGAAUGAACUUUGUGUAACCUAGGUCGGUCAAGCCAAGAUAGGCUUCAAAAUCGGCUACCCUAUCAGGAUUAUAGGCCAUUGAGAGGGUAAUGUCGUGGGGGUGCAAGCCAACAAUCAUCGCCACAUCAAGAAGAGUAGGGGUAAAAGGGCCAACCCUGAAAAGGAAGACAUUAGAAACAGGGGACUAGAAGCAGAGGGCUGCGGCCAAAAGAAGGUUGUCGGCUAUAGGAGGUUUUCUGAAAAGUUGAAUGGCUUCGUAAAUCCGAACCUCACGCCAGAGGUCGACAUACGUUGCCUCGACACGAUCUAACCAGGCUAAGUAAAAUUCAGAAACGCUUGGCUAGGUUCGAAGGCUUUUUCCAGACGACUUAGAAGUUAUCGAAGGAUACCAAGAAGAAAGAUGAAUGGCGUUAGCCAUUAGAGAAAGACCUUCAACUGAGAAGGGUGAAUCUUCAGGAACAGCGUCAUCAGUAAAGGAAGGCCCUAGAAGAAAUCGAGAAGGGUCUGACUAAACAAACUAUCGGCGCAAACUAUAAUCUAAUGAUGGAAAGGAAGGAAGAGGCGGAAGUUGUGCCAUUGCAAAGACAAAAGGAAAAGAAAUAGCGAAGAAAAGCCCUAAAAAUCGAGUAUGAGUAGAUUGAAGAUAGGGGGGAAGAAGACGAAGGUUCAGGCUAAAGAAGAAGAAAAUCAAAGGAGAAGAAACUUGGUGAAGAAGGAAGAGAAAAGCCGUCGCGUCGAAUCGAUUUCGAGGCCGGCUAUAAUGAUGAAGAGACUGUGGCAAUUAGUGUAACCUAAUCAAUGCUGCAGAUAAGACAAAAAGAAUGUUGAGAUCAUGGCCGUAGAAAGAAAAGGGACGGUGAGAAAGAAAUCGUACGAGGGAAUUCGAAUUGACUGUAUCAGAAAACGCGCCUCUGAUUACGCCAGCUACCGAAUCGUUCGUAUCACCCAUUCGGAAGUUGCCGAUGGGGCAAUUGUUAAUGCCAACAAUGGCCCGCCACAAGGCAUAUUGGUGCACUGUUCAGCACAAACCUUUAGGAGUCGAGGAGAUUUUGGUGCACCGAGAGCACUAGUAAAAUAAUUAAGUAACCGCAAGGCAUAACUGCAAGUGGUUAUGUGUGGUUUUGAUCGGCUUGAAGUGGCCCGUAAAAGUAGGGAAGUGGCCGAUCAUGGAUGGAGCAAUAACUGAUCAACAAGGGCAGACUCGCCCAGAAAAGAGGUCUUUUUUCUGAGAAUAGAAGACAACCUUUAUUUUUCUGCAUCUUAUUCGCACUUUCUAGGAGUAGUCUACUUGUAAUAUUUUUCCUUUCCCGCAUUUACCAUUUUUUCUAAGAGUAGUUCUAAAUUAGAUCUCCAGAGUUUGUAUGCCCUCAAGCACACUCGUCUUUUGUACCAGUUUCCAAAUUUUAAUUCCAAUAUAUAAAAGGCAUUCGGCUCUUCCAGCCAACCAACCGCAUGAAGCCGGAUUUAAUUCCUACGCGUUCCCCAAGGAAAACCUUUGAAUAGGUCAACGGUUGAAGAAUUCGGCUCAUAGCAGUAAGCAUGAUCUGUUCUUUCCACUCCGAGUAAUUAGAACCAUUAAGUAUAGGAACAGAUUCACCGAUAGGAACAGAAGAUGGAGUCAUAGCUGAAAACUAAAAUGCAUGUUUUAUCAAUAAAAUACCACAUCAAAAUUACCACACCAAAAUUAAAAAAAUAUAAUUUAUAUGACAGCACAACCCCUCCCUUGGGAGCAGAGUUAUGAGCAUAAGUAUUUUUCAUUCCUUAUGCAUAUGCUUUAUAUAACAUCACAACCCCUCCUUUGGAAACAGAGUUAUGAGCAUAAAUAUGUAAUCACUUUAUCAGAGACUAAUUAACUUUUCUGCAGGUUGUAGUAAAUUCAAAUUUUUCGUAUCAAAAAAUCGUCAGCCUUGGCCAAGCAAAUUUCUCCAAAUGAGUUAUAGAAAAUUUCCAUCCAGCACCACACAUGUACCUUCAUGUCUAGGCCUCUUUUGGGAGCAGGUUAAACAUAAUAUUAGGGUGCAAUUUCUGCAUGCACAUCUUUAAAGCAAUUAAUUUAUGCUUUCUUCCGGUCGGGGCCGCUUUGGCUUGCACCUGAACAGUUGAAGGAAUAUAUUAAUCUGACUUAGUGUUGCAUGAUUUAACAUGAAAAUUAUCCGGAAGCGCUACUUUAAAAUAAAAUAAAUUAUUAUUUCUUUUAGGGCUUUUUUUGCAUUUAGCCUCCCGAUAAAUUUUUAUUUUAAAAAUAGCCCUGUCAAAAUUUAAUUUGCAAAAAUGGCCAUAGGACGAACAUCGCGUGUCCACAUCAAACAUCCUCAGUAUCCGCAUAAUGAUCAAAGGAUAAGGCAACCUCUCGGACUGACUAGAAGUCUUGAUAUCUUUAGCCAUACGGCGCCAAAUCAAAAAUGGAACAUUAAGAUUGAUCCUCCUAUCACGAACCACAUUCGGCAUACCCACCAAAUACAUAUAAAGCAUGCGAUCCCAACGCACCACCUUCGUGUUAGCCAACGGCAUGAUAUUGUAGCAGACCACAAAAUUUAGGAAACGAUACUCGAUCUUUAAUUCCUUUGACAUUACACAAAUGCCGUUUGGUUCAACGUUGGGCAAACAUACUCCAUUCAUAACCAGACGCCAGUCUCGCACCGCAUCAAAACCAGCAUGCAAGUAUUCAGUGCCAUCAAUCCGAGCNAUAUAAAAUUUAUUUGGAUUUGGAUUCGGAUAAUAUUUCGGAUAUCUAUACCUACUGACAUCCCUACUCCCUAUUCCUCUUUUCAACAUAUAAAAUAUACGUAGUAAAUACGGUGAAUCAUUCACUGUGUCUAAACACGGUGAAUGGUUCACCGUAUUUAACUUAACACAUUGGCUCUGGCCCCGCCCGCGUGGCGCUGACGUGGCGCCUGCGUGGCAGACCUAAGGCCAUUUUUGCAAAUUAAAUUUUAAAAAGGCUAUUUUUAAAAUAAAAAUUUGCCAGGGGGCUCUAUGCAAAAAAAGCCCUUUCUUUUAAUUAGGGCCACUUUGGCUUGCACCUAUAGCGAAAUAAUAAAUUAAUUUAACUUAUCGUCAAACAUUAAAUAAUCGAAAAACAAUUGUGAUUAUUUAAUUUUCAUGUUUAUCCGGUCAAAAAAGAAUAUAGUUGCGAUAAUUAAUUUAAGACAUAAUAUCGCAAUUAAAUUUAAAUUUUAUAUAUUCUAAUUUGACAACAAAUAUAAAAUAAAUAAAUUUAUAAUAAAUUAAUAUUAUAUAUAAAAAACAAAACUUUAUGUGAACAAAUUUUGAAUAUUCACAGGACCAUUUUGAGCAUAAUAAAUAACUUUAUGACGAAUAAAAGAAAAUUUCGGUAUGGGGCAUUAUGGGUCGACUUAAACUCAACUACACUUCUCUGAAGGUGGUCCGUAUUAUAUAACUAAACACCAUGAGUUUAAUAAAAGAAACCAAGAUUAGUAACAAAUCUAAUCUUUAUCUGAAAAUAAUUAAGACAACUUUAACAAUAAAAUGCCGACCGUCUCUAGAGCAAGUGGCAAAGGGCUUGGUGGUUGGUACCCGAGGUCCCAAGUUCGAAUCCUAGUUGAUUCACAUUUAUAGCUAAGUUUAUUUCUAAAUGAAAUAAACAAAGCGGGUAGCGUGCUACCUAUCUCUCAAAAAAAAAAAAAAAAACUUUAACAAUAAACUCAGAUUUGAAACAAGUUCAAACUAUUUAAAUCUGAAUUAUGUUUCUUAAUUCAUUAAGUGGAAUAGGUAAUUAAAUCAACCCAACAAAAUAUACUGUUCAUCUUCUCCUUGACUUUAAUUAGGAACUCAAUUAAGCAAAGAUACGGCUGCCUCAAAAAGGCCAAGCAUCGUGCAUCUUGUGCGGCCGAGAUUAAUGUGCGCCCCAUACGAGACUCGAUUGCUCACGGCACCCUCGCGCUAAUUAAAAUCUGACGAUCAUUCUUGCCGGAAUCUCGCAAUUACACGUGCCACAAAGUCGGAUUGUCGUUCAAAACGACCUUCCAUGCGACCAAAAGUCGCCGAGACACCAACGCCAAAAUUGUUGCAAUGUCGUUGCGUCCGUUUCAAACAAUUAUAAUCCAUGGCGAGAACCUUAAAGCGAGUCUUUGGAUUUUUUUUUUUUUUAAUUGUUACAUAAAAAAAAAAGAAGGUGAUGAACAGUAGCAUUAUAAAAUAAUAUUUGUAAUUCAAAGUACCCAAAUUAUAUCCGUACAUUUGUCCAAUGCUCCAGGAGAAAAUUUUGCAUAUAAUAUAUAAUCUCCCGUUAAUGUCUCUGAUACCAAUUGAUAGAUUUUCUAGGUAUGUAAAAUAAGAAGAAAAUUAAAUACAUAUCAAAAUCCAGAAUCAAAAUAAAAUAACUUACAGAGUGGCAUAGAAAAAAAAUGCUUGAUCAAUCUGCGCAGCGAGACGAGGUUCGGUUAUGAUCUGAAAAUCACAAAUCGAAUUUGGGUAAUUUAGUUUCUCCUCCUAUCUUAGGCACUCUGCCAUAUGGUUGGAACCGAUGAUAAUUCUUCACUAGAAUGCAUAUGAGAAGAAGGCAGGACCAAUACCCUUUUAUAUAGAGUUCAGAUCGACUUCCCAUCAAAAUCUGAUUAGGGUUCUAUUUAAUUUAAAUGGAUGGGAUAGCACUACAACAAAAACGGUCUAUAGCUACACUUUUAAAUGUCGGUACAUGCCAAAAAAGUGUUGUUGGCUAAAUUACCGACACUUUUAAAAAGUGUUGCUAUAUAUGGGGUCGCUAGGUAUAUAGUGACAGUUAAAGAGUGUCGGUAUAAUCUAAAAGAGUGCUGCUAAUUUAUUAACACAUAUUUAAGCAUUUAGCAACCGCCGGAACUCUAUCUCGUUGGCUGCGGUGGCGGAGGAUGAGGAGAGGGAAGGGCUCUUCGUCUAGAAUUUCAGUAGAUUGAGUGAAGAGAGAAGGAGAGAUGUUAAUUGAUUUUUCUUAUUUUUUUGUUUUAUGUUUGUAAUGAGGUCGAAUGGGUUGGGUGGGAUGGGUUGAGUAGAGUAAUAUUUUAUUUUUGGUUGGAUUGGACUUUAUAUUUAGGCAUUAGUAGAUUUUUUUUUAAGUUUUGACAUAAAUGGGACAAUUACACAAAAGUGUCUCAAACAUGUGUCGCUAUAAACCUAAUUCUGUUGUAGUGUAGGAAUAAAAUAUACCACAUCAAGUAGUUCUAUAUCAAUUAGGAUUGACCCUUUAUUUAUAGUAAAUUCAGAUUUGAAUAUGAUAAUUAAUUGGGCCACAUUUAUGGAAAUCCUUGCAGGAUAUUCAUGCUUAUCAAACUAACGUAAGAUCAAGACAAUUUACAUGCAAGAAUAGAGUCAAUAUUCUCACUUCAGUUUUAUCAACAAUUCAAAAGUCUGAGUGGAUGCAUGGGACUAAUUAACAUACUAGCGUCAAUAACUUGGACUUAAAGAAUUUUCAGCUAUGUAGUUAAUUUAAUCGAGGUGCUAUUAAUAGUGCUUUGCUUGGCCUUUUCAGAUGCAUAAUGUAGAUCACCUGAAUAACUAUCUAAAUGUAUAGGCAAUUCGAAUGCGAGAAUAUGACAUUCUCAUGCAUUCAGAGUUAACCUUAUGGCUUUAGCUGUAGGAAGAAGGAAUAAACUAUUCCCCAACACACUUAUGGUUGAGGUUAGGGUGGUCAGUGAAGCUCUGAGGUGGGCUACUUAUAAAGCGAACCAGCAGAAAUUUCAAUUGAAUGCGACUAGAUGUUACUCGCUGAAGCAAUCCUAGGAAACUAAAUAGGAUCAUAUCUGAUUGUCGCACAAUGAUUUCAAAAAUCCAGCACGCACAGAUUAGACACAUCUAAAGAGGAUCUAAUUGAUAUAUAUUGAGUUGUCAUUCCACUUUUUCUCACAAUUGUUUAAUAGGCAAUGAUCAUCAAUAACUAUAAUUGUACCUUCGAAGGAUUGUUAAAGAUGCAAACUUUUACAGAUUGACGAGGCAAUCUUUAACAAAGGCGCCACUCCUCUAUUCUAGUUAUUUUGAAAUCAAUAUGGAAGGUUUAGAUUGCAGGAUAGCUUGGAUGGCCACAUAGGCAACUGCUGCAACUAUUGGUCCUUUAACCUAUUGAUUUGGACGAGAGGAAAAAAAAAACAUCAAGAUGCAAGAAUAUAUCACAACCUGAGCCUAUACAUUAUUUUCAAUAAAUUUACUACUUGACAACAUUGCCUUCAUUGUUGUGUGGGGUUCCAACUCAAACAGGUGCAAGUCCUCUACAUGUUUUCUUCUUUCUUUGCUUCAUUGUUCCUUAUCAAUAUUGAAGGUGUAGAUGGCAAAACAGCGUGUCAUGAUCCGAAACUUACUAAGGCAACACCAAACAAACACAGAAGUACUGCCAAGUGGAGUGCACAUUGUUCAGCACAACUGCUCAACGUGUUUCAAUCUUUCUCUUCCUCUGCUAUUUUUUCCAUCAUCGUUUUUCUUCCUUCGUCAUCAUUUUCGAUGCUAGAAUUGAAAGCAUUUUCUAAAUGAAAUUUAAGGCAUGAUGGAUCCCUCCCCUCAUUACAGCUUCUGUUAUAUUUGGUUUAGAUUUGUAGUUAUCUAAAUUGAGGAUAAAUCCUAAUCUAAUUGGGAUUAGAUAUUAUUUAGAUUUAAUUUGGCAUAUAUGGAUUAUAAUUAGGAGUGUAAUUCUAAUCUAAUUAGAAUUAGACUCUAAUUAGGAGACAUGUAUUAUAUAUAUGUGCUACGGCCAAGUUAAUGACGCCGCGACCAAAUUAAGAUGCCAUGUUCUAAUUAAGCCAAGCAAUGCAUGUUCGUUCCGGACGUUCAAGAAGCCGCCGCGACCAAAUUAAGAGCCAUGAAAUUAAGUUGUUGGUGUUCCGUCCGUACGGUAAAGAAGCAAUCGCAACAAAAUUUAAGAGGCCAUGCUCUAAUUAACGGAGCUCAAAUUAAAGGGCCUAAGAAGUGCCGGUGGUUACGUGGCAACGUCGUGGUGUGCAUUGGAGAGUUGCCGCAGCCUUUAAUGACGCACAGCUCUAAUUAAGGCAUGCACACCAAUAGAGAGCCGGCAUUGGCUUGGUUCGUACGGGUUGAGAGAGAAGCUUUUUUCCUGAGUUGCUUGUUGCGCGUUUUCGGAUCUAAUUAAGUUUUAGUCUUUUGAGAGAUUUUUUUGUACUCAGCCUUUUCGACAUUAAUAAAGUAUUUACUCCGUCUUCGCCCGUGGACGUAGGCCGUUGGCCGAACCACGUAAAUGUCGGUGUGUUCUUUCCUUAUCUUUUCUUUUCUUACAUUAAAUUAUUUUCUGGAUCUAUUUUUCGCCGUUCCGAUUUUAACAGCUUCUUCCAAAGUAUUUUUCUUUUCUUUCGUUGCUAUUUUCGGUCGAUUGGUUAGGUGCAAGCCAAAGCGGUCCUAAUUAAAAGAAAUAAUAAUUUAAUUUACUUUAAAGUAGCGCUUCCGGAUAAUUUUCAUGUUAAUCAUGCAGCACUAAAUCAGAUUAAUUUAUUGCUUCAACUGUUCGAGUGCAAGCCAAAGCGCUCCCAACCGGAAGAAAAGAUAAAUUAAUUGCUUUAAAGAUGUGCAUGCAGAAAUUGCACCCUAAUAUUAUGUUUAGUUUGCUCCCAAAGGAGGUCUAGACAUGAAGGUAUUUGGGUGGUGCAGGAUGGUAAUUUUCUUAUAACUCGUUUGGAAAAAUUUGCCUGGCCAAAGCUGACAAUUUCUUCAUAUGGAAAAUUUGAAAUUAUCACGACCUGCAGAAAGUUUAAAUUAAUCUUUGAUAAAGAGAUUGCAUAUUUAUGCUCAUAACUCUGCUCCCAAAGGAGGGGUUGUAAUGUCAUAUAAAGUAUAUGCGUAGAGAAUGAAAAAUACUUAUGCUCAUAACUCUGCUCCCAAAGGAGGGUUUGUGAUGUCAUAUAAAGUGUAUUUUUCUAAUUUUUGGUGUGUGGUAAUUUUGAUGUGGUAUUUUAUUGAUAAAAUAUGCAUUUUAUUUUUUAGCUAUGACUCCAUUUUCUGUUCCUAUUAGUGAAUCUGUUCCUAUACUUAAUGGUUCUAAGUAUUCGGAGUGGAAAGAACAAAUCAUGUUUAUUUUGGGUUAUAUGGAUUUAGAUUUGGCUCUGCGCGCUGAGCAACCACUUAAGGUAGUGGGGCCAAUGACUCCACAGCAGGAAUCUGCGCAGGAAAAGUGAGAGCGAUCCAACUGCUUAAGUUUGAUGCUCAUAAAGUCAAGGGUAUCAAAAAGUAUAAGGGGAUCAAUCCUAGAAUGUGAUAAAGCCAAAAAUUAUCUAAAGACCAUUGAGGAGCAGUUUGUCAGCUCCGAUAAAGCCUUGGCGAGCACCUUAAUGAAUAAACUUUCUUUUAUGAAGUACUCCGGAAAUGACUCGAUUCGCGAGCAUAUUAUGGAAAUGCGAGAUAUUGCAGCGCAACUCACCGCACUUGAAGUAACUAUCUCUGAUUCAUUCUUAGUGCACUUUAUUUUGAAUUCUUUGCCAUCUGAAUACGGACCAUUUCAGAUCUCUUAUAACACACAUAAAGAUAAAUGGUCAAUUAAUAAAUUGCUGACCAUGUGUGUGCAAGAGGAAGGCAGAUUAAUAUAAGAGAAACAAAAUGCAGUUAACUUUGUUUCUCAAAAGAGACAAAUAAAGCUUGCUAAGAAUGGUAAGGGCAAGAAUGACUCAAAAAGAAAGAACAUGGAAAUUCCGACUGGUUCACAAGACCAAUCAAGUAAGUGGACUCCCAAGUGCUUCUUUUGUAAGAAAAGGGGUCAUAUGAAGAAAGACUGCCAAAAGUAACAGGAAUGGCUCCAGAAGAAGGAUAAGUUUCUUGUUUUAAUACAUGAGUUGCAUUUAGUUACUAUUCCGUCUAAUACUUGGUGGAUUGACUCUGGUGCCACAUGCCACGUGGCGAAUUCCGUGCAGGAAUUUCAGAACUGCAGGAAACCCAAUAAAGAUGAAGCAGCUAUCUAUACAGCUGAAGGAAAUUCAACUAAAGUAGAAUUUGUAGGAACAUUUAGAUUAGUUCUCUCCACUGGUCACAUUUUGGAUUUAGUUGAUACAUUUUAUGUUCUAAAUUUUUCUAAGAAUUUAAUUUCUAUUUCGAAACUUGUAGGAUUGGGAUAUAGUUUCAAUUUUGAUAAUAAAAUUUUUUCUUUAUUCUAUAAAUCUCAGAUAGUUGACUCUGGUGUUUUGAAAAAUAAUCUAUAUAAAGUAUUUCUAGAUGAUUCAUAUAGUGAAAUCCUUCUUACCAUGCACGGAAAUGUUGGAUCAAAAUGUGACAUUAAUAAUGAAAGGUCAUCCAUGUUAUGGCAUAAGAGGUUAGGACACAUCUCUGAGAAUCCAAAGGUUAAUUAGAGAAGACAUUUUAGAUGAUUUGGACUUCUCUGACUUUGGAAUGUGUGUGGACUACAUAAAGGGAAAGCAGACCAAAACCUCCUCUAAAGGUGCUAAAAGAUAUAUGCGGACCUCUUCCUCUCUCAAUUACUGGCCAUAAAUAUUUUAUCACAUUUACUGAUGACUACACUCGAUAUGGCUAUCUCUACUUGCUUAAAGAAAAAUCUGAAGCAUUAGAUGCCUUUAAGGCAUAUAAGGCUGAAGUAGAGAAUCAACUCAAGAAAAGGAUAAAAGUAGUCAGAUCAGAUGGGGGUGGUGAAUAUUUUGGUAGACAAACAGAUAAAGGCCAAAUCCCUGGGCCUUUUGCUAUGUUUCUGGAGCAGUGCGGAAUUGUUCCACAGUACACCAUGCCAGGAACACCUGAUCAGAAUGGUGUUGCUGAAAGAAAGAAUCGCACAUUAAUUGAUAUGCUCAGGAGUAUGAUCAGUAAUUCUACCCUUCCGAUCUCAUUGUGGAGUGAGGCACUCAAAAUAGCCCUGUAUAUUCUUAAUAGGGUCCUUACUAAGGCUGUCACUAAGACUCCUUUUGAGCUUUGGACAGGUAGAAAACCCAAUUUAAGAUAUUUUCAUACAUGGGAUUGUCAAGCUGAGGCCAAAUUGUAUGAUCCACAAAUAAAGAAAUUAGACCCUCGAACCAUAUCAGGAUAUUUUAUUGGUUAUUCAGAAAGGUCCAAGGGGUAUAAAUUUUACUGUCCAUCACUUCCUAUAAAGAUUGCAGAAACUAAAACAGCAUGGUUUAUUGAGGAUGGUGCAAUUAGUGGGAGCUCUAAACCUCGGUUUAUUAAAUUUGAGAAAAUUCAAGAGCAUUCGGAUUCUGUAUAUGACAGACCCACUAUUGUCCCUCACGAUUUGUUGGUUCCUAUUCCAAUAGAACAACAAGUUGUUUUGGAACCACAAAAUGAUUGUGAACCUAUCAUUGAUAAUUCACAUGAAGAUGUACAAGUGGAUAAUCCACAUCAAGAUGUACAAGUGGAUAAUCAGAUAGAUUUAAGAAGAUCCUCAAGACAGAAAAAACCGGCUAUAUCCAGUGAUUAUAUUGUCUAUCUUUAUGAGAAUGGCCAGAGUUUAGAUGAUCCUCUUAAUUUUUCCGAAACCAUAAAUAGCAAUAAUNGUACAUGUGGAUAAUCAGAUAGAUUUAAGAAGAUCCUCAAGACAGAGAAGACCGGCUAUAUCCAGUGAUUAUAUUGUCUAUCUUUAUGAGAAUGGCCAGAGUUUAGAUGAUCCUCUUAAUUUUUCCGAAACCAUAAAUAGCAAUAAUUCUAUGGAAUGGUACAAUGCCAUGAAGGAUGAGAUUAAAUCCAUGAACCACAACAAGGUAUGGGAUCUUGUUGAGUUACCUAUAGGAGUUAAACCCAUAGGAUGCAAGCGGGUUUAUAAAAUCAAAUGGGACUCCAAAGAUAACAUAGAGAGAUACAAGGCUCAUCUUGUGGCAAAAGGAUUUAGUUAGAAAGAAGGUAUUGACUAUAAAGAUACUUUCUCUCCAGUAUUUAGAAAGGAAUCUUUUCGUAUUAUUAUGGCUCUGGUUGCUCAUUUUGAUCUCGAGCUAUAUCAGAUGGAUGUCAAAAUUGCUUUUUUAAAUGGGGAUCUUUAUGAAUAGGUGUAUAUAUAUGAAUCAACCUGAAGGAUUCUCGCAAAAGGGAAAGGAGCACUUGGUAUGCAAAUUAAAGAAAUCAAUAUAUGGACUAAAGCAUGCCUCCCAACAAUGGUAUUUAAAAUUUAAACAAAUUAUUUUGACCUUUGGUUUUAAGGAAAAUAUUGUUGAUCAAUAUAUUUAUCUAAAGGUUAGUGGGAGUAAAAUAAUUUUCUUAGUCCUUUAUGUUGAUGAUAUUUUGCUUGCCAGUAAUGAUCUUGGGCUAUUGCAUAACACUAAAGAAUUUCUUUUCCAAAAUUUUGAAAUGAAAGAUUUAGAUGAGGCCUCAUAUGUUCUUGGUAUUGAAAUCAAAAGGGAUAGACAUAAAGGUUUACUCGGUCUAUCUCAGAAGGCCUACAUAAAGAAAGUUUUGGAAAAUUUUGAAAUGCAUAAUUGUAAGCCAGUGUUGCUCCUGUCCAGAAAGGGGAUAAGCUUAAUUCUUUUCAGUGUCCCAAGAUCCAAUUAGAAAUUGAACAGAUGAAAAGCAUACCCUAUGCCUCUGCAGUUGGUAGUCUUAUGUAUGCACAGACGUGCACACGUCCGGAUAUUGCCUUUGCUAUUGGAUUGCUUGGCUGGUAUCAAAGUAAUCCAGGCAUGGAGCAUUGGAAGGCUGCUAAGAAGGUUAUGAGGUAUUUGAAGGGAACUUUGGAUCAUAUGCUGAUUUACAGGAGAUCGGAUCACUUGGAGCUGAUCGGGUACUAGGACUUCGAUUUUGCUGGAUGCCCAGAUACUAGAAAGUCUACGACUGGGUAUAUUUUUCUACUUACCGGUGGAGCGAUAUCAUGGAAGAGCAGCAAACAAAGUGUUACUGCUCCUUCGACCAUAGCUGCAGAGUACAUUGCGUGUUACGAGACCACAUCACAGGCUAUUUGGCUUAGGAAUUUUAUCACAGACUUAAGAAUUGUGGACUCCGUUGCUCGUCCAAUAAAGAUUUUCUGUGAUAGUUCAGCUGCGGUUUUCUUUGCCAAUAACAACAAGAUUACAGCAGGGUGUAAACACUUGGACACUAAAUAUCUUGUUGUGAGAGAGAAGAUAGAUGAAGGUUAUGUUACAAUUGAAUACAUCAGUACCAAGUGUAUAAUUGCAGACCCAAUGACCAAGGGGCUGGCACCUGGGUCAUAUACAGAUCAUGUUAGAAAUAUGGGUUUGAUUAGUUCUUUCGAUGUAUAAAAUUGUAAUACUUAUUUUCUUUCAAUAAAGUUAAAGUUUAUGCAGCUGUGUUGGACCAUUUAAUAGGCAUAAAGUUUCGCCUAUUAAUGAAUGAACAUACAGUUUAAGUUCAUUCAUAAAGUUGUGCCAUAUAAAGUACUCGGCUAGGAGGUGAAGAUGAUACGGUAAUUAUGGAAGAAAAAUUUCGUUAUGAAGAGAUGGACCGCCAUAGUUCCUAUCAUUGUAGUCUUUUAGUUUGAGCUAAAGAUCAAGUGAGUUCUAAGGUAUUUAACCAUAAAGUUUCCAAUAAUGCGCAAUAAAGAUUGGAGCAUAGAAAAUCCGUUUAUGGAAUAUAAUUAAUAUGAGCCAAGUAGGAGAUUGUUAGGAUUUCUAUAUAUUGUGGCCCAAUUAAUUAUACUUAAAUUAGGAUUUGCUAUAGAUAAGGGUCAAUCCUAACCGAUAUAGAACUACUUGAUAUGGUAUAUUUUAUCCCUAUCCCAUCUAUUUUAAAUUUAAAUAGAAUCCUAAUCAGACUUUGAUGGGAAGUCGAUCUGGACUCUAUAUAAAGGGGUAUUGGUCCUGCCACCUUCUCAUACGCAUUCAGGUGAAAUAUUACCAUCGGUUCCACACCAUACGGUAGAGUGCCUGAGAUAGGAGGAGAAACCAAAUCACCCAAGUUCGGGUGGUGACUUCCAGAUCAUAGCCGGACUUCACGCUUUUUCUUUUACUGGCUUGCUCUCCAAAUAUUUAAGGAGUCAUUCUAUAUUUAAGGAAUCAUUCUUAGUACUAGAAAGAAGAGAGUUCACUUAUUCACCUCAAAUCGAUUGUCUCGCUCCCUUGUGCCGAUAUCCUGUCUUAAAUAAAUAGGGCCCUCCCCCUCUUAGACUGACCUGGACCUGGAUCGUAAGCAGAAGCAAUUACACUAUAUCGCUCUAACUCUGACCUGGAACUGCAUGUAAAAGAACUCCAAGAAAGUUACACUUCCCCUCAAAAGAAUGAAAAGGAAACCGCAGAGAAGCACUUAGGAUUAGGCUUAGCACUUACAACCUUAAGAAAGAAUGCAAGAAUUGGGACUGCUACUUGGUCUAGAGAGAAAGGGACUGAAAGGCUAUCCAACUUUCUGCUUUUCUUAUCAAUUAGAUUCGCUGGACAAAAAAGAAAAGAGGGAUAUUCAAUCAGGGCUCGAUAGACUCCAUCUUUCAAAUUAGGGACCUAUUCCUAGCCUUAGGAUUACAAUUGGAUAGGCUCACCUUAAAGACUGAAGCUAGAUCGCACUCAACCUUUUUAGACGGAACUAAUCUAUAUAAAGUAAAGUCUAUAUCUAUAGUCUUACUAUACAGAAAGGAUAUAUGACUAUAGUUAUUCAUUAGAGGAUAUACGCUGCAGGAAAGAAGCUAGUUAUUCUACAUCCACUCACUUAUGAACUUGCUCAGACGGGAGGGAAGGGAGAACAAGGGAAGAAAGCAUAAUUAGGGGAUGAAAGCACUAAACCUGUACCGACAUCAUUGAAAGCUACUACAACAAGCUAAACAAUGGAUAGAGGGGCUUACUCUAGAAAGACGCUUGGCUGGAUCGCCAUGGAAAGGAAGGGCAAUAAAGGGCGCGGAUACUACAAUAAGAGCGACUGUUACGAAAGCUGGUACGAAAGCUGGUACGGAAAGAGGUGGGAAUGCAACUACUGUUACUUACAUGAAUGCUGGUACAAGAGUGACUUUGCUGGCUAUCCUUUGCCUACUUCAAACUUACCCACCAUCGAACAAUGAAGUAAGCUCAGCUGAAUAUCGAAGCCUUAGGACUAGAAGUAGAGAUGCACUUAGGAUUCCCACUGCUUCUUUAGGGAAAUGUGAUACUUCUUUAGAUUAAUAAGGGGUAUUUACUGGGCUAGCUCUUUCCCAGCUGGGAUAUUCGCUAUUUACUAGCCUACCGCUUUCUAUUUCAAUAUUCCCACGCUUUCAAUAGGCAUGCUUUCUACUCCUGCUUUCUUGAAAAGGCUUGCUUUAUCACUUGUUACUACUUAAAACCUUGCUCGGAGAGGAAGAGAGAAGAUUAUAAGAGGAGAAGGACAUAAAGUAUAAAGUCCAACUCCAACUAGAUCUAAAUCCCCAAGAGAAGAUGACUAGUCUAGCCUGCUAUCGAAAGCAACUACAGCUGGAUAUAAGGAAACUUCCACGGGCCUCACAUGCCCCAUCUUAGGACGACACCUUUUUCAUUAACAGGCAAUAGCAUGCGAUGGUCAUAUUCAAAUGCGCUAGCUAAGAGAACUUCUUAGGUUAGGUAGGGUAAUAUUGGCUGGCUGACUAUAGGGAAGUAGAGACGGACAGCAUAGAGUUUUUGCGUAGAGGUGUAAGGAUUUUACAUGGGGGUUUCAUCUAUGCCCCUUCAACGUUUUUCUUUUGCUUCACACCUUGACUGUACAAUUCUUCCUAGAGUCAUGGUAACCAUUUUGUUAUCCCCGCUACAGACUACUUCACCAAGUGGGUUGAAGCAAGACCAAGACCUUAACCGAUUGUAAGUGGCAUGCUUAAUCUACACUCAUCUUAUUUAUUUUAUAGAUUAGAUAAAGCCGAUGGAAAGAGAUGCAACCAGAGUUUAGGAUUACUCAGUCUUGGUUGAAUGGUUUCCGCGGUCAAGCUGAGGAAAAAAAGGAUAAAGGCACUUAACGGUCACAAGCAGGAGUAGGUGCACAAGCUGGUAAUCAUCUUAAAUCUCGGCCAAGUGCCCGAGUAAGUGAGUGGCACCAUCGGUUCUUUAUCUUUAGCAUGAGCUCUUUCCUUCAAGUGAUGGAUUGGUUGCGAAAAAGCUUCCUUCGUUAUGCGGCAUAUUUUGUACUUUUCCGACAAGCCUCUUGUAACAUACCGGGUUUUGAUAUAAAAGUAAAAAUAAAUAAAAAUAGUAUAAGAUACUAUUUUUAUUCGAUUUAGUGGAGUAAAAUAUAAGUCAGAAAUGAUUUAUGCCGAAAUCGGAAUGAAAACAGAAAAUUUAAAAUUUUCUAUGAGAGACGGGGCUGAUAUUUUAGCAGAAAAUACACAGUGUCGAAAAAUUAUGAAAACCGGAGAAUAUAUCAGAAUUAUUUUUAUGAGGCUAGAUUUAAAGUUUCAUAUCAUUCUGACACCCGGAAGGUGAAAAAUAAAAUCCGACUGCUAUCUGCUAGAGAUUUCAGUUCGGUAGAGCUUUCGGUGACCAAACAGGGGCGAAACUGAAAGAUUAAAAUUUCUUUCGUUAAGUUAAGUAAAACCGAGCCUGACUGUCAAAUUUGAGCUCAAACAAAUAUUGAGAAAGGCAGGCGAAAAAUAUCUGUACCUGAGCUGCUAAACUGAUGUGAAUAGUGUAUUGUUGAGGGUGUUAAUUAUAAAAGAAGCAUUCGCUUCUUCUCCUUCAACCGAACACACACACACACCCACAGCACAUACACACGCACGCAUGGAGGGAGAGAGAAACCCUCAUUUCUCUCUCUAAAGAUCUCUCUCAUCUCUCUAGAUCUCUCUCUAGAAAUUUGAGGGUUGGUGGAGAGCGAGCUUGCGAACACGUUGGGAGCGACGGAUCGAGCUUUCGUGGGCCCGUUGGAGCAGCGUGCUUCCGUCUCGAUAUUCACAUUUUGGUAAGCUUUUGGGAUUUGGCUUAAUCCUUAAGUUUAAGUAUUCUAGUAGCCUCUAAUGUGAUGUUAGCAUGUUAAAUCCUUAAUAUUUGGAUUAUUUGGAGCAUAUGUUGAGGCCAGGGUGUGAAAUAUGGGUUUUUGUAAAAUAUUUGGGUUUGAUCUAAAAUAACCUUACGUAAAUCUAAUUGCUAGGUAUACGAACGCGUUGGCGAAGUUGGUUCGACGAUUCGUCGAGGCUAUGCGAAGAUAUUGAAAAAACGGACGCUCGGCUUCGUUUCCGCACUACAACAAAUAGAGCUUCUUCCAAUAGUUUUUUUACCAGCAAUUAGGCUAACUGCUGCUAAAAGUAUAUUAUACCGGCGCUUUUUAUUUUUAUUGCAACAGUUACUAAACCGCUGGUAUAUAUGAUGAUAAUUCUCAAAUUUAUAAAUAAUAUUGGACCAAUGGGACUAUAUUUUAUUAACUUUUUCCAUCAAUUGGGCCAUGGGCCAACCUUGGGCAAUAAACACUUUCCACAUUAGCUCUCCCUAUAUUUCAAAUAACCUCUCUCUCUAUCUCUCUCUCCCCUCGAUCUCUAUCUCUGAGCUCUUCAUGUUCACCUCUCUCUCUCUCUCUCUCUCUCUCUCUCAUCUCUCUUUUCCUUUUUUUCACCACGAGCUCGAGCUCGAGCUGCUAGAGACGAAGAGCCAAUGGAGGAGGAGGUGGAGGAGGAGGAGGUGCGGUGCCUUGAUCUCACGAGCUACCAACUCCACGAUCUCGGAGAGGUCGAGAUCCCCGAGAGCAUCGAGGAGCUGGACCUCACGGCCAAUCGCCUAUCCAAGCUCGAUCCCCGCGUCGCGCUUCUCUCUCACCUGAAGAAGCUCUCGCUCCGCCAAAACCUCUACAACGAUGAGGGGAUCAAGCCCCUAUCCCGCUGGGAUACGAUCUCCGGAUUGCAUGUAUGCCCUAAUCGCUGAAUCUCCUUACACAUUUCUUGUUUUGAUGAUUCGUUGCAGCAUUUGUGUGAUUGGAUAUGAUAACUUCGCAAUAUCGCAUUUAUCUCGCUGAAUCAGUCCAAGAAUUUCAAUAUUAGACUCAAAUCUGUUUGGAAUGGGCAACUUUCGUCUUAUCUUUGAUCCAACACGCAAGUUUAAUCGAGAAAAUUGUUGAAAUCUAUGAAAUAGGGUGUUCAUUGGACUAUGACAUGUGGUAUGCAUUGAACUAAUUAAGCAUUCUAAUUGUAUAAUUUGAUUCUGUUUUAGGUUUAUUGUUUUGAGUUUUUUUCUUUCGUUUUCUAAAUAUCCAUUGCUUAAUUAUCAGACUACUCUUUAUGCAACAAUUAAAAGCUUAAUUACAAAUGUUAUUUGAGGACGAAAAUUUCGAAACGAAUUAUUUGAGGACGAAAAUUUCGAAACAGUUGAGUCUAAUCUGUUAUUGCACCACCAGCCAUUUUGGGAAAACUUUUAACCAGGUUAUCGACAUCCGAUUCAGGCGAAAUUGGUCUUGUUGGAAAGAUCGUCGAGUUAUCUUUCUAACGCAACCUGAAUCACCUUAAACGGAUAUCGGACGAAAGAGUUAUUGCCAUUUUUCUAAUAGUUGUCGGUACAGCCCUGAGCUGCGAGCUUGUUUGGGAUUUCACCAACUGUUAUGGGCAGUUUGGUAAAAUUACUAAUUAAAAUUAUAGCUUAUCAAUUUAGCUCGUUAACUAUUGGUCCAACCAUAAUUUUUCCCAAGAAAAUAUUGAGUAAAAUUACAGAAACGCCCUUAAGUGGGCUGGUUUGAAUGGAAGAAGAGAAAAACUCUUCUAUCCCCAUUCCCUUCUUCUUUUCUUCCAUUUUCCCCUUUCUCUCAAUACCCUAUUUCUCCUCUAUUCUACUUGGUAAUGAGAUGAAGGAUUUUUCCUUCAAAUUGAAGGGAUUUAGGAGCAGAACCUUUGGAGAAGGAAACCCAUAUUCAAGUUGAAACUCUAGCUAGAGAACAAAGUAAAUUUUCGGUUUGGUGCUUUGUGAGUAUCAAAGAAUGAAUAUUUUGAGUUGCAUGCAUGUUUUUCUAUUCUCUUUGAAGGUCCCAAGCUAUCCUUUAUGGAUUGGUUAUAGUUUUUGAAGAUUUUAUGACACUAUAUUCAAAUAUUGAAGCCCUAAAUUGAGGGUUUUUGCCCUAUUACGAAAUUUUCUUGUGAUUUUAGGGCUGGGACCCUAAGAGCCCAAAAUGAGAUUUUUGAUAAUUAACUUUUAGUUCUUUCUACUUGAAUUUAGGGGCCAAUACAUAGUUAUAUGAAUUGCUUUUAUUUUUAAGAGGUUUUGAUGAGUUAGUUGCAUGUUACGAGGCUUCAAAAAUUGGGAUUUUGAUCAACUACGAGAUUAAGCUUUUGUAGUUGAUUUUAAGAGUUUAGAAUCCUUAAAUUGAUGUGUCUAUCAUGUUCAUAUAUAUUGGGCAUGAAUGUACAAUUGAGCUUUUGUAGUUCUUUCUCAUUUUAAAUUAAGUUUACUCUGACAAGAACUUACAGAGUAGAAAAGCAUAAUUAAACUACAAGAGCUCCUUAAAUUAUAUAAAGAAAAGAUUAGGUAAGAAAAUUUAGUAUGUGGAGUUUGCUCAUAUUUCAGACUGGAGACUAACAUAAUAAUUUGACUAUUGUGGGCUGCAAAGAUUGUGGACUAAAAUUGCUACAAAUGUAGCUGUAAGGACAAAAGAUUGAAAUCAAUUUAAACUCUAGGGACUAAAUUUGCAAUCAGCCCAAGAAAAGGAAAAGAAAAUAGAUUAACAAUCAUGGUUCUUUAUACAAUCCUCUUCAAAUUCUACCUAAACGAUUAUGCAAGAGAAUCAGUAACUCGAUAACAUAUGCUUCUCAUUUUCUAUUUCUAGUGUCAUACAUGUUUAUUUUGCCUAAAGACAUUUGUAAAAGCAUUCCUUUUUUUUGUUUGUAUCUUUUCUUGAAUAAAAUUUCAUCUCUUCUUUAGGCAAAUAUUGAUAAGGACCAGGUGAAGGCUGCUAUAAAAGCCUAGCAAGACUAGCAGAUUGAUAACAUAAGUUUCUAUUCCUUUUCACUGAGCCUAGUAUUAGUUUUAAAUUUUUUUUGUUAGUAGUGAGGUGCUCUUCUUGUUCGCAUAGUUUGCCAGUUGGAGAGAGAAACUUACAAUUUCCUUUGUUUUGCCUUGUUGUCCUAGUUGAUUAGGCUGUAAUCUUAUUUGCACAGUUUCUCCAUAUUACUGUAGCAGUAAUCUUAUUUAACUUGAGAAUUACCCUUUUCAUAUAUAUUAUCUGAGUUGGUGGACUUGCUGUUAGAUGUAGUGUUAGGAUUGGAUGAUGAUAGUGAUGAUAUCUCAUCUAAUUGCUUCUUCAUAAAUUCUUCUUAUGAGCUCCUAUUGGUAUUGCAUACCAUCAUGAACUAAUUGACAUAUUGUUUAGUUAAUUGUUGUCAGCUUGCAUGACAUUAUUCUCCUUAUAUCCAACUUUGUCUUCCUUUCAUGUACUUUUGGUCAAGUUUCUUAGUCUCAUGUAUAUUUCUUAGUUAAGAGGUUGCUUUACUAGGAUAUUAUAUUCUUUAAUAUUCUUCAAGUAGUUAUCUGAUUGAAAAUGGAAAUUCUGCUUUUGGCCCCGAAAACCUUAUACGAGCUUUGGGACAUUUCUUUGACAAACAUUUGGUUUCUCAAACCUUUUGCUUCAGAUUGGAAAAGCUGCUCUAGAUGCAAGGCCAAAUGGCUUAAGCUUUCUUUACGCCAUUUAGCGAUGCUUUUAUUGAAUCCAAUUCCCACUAUUACAGUUUUCACAUGCUGCUGUUUCAGGUUUUAUAUGACGUCUUCUCAUUGGAUUUGAAGCUGAUUCACAUCUUACUAAAACUCUUACUGUAUACUCUGCAAAGCUAUGUAUUAUUCAUGAUGAAAGAACUGUUCUAAAUCCACGAAGAGUGAUGCGCGCUUUAAGCUUAUACACCAACAACUUCAAUUUAACAAGACAGCAGGUUUCGACGAGCAAAUGUUCUACUGUAGUUUUUUUUUUUUAUUCAAGACUAUUCAACCGAGCUAUUUUUUUUCUUUUCCACUUUUGGCCUUAUAGGAUGCUUCAGAAGCUUUUCUUCAUCUCUUGUCGUCACUGAAGAAUGAGAGCUCCCACAAUUACGUGCUACACAGUAGUUCUCUUGCCAACAUUACCUUUUCUUCCUCCAGGAUAUAUAACCGGAAGGCAGGAGACCAGCAUGAAUUUGAGAGGUGGAGACAAAUUCUUUUUGGUCCAUUUGAAGGCACCAUUGGAAGCAUAUUAACUUACAGAAGUUGUUCAUCUCUGGUAGUUACCUGUUCCUGUUUGAUAUUUUUGCAUUUACUUAAUAAUAUAUAAAUGUAAAUAAGCAAUUGUAAGCUCAACGUGUUAUUCUCUAAAAUUCAAGCCUCUCUCACUUCAUGUGCUUUCUUUUUCUUUGUCGCAACAUUAAUAUCUUUUAAUUUUCAAGGGUAUAUAUGUAAAAGCAAGUUUUUGAAGGGCAUACAUGAAAAUUCUACAAGGGUAUAUGAUAUAUCUUUUGUGAUUGAUAGUAGACUUUUCAGAUAAAAAAAUAAGCGAUUGAUUUGCUUGUGGAUCCUUUUGCAGCCUUAUGUUAUUUAUUUUCCUUAUAUUUGCCAUUUUUACAGCUUUUAGUUGACUUUGAGAGUUUCCACUGCUUGCCACUCUCACCUGUGCUGGAUAGAAGUGAAAAUAUUGUAUGUCCAUCAAGGGCCUUCUGAUUUUGCUUUUUUUCGUAUUUUUUUAGGUCGUUUUCUCACCUGCUUGCUCUGCUCUAUUGAAUAUACACUUUUAAUGCUUUUAGUUAAUUUUCUUUACAAUUUGUAGAUUGAUGGAUGUACUUUGAUGGAUUGUCUGAAGCAUUUUACUGCUGUAGAGCAUCUAGAAAGCUACCAUUGCAGUCGAUGCUGGCAUAUCGCUGUCAUAAAGCACUUAUCUCUUAAAUCAGAAAAAGACGAGGUAAUUUUGAUGAUUCUGAGGCUUCUUUCAUCAACAUACAGAGGAUCGAAGUUUGAUCAUAAAUAAUUUGCUAAAAUGCAGCGAACCUCUUAUAUAUCUUGUUUUCUGCAUUGUCCCCUGAAAUUUUCAAUACUGACAUUUUACCCUGUUAAUCUGUGAGCAAUCAAAUCAAUCAAUCUCGCCUAACAGGGUCCUAAUGAAUAUGAACUGAAGAAACCUAGUUUCGCUUUCACAUUAGAUUUUGUGCACAACAGGAAAGUUAGGACCAAAUGGGAGUGAGGUUCAUUCUAAAUCUACUUUGUACAUAUUUGAUACCAUUAAGUCUGUUUUCAGGGCUCUGAUGUUAUAUAUUUGUGUGUUUUAUUAUGAAACUGCAGUGGGUUUGUAAAGUUGGCUCUUUCUUGUACCAAUUAUUUCUACUUGUAUAAUAAAUGUUUGGUAAAUUAACACUACUGCCAUGUUAAUUUAGUGGCUAAUUUGGUAUUCAUUAGUAUGCAACUUCUGAUAGAUUUCUUGUUAAUUUAGUGGCUAUAUGUUACUUAUGAUAGAUUUCUUGUUGUAAUGAGCUUAUGCAUCUCAUAUGUUUUAAUUUUCUUUGUUUCAGACUGAAGCAACAAGCAUGAUUUGAUGUUCGCAUUUGAAGAAUGUUUAGCUGGAGCUUUUCACUUUUCUUUUUCUUAACUUUCGAACCUUUGGGGUUCAAAUAAAUUUUCUAUUGUAUUGAUUUCUAUUAGAAUAUAAAAACUUGUUUUGUUGCAUUUUAUCGCUGCUCUAGAUCAUUGCUUAUUGUUUUGUUUCAAGAAUGAUUGUAUCAUCUUAUUGCAAUUUAGUAAUAUGACUCUUUUUUUUUUACGGAUAUUAUAGAUUGUUGGUUUUACAAUUAAUAUCAAAUGAAAAAGCCUUAUUAUAAUUUGUUGAUAUUAAUAUUUUUUUUUCAUAUUAGUUUCAAAUUGCCAAGGGUCAAAAACUGUCGAUAAAUGCGCUCUACGCCAGUAUUUUUUUUGUAGUUUUAGCGACGGUUUAAGAACUGUUGCUAGAUAUCAUUUUCACCGGUGGUUAGUAAAAGUGCUGGGAAAAAGUUAUACCAGCAAGGAUAUUGUAACGGUCGCCUAUACUCUUACCAGCAGUUUUAGAACUGCUGGAGCAAAUAUUACCAGCAGUUUUUGCAUUCUUUUACAGCAGUUUUGACUGCUGGUAUAUGCCUAUUUUUUUGUAGUGCCGCUUGGAGGGCCGAGGCGUCAUCCAAAAAUCAUGAAAAUGGAUCCGGAGCAUCGUGGCAUCAAGUUAUAGACUUUAAAUAUCCGGAUUGUGGAUUGGUGGCCGUUAGGUGGUCAAGUGCGAGUUUGGGCCGAACCGGACAACGGGUGCCACGGGAGGCCGAUUGCAAGUGACUACAAGCAAUCGGAAAGCGAUUUGAGGUAGGUUGUGCUCACCGAAGUUUUUAGCUCGCUUCCAUGUCGAAGCCAAGUAAGAAUUGUUAUUGAUGCAUGUUUGGUAGUUAAUGAUAAAACAUAUGAAUGCUAUGUUAAACUACCAUUGGAUGCAAGAAGAUAUAAUGAAGAGAUACUAGAUGAAAUGUAUAUAUAUAUGUAAUUGGUAGGUGGCCUAUGAUAAUGUGGAUGUAUGAAUCCUAUUAUGCUUAAUGUUUAUUACAUACCAUUGAGAUGAAAGCCUGAUAAACAUAAUGUAGAAACAUGCUAGAUGAAUGCAUGAUGUACAUGUUGUAGGAUAUGCUAGAAGAAUGCAUGUUGGCCUAAUGUGAUAAAUGCUAAAGAAUGCAUGUGAUAGAUGCUAAAUAACAUGAGCUAGAUGCAUGAGUUAUGGGCUAAAAUGUAUGUUGAUUACUAUAUGAUAAGAACGUAUGCAUAUGCAUGGAAUCCUAAAGAACACAUAUAUGUUGACAUAAUGUGAGACUAUGUUAGAUUCGUUUGAAAGUGAACUUGGGUCGAUAAACUCUAGGUGAAUUAGAGAACUCGACAUUGGAAAACAAUGACAUAUGAAUUAUGAUACUCGAUGUGGACAAGUAAGAUGUCAAAUAGAUCGAGUGGCAUUGACGAGUCUUGAAUACUAGUGUUACAAUGGUGACAUUAAUGGAACAAGAAUGCUAGAGUUGAACACUUAGAGAACAAGUGUGGCAUUAGUGAAUGAGUAUAAAGAAUAAAGUAGUGUAUAUGACACUAGUGAAUAUUAAGGAAUGCAAGAAAAAGGGUGAUAGUGACAUUAUGACAUAACAACCUUAGAGUUAAGGGUCAUAAGUGCAUUAUUUUCUUAUAGUUAAGGAAUGGAUUGAACUUGACAUCCUUAUAGUCGAGGAUUAGAUCACACUCACCUAGUCUGUUUCGAGCUUUGGGUGGUCGCUCCACACAAGCAGUGUGCACUUCGGAGUUGUCACACUAGAGAGGCAGACGUAGUUGUCCCACAGACGGUCCCAACGGGAGGAAGCUGAAGGCCCAACGGGUUGUGGGCCCGUUAUUUGGGAUUUGAGUUGGUGAGUUAUGGAACCCGGCGGGAGGAAGCUGAAGGCCCAAUGGACUGAGGGCAUAACGGGUUAGCUAAGAGAUUGGGUAACAGAAAAGUGUUCGUUGAGGUGAAACCUACGGAUUAGCCAAAAGGACCCAGAAUUGGAAAGUGGAUAUUGCAUUCGUCAUGAAUUGACUCAAGACCGAGUCGAGUAGCAUAGUUGGCUAAGGUAAGUGUAACCUUUGGAAAGAAUGACAAAUGAGUAAAAUGUGCCUAAGAAUAAAGAGUAAAGAAUGACAAAUGAUAAAGAAUUGCUAAUAUGAUAAAGAAUAAUAAUUAUUUAUAGAGUAGAAUCAAUUAAUCUACUUGUAUGAGUUGCAUGAUUUACAUAUUGCAUGUCUUAAGGCAUAAACAUGUAUUUAAUAUUUGCAUUAAAUAUCUGUGGAUAUCUGUUGGACUAACAUGUUUCCAGUGCCUCCUUUGGACCUGGUGGGUCGAGCUUUUCCCUUGGGUGGUCGUACCCACUGGGAACUAUGGACAAUAGUUCUCACCCCCGUGUUGUUUUUGGGGGUACAGGUUCAUACGUGAGCGGCACGACGGCGCGAGAAAAGGGCGUAGCUCCGUAGAUAGCGCCCUACCACCGAGACCAGAAAUAGCAUUACCCCGAGUCGGCUUAGCUAGGGGUUGUAGAAAAGAUGUAAAACAAUAUUGUAAUAAUUUUGAUUGUAUUUGGAAGAAAAAAAAAGGAAAUGUAAUAUGUAAAAAGAAAGCAUGUGAGGUGAAUGCUUGAAAUAGCUUAGUUGUUUAUGUUUUUGAUACUUCCUUAUGCAAUCUGUAUGUUGAAUACUGUUCCUGGUUGGAACCUCUUGUAAUGUAUUGAUUGCGACGCCUUGAACGUACAGGGGAGACUCUGUCCGCGGUACAGAGGAAACCCUAUCCGUUCGGCGGUCUGUCGGUGUGCCCGAAUCCGACCAAUGAGGCGGGCUCGAGGCGUGACAGAUAAGAUGGUAUCAGAGAAUAAAAGAGUAUAAACAUGAGCAUAAAGAGAACAUAAAAAAGAACAUAAAAAGAAUAAUAAGAAAUGGUUUAGUUGGGCCUAGGAGACCCUAGGAUAGUAAACCAUAGGAGAUUAAGGCUCGUGAGAGACGAGAACUUGUGACUUAUGGCGAAAGAUUAAUUAAUUGGGUUGUGUUAUAAACCUCUAAAACGGAUGUUAGAGGUAGAUUCAAGGUGUGGUUUAUUCUCAGCCGAGGGUGUUCAUGUUGGAUGCAUACAAUAUGAAACCGAGUGAUGAGAAUAGACGCCCUUGCGUGACUUUCGCCCGAUUUGAGUCGGUGUUAAUUGUCUCGUGUUCGACCCAGAGGGUCGAGAGUUAAACGAAGUUGUCACGUUUAGGAAGCGAUGGCACCGCGUAGGCGAUCUUCGUCUAGAUUGGCGUGGGAUGGGACAAGUGAUGUCCCUGGGCAACUUGAGGCGAGCGGAGAUUUGGAACUUCGCGAGUAAGUGGCCACUCUCGUGGGAGUGGCGAGGCAACGUGCCGAUUUGGUGUGGCAACGGCAGGAGGUUGCCUUGCGUCUGGAGGGAGCGAGCUUUGGCGGCCCUCAUGACCUUCAAGAAAUAGAUGAAUCCUCAUCGUGUUAAACCACUUUUGGUCAAGAUGGCCAAAGUGUGGCGGGAUGAAUAGUUGGACAAGUUUCAAUUAGCAUUCCAACAAUGUUGGAAGGGUCAAAGUUGAGUCCCAAAGGAGUUAGAGAGGUUUUAACAUUGAUCGGAACGAAAAAAAAUCAAAAAGAUGCGAAAACCUGAAAUCUGGAGUUUGUACCGGUACACCAUCAAUGUUGUACCAGUACCAUGUAGCAAACCGAGAGAAGUUGCUCUCGGGUUUGCCUCUGUGAGAUCAUGUUACCGGUGACAUGGUGGCCCGUACCGGUACACUUUGGGUCUGGCAGCAAAAGUUGGUCUACUGCAAAUAAGAAAGGUUGGAGGGCUUAUUUGUAAUCGUGGCAGCUUGUAUAAGAUCGCACAUCCCCUCCUCCCUCAUUCAUAGCCAAAGAACACUCUCCUCUCUCAUUUCUAUCUUUUGGAGCACUUUCCAAGUGUGGAUUGGUGGAGAUUGGAAGAGAUUUGAGGGUUAGGCCUUGUGGAUAGAACGAGGUAGUGCAAUUGUGCGGGGGGAGCGCGAGUCUUAUUGCAAGGAAUGGGGCUCAUGGUAGAGAUGGAAACGAUGGACCAACUCGCAAAGCGAUAUGUGUAAUUGAUUGCGAGAGUUGAGUCAUGACACUUGUGGACACUCGAGUAGUCCGAGUGUUCUAGAUGUUGUUCCGCUAGAUUGAACAGUGAAAGUGAAUCACUGUUGCGGAAUUAGUUGAUUAGUGCCAAGUUUGGCCUGUGGGCCUAGUAGUACCUCGAUGAGAGGUAGGAGGGUCGUGCUCGUAAAGUCGGCGUGCGUAGGCAAGAGUUCCCUAAUGCUAGACUUAGUGUGGAGCGCUAUAGAGGCGUGUGACGUUCGAGUAGAGUUACUCGUGGAGUGCGAACUGGGUUUAGCCUAGUGAGAGUGUUGGCAGUAGCACUUGAGCAUUGCUAGGUAUGAAGCGGGCCACGGAUCACUCAUAGGGCUGGUGGCUCGCACUAGGUGCUUAGGAGCCGAUAGUGGUAUGUAGCUCGGUAGAGCAUGUCGUGUAGGACGAUGACGGCGGGUAUUGCUUGAGGACGACCCGUGCCUGGACCAUUUGAGGACUGUGGAGCCUGGGCCCUUUGGGCAGGCGAAGUGGGCUGUGUAGAGCAGUGGCCCGGUACCUACGGGUAGGGCAGAGAAUUUGGUCAGGACGGCAGUCUGAGGUUAGACCUGGGAGCGUGGAAUGCCACGUGUUGGAUCGUGUGAUCGAUAGUAUACCGAGAGUUCGGUUAUGACCCAACCUGAGGAUUUGUAGUGGUUUGGGGUCAUGGUUGCUCUUGGUUGGAGUAUGUGCGAAUUCCUAAAUGAGUAUUUCGCCCGAUGAUGAUUGGGUCUACAUUUGCGAGCGAGACACGCUGCGUAUUGAGACAGGUUAGGCAAUAGGCCUUUGUGGCACUGGCGGUCUGUAGGCCACCUAUGAAAUUGAGAAAAGCGAUUUGGCGAAUAGCCUUGUCGAGGAGUUCGGCUUGAGUUCACGAACGAAGCAUUCGUGUGAGCUCGUGGCUAAAGUGAUUUGACAUUGACCGUGGCAUAUGGUAUCAGGAGAUGAAGUGCUCUUGAUGAGACCUUGAGCUAGUGGGAAGCCACGUGUAGUUUGAGAAUUGGAAUUGGGAUACGCCGAGGUGGGCCAUCUCACGUUAGAGCUAAAGGUCAGUGCGGAAUUGGAGCACUCACGAUGGAGCGAUGCACCGGUGAUAUUGCCUUUAAGCAGUGUCGGUGAUCGAAUCGGAAUGUAUUCCCUGAAGGAAAGGUAAAUGCAAAGAAGAGUUCUUUGUGCACCGAGUGGCGAGUGGUGUUGGAGCGCGUAGAGUCGUCGAGUACCGACUUGCGCUGCCACUAUGACUUGCAAGACCCGUGAUACACUUUUGUGUCACACUUUGCAAAUGUGUUUAGGAUUGAACCCACGUCUUUCAGUAUGAGCCGCUUCUGUAACCACGAUAGUGUGAAGCCGCUCUGGAGUGGGAGAACGAGUUGGUACCCUCAAUUGCUCGAGGAGCUGAAUUGAGGCGUGGUUUGAAUUUCGCGGACGAAAUUCUUUUAAGGGGUGGAGAAUGUAACAUACCGGAUUUUGAUAUAAAAGUAAAAAUAAAUAAAAUAGUGUGAGAUACUAUUUUUAUUGGAUUUAGUGGAGUAAAAUAUAAGUCAAAAAUGACUUAUGCUGAAAUCGAAACGAAAACAUAAGAUUUAGAAUUUUCGGUGAGAGACGGGGCUAAUAUUUUAGCAGAAAAUGCACAGUGUCAGAAAAUUAUGAAAACUGGAGAAUAUGUCAGAAUUAUUUUUAUGAGGUUAGAUUUAAAGAUUCAUGUCAUUCUGACACCCGGAAGGUGGGAAAUAAAAUCCGACUGCUAUCUGCUAGAGAUUACAGUUCGGUAGAGCUUUCGGUGACAAAACAGGGGCGAAACUGAAAAAUUAAAAUUUUUUUUGUUAAGUAAAACUGAGUCUGACUGUCAAAUUUGAGCUCAAAUGGACAUUGAGAAGGGAAGGCGAAAAAUAUAUGUACCUGAGUUGCUAAACUGAUGUGAAUAGUGUAUUGUUGAGGGCGUUAAUUAUAAAAGAAGCAUUUGCUUCUUCUCCUUCAACCGAACACACACACCCACAGCACAUACACACGCACGCAUGGAGGGCGAGAGAAACCCUCCUUUCUCUCUCUAAAGAUCUCUCUCAUCUCUCUAGAUCUCUCUCUAGAAAUUUGAUGGUUGGCGAAAAGCGAGCUUGCGACGCGUUGGGAGCGACGGAUCGAGCUUUCGUGCGCCCGUUGGAGCGGCGUGCUUCCGUCUCGGCGUUCACAUUUUGGUAAGCUUUUGGGAUUUGACUUAAUCCUUAAGUUUAAGCGUUCACAUUUUCGUUUUCGCUUGGAGGGCCCAGGCGGCGUCCAAAAAUCAUGAAAAUGGAUCCGGAUCAUCGUGGCAUCAGGUUAUAGACCAUAAAUUUUCGGAUUGUAGAUUGGUCACCGUUAGGUGGUCGAGUGUGAGUUUGGGUCGAACCGGGCAACGGGUGUUGCGGGAGGCCGAUUGCAAGUGACUAGAAGCAAUCGGAAAGCGAUUUGAGGUGGGUUGUGCUCACCGAAGUUAUUAGCUCGCUUCCAUGCCGAAGCGAAGUAAGAAUUGUUAUUGAUGCAUGUAUGGUAGUUAGUGAUAAAAUAUAUGAAUGCUAUGUUAAAUUACCAUUGGAUGCAAGAAGACAUAAUGAAGAGAUACUAGAUGAAAUGUAUAUAUAUAUAAUUGGUAGGUGGCCUAUGAUAAUGUGGAUGUAUGAAUCCUAUUAUGCUUAAUGUUUAUUACAUACCAUUGAGAUGAAAGCCUGAUAAACAUAAUGUAGAAACAUGCUAGAUGAAUGCAUGAUGUACAUGUUGUAGGAUAUGCUAGAAGAAUGCAUGUUGGCCUAAUGUGAUAAAUGCUAAAGAAUGCAUGUGAUAGAUGCUAAAUAACAUGAGCUAGAUGCAUGAGUUAUGGGGUAAAAUGUAUGUUGAUUACUAUAUGAUAAGAACGUAUGCAUCUGCAUGGAAUCCUAAAGAACACAUAUAUGCUGACCUAAUGUGAGACUAUGUUAGAUUCGUUUGAAAGUGAACUUGGGUCGAUAAACUCUAGGUGAAUUAGAGAACUCGACAUUGGAAAACAAUGACAUAUGAAUUAUGAUACUCGAUGUGGACAAGUAGGAUGUCAAAUAGAUCGAGUGGCAUUGACGAGUCUUGAAUACUAGUGUUACAAUGGUGACAUUAAUGGAACAAGAAUGCUAGAAUUGAACACUUAGAGAACAAGUGUGGUAUUAGUGAAUGAGUAUAAAGAACAAAAUAGUGUAUAUGACACUAGUGAAAGUUAAAGAAUGCAAGAAAAAGGGUGAUAGUGACAUUAUAACAUAACAACUUUAGAGUUAAGGGUCAUAAGUGCAUUGUUUCCUUAUAGUUAAGGAAUGGAUUGAACUUGACAUCUUUAUAGUCGAGGAUUGGAUCACAUUCACCUAGUCUGUUUCGAGCUUGGGGUGGUCGCUCCACACAAGUAGUGCACUCCGGAGUUGUCACACUAGAGGGGCAGACGUAGUUGUCCCACAGACGGUCCCAAUGCGAGGAAGCUGAAGGCCCAACUGGCUGAGGGCCCGUUAUUUGGGAUUUGAGUUGGUAAGUUAUGGAACCCGGCGGGAGGAAGCUGAAGGCCCAACGGGCUAAGGGCCCAACAGGUUAGCCAAGAGAUUCGGUAACAGAAAAUUGUUGGUUGAGGCAAAACCUAUGGGUUAGCCAAAAGGACCCAGAAUUGGAAAGUGGAUAUUGCAUUCGUCAUGAAUUGACUCAAAACCGAGUCGAGUGGCAUAGUUGGCUAAGGUAAGUGUAACCUUUGGAAAGAAUGACAAAUGAGUAAAGUGUGCCUAAGAAUAAAGAGUAAAGAAUGACAAGUGAUAAAGAAUUGCUAAUAUUAUAAAGAAUGGUAAAUAAUAGAGAGUAGAAUCAAUUAAUCUACUUGUAUGAGUUGCAUGAUUUACAUAUUGUAUGUCUUGAGGCAUAAACAUGUAUUUAAUAUUUGCAUUAAAUAUCUGUCGAUAUCUGUUGGACUAACAUGUUUCUAGUGCCUCCUUUGGACCUGGUGGGUCGAGCUUUUCCCUUGGGUGGUCGUACCCACUAGGAACUAUGGACAAUAGUUCUUACCCUCGUGUUGUUUUUGGGGGUACAGGUUUACACGUGAGCGGCGUGAUGGCGCGAGGAAAGGGCGUAGCUCCGUAGAUAGCGCCCUACUACCGAGACCAGAAAUAGCAUUACCCCGAGUCGGCUUAGCUAGGGGCUGUAGAAAAGAUGUAAAACAAUAUUGUAAUAAUCUUGAUUGUAUUUGGAAUAAAAGAAAAGAAAUUGUAAUAUGUAAAAAGAAAGCAUGUGAGGUGAAUGCUUGUAAUAGCUUAGUUGUUUAUGUUUUUAAUACUUCCUUAUGCAAUCUGUAUGUUGAAUACUGUUCCUGGUUAGAACCUCUUGUAAUGUAUUUAUUGCGACGCCUUGGACAUACAGGGGAGACUCUAUCUGCGGUACAGGAAAAACUCUGUCCGUUCGGCGGUCUGUCGGCGUGUCCGAAUCCGACCAAAGAGGCCGGCUCGGAGCAUGACAUCUCUCUCAUUUUUAGGGGUGUUCUUGGAAAGGAGAAUGAAUAGAGAGAGAAGGAGAUAGAGUUGACCACUUACCCUGCUGUGCCAUAAUAAGCUUACUUUGCUGUGUCACGCCCCGGGGUCCCUUUUCAGUUUAAAACAAAGCGGAAAAGCGUCUGAAAUUUUUUUUUUUUGAAAACCUGACCCCAGAGUAUGCCAGAUCCGCCACAAAUACAGGAAAUCCACUGUUCACACGGACAGGGUCUCCCCUGUAUUUGCACGGCGUCGAUCAAAUACACAGUACAACCAGGAUACAACCACAACCAGAUGAAUAUAAAGAUAACUAUACAUUCAUACAUUCACCAUUCACAUCACAGUUUUACAUUCAAGGUUUAAACAGAAAUCCACAAAAAUCUUUUGAAAGCUGUUUCCUACACAGAAACCUUUAUUCUUUUAAAAACGCUACCACGAGGGGUAGAAAAUCUUUUAUUUUACAAAAUCCAGAAAUCCACCUUUUCAAAUGUAAAUAANNNNNNNNNNNNNNNNNNNNNNNNNNNNNNNNNNNNNNNNNNNNNNNNNNNNNNNNNNNNNNNNNNNNNNNNNNNNNNNNNNNNNNNNNNNNNNNNNNNNNNNNNNNNNNNNNNNNNNNNNNNNNNNNNNNNNNNNNNNNNNNNNNNNNNNNNNNNNNNNNNNNNNNNNNNNNNNNNNNNNNNNNNNNNNNNNNNNNNNNNNNNNNNNNNNNNNNNNNNNNNNNNNNNNNNNNNNNNNNNNNNNNNNNNNNNNNNNNNNNNNNNNNNNNNNNNNNNNNNNNNNNNNNNNNNNNNNNNNNNNNNNNNNNNNNNNNNNNNNNNNNNNNNNNNNNNNNNNNNNNNNNNNNNNNNNNNNNNNNNNNNNNNNNNNNNNNNNNNNNNNNNNNNNNNNNNNNNNNNNNNNNNNNNNNNNNNNNNNNNNNNNNNNNNNNNNNNNNNNNNNNNNNNNNNNNNNNNNNNNNNNNNNNNNNNNNNNNNNNNNNNNNNNNNNNNNNNNNNNNNNNNNNNNNNNNNNNNNNNNNNNNNNNNNNNNNNNNNNNNNNNNNNNNNNNNNNNNNNNNNNNNNNNNNNNNNNNNNNNNNNNNNNNNNNNNNNNNNNNNNNNNNNNNNNNNNNNNNNNNNNNNNNNNNNNNNNNNNNNNNNNNNNNNNNNNNNNNNNNNNNNNNNNNNNNNNNNNNNNNNNNNNNNNNNNNNNNNNNNNNNNNNNNNNNNNNNNNNNNNNNNNNNNNNNNNNNNNNNNNNNNNNNNNNNNNNNNNNNNNNNNNNNNNNNNNNNNNNNNNNNNNNNNNNNNNNNNNNNNNNNNNNNNNNNNNNNNNNNNNNNNNNNNNNNNNNNNNNNNNNNNNNNNNNNNNNNNNNNNNNNNNNNNNNNNNNNNNNNNNNNNNNNNNNNNNNNNNNNNNNNNNNNNNNNNNNNNNNNNNNNNNNNNNNNNNNNNNNNNNNNNNNNNNNNNNNNNNNNNNNNNNNNNNNNNNNNNNNNNNNNNNNNNNNNNNNNNNNNNNNNNNNNNNNNNNNNNNNNNNNNNNNNNNNNNNNNNNNNNNNNNNNNNNNNNNNNNNNNNNNNNNNNNNNNNNNNNNNNNNNNNNNNNNNNNNNNNNNNNNNNNNNNNNNNNNNNNNNNNNNNNNNNNNNNNNNNNNNNNNNNNNNNNNNNNNNNNNNNNNNNNNNNNNNNNNNNNNNNNNNNNNNNNNNNNNNNNNNNNNNNNNNNNNNNNNNNNNNNNNNNNNNNNNNNNNNNNNNNNNNNNNNNNNNNNNNNNNNNNNNNNNNNNNNNNNNNNNNNNNNNNNNNNNNNNNNNNNNNNNNNNNNNNNNNNNNNNNNNNNNNNNNNNNNNNNNNNNNNNNNNNNNNNNNNNNNNNNNNNNNNNNNNNNNNNNNNNNNNNNNNNNNNNNNNNNNNNNNNNNNNNNNNNNNNNNNNNNNNNNNNNNNNNNNNNNNNNNNNNNNNNNNNNNNNNNNNNNNNNNNNNNNNNNNNNNNNNNNNNNNNNNNNNNNNNNNNNNNNNNNNNNNNNNNNNNNNNNNNNNNNNNNNNNNNNNNNNNNNNNNNNNNNNNNNNNNNNNNNNNNNNNNNNNNNNNNNNNNNNNNNNNNNNNNNNNNNNNNNNNNNNNNNNNNNNNNNNNNNNNNNNNNNNNNNNNNNNNNNNNNNNNNNNNNNNNNNNNNNNNNNNNNNNNNNNNNNNNNNNNNNNNNNNNNNNNNNNNNNNNNNNNNNNNNNNNNNNNNNNNNNNNNNNNNNNNNNNNNNNNNNNNNNNNNNNNNNNNNNNNNNNNNNNNNNNNNNNNNNNNNNNNNNNNNNNNNNNNNNNNNNNNNNNNNNNNNNNNNNNNNNNNNNNNNNNNNNNNNNNNNNNNNNNNNNNNNNNNNNNNNNNNNNNNNNNNNNNNNNNNNNNNNNNNNNNNNNNNNNNNNNNNNNNNNNNNNNNNNNNNNNNNNNNNNNNNNNNNNNNNNNNNNNNNNNNNNNNNNNNNNNNNNNNNNNNNNNNNNNNNNNNNNNNNNNNNNNNNNNNNNNNNNNNNNNNNNNNNNNNNNNNNNNNNNNNNNNNNNNNNNNNNNNNNNNNNNNNNNNNNNNNNNNNNNNNNNNNNNNNNNNNNNNNNNNNNNNNNNNNNNNNNNNNNNNNNNNNNNNNNNNNNNNNNNNNNNNNNNNNNNNNNNNNNNNNNNNNNNNNNNNNNNNNNNNNNNNNNNNNNNNNNNNNNNNNNNNNNNNNNNNNNNNNNNNNNNNNNNNNNNNNNNNNNNNNNNNNNNNNNNNNNNNNNNNNNNNNNNNNNNNNNNNNNNNNNNNNNNNNNNNNNNNNNNNNNNNNNNNNNNNNNNNNNNNNNNNNNNNNNNNNNNNNNNNNNNNNNNNNNNNNNNNNNNNNNNNNNNNNNNNNNNNNNNNNNNNNNNNNNNNNNNNNNNNNNNNNNNNNNNNNNNNNNNNNNNNNNNNNNNNNNNNNNNNNNNNNNNNNNNNNNNNNNNNNNNNNNNNNNNNNNNNNNNNNNNNNNNNNNNNNNNNNNNNNNNNNNNNNNNNNNNNNNNNNNNNNNNNNNNNNNNNNNNNNNNNNNNNNNNNNNNNNNNNNNNNNNNNNNNNNNNNNNNNNNNNNNNNNNNNNNNNNNNNNNNNNNNNNNNNNNNNNNNNNNNNNNNNNNNNNNNNNNNNNNNNNNNNNNNNNNNNNNNNNNNNNNNNNNNNNNNNNNNNNNNNNNNNNNNNNNNNNNNNNNNNNNNNNNNNNNNNNNNNNNNNNNNNNNNNNNNNNNNNNNNNNNNNNNNNNNNNNNNNNNNNNNNNNNNNNNNNNNNNNNNNNNNNNNNNNNNNNNNNNNNNNNNNNNNNNNNNNNNNNNNNNNNNNNNNNNNNNNNNNNNNNNNNNNNNNNNNNNNNNNNNNNNNNNNNNNNNNNNNNNNNNNNNNNNNNNNNNNNNNNNNNNNNNNNNNNNNNNNNNNNNNNNNNNNNNNNNNNNNNNNNNNNNNNNNNNNNNNNNNNNNNNNNNNNNNNNNNNNNNNNNNNNNNNNNNNNNNNNNNNNNNNNNNNNNNNNNNNNNNNNNNNNNNNNNNNNNNNNNNNNNNNNNNNNNNNNNNNNNNNNNNNNNNNNNNNNNNNNNNNNNNNNNNNNNNNNNNNNNNNNNNNNNNNNNNNNNNNNNNNNNNNNNNNNNNNNNNNNNNNNNNNNNNNNNNNNNNNNNNNNNNNNNNNNNNNNNNNNNNNNNNNNNNNNNNNNNNNNNNNNNNNNNNNNNNNNNNNNNNNNNNNNNNNNNNNNNNNNNNNNNNNNNNNNNNNNNNNNNNNNNNNNNNNNNNNNNNNNNNNNNNNNNNNNNNNNNNNNNNNNNNNNNNNNNNNNNNNNNNNNNNNNNNNNNNNNNNNNNNNNNNNNNNNNNNNNNNNNNNNNNNNNNNNNNNNNNNNNNNNNNNNNNNNNNNNNNNNNNNNNNNNNNNNNNNNNNNNNNNNNNNNNNNNNNNNNNNNNNNNNNNNNNNNNNNNNNNNNNNNNNNNNNNNNNNNNNNNNNNNNNNNNNNNNNNNNNNNNNNNNNNNNNNNNNNNNNNNNNNNNNNNNNNNNNNNNNNNNNNNNNNNNNNNNNNNNNNNNNNNNNNNNNNNNNNNNNNNNNNNNNNNNNNNNNNNNNNNNNNNNNNNNNNNNNNNNNNNNNNNNNNNNNNNNNNNNNNNNNNNNNNNNNNNNNNNNNNNNNNNNNNNNNNNNNNNNNNNNNNNNNNNNNNNNNNNNNNNNNNNNNNNNNNNNNNNNNNNNNNNNNNNNNNNNNNNNNNNNNNNNNNNNNNNNNNNNNNNNNNNNNNNNNNNNNNNNNNNNNNNNNNNNNNNNNNNNNNNNNNNNNNNNNNNNNNNNNNNNNNNNNNNNNNNNNNNNNNNNNNNNNNNNNNNNNNNNNNNNNNNNNNNNNNNNNNNNNNNNNNNNNNNNNNNNNNNNNNNNNNNNNNNNNNNNNNNNNNNNNNNNNNNNNNNNNNNNNNNNNNNNNNNNNNNNNNNNNNNNNNNNNNNNNNNNNNNNNNNNNNNNNNNNNNNNNNNNNNNNNNNNNNNNNNNNNNNNNNNNNNNNNNNNNNNNNNNNNNNNNNNNNNNNNNNNNNNNNNNNNNNNNNNNNNNNNNNNNNNNNNNNNNNNNNNNNNNNNNNNNNNNNNNNNNNNNNNNNNNNNNNNNNNNNNNNNNNNNNNNNNNNNNNNNNNNNNNNNNNNNNNNNNNNNNNNNNNNNNNNNNNNNNNNNNNNNNNNNNNNNNNNNNNNNNNNNNNNNNNNNNNNNNNNNNNNNNNNNNNNNNNNNNNNNNNNNNNNNNNNNNNNNNNNNNNNNNNNNNNNNNNNNNNNNNNNNNNNNNNNNNNNNNNNNNNNNNNNNNNNNNNNNNNNNNNNNNNNNNNNNNNNNNNNNNNNNNNNNNNNNNNNNNNNNNNNNNNNNNNNNNNNNNNNNNNNNNNNNNNNNNNNNNNNNNNNNNNNNNNNNNNNNNNNNNNNNNNNNNNNNNNNNNNNNNNNNNNNNNNNNNNNNNNNNNNNNNNNNNNNNNNNNNNNNNNNNNNNNNNNNNNNNNNNNNNNNNNNNNNNNNNNNNNNNNNNNNNNNNNNNNNNNNNNNNNNNNNNNNNNNNNNNNNNNNNNNNNNNNNNNNNNNNNNNNNNNNNNNNNNNNNNNNNNNNNNNNNNNNNNNNNNNNNNNNNNNNNNNNNNNNNNNNNNNNNNNNNNNNNNNNNNNNNNNNNNNNNNNNNNNNNNNNNNNNNNNNNNNNNNNNNNNNNNNNNNNNNNNNNNNNNNNNNNNNNNNNNNNNNNNNNNNNNNNNNNNNNNNNNNNNNNNNNNNNNNNNNNNNNNNNNNNNNNNNNNNNNNNNNNNNNNNNNNNNNNNNNNNNNNNNNNNNNNNNNNNNNNNNNNNNNNNNNNNNNNNNNNNNNNNNNNNNNNNNNNNNNNNNNNNNNNNNNNNNNNNNNNNNNNNNNNNNNNNNNNNNNNNNNNNNNNNNNNNNNNNNNNNNNNNNNNNNNNNNNNNNNNNNNNNNNNNNNNNNNNNNNNNNNNNNNNNNNNNNNNNNNNNNNNNNNNNNNNNNNNNNNNNNNNNNNNNNNNNNNNNNNNNNNNNNNNNNNNNNNNNNNNNNNNNNNNNNNNNNNNNNNNNNNNNNNNNNNNNNNNNNNNNNNNNNNNNNNNNNNNNNNNNNNNNNNNNNNNNNNNNNNNNNNNNNNNNNNNNNNNNNNNNNNNNNNNNNNNNNNNNNNNNNNNNNNNNNNNNNNNNNNNNNNNNNNNNNNNNNNNNNNNNNNNNNNNNNNNNNNNNNNNNNNNNNNNNNNNNNNNNNNNNNNNNNNNNNNNNNNNNNNNNNNNNNNNNNNNNNNNNNNNNNNNNNNNNNNNNNNNNNNNNNNNNNNNNNNNNNNNNNNNNNNNNNNNNNNNNNNNNNNNNNNNNNNNNNNNNNNNNNNNNNNNNNNNNNNNNNNNNNNNNNNNNNNNNNNNNNNNNNNNNNNNNNNNNNNNNNNNNNNNNNNNNNNNNNNNNNNNNNNNNNNNNNNNNNNNNNNNNNNNNNNNNNNNNNNNNNNNNNNNNNNNNNNNNNNNNNNNNNNNNNNNNNNNNNNNNNNNNNNNNNNNNNNNNNNNNNNNNNNNNNNNNNNNNNNNNNNNNNNNNNNNNNNNNNNNNNNNNNNNNNNNNNNNNNNNNNNNNNNNNNNNNNNNNNNNNNNNNNNNNNNNNNNNNNNNNNNNNNNNNNNNNNNNNNNNNNNNNNNNNNNNNNNNNNNNNNNNNNNNNNNNNNNNNNNNNNNNNNNNNNNNNNNNNNNNNNNNNNNNNNNNNNNNNNNNNNNNNNNNNNNNNNNNNNNNNNNNNNNNNNNNNNNNNNNNNNNNNNNNNNNNNNNNNNNNNNNNNNNNNNNNNNNNNNNNNNNNNNNNNNNNNNNNNNNNNNNNNNNNNNNNNNNNNNNNNNNNNNNNNNNNNNNNNNNNNNNNNNNNNNNNNNNNNNNNNNNNNNNNNNNNNNNNNNNNNNNNNNNNNNNNNNNNNNNNNNNNNNNNNNNNNNNNNNNNNNNNNNNNNNNNNNNNNNNNNNNNNNNNNNNNNNNNNNNNNNNNNNNNNNNNNNNNNNNNNNNNNNNNNNNNNNNNNNNNNNNNNNNNNNNNNNNNNNNNNNNNNNNNNNNNNNNNNNNNNNNNNNNNNNNNNNNNNNNNNNNNNNNNNNNNNNNNNNNNNNNNNNNNNNNNNNNNNNNNNNNNNNNNNNNNNNNNNNNNNNNNNNNNNNNNNNNNNNNNNNNNNNNNNNNNNNNNNNNNNNNNNNNNNNNNNNNNNNNNNNNNNNNNNNNNNNNNNNNNNNNNNNNNNNNNNNNNNNNNNNNNNNNNNNNNNNNNNNNNNNNNNNNNNNNNNNNNNNNNNNNNNNNNNNNNNNNNNNNNNNNNNNNNNNNNNNNNNNNNNNNNNNNNNNNNNNNNNNNNNNNNNNNNNNNNNNNNNNNNNNNNNNNNNNNNNNNNNNNNNNNNNNNNNNNNNNNNNNNNNNNNNNNNNNNNNNNNNNNNNNNNNNNNNNNNNNNNNNNNNNNNNNNNNNNNNNNNNNNNNNNNNNNNNNNNNNNNNNNNNNNNNNNNNNNNNNNNNNNNNNNNNNNNNNNNNNNNNNNNNNNNNNNNNNNNNNNNNNNNNNNNNNNNNNNNNNNNNNNNNNNNNNNNNNNNNNNNNNNNNNNNNNNNNNNNNNNNNNNNNNNNNNNNNNNNNNNNNNNNNNNNNNNNNNNNNNNNNNNNNNNNNNNNNNNNNNNNNNNNNNNNNNNNNNNNNNNNNNNNNNNNNNNNNNNNNNNNNNNNNNNNNNNNNNNNNNNNNNNNNNNNNNNNNNNNNNNNNNNNNNNNNNNNNNNNNNNNNNNNNNNNNNNNNNNNNNNNNNNNNNNNNNNNNNNNNNNNNNNNNNNNNNNNNNNNNNNNNNNNNNNNNNNNNNNNNNNNNNNNNNNNNNNNNNNNNNNNNNNNNNNNNNNNNNNNNNNNNNNNNNNNNNNNNNNNNNNNNNNNNNNNNNNNNNNNNNNNNNNNNNNNNNNNNNNNNNNNNNNNNNNNNNNNNNNNNNNNNNNNNNNNNNNNNNNNNNNNNNNNNNNNNNNNNNNNNNNNNNNNNNNNNNNNNNNNNNNNNNNNNNNNNNNNNNNNNNNNNNNNNNNNNNNNNNNNNNNNNNNNNNNNNNNNNNNNNNNNNNNNNNNNNNNNNNNNNNNNNNNNNNNNNNNNNNNNNNNNNNNNNNNNNNNNNNNNNNNNNNNNNNNNNNNNNNNNNNNNNNNNNNNNNNNNNNNNNNNNNNNNNNNNNNNNNNNNNNNNNNNNNNNNNNNNNNNNNNNNNNNNNNNNNNNNNNNNNNNNNNNNNNNNNNNNNNNNNNNNNNNNNNNNNNNNNNNNNNNNNNNNNNNNNNNNNNNNNNNNNNNNNNNNNNNNNNNNNNNNNNNNNNNNNNNNNNNNNNNNNNNNNNNNNNNNNNNNNNNNNNNNNNNNNNNNNNNNNNNNNNNNNNNNNNNNNNNNNNNNNNNNNNNNNNNNNNNNNNNNNNNNNNNNNNNNNNNNNNNNNNNNNNNNNNNNNNNNNNNNNNNNNNNNNNNNNNNNNNNNNNNNNNNNNNNNNNNNNNNNNNNNNNNNNNNNNNNNNNNNNNNNNNNNNNNNNNNNNNNNNNNNNNNNNNNNNNNNNNNNNNNNNNNNNNNNNNNNNNNNNNNNNNNNNNNNNNNNNNNNNNNNNNNNNNNNNNNNNNNNNNNNNNNNNNNNNNNNNNNNNNNNNNNNNNNNNNNNNNNNNNNNNNNNNNNNNNNNNNNNNNNNNNNNNNNNNNNNNNNNNNNNNNNNNNNNNNNNNNNNNNNNNNNNNNNNNNNNNNNNNNNNNNNNNNNNNNNNNNNNNNNNNNNNNNNNNNNNNNNNNNNNNNNNNNNNNNNNNNNNNNNNNNNNNNNNNNNNNNNNNNNNNNNNNNNNNNNNNNNNNNNNNNNNNNNNNNNNNNNNNNNNNNNNNNNNNNNNNNNNNNNNNNNNNNNNNNNNNNNNNNNNNNNNNNNNNNNNNNNNNNNNNNNNNNNNNNNNNNNNNNNNNNNNNNNNNNNNNNNNNNNNNNNNNNNNNNNNNNNNNNNNNNNNNNNNNNNNNNNNNNNNNNNNNNNNNNNNNNNNNNNNNNNNNNNNNNNNNNNNNNNNNNNNNNNNNNNNNNNNNNNNNNNNNNNNNNNNNNNNNNNNNNNNNNNNNNNNNNNNNNNNNNNNNNNNNNNNNNNNNNNNNNNNNNNNNNNNNNNNNNNNNNNNNNNNNNNNNNNNNNNNNNNNNNNNNNNNNNNNNNNNNNNNNNNNNNNNNNNNNNNNNNNNNNNNNNNNNNNNNNNNNNNNNNNNNNNNNNNNNNNNNNNNNNNNNNNNNNNNNNNNNNNNNNNNNNNNNNNNNNNNNNNNNNNNNNNNNNNNNNNNNNNNNNNNNNNNNNNNNNNNNNNNNNNNNNNNNNNNNNNNNNNNNNNNNNNNNNNNNNNNNNNNNNNNNNNNNNNNNNNNNNNNNNNNNNNNNNNNNNNNNNNNNNNNNNNNNNNNNNNNNNNNNNNNNNNNNNNNNNNNNNNNNNNNNNNNNNNNNNNNNNNNNNNNNNNNNNNNNNNNNNNNNNNNNNNNNNNNNNNNNNNNNNNNNNNNNNNNNNNNNNNNNNNNNNNNNNNNNNNNNNNNNNNNNNNNNNNNNNNNNNNNNNNNNNNNNNNNNNNNNNNNNNNNNNNNNNNNNNNNNNNNNNNNNNNNNNNNNNNNNNNNNNNNNNNNNNNNNNNNNNNNNNNNNNNNNNNNNNNNNNNNNNNNNNNNNNNNNNNNNNNNNNNNNNNNNNNNNNNNNNNNNNNNNNNNNNNNNNNNNNNNNNNNNNNNNNNNNNNNNNNNNNNNNNNNNNNNNNNNNNNNNNNNNNNNNNNNNNNNNNNNNNNNNNNNNNNNNNNNNNNNNNNNNNNNNNNNNNNNNNNNNNNNNNNNNNNNNNNNNNNNNNNNNNNNNNNNNNNNNNNNNNNNNNNNNNNNNNNNNNNNNNNNNNNNNNNNNNNNNNNNNNNNNNNNNNNNNNNNNNNNNNNNNNNNNNNNNNNNNNNNNNNNNNNNNNNNNNNNNNNNNNNNNNNNNNNNNNNNNNNNNNNNNNNNNNNNNNNNNNNNNNNNNNNNNNNNNNNNNNNNNNNNNNNNNNNNNNNNNNNNNNNNNNNNNNNNNNNNNNNNNNNNNNNNNNNNNNNNNNNNNNNNNNNNNNNNNNNNNNNNNNNNNNNNNNNNNNNNNNNNNNNNNNNNNNNNNNNNNNNNNNNNNNNNNNNNNNNNNNNNNNNNNNNNNNNNNNNNNNNNNNNNNNNNNNNNNNNNNNNNNNNNNNNNNNNNNNNNNNNNNNNNNNNNNNNNNNNNNNNNNNNNNNNNNNNNNNNNNNNNNNNNNNNNNNNNNNNNNNNNNNNNNNNNNNNNNNNNNNNNNNNNNNNNNNNNNNNNNNNNNNNNNNNNNNNNNNNNNNNNNNNNNNNNNNNNNNNNNNNNNNNNNNNNNNNNNNNNNNNNNNNNNNNNNNNNNNNNNNNNNNNNNNNNNNNNNNNNNNNNNNNNNNNNNNNNNNNNNNNNNNNNNNNNNNNNNNNNNNNNNNNNNNNNNNNNNNNNNNNNNNNNNNNNNNNNNNNNNNNNNNNNNNNNNNNNNNNNNNNNNNNNNNNNNNNNNNNNNNNNNNNNNNNNNNNNNNNNNNNNNNNNNNNNNNNNNNNNNNNNNNNNNNNNNNNNNNNNNNNNNNNNNNNNNNNNNNNNNNNNNNNNNNNNNNNNNNNNNNNNNNNNNNNNNNNNNNNNNNNNNNNNNNNNNNNNNNNNNNNNNNNNNNNNNNNNNNNNNNNNNNNNNNNNNNNNNNNNNNNNNNNNNNNNNNNNNNNNNNNNNNNNNNNNNNNNNNNNNNNNNNNNNNNNNNNNNNNNNNNNNNNNNNNNNNNNNNNNNNNNNNNNNNNNNNNNNNNNNNNNNNNNNNNNNNNNNNNNNNNNNNNNNNNNNNNNNNNNNNNNNNNNNNNNNNNNNNNNNNNNNNNNNNNNNNNNNNNNNNNNNNNNNNNNNNNNNNNNNNNNNNNNNNNNNNNNNNNNNNNNNNNNNNNNNNNNNNNNNNNNNNNNNNNNNNNNNNNNNNNNNNNNNNNNNNNNNNNNNNNNNNNNNNNNNNNNNNNNNNNNNNNNNNNNNNNNNNNNNNNNNNNNNNNNNNNNNNNNNNNNNNNNNNNNNNNNNNNNNNNNNNNNNNNNNNNNNNNNNNNNNNNNNNNNNNNNNNNNNNNNNNNNNNNNNNNNNNNNNNNNNNNNNNNNNNNNNNNNNNNNNNNNNNNNNNNNNNNNNNNNNNNNNNNNNNNNNNNNNNNNNNNNNNNNNNNNNNNNNNNNNNNNNNNNNNNNNNNNNNNNNNNNNNNNNNNNNNNNNNNNNNNNNNNNNNNNNNNNNNNNNNNNNNNNNNNNNNNNNNNNNNNNNNNNNNNNNNNNNNNNNNNNNNNNNNNNNNNNNNNNNNNNNNNNNNNNNNNNNNNNNNNNNNNNNNNNNNNNNNNNNNNNNNNNNNNNNNNNNNNNNNNNNNNNNNNNNNNNNNNNNNNNNNNNNNNNNNNNNNNNNNNNNNNNNNNNNNNNNNNNNNNNNNNNNNNNNNNNNNNNNNNNNNNNNNNNNNNNNNNNNNNNNNNNNNNNNNNNNNNNNNNNNNNNNNNNNNNNNNNNNNNNNNNNNNNNNNNNNNNNNNNNNNNNNNNNNNNNNNNNNNNNNNNNNNNNNNNNNNNNNNNNNNNNNNNNNNNNNNNNNNNNNNNNNNNNNNNNNNNNNNNNNNNNNNNNNNNNNNNNNNNNNNNNNNNNNNNNNNNNNNNNNNNNNNNNNNNNNNNNNNNNNNNNNNNNNNNNNNNNNNNNNNNNNNNNNNNNNNNNNNNNNNNNNNNNNNNNNNNNNNNNNNNNNNNNNNNNNNNNNNNNNNNNNNNNNNNNNNNNNNNNNNNAAAAUUGACAAUUUUGAAAUGAUUUGAUCAUAAAGUAAUCUAUGUCGAAAAAAAUAUAAAAUUUUAUUUCUAAAAACUUAAAAUACCCUAAGAUCGAAAACGGGACUAUAGUACGAGAACCCCGGUACUAUAGAUAGUAUAGGAGACUAGCUCUAUAUAUAUAUAUAUAUAUAUAUAUAUAUACACACACAUACUUAGGCUGGAAAACUAUCAAUAGCACCAAGCAUUUGGUGCUAUUAGGUUUUCGGCCCUUGGAUUAAAAAAUGUACGGUUAGAAUGAUGUGGGCCCCCUAGGGUUAAGUGAGUUGUUGGUUUAAUAGUAUAAUCUAAUGGAUGAAAAUUAUAAGGAAGUGAAUUCUCGAAAUCCGAGAGUUGUACUUCGUCCAGGAUCGACUAAUUGUCGAGUGAGUAUCCUUCGGGAAAGCUAAAGUUAUCCAAAACACAAAAAGUGCAUUGGAGUUGAGUCCGCGAGAGCAUAUAGUGCAAAACCUGCACUGGGCUGAAGUUGCUCUCGGGGACCGAUCCCUGGCAGGGAGAGACCGGUCCCCAAGGUUGGUGGUUGCUGGGGAUCUUUGAUGCAACCGGUCCCUGGCUGAGGGGAUCGGUCCCCGUGUGCGACGCCAGCGAGAAAAGGCCAAAAUCGGCUAAGUCCUGAAAAUCGAGCUCUCGGUGAUCGGUCUCUCAGGCGAGGACCGGUCUCCCGAGGACCGGUCUCCUAGGGAGAGACCGGUUCCCGAACGCGAAGAGGCCUUCUGAUCGCCAGGACUGCUCUCGGGGACCGGUCUCCACGACGAGGGACCGGUCCCUCUGGGUGCAGAAUGCCCAGUGAGGGUUGUGUACAGGGUGAAAAGUUGAGGGGCUAAAUUGGAUUUUGUUACAAUAGAGGGGUAUGUAGGCCCCCUCUCUCUCCCUCAGCCUCUCAUUCUCUCUCUCUCUCUCACUCUCUCUUGCUCCCUCUCUCUCUAGAAAAAGAAGAAGAACAAGAAGAACAAGAAUGAGAGGAAGGAAAAGGAGAAGAAGAAAAGGGAGGAGAAGAAGAAGGAGAUCAAGAGGAAGGCCUUGGACACCUUCAUCUCUCUCUCCUCUUCUCUUUGGUGUAGCUCAAGAGGUAAGCUACCAAACCCCUAACUUGGAGAACUUACGGUUUUUGGGUUUUGAGCUUUGAGAUAAGGUCAAAUGGACUUCUAGCACCAUUGUUGGUGGAUUAGAGCUAGAGGCUAGGGUUUCAUGGUGCAAAUGGCAUGAUGCUAACCCUAGGGCACCCAAAAUGGAAUUUUUGGAAAUAGAUGAGAUUGAUCUCAUUUAAGGCCUUGUAAAUCUAAUUGCUAGGUGUCCAAACGCGUUGGCGGAGUCGGAAUUACGAUUCGUCGAGCGGGUGUAGAGCUAUCGGCAAAGUAGGGACGACCUAGCUUCGUUCCUCCCAAGGAGGCAGGGAACACGUGGUUUGAAGUGCUGAGGAACACUUCUGGAACCUCCACAACGAACAUCGACUACACAAGGUGGGGGGUGUUAUCCCGAAGCAACCGGGCUCUUUUCUAUGUCUUAGAAUAGCAUAUAAUUGCAUCUCUUGCAUGUUGCAUUGUAGGAUUGCAUAGUAGUACCUUUCCUUAUACUUUCUAAUUGAUAACCUAGUGUACAUGGAACGCUUGGUGACUUGGAUAGAUGAGGAUUGGGUCGGAACAUGAAUCCUAUAAUGCUAAAGAAAAGAGAUGAAACACGAUGGGUGUUUGGUGACAUAGAAAGUAGCGUUUAAAUGCUAAAGAACAAACGAGUGGCAUCAAAUGUUAAAGAACAUAUCGAGUGGCAUUAAUGUAGUGUAUUUGACACUAGAGGUCGAUGGACCUAGGGAUAGGUGGAUCCCUUAGAAAAUGCCUUGUGAACAAUGAAUUUAGAAAAGCUAAACAACAUUACAUGAAUGUCGGGAACAGAUGAUUCCGCGAGAGAUGUUGACCCUAGUUCAUAGGGUAUCCUCACAUGGAGAGGAUAUAGACGAGUGUCUAUUGAGAUGUUGGCCCUAGAGGUAGGGUGUCCCCACAUGGAGGGGAUAGAUCAUGCUCACGGUCUGCUUUGGGGUGGUAUAGCCAUCCAUAUCCUCACAUGGAGAGGAUUGUCGUCGAGUACUCCGGAGUGUCGGGCGAUUUGGACCACUUGGAGGUCCGGACCACUUGGAGGUCCGCAGACGGUCCCGGGUCUGGGAGCACAUGGAGCUCCCCACCCAAUGGGAUGGCAAGGUGAGUCGAGGGCGAACCCAAGGGCUUCGCCACAGAUUGGGUAAAUGAACAGUUAACAAUGUCAUUGAACAUUAAUAUUCGAACAUGGAUCGAAUUUGUUAGCAUGAUAGUAAACCUUUACUAUAUGACGCAUGCAUUCAUUAUACAUGAUUAUGGGCAUAGUAGCAUAGUUUUCCUUUAUGCCUUUACAGCUUUCAGAUAUCUAUCUAUCUAUCUAUCUGUUGUUACUUGUGCCCACUUGGACCUAGUGGGGAGACCGGCGGAGUCGGCGGCCGAGCCCACUGGGAACUAUGGAAGAUAGUUCUCACCCCACUCUAUUUCCAGUGGUAGGUACAGGUUUACCGAGCGAGGACCGCGGCAAGGGCAUCGCGCCCAAUCAGUGAGACCGUGGUAGUAUAGUAGCUUUCCUUUUUGCAUUAGCACACCUAUGUAUUGAGAGAGAUUCAUGUAGGUGAGGAUUUGGAGAGCUAUGUAUUUUGAAUGAACAUAUGUAUUCAUUUUGAGGAAAAUAUGUACAUAUAAAAAGAUGCAAAACUAUUGCAAUAGUUAGUAAAGUACUCUCUUUAUUUCACUUAUUUUUACUUGUGGAUUACUUGCUCUUAGUUGUUGACACUACUUGUGCCCCGUUGAAUGUGUAUGUUUAGAAUUUAAAUUUCCUGGGUAAAUUCCUGUACACAUUCCUGUUGUUGAGCCUUGGGCGGACAGGGGAGGUGCUGUCCGUUCGGUGGUCCGCCCAGCGCGCCCGAAUCGUGCCAAAUUGGUAGUGGUUUCGGGGUGGGGCAUGACAGUCGCAUGCUAUCAGAGCAAUAAGAGCAAGUAAAGAGAGUGAGUCUAGGAUAACCUAGGAGACCCUAGGUUGGUAAGCCCUAAGGUUAUAGGUGCGUGAGCGGAACGUGAACCUAUAGCGAUGGCGGAAGUUGAUUCGAUUGGGUCGAAGUUGGUAAUAUGUCUCUAGUUGUGAUUAGAGACAGAUUCAAGUGGUAUGAGUUCUUGUCUUGAGGUGGUUGUGUCGGCUGCCGACGACAUGAUACCAAGAGUCUAGAACGAGUACACUUGUGUGCUUCCGCCCGAUUUCGUUGUUGAGUCGUUGUGUGUCGUAAUUGCGACGAGGCGAACGGAUUAAGAUAAUUGACCAAGUACUUGUGUUUCAGGAGCCAAUGGCACCAAGAGGACGCCCGAGCACGAGGUCUACUCCGGCACCGCUUCCCGAGGUGCCCGAGCAGGCUGAACCCAGCGAGAUGGAUCAGUUGCGAGCGCAAGUGACCGCGUUGACCAAUAUGGUGCAGCGCCAGGAGACCCGAUUCGAGCGGCUCCAGGAUCUUUUGGAGCGGCAGGUUGCGACGGUGGCUGCGACGGUGAAUGAGGGCGGUGGUUCGCCCGCACCCUCGACUCAUGUACCCGGAGCAGCAGAAUGUGAGGGUAUAGCGACGGUUCCGGUGACGGCACGCCCACCACCAGUGAUCGUACCACAAGCGGCGUCGGGAUCGGCUACACCCGAUGUGACGGCCGAAGAUGUGGAAGGAGAGCGCGGAUUGGCGGCUCUUAUUAAGUUCAACAAGUUCCAUCCGCCUACCUUUGAGGGCGAGAAGGUGGAGCCGGCGAUGGUCGAGUCUUGGAUCGAUUCGAUGGAGACUCUCUUUGAGGACUUGCGUACCUUGGAGAGGGAUAAGGUGUACCUUGCCACCCACUGUUUGGAGAAAGCGGCAAAGGUAUAGUGGAAGCGCGUGAAGCGAGAUCGGUCUUCCAGUCUCCCGCCGAUGCUGUGGGAGGAAUUCAAGCGGGAGAUGUUCGCCAACUACUUCCCCGAUACACUAAAGCGGAAGCUCAAGGAGAAGUUUCGCAAGUUGGAGCAAGGGGACCGCUCAGUGGCAGAAUAUGAACAAGAGUUCUCCCACAUCAUCGAUUGUGUUCCGAACAUUGUGAAGGAUGACCAGGACAAGGCCGAUUGGUUCUUAAGAGGACUUCGGCCGGGGAUUUAUAAGGCCGUGCAAAUACUCAAGCUCACGACCUUUGCGGAGGUCUUCGACCGAGCACUUUGGGCGGAGCACGGAGACGCCCAUGUCCGGGAGAAGCAUGAGAUAUUGGCCGAGUCCAAGGAUAAGGGCAAGAAACGCCAAGGCGGUAGCAGUUCGGGGGGACAAACACGUUCCAAGAAGCCCCCGAAGUAUCCACGGACUUAGCAAAAGGGCGGUGGAGCGCGGCGAUGCAUCAUAUGCGGCGGAGACCACCCAGUCUCGCGAUGUGAGCAGGGCCGAGGCAAGUGCUACAAGUGUGGGCAACCGGGGCACUUCAUUCGAGACUGCCCCGGAGGAGGAGCCUCACCUGCCCCAUCGAUUGCAUCGGCGCCGGUGAUUCCGCCUUACUAUGGAGGAGCUCCACCGGCGGCCGCGUCGACCGGACGCGCGGUGAUGCCUCGUCAACCCGAGGUGACGCGAUCAGCUCCGAGCAGUCGGGUAUUCGCCGCUCAGGUCCAAGCUGAAGAGCCUGUGGAGGCGGAGGAGCAUCGCCUUGUGGCAGGUAUGGUUUUAAUUAACGGAGUUCGCUCCAGGGCUUUAUUUGAUACAAGAGCCACGUAUUCAUUCAUAAGUAGAUCAUUCGCACGCAUGCAUGGCAUACCCAUAGAGGCGAGUGACAAGUGGCGAGUUGAGGGCCUUAGGUCGACUUUUAAUGCCUAUUCGGACGCUAGAACUCAAGAAGCUCGAGGCUUAUGACAUCAUUUUGGGCAUGGACUGGCUCUCGAAAUAUCAUGCAACGAUUGACUGCAAGAGCAGAGUAAUUACAUUUCGUGAGCCAGGACAAAAGGAGUUCACAUAUCGGGCUUGUCAGAGCUCGUGCUUCGUCGCAACGGUGUCGGCGACAAAAGCAAAAAAGUUGGUCAACAGCGGUUGCACGACAUUUUUGGCAACUGUUGUGGAAGUGGAACGAGUGACUCCGACAUUGGAGGAGCUAUCGGUAGUGCGGGAGUUCCCGGAUGUGUUUCCUGCGGAGUUGCCGGGGAUACCACCGAACCGGGAGAUCGAGUUCGUCAUAGACUUGGUUCCCGGUACCGCAUCGAUCUCGAAGGCUCCGUACCAAAUGGCGCCGGCGAAACUGAAAGAGUUGAAGAGUCAAUUGCAAGACCUCCUCGACAAGCAAUUUAUCCGGCCAAGUGUAUCACCGUGGGGAGCCCCGGUAUUGUUUGUACGGAAGAAGGACGGAUCGUUUCGACUCUGCGUGGAUUAUCGAGAGUUGAACAGAGUCACGAUCAAGAACAAGUACCCACUACCCCGAAUCGAUGACUUGUUCGAUCAGUUGCAGGGGUCGUGUGUGUACUCGAAGAUAGGCUUGCAGUCCGGCUAUCAUCAGUUGAAAAUUAAGCCGGAGGAUGUGCAGAAAACCUCGUUUCGUACGCGGUACAGGCACUAUGAAUUCACGGUCAUGCCAUUUGGACUCACGAACGCUCCAGCGGCAUUUAUGGACUUGAUGAACCGUGUCUUCAGGAAGUUUUUAGAUCGAUUUGUCGCGGUCUUCAUGGUCUAUUCUCGUAGUGACGAGGAACAUGCUGAGCAUUUGAGGAUAGUGCUUCAAACCCUUCGGGAGGAGAAGCUGUAUGCUAAGUUGAAGAAGUGUGACUUCUGGCUCCGAGAAGUUGCAUUUCUAGGGCAUGUGAUUUCCACGGGUGGAGUUUCUGUAGACCCGAGGAAAGUUGAGGCAAUCAAGGAUUGGCCGCGCCCGACGAAUGUCACGGAGGUUCGAAGCUUUGUGGGCUUGGCGGGCUAUUAUAGGCGGUUUGUGGAAGGCUUUUCCAAGAUAGUGAUUCCACUUACCCGCCUGACUCAGAAAGGCACCAAGUUUGUUUGAAGCGAGGAGUGCGACCAGAGUUUCAAAGAGUUGAAGCAGAGAUUAACUUCGACUCCGGUGCUCGCUCUACCGGUGCAAGGCGAGGACUUCGUAGUCUACAGCGACGCCUCCUAUCUAGGACUGGGGUGUGUUUUGAUGCAAAACAGGAAGGUGAUUGCUUAUGCAUCCCGUCAACUGAAGAGCUAUGAGAAGAACUAUCCCAUCCACGAUUUGGAGCUAGGAGCAGUAAUUUUGGCCUUGAAGCUGUGGCGGCACUACUUGUAUAGUGCCUAUUGUGAGAUUUACACAGACCACAAGAGUUUGAAAUAUCUAUUCACACAAAAAGAGCUCAACAUGAGACAGCAGCGGUGGUUAGAACUGUUAAAGGAUUAUGAUGUGGAUAUCCUUUACCAUCCCGGGAAAGCCAAUGUGGUCGCUGAUGCAUUGAGCAGAAAGUCGGCAGAGAACCUCUCGAUGUGGGUUACAAAUCAAUCACCCUUGUGGUUAGACAUGGAGCGGAUGAACCUUGAGGUGGUCGCUCCCGAGGUUCCGGCCCAGUUGAUGGCGCUCGUUAUUUAACCGACCUUGUUGGAGAGGAUCAAAGAUCUGCAACCCGCAGACCCAGAACUCCAAAUGGUACGGCGAAACAUCGAGGAAGGUCGAGGCGGCGAUUUCAAUUUAGACACCGGUGGUAUACUCCGGUUUCGAAACCGAUGGUGUGUGCCAAAAGAUAGAGAGCUUCGCGAGCUAAUUCUACAAGAAGCGCAUCGAUCUCUAUAUGCCGAUCACCCGGGCGGCACCAAGAUGUAUCAAGGACUAAAAAUACACUACUGGUGGCCGGGAAUGAAGGGUGAUAUUGGACGCUUUGUGGCGAAGUUCUUGACAUGCCAACAAGUGAAAACAGAGCGUCGAUUUCCAACGGGAAAGCUUCAAAGCCUACCAAUCCCCGUUUGGAAAUAGGAGGAUAUAUCGAUGGACUUCGUGGUCGGCUUGCCUCGCUCAACGGGCGGCCACGAUGCAAUUUGGGUAGUUGUGGACCGAUUGAUGAAGUCGGCUCACUUCUUGCCAAUCCACACCACGUGGUCGGGUGACAAGUUAGCGCAGGUAUACCUCGACGAGAUAGUGAGACUGCAUGGGGUGCCGAAAUCGAUCGUGUCGGAUCGUGACCCCCGAUUCACUUCACACUUCUGGAAGAGCCUGUAGGAAGCCCUUGGCACACGCUCGACUUUAGCACCGCAUUUCAUCCUCAGACCAAUGGGCAAACAAAGGGAAACAUUCAAACUCUGGAGGACAUGUUGCGAGCGUAUGUCAUCGACUAUAAGGGAAGUUGGUGUGAUCACUUACCUAUGGCCGAGUUCGCCUACAACAACUGUUGUCAUGCUAAUGUGGAGAUGGCACCGUUCGAGGCUCUUUAUGGGCGGACGUGUCGGUCUCCUAUACACUGGAGCGAUGUGGGUGAGCGUACAGAGUUCGGCCCCGAUGUUCUACGAGAAGCGGAGGAGAAAGUCCGCCUUGCUCGCAAGAGAUUGCUCACGGCGCUGUCGAGACAGCAAAGCUAUGCAGAUAGGCGCCAACGAGAUAUAGAGUUCGCGGUGGGCGACCCCGUGUUCUUGAAGGUUUCACCGAUGCGGGGUGUAAAGCAGUUUGGAGUGCGGGGAAAGUUGAGUCCCCGAUACAUUGGACCCUAUGAAAUAUUGGAGCGAGUUGGCACGGUGGCUUAUCGACUGGCUUUGCCGCCGAAGUUCGCGGAUGUACACAAUGUGUUCUAUGUCUCCAAUCUCCACAAGUAUAUCCACGACCCCCAGCACACAAUGCUAUAUGAGCCACCGGAGCUUCAAGGGGACUUGAGCUAUGAAGAGUUUCCGGUGAUGAUUAUCACACGAGAGGUGCGAAAGUUGAGGAAUCGAGAAAUUCCCUACGUGAAGGUUCGGUGGAGCAAUCAUGAUGAUCGCGAGGCCACCUGGGAACUCGAGGAUCUAAUGAGAAAGCACCACCCUCAUCUGUUCGAGGGGUGAGGUAAAAAGAUUUAAAUUAAAGUUAGAAAAUUAGUCCGUUUCGAGGACGAAACUCCUUUUAAGGAGGGGAGGAUGUAAGGAAGUGAAUUCUCGAAAUCCGAGAGUUGUACUUCGUCCAGGAUCGACUAUUUGUCGAGUGAGUAUCCUUCGGGAAAGCUAAAGUUAUCCAAAACACAAAAAGUGCAUUGGAGUUGAGUCCGCGAGAGCAUAUAGUGCAAAACCUGCACUGGGCUGAAGUUACUCUCGGGGACCGGUCCCUGGCAGGGAGAGACCGGUCCCCGAGGCUGGUGGUUGCUGGGGAUCUUUGAUACAACCGGUCCCUGGCUGAGGGGACGGGUCCCUAGCUGAGGGGACCGGUCCCCGUGUGCGACGCCAGCGAGAGAAGGCCAAAAUCGGCUAAGUCCUGAAAAUCAAGCUCUCGGGGACCAGUCUCUCAGGCGAGGACCGGUCUCCCGAGGACCGGUCUCCCAGGGAGAGACCGAUUCUCGAACGUGAAGAGGCCUUCUGGCCGCCAGGACUGCUCUCGGGGACCGGUCUCCCCGACGAGGGACCGGUCCCUCUGGGCGCAGAAUGCCUAGUGAGGGCUGUGUACAGGGUGAAAAGUUGAGGAGCUAAAUUGGAUUUUGUUACAAUAAAGGGGUAUGUAGGCCCCCUCUCUCUUCCUCAGCCUCUCAUUCUCUCUCUCUCUCUCACUCUCUCUUGCUCCCUCUCUCUCUAGAAAGAGAAGAAGAACAAGAAGAACAAGAAGGAGAGGAAGGAAAAUGAGAAGAAGAAAAAGGAGGUGAAGAAGGAGACCAAGAGGAAGGCCUUGGGCACCUUCAUCUCCCUCUCCUCUUUUCUUUAGUGUAGCUCAAGAGGUAAGCUACCAAACCCUAACUUUGAGAACUUACGAUUUUUGGGUUUUGAGCUUUAAGAUGAGGUCAAAUGGACUUCUAACACCAUUGUUGGUGGAUUAGAGCUAGAGGCUAGGGUUUCAUGGUGCAAAUGGCAUGAUGCUAACCCUAGGGCACCCAAAAUGGAAUUUUUGGAAAUAGAUGAGAUUGAUCUCAUUUGAGGCCUUGUAAACCUAAUUGCUAGGUGUCCAAACGCGUUGGCGGAGUCGGAAUUACGAUUCGUCGAGCGGGUGUAGAGCUAUCGGCAAAGUAGGGACGACCUAGCUUCGUUCCUCCCAAGGAGGCAGGGAACACGUGGUUUGAAGUGCCGAGGAACACUUCUAGAACCUCCACAACGAACAUCGACUACACAAGGUUGGGGGUGUCAUCCCGAAGCAACCGGGCUCUUUUCUAUGUCUUAGAAUAGCAUAUGAUUGCAUCUCUUGCAUGUUGCAUUGUAGGAUUGCAUAGUAGUACCUUUCCUUAUGCUUUCUAAUUGAUAACCUAGUGUACAUGGAACGCUUGGUGACUUGGAUAGGUGAGGAUUGGGUCGGAACAUGAAUCCUAUAAUGCUAAAGAAAAGAGAUGAAACACGAUGGGUGUUUGGUGACAUAGAAAGUAGCGUUUAAAUACUAAAGAACAAACGAGUGGCAUCAAAUGUUAAAGAACAUAUCGAGUGGCAUUAAUGUAGUGUAUUUGACACUAGAGGUCGAUGGACCUAGGGAUAGGUUGAUCCCUUAGAAAAUGCCUUGUGAACAAUGAAUUUAGAAAUGCUAAACAACAUUACAUGAAUGUUGGGAAUAGAUGAUUCCGCGAGAGAUGUUGACCCUAAUUCAUAGGAUAUCCUCACAUGGAGAGGAUAUAGACGAGUGUCUAUUGAGAUGUUGGCCCUAGAGGUAGGGUGUCCCCACAUGGAGGGGAUAGAUCAUGCUCACGGUCUGCUUUGGGGUGGUAUAGCCAUCCAUAUCCUAACGUGGAGAGGAUUGUUAUCGAGUACUCCGGAGUGUCGUGCGAUUUGGACCACUUGGAGGUCCGGACCACAUGGAGGUCCGCAGACGGUCCCGGGUCUGGGAGCACAUAGAGCUCCCCACCCAAUGGGAUGGCCAGGUGAGUCGAGGGCAAACCCAAGGGCUUCGCCACAGAUUGGGUAAAUGAACAGUUAACAAUAUCAUUGAACAUUAAUAUUCGAACAUGGAUCGAAUUUGUUAGCAUGAUAGUAAACCUUUACUAUAUGAUGCAUACAUUCAUUAUACAUGAUUAUGGGCAUAGUUGCAUAGUUUUUCUUUAUGCCUUUACAACUUUCAGAUAUCUAUCUAUCUGUUGUUACUUGUGCCCACUUGGACCUAGUGGGGAGACCGGCGGAGUCGGCGGCCGAGACCACUGGAAACUAUGAAAGAUAAUUCUCAGCCCACUCUAUUUCCAGUGGUAGGUACAGGUUUACCGAGCGAGGGCCGCGGCAAGGGCAUCGCGCCCAAUCAGUGAGACCGUGGUAGUAUAGUAGCUUUCCUUUUUGCAUUAGCACACCUAUGUAUUGAGAGAGAUUCAUGUAGGUGAGGAUUUGGAGAGCUAUAUAUUUUGAAUGAACAUAUGUAUUUAUUUUGAGGAAAAUAUGUACAUAUAAAAAGAUGCAAAACUAUUGCAAUAGUUAGUAAAGUACUCUCUUUUUUUCACUUGUUUUUACUUGUGGAUUACUUGCUCUUAGUUGUUGGCACUACAUGUGCCCCGUUGAAUGUGUCUGUUUAGAAUUUAAAUUUUCUGGGUAAAUUCCUGUACACAUUCCUGUUGUUGAGCCUUGGGCGAACAGGGGAGGUGCUGUCUGUUCGGCGGUCCGCUCAGCGCGCCUGAAUCGUGCCAAAUUGGUAGUGGUUUCGGGGUAGGGCGUGACAAAAAUAGUCAAAGGGUUAAAUCUAACGGCGAAAAAUUUGAUAGCACCAAAUGCAUGGUGCUAUUGAUAGUAUCCCAGCNNNNNNNNNNNNNNNNNNNNNNNNNAUAAUCAGAGUUAUCAAACAUUAUCUAAAUAGUAUAAAGAAUUUUCUAUCAAAAAUUUAAGUAAUUUGGAUUGCUCUACACCGUUAAACAAGCAAACGGCUCAUAUAGGCCGUCAAAAAUUAUCGAUUUUACGACACUUUGAUUACCAUGUAAAUAAUUUUUAAAAUUUAUGAAAUUUAGUUUCUAGAUAUUUCAAAUACUCUAGAUCAACUUCAACGGCUCCGAUCAUCGAUUCGGAAUCUCUAUCAUCGAGGACCAUUUGAUAGGACAAGUGCCACUAUCCUAUUAAUAGGAUAGUAGCCCUAGCUUAUAUAUGUUAUAUGUAUGUACUGUAUAUAUAUGUAUGUAUAUGUAUAUUAUAUGUAUGUAUAUAAAUAUAUAUAUAAUUGAGCUUAUAUGCUUUCAAUUGCACCAAGUCGUGUGUGUGUUGUCCCGCUACUAUAUUCUUAUCACUUUAUACUCAUGAGUUUUUGGCCGAUAGAUCUACCCCUUUGACCAUUUUCACUCGUUAUAUCAUACUCUACAACUAACCACCCACUGAAUCCUAGGGUACUAUCAUCCUAAACGCACACCCCUUCAUCAAACGAUCUAAAAUUUAUGAGUACAAAAGGGUCUACACUUAUAAAAGUAUAGUAACCCUAGCUUAAAUGUAUACUAGUGAAAUACCCGCGCGAUGCUGCGGAUAUAAAAAUAUUUUUACAAUAAAUUUUAUUUUUUAAAAUAUUUUUAUAUAAUUUUAUAAGUCUAAUUAUUAAUUAAAUAAAAGUUAUAUAAAAAUAGUUUAAUAGUUAAAUCUAAUUAAAUAAAAGUCAUUAAAAUUGGUAUAUGCGCAAGUAAAUUUAUCCAUCAAUUUAUUUUGUAAAGAUUUAUAUGAGAAGGAUUUGAGAUAAAUCAAUCAAAAUAAUUUUAAAAAAAUCAAUAAAUAGAAGAAAAAUCAAUUUGUAGAAGAAAUUGUUUAAUAAAAUUAAUUAUAUAUAUACACAUAUACACUAUAUUUCUAAAAUUUUUCUCUUGAAAUUUAAAUUAUGUAUUUUUUUUAUAGAAGAUAGGUUAUGAUCUAAUCUAUUUGAUAACAUUAAUUAUAAAACAUAAUUUAAUAAGCUAACAGAGUCCUAUAGGGUAUAGUUGCAUUGCUGAUAUUCUGAACUUUUGGCGAUGUUUCCACUUAACACCCCGCUAAAUAACUAAAAAUAGGCCAUCUAACCCUCCUGACUCUAUAAUUUCAGUGUUGUUUCUAUCCUUGCCGUCAGUUAACGGGAUUGACCAAAGGGUAACAAUAAUGAUUAUAGUUAGAGUAAGGGUGUUAAUUAGAUGUCCAGAAUCCAUAUAGGAAUUCAGAAGGGUAAAGUGAACACUUCAAGAACACAAAGUUUAGGGGAAAACAAAGUAAAUCUCCAUAACCACUCCUCUAACCAAUAACAAACUCAGGAUAAAAUAUAAGCAACCCAUCCAAAAUAUCAAAAAAAUAUAAGACAAAAUGAAGUAAAUACCACAUACCAACUUAACAUAACAUCAUUAAACAACAACAACAAUAUUAACCUUUCUUUUAGACCUAGGUUCAUAACUAAUAUUCUUACUAAAUUUUCCCCUCUUAUUUAACUUUCAGGUUUGAUCGGUGGUUUUUCAACAUGCAUUGUUUUAACUUUCAUGCAAAGGCUUCUGUAAUGUUUAUGGAAUGUACUUAUCCCCAAGUAGAGUAAUUGCAUACCGUAUCAUAAUUAAUAAUGUGUCAAAGUAAUAAGUAUAAGGGUACACUUAGUCAUAAAAGAAGGCUGGAAAUAAAGAUUUAUUUAACUUUAAAAUCUGUCAGAUUUUAUUUGUAAUGGACUAAUGUGGAUAUUGAACUGCAUAGAAUAUGAUGUUUUCUUAAACUUGCAAUAAUAUUUUAGAGCAACUAUAUUAAAAGUUGUUUUAGAAGCUUAAAAUAAUAGGUAAACGAAAGCUAAUCAUGUUUUAAGGUCGUACAACAGAUUACGAAACUAACCAUUACACAUCUGAGUACUAUGCUUAUCUAUAAAUCUAUAAAAUCUAUAAAAUCGAGCAAAUACAUUGCAAAGGGGACCCAAAAAGGGCUCCUUAUUUAUGGUGUCUUGUGGUCAUGAGAGUAUAUAAUAUAUAUACUUUAUAUUAUUUAUAUUAUAUAUAUAUUAAUGAAUACCUAUGAUUAUACAUAUAGUUAAGUUAGUGAAUAUACUGUGGACUACUAGUGCUCCUAUUCAGUAUCUAUAUAAUUCCAUUUUGCUGCGCCAACCACCCGACGCGCGGUGUUUAUUAGACCUUUGGAUCAACACAUCUUUUCAUCCAUGUUAACUCAUGAAUUUUAAAUCUUCAUAAUCCAGUGGACGGCCGAUCAACACCCUCAAGGUGGGACCACUAACUCAAAGCGUACUAAAUCAUCCACAACCCCGCUACAAUUUUCAUCCAGAUGGAUAAAAACUUGAUAGGUCAAAAAAGGAGGUUUACCUAAUCAGAAACAGCCCCUAAAUUGCUAUAUAUAUAAGCAUAGGUACACUAUACUAUAUAUAUAUUACUUAUAAUAGUGAUAGAUAUAGUUAUAGAGUGAGCUAGAUACUUUGGUAAAAGUUAUUACGUGAUUGUGCUUUUGAUUUUUUAGCCAUUGGAUGGAGACGAUGUGCAGGUUGAGAUGAUGGUGUAGGUGGUGACAUGGUGGAAUAUUUUUGAUUCAAGGCAUGUAGUUGAAUCAUGAUGUAGAUCCAAUGGCCUACAGAAAUCAUAAAUAGCAUCAUACGGGGGAAUCGUUGUGAACUAGUAUUCUAGCUCAAUUCAUGCAAUCGAUUAUAUAGUACUACAAUAUAUAUAACCUAUAUAUAUAUUUAUAUAUAUAAUACGUAGUAUUAUUCCGCUAUAGCUAUGUACCCGACGAGCGACUCCGUCAUCACCAAGUUUUUUCCGAUGCUGGCGCUUCAAAUAGCGAUUCGCUCGUUAGGACUUGUAUCUACACUAGAUUGAAAGUAUUUCUGAAACAUGAAUUUAAAAUUUUUCGACAUCAUUUGACUAGUGAACUCAAAAAUCUCAAAUUGACAAAUUUAAUGGCCGAUAAUGUGGUGUUUUGUGAGUUUAACGUAUAAAAUAAUCUAAAUCUGAGAAAUUUUGGUAAAAAUUCUUUUCACUAUUUAUAGUCAAGAUCAUAUUUCUAAUCUUAAUUAUAUCUUAUGCAUAUUUUUUUAUGAGUUUUUAUUUUCAGUCUGUUCAAUUUUAGACUACUUGUUAUGAUAGGAAAUGAUAUUGAAAAUUAUGGUAAAUUAGUUUUUAAAUACUUUUAAUAGAGUGAUCAAAGUCUAAUGAAGCGAUCGUCGAUUGAAAGCCGCAUCAUCGAAAAAAAUCGAUGCUAUUACUGACGGAGCCGUCCGUGUCUACCCGAUAGUAUAACGUGCUCUAGUUCUCAUCAUCCUUCAGUUAUUCUCUCUAAUAUAAUAGGAACCAGGUCUAUGUGCUGUGUAAAAGCACCAAGCACUUGGUGAUUGAUAAUAUUUACAGCGUUAAUCUACCCUCAGAUCAUUUUUUCAAAUCCUUAGAAUUAUACUAUUUGUUCAACAACCCACCACUCCAAUUCCGUAGGAGGGCUCACUAUCCUAACCAGCAUAUGUUUUAAUCAUAAUAGGAUAAAAAUCUAAACAAACACUAGAUAACUUGGGUAAUUUUAAGAAGCAUAAAAGCUCAAUUAUAUAAUAUUAUAUAUUAUAUUAUUAUAUAUAUAUAAAGUAUAUAUAGUAGUAUGAUAUAUAUUAUAUAAUAAUAUAGUAUAAUAGAAAUUAUGCAAAUAAUAUAUAAUAUACAAGCCCUUGGCACUGAUUGAAUUUUCGGGCGUUGAGAUGAAAGAUGUGGCGUUAAGGAUAUAGUGUCCCUGUUAAAUUAAUAAAGUGCCCCUAGGUGUGCGUGGGAUGUAUGGUGUAUAUAUAUUGAUCUAAACGCAUAGCAAUAUCAAAGGAGUAGAUCUAACGUACGAAAAUCAAUAGUACCCAGGCUUGAAUUCACUCGAUAUAUAGGUAGCCGGACUCCGCUAUAAUGUACUUGUAGCUAGAAUACUGCUAAAAGCAACAUGGGGCGUGGAUUGUUGAGUUUAUUAGCCAUUUGUGGAGAGAAUGUGAAGGUUGAAUAUGAUAAGUGGUAGUAUGGUGGUAUGAUGAAAUAGUGUUUGAUCCAAGUCUAUUUAGAUAAUCACAAGGAGUAAAUCCAUGGCUAAAAAACCUAAUAGCAUCAUUUGGAGUGAUAAAUUGUAAUAAACGUAUUAUCAUCAAUUCAUCAUAUAAUAAUAUAUAUAAUAUAUAAUACCUAUUAUAUAUUAUGAAAAAAAAAUAUUAAAUUUUGAUACCAGCGUAUAUAAAAUUAUGAUAACUUUAACAUUUUAAAUUUAUGAAAUCUUUAAAUUUUAAACACCAUAACAUAAUUUUAAUUUAACUUAUAAUUUUCUUUCUAUUUUUUUCAAUUUCAAUUUAAAUUCUCAUAACUCUAUAUAGCAAAUUAAUUAAUAAAUUUUAUUAAUAUACCGUCAAUAAUAGCAAAUAAAAUUUAACAUUGAUCAUGCAAUUUAAAUAACGCUAAAAUAUCGGUUGUACUAUGAANNNNNNNNNNNNNNNNNNNNNNNNNUAUAGUGGACUGGGCUUACUAUUAGUAGCAAAUUCAUUGUUGCUACGGUUUUUAGCUUUGGAUCAACUUUUGCAUCAUUUCCUAACCAUUGGAUUAUAAUACUAUAUCCAGUGGGGACACUCAACCUAGGCGGGACACUUAACUCUAACCGACUAUAUCAUCAACCCUACAAUUUUUCAUCAAGGGAUAAAAACUUGAUAAGCAAAAAGGAGUUUUACUAUAAUAGUAUCCAGCCUUAAUUCUAUUAUAAUAUAUAUAUAUAUAUAUAUAUAUAUCAUAUUAUAUACUAUAUAUAUAUAUAUAUGAUAAGAGCUUGAGCUAGAGAUACUUGUAAAAGUAUUUAUGUGAGUGGCUCGCUUUGAAUUUUAGCAUUGGAUGGAGAGAUGUGAGGUUGAGAUGAUGGGUGGGUAGGUGGUGUAGGAGGAAUAGUGUUUGAUUCAGAGGGCCUAUUAGUAUAUAUGCGAGUAAGAUCCAAUGGCUUAAAAUCUAAUAGCAUUACAUAGGGGUAAUACUUGUAAAAGCUAUUUUAGACCUAAUUAAUACUAUAGUAUAAUAUAUAUAUUAUAUAUAUAUAUAUAUAGUAUAUUAUAUAUAGUCGAUUACUAUGCUAUCAGACGUAGCACGGAGCCGCUCCGUGUAGCCAAGUUGUGUUUCGAUGAUGGCAGCUUCCAAAUCGACGAUCGGCUCGUAGACUUGAUCUACACUAUUGAAAUAUGGAAACUAAAUUUAAAUUUUUCGACAUCAUUAUGAUAGUGAUCAAAGAUCUCAAUAUUGAAAAUUUUAAUGGCCGAUGUGUGUGUUUUGUGAGUUUAACGGUAUAAAGAUAUAUUAAAUCUAAUGAAAUUUUGUAAAAAAUUCUUUCACUAUUUAGACGUUAAGAUCAAGUAUGUCUCAAUCUUGAAUUUUAAUCUUUUAUCAGUAUUUUUUAGAGAGUUUUUAUUUCAGCCGUCUUCAUUUUAGAGACUAUUGUUUGAUAUGGUAAAUAUAUUUGAAAAAAUUAUGAAAUUAGUUUUUAAAUACUUUUAAUAGGUUAGAUAAGUCUAAAUGGAGACCAUCGUCGAUUGGGAACCGCAUAUCAGAAAAAAACUCGCUAGACGGAGCCCCUCCGUGCUCGAUAGUUAUAGUAGCGUAGUUCUCUCUCUCUCUCUCUCUAUAUAAAUAGAUCCAGCUAAGUUGGUGACUUGUAAAAGCACCAAGCACUUGGUGUUGUAGAUUUUUACGUUAGAAUCUACUCCUAGAUCAUUUUCAACAUUAAUAUACUAUUCAACCACACCCACUCAACCUAGGGGCCCACAUCAUCUAACGCAUAUUCUUUUAAUCUAAGGUAAAAUCUACAGCACUAAUAACUUGUACUUUUAAAAGCACAUAUGAAGCUCAAUAUAUAUAUCUAUAUAUCAUACUAUAUAUAUAUAUAUAUAUAUCUAUAUAUAUUAUAUAUAUAUAUAUAUAUAUAUAGAAUUUGCUACUUUAUCUACAAAUAGUACAAGCCUUGGUUACUAUUGAUGUUUCGGCGCGUUGGAUGAAAGGGAUGUGCGGUUAGGAUGAUAGUGGUCCCGGUUAAUAAUAUGGUGCCCCUUAGGGUUGAGUGAGGUGUUGGUUUAAUAGUAUCUAACGAUAGAAAUGAUCAAAGGGUAGAUCUAACGCGUAGAAAAUCCAUAGUUGACCAAGGGCGUUAGAAUACUAUCGACUUAGCUAUAGUAGCCGGACUCUUAUAUGAGUUGAGCUAGAAGUACUCUCAAAACGCAACCAUGGGGGUGGUCUUUAGUUUUAGCCAUUUUGAUGCGAGAGAGUGAUGAGUUGAGAUGAUAGUGGUAGAUGGUGGAUAGCGGGAUAGUGUUUGAUCCAAGGAGCUAUUAGUAUCAGGAGUAAAUCAUAUGGCUAAAAAACACUAAUAGUCCAUGGGGUGGGUAUUGUAAAAGUAAUUUCUAUCUAAUUCAUAGAUACUUAUAUUAUAUUAUAUAUAUAUCAUUUAUAUAUUAUAAUAUGAUAAAAUAAUUUUAAUUUUGAUACACAUAAAUUUAAAAUUUAUGAUUACUUUUAAUUUUAAUUUUAAUUUUAAAUUUUAAGCUUCUAAUUUAAUUUAACUUUAAUAUUUCUUCUAAUUUUUAAUUCAAUUUAAAUCUCUAAACUUAUAAAAUUAGAUUAUUAAUUUUUAUAUAAUAAUACGCGUAAUAAAACAUUAAUAAAAUUUUAACUUGAUAAAUGCAUUUAAAUUAACGUAAAAUAUACGUUGUAUAAAAAAAAAAAAAAAUUUAAAUUUCAGAGAAAAAUUUUAGAAAUAUAGUGUAUUUGUGUAUAUGAUAUAAUAAUAAUUUUAUUACAAUUCAUUCUUUACAAGAUUGAUUUUUCUUCGUAUUUAUUAUUUUAAAAUUAUUUUGAUUGAUUUAUCUCAAAUCCUUCUCAUAUAAAUCUUAUACCAAAAAAAUUGAUGGAUAAAAUUUACUUGCCGCAUAUACCAAUUUAAUGAGCUAUUUAUUUAUUAAUUUUAACAAUAUAACUAUUUUAUAUAAUUUUAUUAAUUAUAAGUGACUUAUAAAAUUAUAUAAAAAAUAUUUUAAUAAAUAAAAUUUAUUGUCAAAAAUAUUUUUAAUAUCCCGCGAGCAACCAGACGGGCUAAUUCACUAGUAGUACAUUUAAGCUAGAGGUUACUGAUACUUUUAUAAGUGGUAGACCCUUUUGUGUAUCAUAAAUUUUAGAUCGUUUGAAUGAAGGGUGUCGUUUCUUUAGGAUGAUAGUACCCUAGGUGAUUCAGGGGGGUAGUUGGUAGGUAUGAAUAUAACGAUGGUGAAAUGGUCAAAGGGGAUAGAACUAUCGGUCCAAAAACUCAUGAGUAUAAGAGCUGAUACGAAUAUAGUAGCGGGACAACACAACACGACUUGUGCAAUUGAAGAGCAUAUAACGACUCAAUUUAUAUAUAUAUUAUAUACAUACAAUAAUAUACAUAUACCAUAAUAUAUAUACAGUACAUACAUAAUAACUAUAUAUAAGCUAGGGCUACUAUUCUAUUAAUGGAUGUUGCAUUGUUUCCUAUCAAAUGAUGUUCCUCGCAGUGAUAGAGAUUCCGAAUCGGAUGAUCAGGAAGGUUUGAAGUUGAUCUAGAGUAUUUGAAAUAUCUAGAAACUAAAUUUCUAAAUUUCUUAAAAUAAUUAUUAUUACAUGGGUGAUCAAAGUAGUCGUAAAAUCGACAAUUUUUGACGGACCUUAUAUGAGCCGUUGCUUGUUUUUAACGUGUGUUAGACAAUCCAAUUGCUUAAAUUUUUGAAUAGAAAAUUCUUUAUCUAACUAUUUAUAUAAUGUUUUGAUUAACUCUGAUUAUUGAAUUGAGAAAUGUUAACCUCUAUUUAAAGAGUUGUUCUUUAUAUGUUCAUUUUUAACUUUUAAAGAUGAACCUGAUAAUGAUAUUUUAAAUAUUAUUUAAAUUUUGGUUUCUUAAUAUUUCUAAUUUGUAUGACUCAAUUUCAUGGUGCGAUUAUCCAAUGUUUGAAGUUUCGAUUUUCAAUACGACUUGAUUAGGACACAUGGGCUCCAAAUCUAUAUAAUAGGAUGUAGCGGGACCCCUGUAUAUAGUAUAUAUAUAUACAUAUAUAUAUAUUAUAUGAUAAUUAUCAAUAUGACAAUGGUAUCACAAUGACACACGAAGGCUCACGUGACCGGUACCAAUUUGUUUUCAAUGAUUCGCUUCAAUAUCGACAGAUCGUCCGUUUAGACUUGAUUACACUAUUGAAAGUAUUUUGGAAACUUAAAAUUUCAUAAAUUUUUGCAGGCAUAUUUACCUAUCAACGAUAGUCUAAAAAAUGAAUGGUUUGAAAUAAAAAUUCAUAAAAAUUGAUUGAUAAAAGAACUGAAAUUUAGGCGAGCGGUGCUGAUCUUUACUACAUAAUAGUGAAAAAAAAAAAUUUAUAAAAAUUUCAUCAGAUUUGGAUUGUUUGUACACGUCAAUUCACAUAUGAUAUAUCUACCAUUAAAAUUGUCAAUUUGAGAUUUAUUGAUCACUAGCCAACAUGAUGUCAAAAAUUAUGAAAUUGUUUUUAAAAUACUUUUAAUAGUAUUAGAUCAAGUUCUUCAGGACGCGAUCGUGCAUUUGGAGAGCAGCAUCAUUGCAUAAACGUGUGGUAGCACGGAGGCCUUGUGCUACUAAUGAAUAUACCAGCCUAGCUCUCUCUUCUCUCUCAUCUCUCUCUCUUCUCUUUAUAUAUAAUAUCAUAUAUAUAUAAUAUUAAUAUAUAUAUAUUAUAUAUUAUACUUAUAUUAUUAUUAUAUAUUAUUAUAUGAUGAGUUCCUGCUGGGAAUACUAUCAUAGCACCGAUGAUCUUGGUGCUAGUCAACAUUUUCGCGUUAAUUUAACCCUUGCUGAUUUUGUCAACGCCUACCGAAACACUAGCCAAUUUGGCACAGAUCAGCGGCGCUGACGCGGACCGCCGAACAGACAGCACCUCCCCUGUAUGUCGCCAAGGCCGCCUCAACAACAGGAAUGUGAUACAGGAAUUUACCCAGAAAUUUUAAAUUCUAACACGGAACAAUUCAAGAGGGGCACAUGUAAAGUGCCAACAACUAAGAGCAAGUUAUAUCACAAGUAAAAACAAGUGAAAAAGAGAUACUUACAAACUAUUGCAAGAUAGUUUUGCAAAAAAAUCUUUUUAUAUGUACAUAUUUUCGCUCAACAUAAAUACAUAUAGUUCAUUUAAUACAUAUAUGCUCUCCAAAUCCUCAACACUGACAUCACUUCUCAAUACAUAGAUUGGCUUGUGCUAAUUGCAAAAAGGAAAAGAACUAUUAUACUACCACGGUCUCACUGAGUUGGCCCGAUGCCCUUGCCGCGCCUCGUCGGUAAACAUGUACCUACCACUGGAAAUAGAGUGGGCUGAGAAGUUAUUCUUUCAUAGUUUCCAGUGCGUCUCGGCCGCCGCUCGCGGCUCUCCCACAUAGGCUCCAAGGGGCAAAGUAACUAACAGAUAGUAUAGAUAUCUGACAAGUUGUAAAGGCAUUAAAGAAAAAACUAUGCAACUAUUGCCAUUAAUCAUGUAUAAAUGAAUGUAUGCAAAUACAUAUAAGUAAGGUUUACUAUCAUGCUAACAAAUUCGAUCAUGUUCGAAUUAUAAUGUUCAAUGAAUAUUGUUAUAGCUGUUCAUCUACCCAAUCUGUGUGCGAAGCCUUGGGUUGCCUCGACUCACCUGGCCAUCCAGUUGAGGUGGGAAGCUCAUAUGUCCUCCCAGACCAGGAGACGUCUUGCGGACCUCAUGUGGUCCGGACACUCCAAGUGGUCCAAAUCGACGUACACUCCGGAGUACUCGAUAACAAAUCCUUCCACGUUCGAUAUGGAUGGCUGAUACCACCCCAAAGCGACGUGAGCAUGUCUAUCCCUCCAUGGGAGGACACACCUACCUCUAGGGCCAACAUCUCAAUAAGCACUGUUCAUUAUCCUCCCAUGUAGGAUAUCCUAUGAAUUAGGGUCAAAUCUCUCGCGGACAUCAUUCUGAUUCCAACAUUUAGUAAUGUUGUGUUAGCAUUUCUAAAUUCAUUGUCACAAGGCAUUUCUUAAAGGGAUAACUAUCCCCUAGGGUCAUCGACCUUAGUGUUCAAUACACUAUAUUAAUGCCAUCGAUAUGUUCUUUAAAUUUGAUGCCAUGUUGUUCUUAGUAUUUAAACGCCUACUUUCUUAUGUCACAAACACCCAUCGUGUUGUUCAUCUCUUUUUUUUACAUAUAUAGGAUUCAUUGUCCGACCAUCCUCACUAUCAAGUCACCAAGCGUUCCAUGCUACACUUAGGUUAAUCAAUUAGGAGCCAAUAAGGAAAGCGUAAUACUAAUGCAAUCUACAAUUGCAAAUGCAAGAGACUGCAAUCAUGUUGCAUUUAAACAUUUAGGAAAAGAGCCGGUUGCUUGGAUGACAGACCCCAACCGUUGUGUAGUCGUAUGUUCGUUGGUGGAGGUUCUAGAACGUGUUCAUCGAGCACUUCAAACACACGUGUUCCCUGCCCCUUGGAGAGGAACGAAGCUAGGUUCGUACCUAUUUGCCGGAUAGCUCUCACCCGCUCGACGAAUCGUUAAAUUCAGACUCCGCAAGCGUUUUGGAACCUUACCAAUUGGUUACAAGGCCUCAAAGAGAUCAAUCUCAUCUAUCUUCCAAAAAUUCCAUUUUGGGAUGCCUAGGUUGAUCAUUGCCAUUUGCACAUGAAACCUAGCCUCGAGCUUAAAUUCACACCAACAAUGGUGUUACGAAGUCCAGUUUGACCUCAUCUUAAAGCUCAAAACACCAAAACGUAAGUUUCAAAGUUAGGGUUUGGUGGCUUACCUACUUGGAGCUACUAAAAAAAGAGAGAUGAGAGGAGAUGAAGUGCCCAAGGCUUCUCAUUUGGUCUUCCUUCUUCACUCUUUUUCUCUUUCUACAUUUUUCCUUCCUCUCCUUCUGGUGUUUUCUUGUUCGUUCUUCUCUUUCUAGAGAUGAGAGGAGCAAGAGAAGAGUUGAGAAGAGGAGAGAUGAAUUAGAGAGCUGAGGAGAUGAGAGGGGCUAAUAUCCCCUUUAUUGUAACAAAAUCAAUUUAGCUCCUCAAACUUUUCACCUGUCACAGGCCCUCACUUAGGCAUUCUGGCCCAUGGGGCCGGUCCUCUCGAGACUCGGGUGGACCUGAGAGCAGUCCUGGCGCCCAGAAGGUCCUCUUUCCGUGUCGAGUAACUGCGUCGUUUUCAUCCCUGGAGACGUGUCCCUCGGAGACCGGUCCGGUCGCCUGAGAGACUCGGUCCCGAGAGCUUGAUUUUCAGGACUUAGCGAUUUUUGCUUCUCUCGCUGAGCGUCGAACACGACGGGGACCGUCCCUCAGCUAGGACCGUCCUCAGCCAGGACGUUGUAUCAAAGUGUCCCCAGCAACCAGCCAAGCUCGGCGGCACCGGUCUCUCCUCACGGGACCGGUACCGAGAGUACUUUCAGCCAGUGCAGGUUUUUGCACUAUCAUGCUCUCGCGGCUAACUCCAAUGAGUUUUUGUGUUUGGAUAACUUUAGCUUUCCGAUAAGGAUACUCAUCGACAAUAGUCGAUCCUGCGGACGAAGUACAACUCUCGGAUUUCGGAUGAAUUCCUUCCUUACAUCUCCCCUCCUGUAAAAGCAGUUCGUCUCGAACGGAACAAUUUUUCGUAACUUUAUUUUAAAUCUUUUUACUCACUCCUCGAACAGAUGAGGGUGGUGCUUUCUCAUUAAGAUCCUCGACCCAGGUGGCUCGCGAUCUCAUGAUUGCUCCAACCGAAUCCUUCACGUAGGGAAUUUCUCGAUUCACUCAACUUUGCACUCUCUAAAUGUGAUAAUCAUCACGCGAAUAACUCUUACAUAGCUCAAGUUCCCUUGAAAAGCUCCGGUGGGCUCUUAUAGAGAUUGUCUGCUGGGGCGGUUAUAUAUACUUGUGGAGAUGGAGACAUAGAAACACAUUGUGUACAUCUGCGCAACUUCGGCGGCAAAGCCAGUCGAUAGCUCACCGUGCACAAAAUCGCUCCAAUAUUUCAUAGGGGUCCAUGUAUCGGGAGAUCAACUUUCAACCGCACUCCAAACUGUUUUACACACCGCAUCGGUGAAACCUUACAGAACACGGGGUCGCCCACCGCGUUAACUUAUUCCGUUGGGCCGCUAUCUGCAUAGCCUUUGCUGGUUUCAGCAGCGCGUGAGCAAUCUUUGCGAGCAAAGGCGACUUUCUCCUCGCUUCUCGAUAGAACACGGCGGAGCCGAACUCUGUCGUCUCACCACUAUCGUCUCCAGUGUGUAUGGAGACCGAACAGUCCGCCAUAAAAGCCUCGAACCGGAUGCCAUCUCACAUUAAUGACAACAUUGUUGUAGGGCGAACUCGGCCAUUAGGUAAGUGAUGCACCGACUCCUUAUAGUUGAAUGACAGUACGCUACGCCAACAUGUCUUCACAGAGUUUGAAAUGUUUUCCCUUGUGCCUAUUGUUUGAGGAUUGAAAUGCGGUGUAGUAGAGAUACAGCUGUGCCAACGGUCUCUACAGGACUCUCUUCCAGAGUGUGAAGUGAAUGCGGGCUUCACGCAUCCGUCACACGAUCGAUUUCGGCACCGCUGCCACAGUCUCAACUAUCUCGCUCGAGGUAUACCUGCGUAACUGCACGCCGACACGAUGGUUGGAUGGCAAGAAAGUGGAGCCGACUCAUCAAUCGGUCCACAAACUACGCCAAGUUGCUCUGUGGCGCCCGUUAGCGAGAAAGCCGACCACGAAGUCCAUCGAUAUACCUGCCUAUUUCCAACAGGGAUUGGUAGGCUUUUGAACUUUCCCCGUUGGAAAUCGACGGCUCUGUUUGUAACUUGGGCACCCGCUGUCAAGAGAGCUUCAGCCACAAAGCGUCCAAUAUCACCUUCAUCCCGGCCACCAGUAGUGUAGUAUUUUUAGUCCUUGAUACAUCUUGGUGCCGCCGGGUGAUGCAGUGAUAGAGAAUCGAUGCGCUUCUUGUAGCGAAUUGUAGCUCGGAAAGGCUCUCUAUCUUUGGCCAACACAUCGGUUUCGAACGGAGAUACACCGGUGUCUAAAUUGAAAUCGCCGCCUCGACUUCCUCGAUGAUUUCGCCGUACCAUUUGGAGUUCUGGCUAUAUAUAUAUAUAUAUAUAUAUAUGUAUAUAUAUAUAUGUAUACAUAUAUAUAUAUAUGACCCACAAGACACCAAAAUAAGGAAGGCCUUUUUUAGGGUUCCCCUUUCAUGUAUUUUGUUUUAUAGAUUUAUAGAUUAUAGAUAGAUAGAUAGAUGUGUAUGUGUGUGUUCGUAUAUUUAUGUAGACAAAACAGACUUCUUUGUUACCCUUAUAUAAGCUUCGUAAACACUUUUAAAGUGCUAAAAUAUAUUCAAGUUUAAGAAAACUCGAUAUUCUAUCAUUCAAUAGCCACAAUGAUAUAGCAUUACAAAAUAAAAUAUGAAGAUUUUAAAGUAAAGAAAUUUAUUCAACCUUUUUUAUGCUAAGUGUGAUAUAGUAUUGUUGACCAUUAUAAGUAGAUACGGUAUCAAUUACGUCUCCUGGUGUAAGUACAUUCCAAUCAACCAUUACAAAGCCUUUGCAAUGAAAGUUAAAACAACCAGUUGAAAAACCACCGUCAACCUGAAAGAAAAAGAGGGGAAAAAUAUAGUAGUGAUAUUGUAUGAUGGUUAUAAAAGAAAGGUUAAAUUGAAUUUUGUUCUUCAAAAUAUGAAAUGGGUAGUACUUCAGUCCUCAAUUUUUAAUUUGAUGCAAUUUUUAUCCGAUAUUUUUAGAAUGGGUAAAUUGCAUUGUUAUCCCCUGAACUUUUGGCGAAGUUUCACUUUACCCCUCGAACUCCUAAAAUGGACAUCUAACACCCUAAACUCUAAUAUUUCAUUCAUGUUACCCUUUCCGUCAAGCUCCGUUAACUGACGGAAGGGGUAAAACAAAUGAAAUAUUAGAGUUUAGGGUGUUAGAUGCCUAUUUUAGGAAUUUGGGGGGUUAAGUGAAACUCGCCAAAAGUUCAGAAGGUAGCAAUGCAAUAUACCCUAUAGGACUCUUGACUAUAAAUUAUUUUAUUAUAAUAUGUUACUCAUAGAUUGACUACUAACCCUCAAGUUAGUGAUCAUGCUUGAUUUUGAAUUUAUAUAUAUUUUUUAUCCUAAAAUAAAUCUAUAGUGUCCCUGGUGUUUAGCGCUCUAUGUGACUUUAGCAUCUGUGGCUUGUCGAAACGUCUGGUGGGUGUUGAGACAAGCCGGAGUUAUUUUGACGCGAAAUGGACGCAAAACGGACUCAGCGCGAGACGAGAGCGGAGUUCUAACACUGAAAUCUGCAGAGUGCCAGAUUUCAGUGUUGAGUACCGGUAGCUAAGAGGAGUACCGGUAUCCCAGUGAGAUUGCAGAACUAGAUGAUCUCGGGUUUGCGCAUGUCUAAUGCUGAGUACCGGUACCUGUUGUGGAGUACCGGUAUCGAGCUCGGGUAUCAGUACUACAUCGGGUUUGUACCGGUACCCAGCAUGCGAGGCUGCGGGUUGAGAGGCCGAGUACUGGUAUCCAAGUUGGGUACCGGUACUCCAGCUAGAAAAGUGAGUCGGUAAGGGGGUAUUUUUGUCCUUUUGAGUGUCGAUAAAACCAAAAUCGACCCCCAAACCUUCUCUCUUGUGCCAGUAGCAUGAAGAACUCAGGUAGUUCUUCUCCCUCCCUGUAAUGACCCAGCCCACUAGCAACAAUAACUCAUUGGGCCCAACCGCUAGCCCAAAAUGCUUAAGCCCAGUUAUUAUUAUUAGUGUCUAAGUCUCUUAUAAACCCAAUGACAACCCCAUUCCCAUCCGAUGUGGGAUUAUUGGGGUGUCACAGACUCUCCCCGUUAAGGCCCUGACGUCCUCGUCAGUCCAAACACACACACAGCCCAAGAUCAUCAGGCGAUGUGAGACUCGUCUCGCUAGCCCGUCAUCCAGACCCUAGCUCAGCCGAGACUCGCCACACAUGUCCAGCUGGUGAACCGGCUCUGAUACCAAAUGUAACGACCCAGCCCACUAGCAAUAAUAACUCGUUGGGCCCAACCGCCGGCCCAAAAUGCUUAAGCCCUGUUAUUAUUACUAGUGUCUAAGUCUCUUAUAAAUCCAAUGACAAUCCCAUUCCCAUCCGAUGUGGGAUUAUUGGGGUGUCACACUCCCUCUCUCUUUAGUUUUUCCCUUAUCUUGUUGUUAAGCUAAGGUUUCUUCUCGUCGUUUUGGAGAUUCGUCUUGGAGGCUCGCGCAUGUGCCAUGGUCGAGACCGGUUGAGGUGUUGGAGGUAGAGCGAGCACGCGGUUUCUCUUGUUGAUUUUCUCGUCGUUGUUGGACGAGCUUUCCGAGGUGGGUUAAUGUUUACCGAAAUCGUCGAAUUUUCUUCUAAGUCCUCGAACUGUUAGCAUGUAUUAUUGGUUUUGUUCAUCAUGUUAGUGCUCAAAUUUGUGGAUUUGCUUGCUUUGUUGUCAUCCGAGUUUUGGAGCAUUUAUUUAGUGAUUUUAGAUAAAUUAUACAUGUUGAAUUAGGAUUUGACUUAGGAGAAAACUCGUUAAACCUACACUAUCAUUUUCUGAAAAGUUAUCAGAUUUAGCUUCAGGAGCUGGUGUACUUUCGUAUCACCGCUGUUAGUGCGUAGGGGAUACUAGCUUAGAGUAGGCUGACAUUACGCUCGUGCUGAGGGGUCGAGCUUGUUGUACAGUAGCGUUUGGACUGUCGGGUGCUGUCGUGGUUGACGGUGGACCCAGAUUUUUGUAUCACCGCUGUCAGUGCAAGGUGGAUACUCAGAUUAGUAUAGGAUGAGUUUACGCUCGUGCUGAGGGGCCGAGCUCGUUUUAUAAUAGAGUGUUGACUGUUUCAUGCUGUCGGGUGCCGUCGCAGUUGACGAUGGACCCAGAUUUCUGCAUCUUGCAUCAGAUUGUGCCAAAGGCACGUGAGUUUUGGUGGAUAGAGCAGUUUGACCCAUUUGCAGUGACUACAGCCUGUGAGAGACUGAUUGAACUCGGCAGAGACACAUUUGUAUGCUCGGUUGGGUCGCGCCCGCGAAUGUCAUUCCAGAGUGAGGUUUCGGUGCGAUGAGGUCGCCCCAUUUUCUGUUUGGACAGUUCUUGAGCCGGCCAGCCCUGUGGGUGGUGUACGGUGUAGCUUGGGUACAUUCAGGGUGGGUCCGUUUGGGCAGCCUGUGUGAGAUUGGGUCAGAGGUAGUUAGUGAUGCAUAUUUCUGUCUACAGUUAGUUGGUUUUGGUAGCGAUAGUAUAGAGGCAUGUAGCUUUAGAGUUUUUCCAGUUUUCUUUACUAUCCCGUGCAUAUCUUUACUAUAGACUUAGUGGGUGGACCGUUGAGGUCGGUAACGGUACCCACUGAGGACUAUUCUGUUUUACAGUAAUUCUCACACCCAGUUGUUAAUACAUUUUUGUAGAGCCUUCAUCUGCGACUACUACUGUUGCUGACUCGGACCGUGGGAAGGGAGUCGCGAGCUAGAUCCCUACCAGUCUUGUCGCCGUGCUAGAGGAGUAACAUUCAGAGGUAGUUUUGGGGUGUUCUUAAUUAUGUACAUACUUUUAUGCUAGUGGUACUCGCUAGAGCGAGGUGGUUGAUAGUUUUUGUAUGUAUAGUGGACCCUGUUAUAGUUUUGUAUAUAUUCAUGUUUUAGUUUAGCAGCUCUAUACUUCUAGUUGUGACUAUGAUUUGAUUACAGGUACAGCUAUCGCUUCGUAUACACGAAAAAUUUCUAUGUAUACGGCGGGUCUGUUGGCGUGCCUGGGGAACAAGGUAAUCCGGGUGUGACAGAUUAAAUUGGUAUCAGAGCUUAGAAUUAGGUCGUUGGGACCUAGAAACCCUAGGCUUGGUAGACCUUAGGAAGUCGAGACUCGAAAGGCGUGAUUUAUCGCGAAAGUCGACGAUUGAGUUGUUUAACUCCUCCAAGAGUGGAGGAAGUGACUGAAGGAGUGUCUGUUUCGGCCAAGAAAAUUGUGUCAGCUGUAGACGGCAUAAUUUUGAGGAAAAACAGGGGCGACAUCUCGACUUUUGCUAGAUUAGGUUGAGAGUGUUUGUGUUUUGUAUUUGACCCUUGUUUUGGUUUCAGGUGGCCAUGUGGCCCUAUCGGCACCGAGGUCGACCGUCGACGCGAGAUCGUUCCACACCACCGGAGAUUCCCGAGCAGGCAGGACCGAGUACACCCACGGAUCUGAGAAAGCAAUUGGUUGCCUUAACAGAGAUGAUCAGGUAGCUGGGUGCAUUAUUGCAGAGGAUGUGCGAGACAGUCACUCAGCAGUCAAGCGCUCAGCCAAAAGCAUCCGUGCAGCAGGCACUUUGGGUGGAGCAAGGAACGGUAUCUGUCUGGGAGCGGGUGAUGGUGUCGAGGCAGAAUUAGGAUAGAAAGCGCCCGGUUUCAGAUGACGGAGAACAGACCAGUUGUAACGUAUUGAAACCUAGAUAGAAAAUGACGAACUUUAGGCAAACUGACUAAAGUGCGCGAAUGGAUUAAUUGGGCGAGUUCCAAUUAACCUACCAACACUGUUGGGAGGGUUAAAAAUGAGUUCUAGAAGUAUUAGAAGGGUUUUGGCAUCGAUCGAUGCAAAAUAGAAUCGAAACGGAACCAAAAUCAGGUCUGGAGCAAUGUGUACCGGUACAGCAAGCGACUUGUCACCGGUUACACAUGCUGAAACCGGUGACACGAAAAAGUGUACCGGUACACUUUGGGCGAAACUGACAGAUCUGCUCUCGGGUUUGCCUAUGCGUAGUCGUGUAACCGGUGACACGAAAAAGUGUACCGGUACACUUUGGGCCCGACAGCAAAACGAGGUCUGCUGCAAAAUAUAAAGAUUGGGAGGGUUUUUUGGCAAAUGUUACAACAUGUUAAUAGCCCAAUACCCCUUCCCCUCACAGCCAACACCCAUUUCACCCUCUCUCUCAUUUUCCUCUCUUUCUCUCUCUAGAAAGCAAGCCCUAGAGCUUGGAGAAGGUGGAGAAGAGCUUGGAGAAGUGGAUUUUGGUGGCUUUGGUGGUCCUAGAAGCUCUCCAACAAGUAGGCUUUGGUGGAGCUUGGGCAAAGGUGAGUCCUUAUGCAAAAAUGAGUUUAGGGUUUGGGUUUAGACCUUAGAUUUUUGGGUUUUGAUCUCUCUACAAGUGAGGAAAUCCUCUAAGGACCAUGACUCCAUGAAAAACAUGGAUUUCUUAGACCCCUCUCAUGGUGGAUCACUAGGGCUCAAAGUAGAUGCCCUAGGGAUGGUUCUAAAAGCUUAGAAACCUUAUUAGAGAGCUUCCCAUGUGAAUCUAAGCUAUCUUUUGCUUAGGAAUGAGAUCAAUCUCGGAGAAAUGCAAAAAUAACAUGUUAGGGCAUCCCAAAGAGGGGUUUUGCCCAAGUUGGGUUUUGAUCUAUUUUGAUCAUGUAGAAACCUAAUUGAGGGUAUUUUAAACGCGUUGGAACGCUCGGUUCGACAAUCCGACGAGUGUACGCAAAGUUAUUAACAAAAACGUCAUUUUCCGUACAGAUAGCCGCAGCACGCGGACUAGGGCUUCAAAAAUUCCAAGAAAUUCACCGUAGCAUCCUUGUGACCAUCUAAGGUGGGUGGUGCAUUCCAAGGACAUCGGAAAUCCCUUUAUGUCUAAAGCGUCAUAUUUGAGCAUAUGUAUUUAUAUUGAGCAUGUUGCAUAGUAGGGUUAAUUGUAAAUUUUCUUUGCAUGAUAUGAGUUCUAAUGCUUGAGAAAUAGUAGUAAAUGAAUGAGAAUUGGUAACCCUAUAUAUGCAUGACAAGGGACAAGAACCUAGAAGGGUUAGUAAACAAAUGUGACAUGUUGACAUAGAUUUAGCAAGUGACAUUGAUGAGUCUAGAGGACUUAGAAAACAAGUGUGGCAUCAUUGACAAAGAACAAGAACAAGUAGUGACAUUAUGACAUAAACACCUUAGAAUUAAGGGUCAUAUGUACAUGGUUCUCCUUGAAGUCAAGGAAUGGAUUGAACUUAAAAUCCUUAAAGUUAAGGAUUGAUCGUACUCACCUAAUAGUCCUUGCUCGAGGGCGGUAGCUCCCCCUCGGGCGAUGUGCUCCGGAGUUGUCAUCACUGGGUCGUAGCGGUUAUCUCCCCAGAGGGCGGUCCCGUCGGGUUGUAGCGGUUAUCUCCCCGACAAUAGGGAUUUGGGUUGGUGAGUUUGUGAGGGCGAAACCUACGGGCUAGCCAUGAGAUUGGGUAAUGAAAAGUUAAUCUUGCAUUCAUCAUGAGCAUUCUAUCGAGCAUAGUUUUAUUUAUUGUUCAGGCAUAUUAGCUGCAUUUGUUAGUUGGUUAUUAUCUAUUCUUUCUUCUAUUAUGCCUGAUUAGACCUAGUGGGAUAGUCGGCGUGGUUGGUUGCCGAACCCACUGGGAACUUUGUUGUAGUUCUCACCCCACUAUUUCCACAGAGCCGGGACCGAGCGAGCCGGCAGAUGAUCGCGGUAAGGGCAUCGCGCCCUAGGUAGAGACCGCCCGAGAUGGAUUUCAUUUUGUAGUCGCACACCCUUUACUAUCAUCUUUUGUAUUUGAUGAUUUUAAUAUUACGAACUUGCUUUAAUGAAUGAUGUAAAGGAUAUUUACUUUAAAUGUCAAAAGUUAUAUUUUGGGAGAAAUGAGAUGUAAAAAAAGUAAUGAUGCAUGUAUGUGAUUUAAAUUAGUCAUAUUACUUGUAUAUUGAAUUGCUAAUUCUUUCACCUUGGCUAUUGCUUGCCCUCGUGCAAGCCAUUGUGUAUGCUUCCGCUUAUGCAAAUUGUACUCUAUUGAUACUAGUGUUGAGCCUUGGGCGGACAGGGGAAGCUCUGUCCGUUCGGCGUCUGUUUGACGCUCUCGAACCGGCCAAAAAGGAUCGGGCUCGGGGCGUGACACCAGUAGCAGACGUCUGUUGAGGCCUCCACAAUCACGCUCUUAGGGUAGUGGGUCUUCGGGGCGACAGCGGUCUGGAGGAUCUCGUCAGCAACGACAGCAGCAGAGGGCUCCGCAAUGCGUUUUUUGUGGUGGACUGCACUAGCCUCGAUGUUGUGAGCAAAAAGAGGGUCGGCAUUUUAGAUGUGGCCAACCAGGGCAUCUGCGGGCAGCUUGUUCAUGAGCGGCAUCGCCAGCACCUUCAACAGCGUCGGCCCCGCCGGUACCUUAGCAGACCUUUGGAGCACCACCGAGCCACAGUCGAGUAGAUAGAGUUGCAGUGCCGCAACAGAGUGAGCGGCGAUAGCAGGCAUCGAUUGGCAGGGUGUAUGCCGCUCAGGUUGAGGACUCCACAACAGCAGAUCGUGUGGUGGCAGGUAUCAUUUUGAUUUCCAGCAUUAGAGUUCGUGCAUUAUUUGAUACUAGUGCAUCGCAUUCUUUUAUUAGUCGAGCAUUUGCAUCAUUUCAUGGACUAGUGAUAGGGCCGCUGUUACAUGCACGAGAGGUGCAGAUUCCCAACCAUGCUCUACAGGUGCAAAGUAUUGUUUGUCUUGUCCAGUGCAGUUGGGCUCUUGGAUUAUGCCUACAGACCUGUUGGUCUUAGAGCAGUUGCAGGACUUUGAUAUAAUGCUUGGCAUAGACGGGCUGGCCGGUAUUAUGCGACGACUGACUGUGGAGCCAGGCCAGGAGGAGUUCACGUACAGAGGCUGCAAGAGUACAUUGUUUGCUACCUGGAGUUCGUCGGCGAGGGCUAAAUAGAUGAUAAGUAAAGGAUGCAUCGCUUUUCUGGCGAUGGUGGUAGAGGUGCUUAUAGCGGCACCGAGACUCGAGAAUAUUCUUGUAGAUCGUGAGUUUUCGGAUGUUUUUCCCUCGGAGCUGACGACUAUGCUGCCGGAUAGAGAGAUUGAGUUUGUGAUUGGCGUAGUUUUUGGAACUGCGCCAAUCUCGAAGGCACCCUACCGAAUGGCACCGGCAGAGCUGAGAGAGCUAAAGGCGCAACUUCAGGAUUUGAUGCAUAAACGAUAUGUGACAUCCAGUGUAUCGCCUUGGGGAGCGCCGGUGUUAUUCGUAAAGAAAAAAAAGAUGGUUCACUUAGACAGUGUGUGGAUUACCAGGAGUUGAAUAAAGAGACCAUUAAGAACAAGUAUCCUUUGCCGCGCACUGAUGAUCUGUUGAUCAGCUUUAAGGAUCUUGUGUUUUUUCGAAGAUUGAUCUCCAGUUAGGUUACCACCAGUUGAAGGUCAGGACCGAGGAUAUUCCUAAGACGGCUUUUUGAACUCGGUACGGACAUUAUGAGUUUACAGUGAUGCCUCUUGCAUUGAUUAAUGCCCCUGCCGCAUUUUUGGAUUUGAUGAAUCGAGUAUUUAAGUCGUUCUUGGAUAGAUUCGUGGUAGUGUUCAGUGAUGAUAUUCUAAUAUACUCCCGGGCGAUGCUGAACAUGAGGAGCACUUGAGGAUUGUCUUACAGCUUCUGAGAGAGAAGGAGUUGUAUGCCAAGUUGAAGAAGUGCGAGUUUUGGUGGGAGGUUUCUUUCUUAGGCCAUGUGAUUUCAGCAACUGGAGUAGCAGUUGACCCGAAGAAGAUUGAUGCUAUUCAGGAUUGGCCCAGACCGACGACGGUUAUCAAGAUGAGGAGUUUCCUUGGAUUGGCGGCAUUAUAUGUAUGGUGAACGCUGCGAGAUUUUUACAGAUCAUAAAAAUCUAAAGUAUCUGUUCACCCAAAAGGAUUUGAACCUGAGGAAACGCCGGUGGUUGGAGCUGUUGAAGGAUUAUGAUAUCAGUAUCUAGUAUCACACCGGCAAAGCGAAUGUGGUGGCAGAUGCGUUGAGCAGGAGGUCGAUGUAGAGCCCUAGUGCGAUGAUCACUCAGCAAAGGCCAUUACUUGAGGAGUUGCGGCGACUUGGACUCGAGGUGGUGUCCCCUGGGACUACUGCGAGACUGAUGUCUAUGAUCUUACAGCCUACUCUGUUGGACAGGAUCAGGGAGAAACAAAGUAAAGACUCUUAUUUGUUGAGGAUUCGAGAGCAGAUAGAGAUAGGACUUUAUUGUGGAUAGUUCGGGAGUACUGCUGUACAGGAACCGACUGUAUGUUCAUGAAUUCAGAGAUCCGAGAGGAGAUUUUGAGAUAGGCUCAUUACUAACCUUAUACGGUUCACCCUGAUAGAACCAAGAUGUAUACAGAUUUGAAUGCACAUUUCUGGUGGAAUAGAAUGAAGAGGAACAUUGACAAAUGUGUGGCUCAGUGUCUGACUUGCCAACAGGUGGAAGCAGAGUAUCGUGUACCGACUAGCAAGCUUCGAAAUCUUCCAAUGCCAGAGUGGAAAUGGGAUCAAAUCACCAUGAACUUCAUCGUGGGUUUACUGAGAGCAUAGGAUGGUUUUGAUGCUAUUUCGGUGAUAGCGGAGAGACUAACCAAGUCUGCUCACUUCCUACCAGUGCAGACCACUUGGUCCAGAGAGCGACUCGCUCAGUUGUACUUAGAUGAGAUAGUCAGAUUGCAUGGUAUACCUAUCUCGAUAGUAGCUGAUAGAGACCCGAGAUUCGUCUCGCAUUUCUGGAGGAGCCUUCAGAUGGCUUUGGGUACACAAUUUCACUUCAAUACAAUAUUUCAUCCACAGAUAGAUGGUUAGUCAGAGCGGACCAUUCCGACUCUAGAGGACAUGUUGAGAGCUUGUGUCCUGGAUUUUGGAAGAGGGUGGCAUCGACAUUGGAGACUGGUUGAGUUUACGUACAACAACAACUACCAAGCGAGCAUUCGAAUGGCUCCAUUUGAAGCGUUGUAUGGACGCAAGUGUCAAUCCCCUCUACAUUGGAGUGAUGGGGGUGAAAGGAAGACUUUGGGGGCUGAGUUUCUAUUGGAGGCAGAGAAAAAGGUUAGAGUUGUGCGACAACAUCUUGAGACCACCUAGAGUUGACAGAGGAGCUAUGUUGAUACCAGGAGACAAGACUUGGAGUUUCAGGUUAGUGAUCAUGUGUUCUGGAAACUCUCGCCUUCCCGAGGGAUUCGCCAAUUUAGGGUUCGUGGAAGGCUUAGUCCACGAUUUGUUGGCCUUUUGAGGUUUUGGAGCGAGUUGGGCAAGCGGCUUAUAGGAUUCCACUUCCUCCACGACUUGCUAGUAUCCAUAAGGUAUUCUAUGUCUCGGCGUUGAGGAGAUACGUGUUUGAUCCCUCACACGUGAUUGACUUUACUCCACUUGAGCUAGGCGAGGAUUUGAGAUACGAGGAGCGAGGUGCGGAUUCUUGCUCGUGAGACGAAAGAAUUGCGCAACCGGGUCAUACCAUACAUAAAGUGAAGUGGAGUGAUCACGAGGAGCAUGAGGUGAUUUGGGAGCCAGAGGCGGUGAUGCGUGAAUCCUACCCUACUUGUUUGAGACCCUAUGUUGAGGUAUGAUUCUAAGUUUCGAGGAUGAAACUUUUUGUAGUUGAGGAGGAUGUAGUGUCCCUGGUGUCUAGCGGUCUAUGUGACGUCAACAUCUGUGGCUUGUCGACACGUCUAGUGAGUGUUAAGACAAGCCGGAGUUGUUUUGGCGUGAAAUGGACGCAAAAUGGACUCAGCGCGAGGCGAGAGCGGAGUUCUGACACUGAAAUCUGCAAAGUGCCAGAUUUCAGUAUUGAGUACCGGUACCUGAGAGGAGUACCGGUACCCCAGUGAUAUUGCAGAACUAGCUGCUCUCGGGUUUGUGCAUGUCUGAUGCUGAGUACCGAUACCUGUUGUGGAGCACCGGUAUCGAGCUCGGGUACCGGUACUGCAUCGGGUUGGUACCGAUACCCAGCGUGCGAGGCUGCAAGUUGAGAGGCCGAGUACCGGUAUCCAAGUUGGAUACCGGUACUCCAGCUGGAAAAGUGAGUUGGUAAGGAGUAUUUUGGUCCUUUUGAGUGUUGAUAAAAGCAAAACCGAUCCCCAAACCUUCUCUUUUGUGCCAUUAGCUUGAAGAACUCAGGUAGUUCUUCUCCCUCCCUUUCUCUCUAGUUUUUUCCUUAUCUUGUUGUUAAGCUGAGGUUUCUUCUCAUCGUUUUGGAGAUUCAUCUUGGAGGCUCACGCAUGUGUCGUGGUCGAGACCGGUUGAGGUGUUGGAGGUAGAGCGAGCACGCGGUUUCUCUUCUCGAUUUUCUCACCGUUGUUGGACGAGCUUUUCAAGAUAGGUUAAUGUUUACCGAAAUCGUUGGAUUUCCUUCUAAGUCCUCGAACUAUUAGCAUGUAUUAUUUGGUUUGUUCAUCAUGUUAGUGACUUGCAUGCUUUGUUGUCAUCCGAGUUUUUGAGCAUUUAUUUAGUGAUUUUAGAUGAAAUUAUAUAUGUUGAACUAGGAUUUGACUUAGGAGAAAACUCGUUAAACCUACACUAUCAUUUUCUGAAAAGUUAUCAGAUUUAGCUUUAGGAGCUGCUGUACUUCCGUAUCACCGCUGAUAGUGCGUAGUAGAUACGCAGCUUAGAGUAGGUUAGCAUUACGCUCGUGCUGAGAGGCCGAGCUUGUUGUACAGUAGCGUUUGGACUGUCGGGUGCCGUCGCGGUUGAUGGUGGACCCAGAUUUCUGUAUCACCGCUGUUAGUUACGAGAUGGAUACUCAAAUUAGUGUAGAAUGAGUUUAUACUCGUGCUGAGGGGUCAAGCUCGUUUUACAGUAGAGUGUUGACUAUUCCGUGCUGUCAGGUGCCGUCGCGGUUGACGGCGAAACUAGAUUUCUGCAUCUUGCAUCAGAUUGUGCCAAGGGCACGUGAGUUUUGGUGGAUAGAACAGUUUGACCCAUUUGAAGUGACUACAACCUGUAAGAGCCUGAUUGAACUCAGCAAAGAUAUAUUUGCAUGCUCGGUUAGGUCGCACCCAUGAAUGCCAUUCUGGAGUGAGGUUUUGGUGCGAUGAGGUCGCCCCUUUUUCUGUUUGGACAGUUCUUGAGCCAGCCAUUCCUGUGGGUGGUGUACGGUGUAGCUUUGGUACAGGCAGGGUGGGUCCGUUUGGGCAAGGUGGGUCCGUUUGGGCAGCACGUGUGAGAUUGGGUCAGAGGUAGUUAGUGAUAUAUAUUUCUAUCUACAGUUAGUUGGUUUUGGUAGCGAUAGUAUAGAGGUAUGUAGCUGUAGAGUUUUUUUCAGCUUUCUUUACUAUCUCGUGCAUAUCAUUACUGUAGACUUAGUGGGUCGGCGGUUGAGGUCGGCGACAGUACCCACUAACGACUAUUCUGUUUUGCAGUAGUUCUCACACCUAGUUGUUGACACCUUUUUGUAGACCCUUCGUCUGCGACUACUGUUGUUGCUGACUCGGACCAUGGGAAGGGAGUCGCGAGCUAGAUCCUUACCAGUCUUAUCGCCGUGCCAGAGGAGUACCAUCCAGAGAUAGUUUUGGGGUGUUCUUAUGUACAUACUUUUAUGCUAGUGGUACUUGCUAGAGCGAGGUGGUUGAUAGCUUUUGUAUGUACAGUGGACCUUGUUAUUGUUUUAUAUAUAUAUUCAUAUUUUAGUUUAGCAGCUCUUUACUUCUGGUUGUGGCUAUAAUUUGAUUACAGAUACAGCUAUCGCUUCGUAUACACGAAAAAUUUCUAUGUAUACGGUGGGUCUGUUGGCGUGCUCGAGAAAACAGGGUAAUUCGUGGUGUGACAAAAUCAUACCAUAAUUUAUCCUACAUUUUAUUGUAAUAAAAUAAAAGCGAAAGAAAUGAAUUAUAGUGGCUUAAAGAUAAGAAAAGAGCGAUACUAACUACCUAGAUACUCGAACACUCUGCUGUCCUGCUGUACUCGCUAAUAUGGUUGUUUUACAAUAGGUGUCCUCACUCAGAUAUAGAGAUUUUAAUUCUCAGUUAAUUUUUUGUAGUACUCGUUUGUCGCUUUUAUCGUGACUCAUCGUUGAUCAUCAUAAUCACCUCGGUUUCUGUCAGGAAGGCUUCAUUUCGCUGUUUCGACGAUGUCACUCCUUUGGGCCUUGUAUUCUAGUAUUUUUCAUGGGCCCAAUGUGCUCCGUGACUAUUUUUGAUGCUACGGAUAGAGAGCAUGGGCUUCACUGUGAUGAGACCAUGCUAUUGGUGCCCUCGGUUGAUCUUGAAAUCGCGCGAUAGCGGUGAUGUUGCCUUUUUUGUGUGUAAAUUCAUGAGUUUAUGCUAUUUAUGUAUUAUUUGAGGGCUUCCAUGCAAUUGUGACAGCAUAGGCUGCCUCGGGCAGUGUGAGACCACCUCUUGUGACCCUCUGAACUGAUUGUCCAAGUCCUCGAUGCUCUCGCAUUUCGGAGCAUUUUUUCGAUAAAAUUGUCGGCGAAACGUGUUUAUCGAUAUGGGACUCACUUUGUGGAGUUGUGAAUGCCCUAGUUUUGUUGUUGAGCCUUGUUGGCUGGUUUUCCUUGCUGUCCCAAGUUUCGGAGACAACGAAUGAGCGACGGAAGGUUCCGAUACCGAAAACGGCAUUUUCGGGAACUCGGGAUGUCAUUACGGGUGUGUUUAUGUUUUUAUGCACCCUGGACUUAUGUUUGCUAUCUGACCACCUAAAUUGGUGUGUUUAUGGAUAGCGGGUGACUUGGGUUGCUUAUUGGUACCUUCCCGGGUAUUUUCUUGAGUUCGGAAUCGUUCCGGUGGACUUUUCGAAAAUUCUGACAAUUUUAGGAUUGUGAGUUUCAUAUUUUCGAGUCGACUCGAUGGACCAUGACUUGGUGGAUCUUUCGUAGGUCCAGUCGACAUUCAUGCAAGCCUUGGGAGUUAGGCUCUUCUCCAAUUCAAGUGGGUGCUUCAAUCCGAAGUCGGUAUAGUGAACUAGCUUGAUGAUAUUUCUCUUUUCCGUUUUCCUUGCAUGUUAUGGAUAAGCGUGAGUCCACUUGACUUCUAGUUAUUGUUCCCUACUUUCAUUCCUGCAUAUGAUAUUAGUAGAGUGGUGUGGUGUAUCUUGCAUGAUCUUACGGUGAGACCUGAUUGGUCAGUGUUGAUCGGCUCGACGUUCCGAGCGAUCUCUUGGACAUGUGUUAGUUGUUGCUAUUCUCGGCUUGUUGUCAUCCUAUGGAUUGAGCAUUUCGCAUCGAUCGUCACAACUCAUUUAGCACUUUACGUACACCAAUGAUUUAGCCACUGUGGAGGUGUUCUUUUUCGAAAAAGUGGUUGUCUUCUCAACCCAUGAGCCUCUUGCCAGGUGCUUGCGGAGGUUGUGUGCCUGGUGGAUGAGCAUACUGUGACAUUGCCUGCGAUCUUCGGAUCUAUAGAGCAAAGCAAUUGGGUUUUUGGUUUAUUUACAGUUGAUGUGUAUGUUCAUUAUUUGUACUAUCAGUAGUCAUUCAUACUCGUUUAUGGCUAUUCUCCAUUAUUCGCUACUGUACUUGAUAUAUACAUAUCUAUCUGUUGUUCCUCCUUUGCCGGUGAGUACGCCUCGCCUUCGUCGGCGUCCAGUACCUACUAGGAAGGGAGACAUGUUUACAUGUUCUCACCCCCGCCAUUUUUCAGGUGAUCUCAGUGGUGGGAGUCGGGACGGCAUGUGAGGGACGAUAGCUAAGGAGCUAUAGAGGUUCCGACCAGUCAUCAUUCAUUUACGGUUGUUAUGUCUUGACCCUUCUCUUCAUGUUGGUUAAUAAACUAGAGUUUAUGUGGUUCAGUUAUUUGCUCGUUUGAUUGCCGAACUUGGUGGUUUAUGAGUAUUGUGAAUGCUUGAUGAUUCUCAAUAAUUCAAGGUGAUAAUUGUGGUUUAUCUGAGGCAUGUAGUUGAUGGUUUUAUCAUACGUGGUUUUCUACCUCUCGUGGUAGCUAGCUUUUCAAAAGUGAGUUUCCGUGUGGAAAACAAUUUUCAAAUAACUUUUGGAUUUAUCGAUGAUUAGUGUUUUUAAAUAUAGUUUUCGGGUGGAAAAUAUUUUUAAAAAAUAGAAUUGAUUGUUGUAUGUGUAUUAGCAUCAUCCUUUGCCUAAGGAGUGUUUAGAGCAUACAUCACCAUAAGGAUGGUUAGCUGAAUAGUUAUCUAACAUCCGCAUUGUGUAUGUUGUUUGUGUGAGUGGGUGUGUAUGUUGUUGUGUAUGUUGUAUCAGUACGCCGUGCAAAUACAGAAAAAGACUCUGUCAUCGUGGACAAAGAGAUUUUUGUAUCUGUGGCGGGUAUGUUACAUCUUAGGGACAAGUAUAUAUAUAUAUAUAUAUAUAUAUAUAUGGGCAUUUUUGGCUGACCUUAUUUCAAACUGGCCCCUUUUAUUCAAAAAGGCUUUACGAAAGGUCCCCGGGGCGUGACACUCGCCGUCCCUCUAUUUCGGCGAUUGUAGGGAGGAGAUCGUGGUGGGUAUGGGCGGAGAGGUGGGCGAGGGCAAGGGUAAGGCGGCAGAGGAUGGCGACGGCGUGUGUCUGGGUAUAGACAGAGGGGUGGGCGAGGACGAGGCGGCGGCCGAGGGUAUGUGUGUGAGCAUGGAUUAGGUCUUCAGGGAUAUUUUAGAUAUUAAAAAUAAGAUAUAAAUGAAACCCUAACGGAACACUGAUGGCGGUGGCCAAAAUAAAACAUUUUUUAUUUUUCAAUGGGGCAAACUGUAGGUUUUUGAAUGACAGGGGGGGAAGUGAAAAAGCGAGUAUUGACAAUGGGAUUUUUAUAAUUUAGUCAAAAUUAAAUUUUCAUAAUUAAUAAUAAAAUGUUACAACAUUCCCCCACUCAUUUUAUUAAAAAUAUAUAAGAGUUUGAUGGCCAAAGAGGGACCGUUAUACAUAAUGACGGUGUGCUCUGCAUUGAACAUUCACUUAGUAAAACAAUAAUCUCUACUCCAGAGCCAGAGUAGUCUCAAACUUGAACUUUAGCUACUUAGGAAAAAUAGAGAGUCACUGCUCACAUAUAAUAAUCUAGGUGUUGACAUGAGUUUUACUAUCUAGCACGUUAUGGCCUUGUGCUGAUCCUAGUUUUCAUUAGCCUAUUUGAGAAUAAGCCCAUUCUCAUAGGAAGUGACCUCACUUCCAUGCUCACAUAGGUGAAAUCCGUCAAGGGUGUUCCUGUAAUUCUGACAUCCUCCUCAUAAGAGCCACAGAUUUCAUUAAGAGCAAAAACUCAACCCUCUUUUUAUUACAGGAUGAAUGCACCCACACCAUCGGGAUAUAUGAAGAUGCGAUCAUAUAGAUCUAUAUAUUGUGCAUUCUUUACAACCACCAUAUGAUUCGUUUUUUCCACUGAACCCAAUUUUCAGGAUCUCUGAUCAUCAGAUUGGGUUUCCUCAUACGUGGUUCAUAAUUUUAUAGGCUUCAACCCUAUCCCCCUCAAUGUGCUCCUGAUCCUUUCUUUUCCCAAGAUCUUGGUUAAUGGAUAUGUCAGAUUAUCAGUAGAUUUAAUAUAAUCUACGCUGAUAACACAAUUGUUCAUAUAUAAUCUCACAGUAUUGUGUUUUCUUCUCAUGGAACUGGAUUUACUGUUAUAAUAGCGAUUUUUUACUCUACUAAUAGCAGCAGUGCUAUCACAAUGUAUUAACACAGAUGGAAUCUCAGACAAUAAGUCUCUUAACCAACUAGCUUCCUCCCUAGCUGAAGCUAAGACAAUAAACUCUGCUUCCACAGUUGAGUUAGCAAUGAUAGUUAGCUUUUUAAAUUUCCAACAUAUAGCACCACAUGCUAAAGUAAAAAUAUAAUCAGUGGUAGAGAGAGAAUCAUCUGAUAGGGUAAUCCAGUCAGCAUCACUACAACUCUCAAUUAGUACAGUAGGAUACUUCCCAUAAAACAAGCCAUAAGUUUUGGUACCAACGAGAUAUCUCAUCAUACGUUUCAUGGCAUGCUAAUACUCUAUACCAGGGUUGCUUGUAAAUCUACUAAGUAUCCCUACUAUAUAUGCAAUAUUAGGUCUCAUACAAUCAGUCACAAACCGCAAGUUUCCAAUCUUACUAGCAUAUUUUUUUUUAUUCAAAAUUUUACUUUCACUUUUAAUAGGAAAUAAGUGAACACUCGAAUCAAAAGGUAUAGUCACAUGCUUGCAACGAAGAAAGUUAUACUUUCUUAAAAUUUUCUUGAUAUAAUGUGACUGAUGAAGAAAGAUUCUAUCUUGUGUUUUGGUAAUUUUCAUACCCAAAAUAAAUUUAGCCUUAGUAAGAUUCUUUAUUUCAAAAUAAUGAUUUAGCAUAAUCUUUGUCUUAUUGAUAACAUUUAAGUUAAAGACAAAAAUUAGUAAAUCAUCCACAUAAAGGCUAACAAUAAUAUGCAAUUUUUCAAAAGUUUUAUAAUAGAUGCAUUUAUCACACUCGUUUAAUUUAAAGUCAUUCUUAAUUAUGCAAGAAUCAAGUUUUUCAUGCCGCUGUCUAGGUGCCUGCCUUAAGCCAUAAAGGGAUUUGUUUAGUUUGUACACUUUAUUUUCUUAUUGAGACUCAAUGAACCCCUCAGGUUGGUCCAUAUAAAUUUUCUCAUCUAGAUCACCAUUUAGAAAAGCGGUUUUUACAUCUAUCUGAUGAAUUUGUAAACCAUGAAUUACAACAAAAGCAAUCAGAACUCUGAUGGAUGUUACUCUAGUAAUCGGAGAAAAGGUAUCAAGGAAGAUCUUCUUUUUAUUUAUAACCUUUUGCAACAAGUCUUGCUUUAUACUUGUCUACACUCCUAUCCGAUUUUAAUUUCUUUCUGAUGACCCAUUUACAACCAAUUGUUGUAUAGCCUGUAGGUAAAUCCACUAAUUUUCAUGUUUAUUAGAAAUUAAAGAUUCCAUCUCAUUAGAUACAACCUCUUUCCAAAAAAUUGUAUCAUUUGAAGAUAAAACUUCUUGUAAAAAAAUGUGAAUUUUCUUUAAUAUUCAGAACAACAUAAUCAGGGCCAAAAUCUUUUUUUAUUUUGUUUUGUUUGCUUCUUCUAGGUUCAAAAUAUGUUGUUCUUGAUUUUGUAAAAAACAGUUUGAAGAACACGAUUUAUUUGAAACACUUUUAAAAUCUUGACCCUCACUAUUUUUUGAUUUAUAAGGAAACUUCUUUUCAUAAAAAAUAGCAUCUUUUGAUUCAAAAAUCACAUUAUUUUCAAUGUCUAAAAAUCUAUAGGUUGUACUGUUCAAAGUAUAUCCAAGAAAUACACAAGUGACAGCUCUAACACCCAAUUUGAAUUUUGUAGGGUCCGGUAGCCUCACAUAUGCUAGACAACCCCACACUUUAAAAGAUCUCAAAUUUGGCUUAUACUCUUUUCACAAUUCAAAAGGUGUCAUCUUAGACUUCUUAUGUAGCACGUGAUUCAAGACAUAACAUGCAGUUAAAAUACCUUCACCCUAAAGGUUUAAGGAUACACAAGUGUCACCUUUCAUAGCAUUUGUUAGCUCAAUAAGUGUUCUAUAUUUUCUCUCAGCCACUUCAUUAGAGACAAGCGAACAUGGAGCAGUAGUCUCAUGGAUAAUUCCUAAACACUAAACAAAAGAGUUGAAUCCCAUAGAUUCAUACUCACGACCUCGAUCACUUCUAAUUCUCUUAAUCUUUUUACCGAAUUGACUUUCUACUUUAUAGAGGAAAUCUUUAAAUUUUCUCCACGAGUUUGAGUACCUUUAAAUUCACAAUAUUAAUGCAAAUUAGCUCAAGUAAUUCGGUGCUUCUUUCAAUACUCUUAUUAGGUUGUUUAGUGAUUUUUGACUUACUACAUAUGUCACAUUUGUCAAAAUCACUAUUCAAUUUGGAAAUUAAUCAUAAAUUACUCAUCAAGCUAACAUCUUGCAGGCCCUGGAAAGGCACAAUGGCCAAUCCCAUCUCUUCAGCUGAACAAUUUUCGCCGAUCGAGCGAUUGGCGGUAGUCAUUUUAACUGCUUCCUCUCUCUCUCUUCUCUCCUUUUCCAUGGAUUAUUCUUUCCUCCUUUUCGGUCAGCAAGUAUGAUGGUUCUAAUGAUGAUCCUGCACGUAUUUCGUGUGUAUCUCAUAGAUGGAUUUUAAAAACACACCUCGCGAAUUAACUUAACUUGGGUGUAAGGUGUGGUUUUGGCAGUGGAACCAUGUUCCGCAGCUCAGCUGCUCGCUCCUUUCCGGCUGUCAUUUGCCUGAGGAGUUUAGAGAUGAUGAAUGGUUGAACCAAUAACGCGUAAACCAUGUCAAACCAAGACCUAUUAACAUGACAAAAAUGAUCGAUUUGCCAAAAUUCAUAGAAAAAAGUAUGUAAGCAAAAGUAGAUGACGCUUUAUUCUCAAUGCUUAGUUUGAACAUUCCGUCACAUGCAUAAUCUUUACCUACAAACUUUUUAUUCUUGAAAAUCACAUACUGAUCAAACUCAAUGGUCUGUUUGAAGCCAAUUUUCGAGGGUGUAUAUAACACAUUUUUCACGAUAAGUACCCUUCUAGAAGAAAAUUUUAACUCAACAUCACCACACCCUAAAACUUCAGAAGUAUGUGAAUCACCAAGCAUAAUACUUCUUUGUUGUUUAUAGGGAAUAUAUGUUUUAAACCAAGCUUCAUCAUAAUAGACAUGUUUAUUGGCAUCGGAGUCUGCUCACCGUCAUUCAGCAUUCUCUACUAAACAUACGUCUGUUAUCAUUGCCAUAAGUGGCUCAUCAGUAACAUUAGCUUGAGGUAAAGUUUUAUGUUUUCGAAAUUUGCAAAUUUGAGCAAUAUGCCCACUUUUGCCACAGACAUAGCAAACUAUAUUUUUCAUAUAAGAAGAAGGUCGUUGGUCAUUUUUCUUGUAUUGAGGUCUACUACUAUUCUUUCCAAUUUUCUUCUUAGGCUUCAAGUAUGUAUUUCUACAACGAUUGUUAUUAGGUAGAGAAUUAGAAGAUACUAAGUUUACCUUAGUGGUGGUAGUAUCAUUCUCUUUUUCUUCAAGUAUAUCUUGGCCUCUUGCUUCCUCUUCCACGCGAAUACGUGCAAUUAAUGUCUCGAGAGACUUCUCCUUUUGCUUAUGUCAAAGGGUUUUUUGGAAUUCUCUCCGAGAUGGUGGUAACUUGUCAAUGAUUUCUAGUACAAUCAAGUUAUCUCCGAGGGUGAUCAUCUGAACGUCUUGAACUUCUUCCACCACGGAUUUUUCUUCAACAUUUGGUAGCGAAAGAAGCGGCUAGCGACAUACUUCUUUGCACCAGCUUGCUCUGUAUCAUACUUAAGCUACAAUACCUUCCAAAUCUUCUUUGCGGAGAAGUUAGUAUUUUUAUAAUAAUCAUAAAAUUGAUCUGAAAGGCAGUUGAGAAGAUAACACCGAUAGUUAUACUCAUUCUUCUUGUAUUUUUCAAUUUUCUUGUAGUGUUCGAGAAGUUCGUCUUCAUUCAUAUCAUCAGUAUUAGUUUUCUUUGGAUUCUUCUCCGUUAGGACAUUUGCAAUUUUAAGUAGAUUGAGGUAGAAUAACACUUUUCCUUUCCACCUCUUAAAGUUGCUUCCAUUAAAGUAGAAGGGCUUGUUGAGAUCUCUGGCAGUAUGGUUGAAUUUUUUGCGUGUAGCCUCUAUCUUUAAAUCUUCUUAAAAUUGUUGGUGUGUAUAUUUAAAAAAUAGAGGUUAGUUACAAAAUAAAAUAAAAAAUAUCGACAAAUCGAUCAAGCCGAGGCACGAAAAUCUCGCACUCUUUAAGAAAAUUCAAACCCUCUGCAGUUGGCAAAGCCUUUAAACUGAUACAAUAGAACACUGGCUUGUCCCCUCCAGGAUACAAUGACUUGACUUUCGUCGUGUAGCUUCACCAACUUUGCACAAGUAAAUGAGCACAAAGCUCCACCAAGAGAGCACCUUUCUUUGACUUUCUUUUUUUCAUAAGUAUAAU
rnacentral:lncRNA from 1 species